GAAUGUUCGCUACUGGCUAUGAAUGUUUUCAUGAAGCACCAGAAGACAGCGUUUUAUUUGGUGGGGGUGAAGUUUUAGUACAGGAAUUGCUCGGUUUGAAAUAUUUAGAGGUAUUGGAGUUGACCUUGGGAAGUUAUCAGGCUCUCCAAAUCUUUUUGAGCUCAAAUAAGUUAAAAAGUUGUAUUCGAUCUCUUUUCCUCCAGUUGGCCGGAGAUACAAAGUCGAUUAUUGAUGCUGCGGCUUUCGCAGAUCUAAACCACCUCAAUGAAUUAUAUAUUUAUGAAGGUAUUGAGUUGGAAGAAUUGAAGAUUGAUUAUACAGAGAUAGUACGAAAAAGGCGGGAACCUUUUGUUUUCCGCAGCCUUCACCGUGUUACCAUAUUUAGUUGCGGUAAAUUGAAAGAUGUGACAUUCCUCGUUUUUGCUCCAAACCUCAAGUCUCUUGAGCUAUUGCAAUGCGAUGCUAUGGAAGAAAUAAUCAGCGUCGGAGAAAUUGCUGAGACUCCUGAGAUGAUGGGACACAUAAGCCCUUUUGAAAAUCUCCAAAGUCUUCAUUUAUCGUAUUUACCAAUUUUGAGGAGCAUCUACUGGAAGCCAUUGCCUUUCACUCAUCUCAAAAAAAUGGAGGUACGUAGAUGCGAUCAGCUUAGAAGGCUUCCGCUCGAUUCCAACAGUGCAACAGAGCGUAAUGUUGUUAUUCGUGGAUACACACUCUGGUGGAACCGACUUCAAUGGGAGGAUGAAGCCACUCAAAUUGCUUUUCGUUCCUGUUUCCAACCUCGUUCCUGAGCAGUGGUCGCAAAAUUUGAUUUCUGGUGAGUGCGUUUGUCUUUUAAAAAGAAGAAUUUAAAAGAAAUUUAUUCUUGUCGUUUUCUUCACUGUUUUUAUUUGAUUUCUGGUUAGUUUCUUUCUCUCUCUCUCUCUCUUUGUCUUCUGCAAAUCACAAUUAAAUGUUGAAUUAAUGGAAUUGAUGCUCUGGUUUUUUACUUUUUGUUGUCAAAUUUUGCCCUGUUCUAUCUUCUUAGCGAUUUAAUUUCCUGUCAAAAGACGAGCGAGAAGAACAUAUAUAUGACUUAAACCAAUUGAUACUUUAUUUAUGUGCAUUGUAUGUAAUAAAUAUUAAGUAUACUUUAUUUUUGCCCUGUUCUCUGUUUUUAUUUCAGUCUCUCUCUCUCUUUCCUGUCUUCUGCAAAAUAUAAUCAAUUAUUUUCAAAAUAUCAUUGAUGAUUUUUCUGCUCUAAUGCUAUGUAAAUAGUAUGUUAAGUAAAACAUAAUCAAUUAUUUGUGUUUUAUCUCUAAUUAGAACAUCAAUCAGUUCAGUACCUCACAAAUAAUUCGCAAUAUCUACAAAAUACUAUAAUGGCUACAAAACAAAUCCUGCUUGCAAAUUGUCAAGGAUACCUAUCCGUUCGCUUGACAAGUCAUUUGAAUAAAUAUUGUUCACAUUCCUUACUCUAUCAAUUAUCCAAAGCACCAUCAAUGGUCCUCAACUUUAGUUUGAAUAGUAUACAUGCCAUCACCAUUACCAAGAAUCAAGCAUGGAAGAGUCAUUCUAUAGAGUUAAUCGAAGCAAGGAAUGAUGUAUCAGAAAAUAUUUGGUGGAGAAUUCAGCACAAACAUAUUUUGGAUGAUCAGAAUCAAUAAAACCUGGUGGUUGCGCCAUAUAAACAUCUUCGGAAAGCUGACCUUGAAGAAAGGCGUUAUUGAUAUCCAAUUGACGAAGAGGCCAGCCAUGACUAACAUCAAUACUAAGAACAAGCCGUACUGUGGUGGACUUAACAACUGGACUGAAAGUGUCAUAAUAGUCCACACCAGGCCAUUGAUUGAACCCUUUGGCAACAAGAUGAGCUUUAAACCUGUCAACAGAACCGUUGGAAUGUCUUUUAAUACAAAAAUCCAUUUGCAGCCAACAAUAUUGGAAGGGAUGGGAGGUGGAACAAGCUUCCAUGUCCCGUUACGAACAAGAGCAUCAUACUCUUCUGACAUAGCUGGACGCCAGUGAAGAUUUUUGAUAGCUUGCGUCACAGUUGUAGGUUCACAAUCAGAAGAAGGGCUAAAAUGAGCACGGAGGUUAAGUUUUUGUAACGGCUUGUGAAUCUUAUUUUUAGCUCGGGUAGUCAUAUCAUGAUGACUUGUGGGGCAAUGAUCUAGUGGAGUUUAGGAAGAUGAUUGAACAGGAAGUGAAGAAGUGCUUUGUGUAGAGGUAGAAGUAGGUUGGGAGGAUUGCUGCGGAGAUGUUACCGGUAGAGAAGAAGGAGCAGUACACGGUGGCAACUCCAGAGGGCCCACAAUAGAUGGAGUAGGUGCCGACAAUGGAGUACUAGGAAAUGAAACAGGAAGAAUUGGUGGAACACUUGCGUAAUUAGGAGUGGUAGAUGAGCUUGUAAUGAUUUGUAUGGAAAAACAAACUCUACAAAUUUAACGUGACGUGAAAUAAAAAUUCAACCCGAUUGCAUAUUUAAGAACAUCUCAAAUGAAUUGCUUACUGCUAUCAUCAUCAUUAUUGUCUAUAUAAUAAUGGAUCUUUAUUAUAUAUAUGUUUCCACUAAAAUAUAUUUAAUUAUUCUUUAUUUUUCUAUUGUUGCGUGUAAGAUUUAUUUGAGUUCUAAGUUAUAUCAAUACAAAUGUUAUCUUAUCCAUAAAAAGUUAGAUCCAACAAUUAUGAAAAUUACUAUAGAGUUGCUUUCAAUUAUUUUUUUAAAAUACCAGGAGUAAAUAAUAAUUAGUUCAAAUGGUGGAGACUAAAAUGCGUUCACCUUUAUUUUUUAUCUGUUAUUUACUUUUGUCAUUACAUUAAUGCACAUGCUAUACAUUUGAGACAUUCCAUUAAUUGCCAAUUAUGUAUGUGAGAUAGUAAUUUAAAUUAAAAAAUAAAAGUGAAAGUUAAUCCUAUGCAAUGUGAAUAAAUUUCUUUCCUUUUUCCUUUACUCUUUUUAUUUGACAAUAAAGUUUCCAUCUAUCAUCUAUCAUCUAUGUACACAAAAUUUCUGCAACAAGUACAAAACAUAAAAAUAUAUGAAUAUUAAGGGAAACACGCAGAAGUUCAUCAUUUCAAUGUUCAGUAUUACCAAUUUUGGCAUUAAGCUUGUACGAAUAUAUUCUACUUCGAAAGCAAAAUAUUAGACUCGUGAUUUUAAUUCAUUCAUUAUCUCUCAUUUUAAUCCCAAAAUAUUCAAGAGUAUCCAAGUUACCAUAAGACUUCAGAGGCUCGAGCCUUAGCCAGAGAUGGUUAAUUGAUAGACUAUGUGCCUGGGUCGAGCACUGGAAGCCUGCAAUGCAGACUGAUUGAUUUAUCAGUUUAACGUGUGCCAGGAAUGAAGAACUGGAAUAUCACCGUCAAGCAAGCACCCUGUGGAGCAAUACCAAAGAAUGCACAAUCUGGCUUUGCUAGGUGACCCUGGAGGCUUUUUGAAAAGUGCUUCAUGCUCACUUGCACAGAUUGAGCAUCCCCUCUGGAUAUUGCCCUCUCUGAUCGAGUCUGAGCACUCAAAUUUCGGUCCUCAGAUGGAGCUACAGCUUUCUCUCCAAUAACCAACAAUUUUCUAAACUCAGCACCUAGUGUGAUCAGAGUUGUUGAUAUUUGCAAAUGGAGAUCCCCAUAUUUGCAAAUGGAGACAUUUAACAAAUCACCAACAUGCUUCAUCCGGUCCACGAAAUUCUGCAACUGAUUCAAAUCUGGAACCUGAACCAGAGUCGGAGGUAUAUCUUGAGCCAUAUCUAAAGCAGUUUGAAGUUCAAGACCUUGAGCCCUUGACAAUGGUUUUGAAAUUGGAACAUCUUGGAUUACUGCAGACUUGUACCCCUUGGUUUCAAAGGUAAGGAAAGGCAUUGCUUGAGUACAAUUUGGAGGCAGCUUCUUCACCAAUUUUAUUUGGAGGCAAUUGGCAGCGGAUCCAGCUGCACCAAUUUCAGAGCAACUACUGACACUACUUCGAACAGCACACUGACGAAGUGAUAUGUCUACGGCAAAGGCAAUGCAGUCCUCAUUUUGGCUUGAGAUGCAGUAAUCAUCGAAGAGAGUUUCCUUGUGAAACUGGGCAACACAUUGAAUCCCUUCGCCACUGAGAAGGUUGUGGAGGAAGUAAGCUGUCUCUCUAGUGAGGAAGAGGUGGCAUACCUUCCCCAUUUUGUCUAGGGCAGGUAGGAAUCUUUUUUCUAAGAGAUUUACUUCAUUCUCUGUGAGAAAUGCUUUGAACUUCAUCCCUCUGUCUCUAUCCUCACUUAUCAGGAAAUAAGUUGAAAGCACUAUGAAGAGAGAGAGAGAGAGAGAGAGAAUUAAGAUAUAUAGACAAGAAAAUAAUUAGACGUUGAUCUUACAAACUAAUACUUCAAGCAGUAUCCUAGAAAGCUAAAAACUGCAAGAUGGCUUGAAAUUUGAAAAGAGCACAUGGUUUUCCUCCUUAACUUGAGAAAAUGUUUAAUAUAGUGCACCUUACAGAAGCAUUUAAGCAAUUAGAACUUUGCACAAAAACAUCAAGAAGACUAAACAAAUCAGAUGCAGUGUAUUUGUCCAAGCACAAAUUGCAUUUUGUCCUCAACUUUAAUAUUUAUUGAUGAGAAUCAAUACAGGUCCCUCAUUUGUUAUAGAAAGCUUUCUUGUAGUCUCACCAGUUAAUUCACAGGUCUAUAAUCAUCUUGCAAAGUUAAGGGCAUUUCUUUCGAUCUAAAGUCUUUGCAUCACCACCUCAUCACACGCCAAGCCAAUAUUCCAUUUACCUCUACAACAAAAAGUUUUUAAGUAAAUAAUCCUAAUGCACGCAGCCGAAUAAAAUGCAGUAAGAAUAUUCAACUUAAAAAUCUGAAAGCCAACUUGGUGAAUUGCCUCCUUAGGUGAAGUUCCAUGCUUUACUAUAGUUGACAGAACUCAGCAAAAGCUUCCAUACAACAGAUUUUGAAAAUGAUGAUGCCAAUAGAUACUCAUUCAAUCCAUUGAAACUCCAAAGGUUCAUUGUUCAUAGAAGUUUACAGAGUUUUGGUCAUCAAAUAGCUCAGACCUAAUCCCAAACAAAAAACGAGUGAAAAUUAGAUCACGAGCAGCUAAUUGUAAAUUCUAACUUAACUCUUCAUCUCCUUUGUAAACAAGAAACAAAAUGGAGACACGCAAAAUGAAUAUGGAGAAAAUUUGAACUCAAAUGAAAUGAGGGCACGAAAGCAAACAAAUGGCAUGCACAAAAAAACCAAGCCUCGAUAAAAAACUAAUUAACCAUUAAGAAAAAAAUUGGUCAGAGAAUGAACUCCAAAUUCAGGAGUCAAGCAAGAAGCUUUCAUUAUUUCAGAAGCUCCUGUACAAAUUAAUAAGUUAUGCUCUUUGGAAGCAAACCUAAAUUCCAAGAGAAACAGAACCCAAAAAAUUUGCAAUUAUACGCAAAGGAAGUGAAGCACAGGAUUCUAUCACACAUAGGAAUUGUAUAACAAGAGAUCGAUAUAUCGAAUUAGAAAACUCAAUUCGAAUUUGUGUCAAAAAUCAAAAUUAGAAGAUUUCACAUUUCGAGAGGAACAAGCAACAGAUGAAGUUCAAAAUUUCAGCCAUAACAUGCUAAAAAUGCUACACUUAACGGUUCAUUUUCAUGGAUUUUCUCGGGAAACAAACAGAAAAUUACGGUUUAGAGAGUUGACUGACCUUUUGGCUUUUGAAAUUGACCAGAUCGCGCGCCAAAUUGGAAGAGGGAAAGUGAAAGCGCGAGUUUUAAUAUGGGUAUUAGAUAAGGAAAUUUUAUUAGGUUGCGAGGGUAAAAAAGGAAAGAGAUAUCAUUAUUUUAUUAUCGAUAAUUAUUAAAUUUUUUUCCAAAAAAAAGAACAAGCAAGGAUUUUUUAUUGUCAUCACUAAGUUAAAAAAAAUUGUUUCAAAAUUACUUGAGUCAUAUCCAAUGGACCAACAAAGUAAUCGUUUUUAUUUUUAUUGAUUUUUGCAGGAAAUUAAUAACUUAAAAAUACUGAAAGCUACUGUAAAAAUUUUUAUUAUCAACCUCAUAAUUUUUUUUUUUUGGGGAAGAGAAUUCAAACUUUUUUUUUAUGAAUAUCGCUGUUUCGUUUGAGUUGGAUGUGAAUUCAAAUCCAAAUAUUCUUUGUUUUUCAAUUUUGAACUCAAUUUCUUUUUCUCAAGAAUGUUAUGCAGAAAUAAUUUUUACUAAAUCUUUUUUGAUGAAUUGUUUAAAUUAAACAAUUGGAAUAAGAAUUGUAACGAUUUAUCAUAAGCGUGCUAAUAUGAUAACUUGUUUUACGAAGGAUUAAUUAAUCAAUUAAUAUUAAAUUAUAUAUUAGUCAAUUAGAUAUGUGUUACAUUUAUCAUGUUUUGUAGGUGAUAGUACAUCAUUUCUAAAAGAAUAUAGUACGUUAAAAUAUUAUUUUAAUGAAGAAAAUUUUAUUAUUUUAUUAUUAGGUGACACAAUAAUAAAUGGAUUUCUGUAAGAAUUGAGAUUCUUGAUAUAAUUAUUACAUAAGGAGAAGUUUAGUUGGUUCAAUUUUGACGUGAUAAGAAGACAACACAGCACAGAAAACCCAAAUUGCCACUUCCACUAAUAAAAGAUACCUGUUUGAAAAGUAAUUAUAAACUAUCUUCUUUGUGUUAUUUCUCAAAACUUUUGUGGCACAAAUGUUAUUUCCAUUGACAACAGUACGAAAUACCACCCCUUUCACUUGAGCAGGAGCAAAGCAAAGGUAUGAUGAGCUAUCUCUGUAUAAUUGAAACGCCAUUACUAAACGAUUCUUGAUGAUGGGAGCCACCGUGCCAGCUUUGUCGCUGAUUUGCAUGAUUUAUUAGUUGUCCAGAUGGCGGAUUUUGUACUGUUACCUUCGUUUCAUUCUUCAGAGCCAUGUACUGUUCUAGGAUACCAGAGAAACCAAGGUGGCAUUGAAGUUGCCCUGGUGGUUAGUUUUCCGAUCAUUUUUUUAUUCAAUUAUUUAUGUUUUUAGAAAAAUGUAGGAAAUAUGUAGAAAUGUUGACAGCUAUGAUUUUGAAACUUUUGCCUAAAAUUGUUAUCAUUACUUGUUGUUUCUUAUUUAAAGAGAAAUUCUAGAAACAUGAAAUGAUUAUUCUACGCUUGUUUUAAUAUUGUGCUAUGAAGAUUACGAAGGUUUGAUUAUAUGUCACUAUCAAUUGCCUUAAUCGUUUGUCGUAAAUCAAUUAAGCAUUUUGAUGCGAAUGAUUCCCUAUUAAAAAAUUCAAGUCAGAGCUGAAUUGCAAAGUAGUUAGUCGUGCUUGCAAUUCAAAUUAAGUAUUGUAUUUUCUCCCUGAUUUGGUUGAUUCAACUAUGUGCAUUUGCUUAUGAACGUUGCAGUAUAGAAAUCGAAAUAUCUUGUCUUUUGCUAAGCCCAGAAGCAAAUUCUUUGUAUUCUACUCAUCAGUUUUCUUCAUUCUCUUUGUUGAAAUUUUAUCUAAACAGCGGUUUCUUCGAAUUUAUGCCUUCGCUUACUCUUUUAAAUUUUAUCCAAACAACGGUUUUGAAAUUGUUUUCACUACAAUACCUUAGUCUUUCAGAUGCUCCCGUCACUGAGUUGCCAGAAGAGCUAAAAGCCUUGGUAAAUCUUAAGUGUUUGAACCGGAGUACACAAAUUAUCUCUCUACAUUUCCAAAGCAAUUGAUUUGUUACUUUUCGAUGCUACAUGUUCCGCGAAUAUUCAGUUGUGGUUAUCUUGUUCAGAUACCAGAAAAUAGCGUUAUAUUUAGUGGUAAUGAAUUCUUGGUUUGGGAGUUGCUUAGUUUAAAACGUUUAAAUGUAUUAAGCAUCAUCUUGAAAAGUUUUUCUGCUGUCCAAAAACUUAUGAGCUUCCAAAAGUUUCAAAGCUGUACACAAUGCAUGGAGCUUGUAGACUGUGAUGAUCCAAAGUCAUUUGCCGUGGCAGAGUUGAAGCAUCUUGAAAAACUAGGUUUUUCAAGUUGUGGAAAUUUGGAAGAGUUAAAGUUCUGCUGUGUCGAAGUUGCAAAGGCUCGAGAAUGUUUUCGUUUGAACAGCCCUCACUGAGUUAAGAUGAAGGCUUGUCAUAAAUUGUGGGAAGCGACAGGUUAUUCAAAUAGAAAAAUUUAUGGAGAUGGAUGUUAAUCUUAAGGUUAUUCAAUUAGAAAAAUUUGAAUAAAAUUUAUGGUAAGUGCUUUUCCAUUUAUUGCAUAUUUAUAUCUAAUUUUUAUUUUCCUUUAUUGUUAAAUUUUGGUCUCUAUUUGUUGUUGUAUGGUGGCAUUCUUGUACAAUUAUUAGCUUUUCAUUUCUCUUCUCACAUUAACUGCCCUUCUGAUCAUGUAGGAUUUGCUGAUGCAAAGAGUCAUAAUUUGGGAUACAAAUGUAAGAAUUAGACAGAUGACAUGUUGUUUUGAAGCUCUCAAAGAAGGACUAAUUAUGUCAUUGAAAGCCUCCAAUUUUGUGAUUGGUUUCUUUUUAUUUUAUUUGUUGUUUUCUCUAUUUUCAGAUCACUUAAUUGUUAGUUGUUGUAAUGUAAUGUUUUAGUAUAGCAAAUUAUAUUCGGCCAAGACAGUGAUAGGAGGGCACAUUGUGCAUGCACACUAGUGGAUUUGGCAUGCCAAAUCCAAUUAGGAUGGAUAACACUUUAUAAGCAUUAGGCUUCUCUCAUACCUGAGUAAUAUAGAAUAUGUUUAUAAGUUGUGAAUCACCCUUUACAAGUGUUAGGCUUCUGCUAUACUCAGUGAUGUGAAAUAUAUUUAUAAGCACUAAACUUCUCCCAUACACUUUAUGUUAAUAAUAAUAAUAAUAAUAAUAAUAAUAAUAAUAAAAUAAUAAUAAAUAAACCCAUUUUAACAGACUCUUUUUUCUUUUUCUAUAUGAACAAAUGCAUUCUUCAAAGCAACUGUGGGGAGAAGAAGUGAGUAGAGAAGAACUGAGCCCCUGUCAUUCCCCUAAAACCUCACCAAAACCUCUCUUGUAAGCUUCUCGGAUUUUCUUUCUAUAUUUCUUAGGAACUCAUUUUUUAUUGAAUCACUUAUUUUGCAUGCUGCAUUUUUUGGUUGUCGUAUUUGUGUAUUAUCUUAUCUGGAAUGCUGUUAUGAUUGAUGGAACAAGUAAUCGAUUUUUGGUCUAAUGGAAGUUGAUUUAUUUAUUUAUUGUUGUUUUUAUUUGAAAUUAUGUACAAUUGUAUUUCAUUCAUUUCUCUCUCUUUUGCUUUUUUCCCCCCAUAUAUUUGUUAUGUAUAAUUGCGUUUCAUUUAAUAUUGAUCAUACUGUAGGUAACCAUGUGAUUGUAGAUGGGGAUUUCGAGUUUGUUGAAUAUUCAUGUAAGUGAAGUAACCGUCACAAUACUAGUGAAAUUGGGAGCUUUAUUCAUGAGUUUGUGGUUUUGAAAAGUACCACAGUUCAACUGGUGAAGGCUCCGUUUUGGGAUUCUUCUUUUUCUAGGCUGCAAUUAGGAUAUGUACAUGAUAGACAAUCUUUUGUUGGUUUAGCAUAUCUUCGCUGAUUUUGUCUUUUAUUCCCCAAUUUUAUAAUUACACACCAUGAAUGUUGGGUGAUUGUAUAGAAAAUUUGUGUUAUAACAAAAACAUUGUGAAGGAGUUUCCGUGCUAAUAGUUAGUGGCUUCUGUUUUAUUGGCAUUGAUUGGGUAGAUUACGUGUUACAGUGAUUCAAUUUGUGUUCCAAACUUUGCUUUAAUUUUCUGUUUUCCCCAACUAUUUAUGUCAAAUUUAAAUCCAGAAGCAUGUGCUGAUUUUUUCUUUUUGUAUUAAUCUGUGAAGUUUAUUUGGAAUGGAAGUAACUGGGUCGGGUCUAAUGGAUUAAAUUAUGACAUUGAGGGGAAGGCACUAAAAGGGUUUGCUUGACACAUUUGGUUCUGUGUUUACUCUGCAAGAAAUAACUUUUGCUUAUUGCAAUGCAGGGGGAAAUCCCGAUUUGGCUGGUGAAUUUCUCUGCAACAAACAGGCAAACACCUCAACAUCUUCUGUCCAUACUUCUGCUGGGGAGGCAAGGGGUAAAGAGUCUUCAAAAUCAUCAAAUAGUUACAUCUCUGAGAAUUCAUUUUAUGGAAAUGGAAAAUCUAGAGUUUCUAAUACAAAAUGGCAUCUGGUAUCAGGACGUACCGUUUCAAGUUUUCUUGGUAAAGAUUAUGUUAAACCUGCACAGCCAGCUAAUGGCACUUUUCUGGCAUCAAAGCCAUUGAAGUUGGAUCCAAGGGAGUUUCGCAUUUCUGCACUUUCAGAGAAGAAACUAAACCGACAAUCAAAGGAUGACCAUUUGCAGAAGGAUAUGGAAGAUUUUCUUUUUAAAUUGCUAGGAGAAGGGUUCCAGCUGUACAGGGAUGUGAUUCAGGAGGUUCAUGGUAACGUCUUAAAUAUAUUGAUGCCAAUUUAAUACAUAUUGUCCUUUUCAAUGUUCUUUCUUUCUUUCUCCUCUUUUUAUUAUUCUUCUUCUUCUUUUUUCUUUUCAUGUGCAUGUGAUCACUAAUUUGGUAUUAUUCUUGACUUGCAGAUAGUUGUGGAUAUGAAAUGCAAAAGGUAAGGGCUAUAUCUUCUUGAUGGAGGCCUCUGAUUUUUUAAAUCGCAUUUUCCUUUGUGAUUGAUAUAUCAUACCAAAGUCAAGUCUUAAAUACUGCUGUCAUAUGUUAAGGUUCAACUUCCAUUUUGAUUAACGUCGAUUUGCUACUGCUUCCAAAAGUGAGAAUGAGAUACUUUGGUUAAUUUCAGUAGUUGAACUCAAUGGAGUACUUUAUUUAGAUCUUCAUGGUUCAAAGGCCUGAAAAAACUUGCCGGUAUUUGCAAAAUGACAUCUGUGCUUUUAUUUAGACUUAUUAUUAAAGACAACAUUUUAUUUCAGCCAAAAAUGUUUGUUUCAAUUAAAGACUUGAACCAUUUUCAUUUAACCUGAUUGUGAUGCUUUACAUUAUGCAUGUUCCUCUCAAUCAAUAAAAGUUGAGGUCAUGAUUUUAUAUUUCUAUUUUGUAACUUGAAAUAAUUGGUCUGCCUGUUUCUGUUGCUUGAUAACAUGAAUUUUUCCUUCUGAAGUUAAUUUGAUCAAUAAAGUAAUUCUUCGGAGAGGAUAUGCCCAUUCUAUAGUCAUUUUCUUAGCUAACAUGUUUUUUCUUCACUCUUCAAAGCAUGUCUAAACUAAUUGAUCGCUCAGCGGAGACUUUGGGUGAGAAGACAAAAUUUCUUGGUAAAUCCUCUGAAAAGGUAUGCAUAAUUCCCGAGUAUUAAAUAAUCAUUGGUCAUAAUUUUUGUACACGACUCUUGUUUUGGAGAUCGUUAAAAGUGGUUGAUGAUCUAUUUUGUAAUAUCAUAGAGGGAUCAUGAAUUCCUUUUCUUUUCUGUGGCUAGGCAACACUUUCGAGCCAAGCUAAGGAAAUCUAUUUUAGGUAAUGUGAAAACUAGUUGUAGGAUGUAAUAGUUUAUUAUGCCCUGACAAUAACUUUUUGUAUAAUUGUCAGUUUAAUGAAUACAAGAGGAACUCUGUUGGCAAGUUCAUCCAUGAUAGAUGCUAAAAUUAUUUAUGCAUACCAGUUGCCUUAACUAAUUUUUCUCAACACUGGUAUUGAACAGGAAAAUGAAUAUGCAAUUUGUAUAUUGUGCCAUUGUGGAGAAUUUGGAUAUUCUUAUUUAAGUAACAAGGAGAGUAUUUGCCUCAUCUUUAAACAAUGAAUCUUUGAGAAAUGAGGAGUGGGUGAUUGACAGUGUCUUCAUGUAAAUGUUCAUUUAUUUGUAUUUUGAACUAUUAUGAGAAUCUUUGUAUGCCAAAUUAGUAAUACAAAUGUUCAGAUGAUUUUUCCUGUUGAUCAUGCGUGUGUAUCUGCACACAACCAUUGUGUACCACUUUAUUCUGAUGCACAAAUAUCUGUAGUUUAGAAGAAAAGAAAUAAUAAUCAUAUAUUAUUGCUUGGUUCAUGAUUAUUAAAUGAUUAUGGCUUUAGAAAAUCCACAAAUCCUUUGUGUUCAUAUAUGAAUGUGCGAAGUUCGCUAUAUCUUAGAUUACCUUCUUCCAAGAUAACAAGUUCAUAUAUUUUUUUUAAUCCUUUUUCAUCACAGUUGAAUUUCAAGUGUAAGUUUUGUUAUUAAUAGCUGGUUUCCUGUUAUUAUGAUUUCAUAAACAAUGAGAGGAUAUGUGCUCUACUUUUGGAUGGCCUCCACAUAAAAGAAAAUUGCAACAAUUGAAUUCUUCUGGAGGGUAUGGUAUUUAAUUUAUUUUCUCAGCUUGUUGUAAGACUAAUAUAUUUCCUUCAGUACGCACGGCAUGGUGGGAAGGGUUUUUAUUGAAAGAAUUAUGAUAUUUCUUAGACUUUGUUUUGGAAGGGGGUGGAGGGAUUUCUCAUCCAUGUAUGGUUACUUGAUUAGCUUUUGACUGUACUGUCUCCGUCGUGCAAAGGAAAAUCCAAAUACUAACGAAGGGGAAUUGCUUAGGCACCCAAAGGACAGAAAUGAAUUACGGAAGGAGGUUUUUGCUGCUUUAUUUAGUGCUGCUGAGAAAUCUGAUGAAUUUCCUGAAAUUACGGUGAAGACGGAGUGGAGGUCCAACGCAUUAGGAAAGGUGGUGAGUGAACCGCCAGAGGAAUUAGUACCAGAAUACAAGGCUAAUGUGGUGCACUGGCAGCAAGAUGACCAGACCUGUAUGUGCUCUUAUAUUAACUAUAUUGGCUGGAUUUGUGAGUGUGUUCAUUUUUGUGUGUAUACUCACUUUUGUAUUUAUGCAUAUUCACGUGUGUAGGAUUCUCGAUUUCUGCCACUUACUGGAGAACUAGUGGAAAGCUUUAUACUGAUAUAUGUGCUAUAUAACUAAUGGAAACUACAAUAUGAAUAUUUUCUCUCACCUGGAGAGCAGUGUAACUAAUAUAAUUUGUGGCUCUGGAAUACUGAAGAUUCUGCAAUAACUAAUGGAAAAUAUGAUAUGAAUAUUUUUUCUCACCUGGAGAACUUUGUAACAGAUACAUUUUGUGCUGGAAUGUCUAAAGAAUGCUUCAGUUUAUAUCAAAUAUCUUUUAGUUAGAAAAGAUAAAAUUCUCUGAAUCUGAAAGACUGAAACAUUUUGCAUAUUUCGUGAAAGGCAAGUAUCUGUAGAUACUAGCUCAUGCAUUGAGGUAAUAUCAAUGUUAAAGAAAAACAGCAAUAAUUUAUUAUACAGAAUUAGGUUCACUUGCUUUAAAUGCUGGUCUGAUCAACCAUAUCAACCUGUAAUGGUCCUGCAGAAAUAUAUAUACGGGGAGAAACUAGCUAAUUUUCCUUUCACUUAUGGGUUUGGUCUUUUUUUCCCCAAUUUUUCAGCUUUCCUUCUCCUGAAGUAUGUUAAUAAUUGCAGAUAAUGGCGAAGAGGACUGCUUCCAGGCUACCGGCAAAAACUUUGUGAAAGCUUUGGAGUUAAACAGGGAAUUCACUUACUGCUAAGGACAAUUGGUGGCGAGCUAUUUCAUUCAUUUUAUGUCCAUACAUCUAUUUAAUUAUUAAAGAUAAUGUACGCAUUUGUAAAUUUCAGAUUGUGUGUCUCUGAAAAUAACAAUAUUUAAAAUGUCUCUUAAAUUAUUAUAAAUUUUAAUUUACUCUCGAUUUAAAAUGGAACAUGUUGGUGAAAUAUUUUUUCUUCUUAAUAAAAUUGAAAUAAAUUAUGUUAGCAGUAGUUUGAAAUAUUUUAAAGAUGAUUAUUUUAUAAGGGAGUAAUAUGAAAUGAAAUUUACUUUUCAUGCGUGAAAUGUUGAAAAAGGACAAAGCAAGUGUCCCUGCUUUUAUUUUAUUUCAAAGUGGAGUCAUCUCACAUACUUUAGCUCUAUCAUUAGGAGCCGGCUAAGUUACGUUAAACGUAAUUUACGCCAGGCACAGCAAUAAUGACAAGUCCCAUGACUAGUAUUGUUGCUGUGUCUGACGUAAGUUACGUUUAACGUAACUUAGCCAAAGCCCUAUCAUUAAUAUAUAUUUAAAUUUAACACAUGCAUGUGGGUUACUUUUCCGUAAGUUCCUUAAUAUAUAUUUAACACAAAUCAUGGAAGAGAUGGGAGUAUAUCAAGAUGAUCAAAGCAUGAAACAAAAAUAUUUAAGAAGUAAAACACUGAAAAUGGAGAAGAGAUGCAAGCAAAAGAUAUUCUAAAGAAAAGCAAUCUAUCCCCUUUCGAGGGCAAACUUAUCAGGUUUAAGAAAAGUACAUGCUUUGGAUUGGUAGUUGCAGCCUUGCAGGAUAAUUGUUUUUGCCACUAUAUUAGUUGGAGGAGUUGAACCCAGUGAAGAAUGUUAUGGAAGAGCAAAUGAUAUUUCUGAUAGACUCUAUUUGAUUAUGUAGCCUGAAUAGAUGUCUUGUUGAAAGAUAUAUCAGUGCAUUAGUUCAUCCUUGUCUGUCAAUGUGUUUUUAAUGGUUUUUCCAAUUGUUUUUUUUUUUUUUGAAACUGAUUAAGCAUCAGGUUACUGCAUUACACAGAUAUAUAUACAACUGCUAUGACAGCAGGUCAUUACACUGAUAUUUACAAUCAGAUAUAUAUACAUGGGACUUAUAUUAUUACAUUUUUAUUCUAUGAAGUACAUGCCCAUCCCAAAUACCCCUCACGGAGGAGGGAUGUCUCUACUCCACUCGCAUUUCGCAAGGGAGAAAGACGUUUAUAGAAAUCUCCACACAAUUAUGUUUAAUUGGAGGAGGUUGAGUCCGUGGGGACUCGAACCAUUGCCCUCAAAGUCAUGCUUAACUUUGAGGGCAAUGGUCCACCACUGGGCUACAAGCCCAAGUGGCGGUUUUUCCAAUUGUUUAUUGCUAUAGAUUGAUUGUAAAUUGAUGUGAACUUAAUGUUGAAAUAUUUUCUCUUUAGUGGAAUGAAAGUUAAACAUUCAAGAUUAGAUUAUUCAAGGUCCACAUAGUAUGUGUUCCGUUGUGUUGUCUGUAAUUUUGCAUUUAAAUAAAUUUGAGUGCUGCCGUUUCGCUCCCACAAUCUCUCGCCUUUUUUUAAUUUUAAAAAUUAAAAUAUUAAUAAAAAACAAUAAAGAAAAUCGAAUCCUUUAUGUCAUUCCAUCUUUACAACUCUCUCUCACAAACUCCAUCUAACAGACUUCUCUCUUACUAUCUCGGUCGAACAAGACCAGUGACAAUGAUGACACGACCGCCGACGAUGAGAUGGUCAUCGCUAAAGAAUCGGGCCGUGUAUUUUACAAUUUCUUGGUUUGUGACAACAAUGGAAAACUCCUGAAAAUUUUGAAUUUGUAGUCGAGCAAAGGAAGAAGCAAGUUAUCUUCAAAGCAUUUUCCAGUAAUAGCUGAUGAAAUUUAAUACUUCAAGCUGGCCCUUUGCUGUCACAACUAGAUGCAUUUGCACUGUCAUUACAAUUUAUGGAAAUUAAAGUAAUUAAUGGUUCUAAUUAAUAGCUUCCCAAAAAACCAAUCUGCCCUUGUGAGAACCAAAGCAUUAAUUUCUUGUAAGAGCUGCAGAAGGCCAGAGAAUUUCAGAUCGUGAAAAGGAGUGUGUGAGUGAGAGAGAGAUCGUGAAAUAGUGAGAGACAAUGAGAGAGAGAGCCGCUCGACUGAGAUGGUGAGAGAGUUGCAAAAAUGGAGUAAGGAGCAGAUAAGAUUAUGUUUUCUUUAUUAUUUUUUAUUAAUAUUUUAAUUUUUUUAAUUAAAAAAGGGCGAGAGAUUUUGGGAGUGAAACGGCAGCAUGUUCCAAUAAAUUUUUACCAAAGUUUCUCUCGUGUUUCUCUCACCUUUCUAGAUACCAAGCAUUUUCCAAUAAAUUUUUACUAAAAACUUAGCAAGCCCUUGAAACUUUGGUCAAAAUUAUUGUUAUUAUUACUUUUAGAGGAAAAACUUUUAUUAAAACCUCAUUAACACAAUUCUUAAUUAAAAUUAUAAGUUUGUGUUGGUGUAAGGAUUUGCAGGAGCAAUUACUGCCUAGCCAAGUGUCAAAAGCACAAAAUAAAUCAAGAGAAAGUAGACAUGAAUUAGGAUCCAAUGAAAUUUAAAUCCCGGAGAAAAGAAAUAAUCAUGCAGAUUAUCAAGAUUUCAAUAAGGGAUAUUGAUAUCCUAUUUUGAUUAAUAAUAUCCUUUUACUGUGUUAACUCAAAAAAUAUGUAUAUUCUAAUAUUUUACAAUAAAUAGAAAUCUAAUAUUAAAAUAAAUGUGAUAUAUAUAUAUAUAUAUUAAAUAAUUUAAAUAUAAAAAAUAUUUUAAUGUUUUACAAUCUACUACACAUAUUUUAUUAAGUUAAUAUAAUUUUUCAAAUAAAUAGGGACAUAAUAUUAAAAUAAAUUUAUAAAAAUUUAAAUUAUUUUGAAUUUAAAAUAAUUUUAAUAUUAUUAAUAUGUUAGAUAUGUUUGAUUAAUUAUAAAAAUUAUUUACGCAAAUUUUUUUAAUAUUUUCAGUAGAUAUAAAUAUAUUACUUACAUUUUGAUUAUUUAACUAUUAUUAUUCUACAAUUAUUUAUAUAAUGUUUGCACUUAUUAGAAUAUAUUUAAAGUCAAAUCUUUUGCACUUCUACCUAGCUAGAAUUAUUGGACGCAGAGAAAUAAGCAUAUAUGCUUUAUAACUUUAGAAAUCGAAUUAUCUAUACAAAUUGAUUUUAGCUGGAAAAAAAGUGAGCUGAAUGAUAUAGGCGAUUAGUGUGGUAAUAUUUCAUAGAGUUAGACUAUUGAAUUUGGCACCCCUCCAAUCUUCUCAUGAUUACCUUUUUGAGUUAUUAAUACACUUCUAAUUUUUCGUUUAAUUUUUUUUAUUGUUAUACUCAAAGUAGUAUUGUGAUAUUUUAUAUUUCUUUUGCAAUCUUAUUAUUAUUUUACACAAAAUUAAAAAGUUUUCUAGGUGAUGAACUUUUGAGUUUUGAACAUUAAUCAUUGGCUUAAAUUUCAUAUAUUUUACAUUAUAAUUUGAAAUUAAGUACGAAAAUAUUUAAUAAAUUAUGAAAAGAUUAACAGAUUAUUCUAAAUUGAUACAACUUAUUUUAGUUAAAUAAAAAGUAACAGGUAAAAAAAAAAAGGAUUGGUUAUGAAAUUUGUUGGAAAAAAAUCUGUGUGUGUUUAAUUUUUAUUUGUCCUUAAUUGUAAUUUAUUUGAAGUGAGGUUUUAUAAGGAUAAUGAAGGGGUGCCAUAGUUUCACUCUAUUUCAUAUGGAGAGAGAAGUAAAAGGUACACCUGAGGUUAAUGGAAAGGACUUCGAAAGUUUCUUUUGAUUAUAAUACUGUUUGUUCUAAUUAACUUAAAAAAUUUUACUUUAAUAUUUUAUAAUAAAUUAAAUUUUAAUCUUAAAAUAAGUAUAAUCAUAUAUUUUAAAAUAAUCUUAAAAUAAAUACAAUCAUAUAUUUUAAAAUAAUCUUAAAAUAAAUACAAUCAUAUAUUUUAAAAUAAUCUUAAAAUAAAUACAAUCAUAUAUUUUAAAAUAAUCUUUAUAUUUAAAAUUUAUUUAUUUGUACAUAUUUUAUAAUAAAUAUAACACAUACUAUUAAAAUAAUAUAUAAAAAAUUAAAGUAUUUUGAAUAUUAUAUAAAAUAACUUUAAGAUUCUUAAUAUGUAAGAUAUAUUUUAUUAAUUUAAAAUUCUAUUUAAAAUUUUAUUAAUUUAAAAUUCUAUUUAACCCAAAGAUUUAUUUAAGAUAAAUUAAUAAUCAUAUUUUUUAAAUCAUUUCAAAUAUUAAAAAAUAUUUUGAUAUUACUAGUCUAUUAAAUAGAUUAAAUAUUUUUAUUAUUUUGUACUAAUCAAAAGUUACAGCUCGAAUGAUAUUAUGAGAACAGAAUUUUUAUGUCUUUAUUAAAAAUUUGGGUUUGUAUAAUUAUUUUUUCAAAUGUUAGGGGCAUAGCUGUCUUUUUACUUUUAUAUAUGUGAACCGCGGUGGUGAAAAAGUGUGAUUUAAUAUUAGUUAUUUAAAUAAUAUCUGAAUUAAAGAUGUACAGAGAAGAAAUUUCGGUGGGCAUUUUAGUCUUUUAACGAUUAUCAUGAUUAGGGAUUAGGUCCUGCUCUUGAAACGUUGGUCAGAAAAGUUCUAAAAUGCGUACAUUAUCUUUACUUUAAAAAAGUUAUUUUAUUUUAUUACAAAUUAAUGCCGACAAGAAAAAGCAAGAUCUUAAANNNNNNNNNNNNNNNNNNNNNNNNNNNNNNNNNNNNNNNNNNNNNNNNNNNNNNNNNNNNNNNNNNNNNNNNNNNNNNNNNNNNNNNNNNNNNNNNNNNNAUAAAGAUGAAGAAAAGGGCAAAAAAAUAUUAAUGAUUAACGAAAUCUCUAUCCAAAUUGAUUUUAGCAGGAAAAAAGUGAGCUAAAUGAUGUAGACGAUUAGUGGUAAUAUUUCAUAGAGUUAGACUAUUGGCACCCUUCCAAUCUUCUCACGAAUCCUCUUUUUGAGUUAUAUUUAUUUUAUUUUUAAAAUAUCUUUUUUCUCUUUUACUACACUUCUAAUUUUUCAUUUAAUUUUUUUAUUGUUAAACUCAAAGUAGUAUUGUGAUAUUUUUAAUUUCUUUUGCAAUCUUAUUAUUACUCUGCAUAUAAAUUAAAAAGUUUUUUAGGUGAUGAAUUUUUGAAUGUUAAUCAUUAGCUUAAAUUUCACAUAUUUUACAUUACAAUUUGAAAUUUAAUAUGAAAAUAUUUAAUCAAUAAGAAUUAUGAAAAGAUUAAUAAAUUAUUCUAAAUUUAUACAACUUAUUUUAGUUAGAUCAGAAGUAGCAGGUUAACAAAAGAAAGGAUUGGUUAUGAAAUUUGUUGGAAAAAAAUCUAUGUGUGUUUAAUUUUUAUUCGUUGUUAACUCUAAUUAAGUAGGUUAAAUAUUUUUGUUAUUUUUUACUUAUCAAAAAAUUUAAGAUCAAUAUUUUUAGUUACCAUUCGAAGGAUAUUAUGACAAAAACAGAAUUUUCACUUCUUUGUUAAAAAUUUGGGGGUUUGUGUAACUAUUUUUUCAAAUGUUAGGGGCAUAUCUGUCUUUUUACUCUAUAUAUAUGAACCAUGGUGGUGAAAAAGCGUGAUUUAAUGUUAUUUAUUUAAAUAAUAUCUCAAUUAAAAAUGUAAGGAGAAGAAAUUUCGGUGGGCAUUUUAGUCUUUUAACGAUUAUCAUGGUUAGGCCCUGGUCUUGAAACGUUGGUCAGAAAAGUUCUAAAAUGCGUUCAUUUGUCUUUACGCCAACAAUAAAAAGCAAGAUCUUAGUGUCCCACAAAAGCAAAUCGUAAUAUUCCGCAAUGGAGUUAGAUCCGCAAAAGCAAACAAAUUCUUUUAUUAAACUACAAAUUAAAGUGGAAUCAUUUACUAAACAACAAAUUAAAUUUGAAAUAUUUAAAUAGUCGUGCGUUAGACGAUUAGAGACUCUUAUUAAAGGCAAGUACAAAGUAGUGAAGAAUCGAAUAUUUCUAUUGUCUAGUCUUUUUUUAAAAAAAAUUUUCUUUUAUUAUUUUUCAGAAUAUGUUUUGGUGAUUACUAUUGGGUUAUUAUUCAGAGUUAUUGUUAUCUUCCGGGGCAGUUUCUGUUCAUCGAAUUCGUUAAUAAAAUUUUAAAACUCUUAUUGAAAGAAUGUUUUUCCGUUAUCUUUUUUAUAAUCUAAUUUUAAGUGUAAGAAGUAGUCAUUUUAGAAUUUGGGUCUUGAAUCGAAUUUCAAUGCAUGAAUUAAUAUUUAAAAAAAAUUUACUACAUGCAGUUUAGGUUACAAACUAUUUUUUGCAAAGUUGACUAUGAAAUUGGAGAAAUUAAGUAAUUUAUAAUGUUUGCAAAGAAAGAGACCAACAUACUUCCAAUUACACUAUAUCUCAAUUAUCAUAAUGUUAAGAUUAAACUAACUUAAAAUAAAAUUUAUUUAAAAAGUUUAUCAAACGCAGUCUAAUUUUAUUAACUUGAAGAGAUAAUAGUUAUAGAAAUUAUUAUUCUAACUUAAUUAGUAAAAGUGGUAUAAAGGUUAAGUGUGCACUAAAUCUAUUUAAAUUUUUUUCCAGUAUAACUAACAGAGGUCAUUACUAGAAUUAUAUUACUAGUCUAUUAGAUAGAAAAAAUUAUUUAUAUUGUUUUAUAUUUAUUAAAAAAAUUUAAAGUCAAUCUUUUUAAUUACUAUUUAAAGGAUAUUAUAAUUAAAAAAAUUUUAAUGUCUUCAUUAAAAAUUUAAAAUUUUAUAUGACCGUUAUCUAAAUAUUUAAAGUGUAACUGUCAUUUUCUCAUAUAUAUAUAUAAUUUCAUCAACCCCUUAUACUUUAUGUUAUUUAUAUUUUAUUCAUGAAUAUUAUAAAUUUUUUGAAAUAUAAAAUUUCGUUUAACCCUUUAUACUCAAUUUUAUUUUAUUAAAACCCUAGAGUAUGAAUUCGUCCCUAUAAUAUUAAAUUCUCAAAAUAACUUCCAUUUAAUUAAAAAAUAUAAUUAUUAUUAAAUGAAUUAUAAUUAUUAUUAUUAUGUUAUUAUAAUCAUAAAAAGCGAGAUCAUAUUCCACAAAAGCAUAAGUGACAAAACAACCAACUGGAUUCUUUUAUUAAUCAACAAAUUGUAUAGUCUUUUUCAAAUUGUUAUAAAUUGGUGGCCCCUACAAUCCUCAAUAAUUGUACCGAAAUUCACAAGUUGGUGGGCCCUACAAUUCUGUUCCGAUAAUUUAACUGUGCAAGUGCUCAUUCACAAUCUUCCAGGUCAUGCUCUUAACAAUUGUUUUUUCUUUUCUGCACGCCCUUUCAUGCUCUUAAUAAUUGAAGAGCAUACUUUUCAAAUGUGAAGCCGCAUCUAAUGUCGCUAAUUUAAUUUGGGAUUAAAUUACGGGACUAUUAUAUUGCAGUGUGCACUAAUUUUUAUGUUUAUCUAAACUCUUCAAAUUUAAAACAUAUUAUGGCAUAAAUAAGAAUGUAACAAUAACAAAAGAGUAAGAAAGUGUAGAGAAAAUCUUGCAGAAAUAUAAAUAAUAUUUAUUUUUAAAAUAAUAUUAAUAUUUAAAAUAAUUUUUAAUAUUUUAUGGUCCAUUAGAUAUAUUUUAUUAUAUUAAAAUAAAUUUUAUAAUAAAUAAAAACAUACUAUUAAAAUGAAUAUAUAUAGAAAAUUUAGAGUAUUUUAAGUAUUAUAUAAAAUAAUUUUAAUAAAAUAUGUGAGAUAUUCAUAUUUUAUUAAUUUAAGAUACCAUUUAACCUAAAGAUUUAUUUAUGAUAAAUUAAUAAUUAUAUUUUUGAAAUUACUUCAAAUAUUAAAAAAAUUAAUAUUACUAAUAUAUUAGAUAGAUUAAAUUAUAUAUAUUAUUUUUACUUAUUAAAAAAAUUUUAAAAUUAUUUUUAAUUACUAUUCAAAAAACGUAUUCAAAAAACAUAAUGAUAAAAAAAUCUUAACAUCUUUAUUAAAAAAUUAAAAACUUAUAUGAUAAAUUCUCUAAAUAUUUACGGUAUAUGUGAACCACGGUGGAUAAGCUUUAUUUAAUAUUAUUGAUUUAAAUAAUAUGUCAAUUAAAAAUGUACAGAGAAGAAAUUUCGGUGGGUAUUUUAGUCUUUUAAGCAAUUAUCAUGAUCAGAUCAGCCUUUAGCCUUCAAACGUCGGUCAGAAAAGUUUUAAAAUUAAUGCUAAAUUGUUUUUCACUUUUAACGUUGGUGGCCUUGAAAUUGCUUGUAUUUUAUUAAAAAUUAAUGCUAACAAGAAAAAGCUAGGUCAUAUUCCACAAAAUCAAAAGUGACAAAACAACCAGCUGGUUUCUUUUACUAAACUACAAAUUAAAAUAAAUUUUUUCGAUAAAUUACAAAUUAAAGUGGAUUCUUUUGAAUACAAAUGGGACAGACGAUUAGGCUCUUUUUAUUAGAGGCAAGUAAAAACUAGUCAAGAAUCGAACAGUCUUUUUCCAAUUCUUGUUUUAUUAUUUUUCAAAACUAGUUUUUGGUAAUUACAACCGGGUCAUUAAUCAUUAUUCAGAGUUAUCUUCCGGGGCAGUUUCUGUUCAUCGAAUUCGUUAAUAAAAUGUUAAAACUCUUAUUGAAAGAAUGUUUUUCCGUUAUCUUUUUUAUAAUCUAAUUUUAAGUGUAAGAAGUAGUCAUUUUAGAAUUUGGGUCUUGAAUCGAAUUUCAAUGCAUGAAUUAAUAUUUAAAAAAAAUUUACUACAUGCAGUUUAGGUUACAAACUAUUUUUUGCAAAGUUGACUAUGAAAUUGGAGAAAUUAAGUAAUUUAUAAUGUUUGCAAAGAAAGAGACCAACAUACUUCCAAUUACACUAUAUCUCAAUUAUCAUAAUGUUAAGAUUAAACUAACUUAAAAUAAAAUUUAUUUAAAAAGUUUAUCAAACGCAGUCUAAUUUUAUUAACUUGAAGAGAUAAUAGUUAUAGAAAUUAUUAUUCUAACUUAAUUAGUAAAAGUGGUAUAAAGGUUAAGUGUGCACUAAAUCUAUUUAAAUUUUUUUCCAGUAUAACUAACAGAGGUCAUUACUAGAAUUAUAUUACUAGUCUAUUAGAUAGAAAAAAUUAUUUAUAUUGUUUUAUAUUUAUUAAAAAAAUUUAAAGUCAAUCUUUUUAAUUACUAUUAAAGGAUAUUAUAAUUAAAAAAANNNNNNNNNNNNNNNNNNNNNNNNNNNNNNNNNNNNNNNNNNNNNNNNNNNNNNNNNNNNNNNNNNNNNNNNNNNNNNNNNNNNNNNNNNNNNNNNNNNNNNNNNNNNNNNNNNNNNNNNNNNNNNNNNNNNNNNNNNNNNNNNNNNNNNNNNNNNNNNNNNNNNNNNNNNNNNNNNNNNNNNNNNNNNNNNNNNNNNNNNNNNNNNNNNNNNNNNNNNNNNNNNNNNNNNNNNNNNNNNNNNNNNNNNNNNNNNNNNNNNNNNNNNNNNNNNNNNNNNNNNNNNNNNNNNNNNNNNNNNNNNNNNNNNNNNNNNNNNNNNNNNNNNNNNNNNNNNNNNNNNNNNNNNNNNNNNNNNNNNNNNNNNNNNNNNNNNNNNNNNNNNNNNNNNNNNNNNNNNNNNNNNNNNNNNNNNNNNNNNNNNNNNNNNNNNNNNNNNNNNNNNNNNNAUUGUGGGCACUCUUGUUCGUGCAUGUUUGCUAGAAGAGAUGGAAGAUGAUAAAGUAAAAAUGCAUGACGUUGUUCGUGAUAUGGCUUUAUGGAUAGCUUGUGAAAUUGAGAAGGAGAAGAGAAACUUUUUGGUUUGUGCAGGUGCUCGAUUAGAAGAGGCACCGGGUGUUAAAGAAUGGGAAAAUGUGAGAAGAUUGUCAUUGAUGCAAAACCAAAUUGAAACUGUGUCAGAGAUUCCCGCAUGCCCUCAUCUCCAUACUCUAUUUCUUGCCUCUAAUAGGAAUUUCAGGAUGAUCACGGAUGGCUUCUUUCAAUUUAUGCCUUCUCUCAAAGUUUUGAAGAUGUCACGCUGUGGGCAAUUCGAAGGUUUUCAAUUACCUGUUGGGAUGUCAGAGUUGGGUUCAUCACUAGAACUUCUUGAUAUUUCACAUACCACCAUAAGAGAGUUACCCGAAGAGUUAAAGUUGCUGGUAAAUCUGAAAUGUUUGAAUUUGAGGUGGACAGGUGCGUUAAUUAGAAUUCCACGGGGACUAAUAUCAAAAUUUUCAAGGUUACGUGUGUUGAGAAUGUUGGGUACUGGCGGGUUCAUUUUUUAUGAAGCACCAGAAGACAGCGUUUUAUUUGGUGGGGGUGAAGUUUUGAUACAGGAAUUGCUCGGUUUGAAAUAUUUAGAGGUAUUGGAGUUGACCUUGGGAAGUUAUCAUGCUCUCCAAAUUCUUUUGAGCUCAAAUAAGUUAAAAAGUUGUAUUCGAUCUCUUUACCUCUAUUUGACCGGAGAUAAAAAGUCGAUUAUUGAUGCUACGGCUUUCACAGACCUAAACCACCUCAAUGAAUUAUGGAUUGAUAAUGGAAUUGAGUUGGAAGAAUUGAAGAUUGAUUAUACGGAGAUAGUACGAAAAAGGCGGGAACCUUUUGUUUUCCACAGCCUUCACCUUGUUACGAUAUAUAGUUGCCAUAAAUUGAAAGAUUCGACAUUCCUCGCUUUUGCUCCAAACCUCAAGUCUCUUUCGCUAUUCAAAUGCCGUGCUAUGGAAGAAAUAAUCAGCGUCGGAAAAAUUGCUGAGAAUCCUGAGAUGAUGGGACAUAUAAGCCCUUUUGAAAAUCUCAAAAGUCUUGAUCUAUCAUAUUUGCCGGAGUUGAAGAGCAUUUUCUGGAAGCCAUUGCCUUUCACUCAUCUCAAAGAAAUGGGGGUAAGAGCAUGUGAUCAGCUUAGAAAGCUUCCACUCGAUUCCAACAGUGCAAAAGAGCGUAAAUUUGUAAUUCGUGGAGAAGAAGACUGGUGGAACCGACUUCAAUGGGAGGAUGAAGCCACUCAAAUUGCUUUUCGUUCCUGUUUCCAACCUGAUUCCUGAGCGGUGGUCGCAAAAUUUGAUUUCUGGUGAGUGCGUUUGUCUUUUAAAAGAAGAAUUUAAAAGAAAUUUAUUCUUGACGUUUUCUUCACUGUUUUUAUUUCAGUCUCUCUCUCUCUCUUUUUGUCUUCUGCUAAUCACAAUUAAAUGUUGAAUUAAUGGAAUUAAUGCUUCAUAAAUUUGCCGGCACUGCCAUUACUUUUUUUUUUUUUAAUACAAAUUGAUACUUUAUUUAUAUCUUCUUAGCGAUUUAAUUUCCUGUCAAUUGACGAACGAGAAGAACAUAUGACUUGAACCAAUGCUCGCAUAAACUUGCUGUAAAAAGAUAUAAUCUCACUGAAAUGCACACGCCUAGAAUGAAUAGAAUUAAAACAGGGAAAAUAUUAAGUAUAUUAGCCCUCUUUACCGAAAAUCAAAUGACAAUAAAUUUUUUGAAGUUUUGAUUUUCUAUGGUCAAUUCCACCUUUUGCAAUUUCUUCUGUUCUAACAAAAACCAAUUUCUUUGUUCAAGUAUUUUCGUUUGGGUAUUAAUAAUUCUCCACCGAAAGAGUGAACUCUUGCUCAAGGGAUCUCUAAUCAAUAGCCGGAAGGGCGCCGAGACCUGAUCGGACCUAGGCCCAAGUUUGGUCUUAAAGCCUGGGCUUGAGCCUGGCAAUUAAAUUAAAACAGUAAUUGAUUUCUUGAAUGAAUUGUCGUGUAAUUGAUUUAUGGGGGAUGACACAUCAACAUACUUGAAAAUACACUAAUCUCAGCAUCAUCCGUUAAUAACUUUUAGAUUUAUGGGCAAUCAAUAGUUAAAUUAGUUGUCAUUAAUACUAAAUAAUUUUUACUUUUUUUGUCUCUUCUAGAGGAUCUUCUAGAAAAAUGCAUCCACAAUUAAAUUUAAUACUUUACAUAAUAAAGAAAGCAUAAAUGUUAAAUUUAAGAAACUGCAUUGUAUUUCAGCUGAAGUUGACUUUAAUAUUUAGGGUAGAAAAAAAUUAAAUCCUUAAUGUGUUUAAUUUCUAUCACUUGUGUCAUUAAAAUUUUCUAGUCACCCUAACCAAUUACAUCUCAACCCACUUUUUUUUGGAUGAUUUUAUUUUUACACUAUUAUUUUCAACAUUUUUUUUUCCUUUUAACACCAACAUUAGUGUAUGUUACGUAACAUAAUCCAUAUUUGGAUAAUUUGAAAUUUGUUUGUGUUUUAUCUCAAAAUAGAGCUUCAAUCAAUUUGUACCUCAUAAAUUCACAAUAUCUGGCAUAUUGUCAAAUGUGCUUAUCCUUUUGCUUGACAUGUCAUUUUAAAAUUGUCAUUCAAUGUCAAAAAAUCACAUCAACUAAUGGCCGACUACUUUAAUUUGAAAGCAUGCGUGCGAUCGCCAAUAAUUAUAACUUAAUUGUUAUAUUGAAAUUUUUUUCUUUAUAAUUUAAGUUUAAUACUGCUACAUGUGUGGCACAUAAGUUGGAAAAUAUAACAUAAAAUUUGAAAAAUGUGUAGUUUUCGUUCCUUUUUUUUCUAAAAAAAUGGGAAAAAAGAAUGUAAUUUUGUUUAAAUUACUGUUGUCAUAACAAUUAUUAUUUUAUUGAUUAAUUGGCAGAGAAUCGUAAUGGUUUCGCAUGGUUGUUAAAACAUUGGAAAGUCCACUACAUCAUCGGUUAAUAACUUUCAGAUUUAUGGUUAAUUAAUAGCUGAGAUUUAUUAUCAUUAAUGCUAAAUAUUUUUUCUCUCUCCUGGAGGAUCAUCCACAGGCAGGUGCUUCCUGACGAUGACAAAAUUUUGGGCAGGCAGGUGCUUCCUGACUUUCACACGGUAAUUCUCAAAUUCUGAUUUCACCAUAUUUUAAUUACUGAUUAGCAUAUAUUCAAGUGCUCUCCAUUAUAAUGGAAGCCGCCGCCUCACUCGUAAUUCCAAACUUUAUCUUUUUUUCCUUUUUUAAAUUAAUGCAAGUAGCCGCUGUCCUUUCUAUUAAUUAAUUAAUUCGGCCGCCCACAUUUCUUUUCCUAAUGUCUUCUACUGUCGAGUUUAUUUUAUUUUCUCUUUAUUAUUAAAAUAUACUUAUAAUAAUAAAAAAAUAAAAAUUAACAUAUCAAAAUAUAAUUUAACAGAAAAUUAAGAUAAAAAAUUAAAAAUAAAUAAAUUAUGAGCAUAUCAAUCAAUAAAUGAAAAAUAAUAAUUUUUAUUUUUAUUAAAUAUAAAUUUUUCAGUAUUAAUCAAUUAUCUGAAUAAAUAAAAUCAUUUAAAAAUAAAUAAAUAAAUUAUUCUUAAAAAAAAAAAAAAAACUUUUUAUAACACUCACUAUGCUGGUUGUAGGGUUGACGCUUUGGGUACUGAAGCUAGUAACUUCUACAAGUAGUCUUAAGUUGACUGGCAACAACUAUAUUGGCAUUUAGAAAUAAUGUACUGCAACCAUAUUGGCAUGUUCAAAUGUUCUUAUUAUUGUAUUGGUGUGUCAAUAUUAUCUCUAACGGUUUUAUAAAUAAAAAAAUAAUCUAAAUUUAUAAUUUAACAUAAAAUAAAAUAAUUGGUAGAAAAACAAUUAUGGUUCAUUUACUUAUCAGUAAUCAGAAUAGACUGAAAUCGAAAUGAGUUGUAUUACUGUUGAUGUGUUUAUGUUGUACUCGAAUCGAAAUGAAUUAUUUUAAAUUACUAAAAUAUCCUUGGUCUGUUAUUCUAAUUAUUAUUAUUAUUUAAUAUUUAUUAUAAUAUUUUUCAUAUCAUUAAAAAAAAAUAAUAAUGAUGAUAAUAUUCUCAUUAUUGUUUGUUACAUUAUUAUUAUUCAAAAAAAUUAUUGUUAAUAACAAUAAUUACUUUAUUUCAAUAAUAAUAAUGAUAAAAUUAAUAAUAAUAAACAUGACAACAACAAUAAUUAUUUAUUAUGCCAAAAAAUAACAAUAAUAAUAAGAAUAAUAAUCAUCAUCAUUUUUUUGCCAAAGAAGCAUUAUCAUCAUCAUUUCAAAAAAAAAAUCAUCAUCAUCAUCAUCAUUUUUGUAGUGGCUACCUAUCGGCUGCUGCUUUCAUGUGAGAUUGACUUGCGACGCUUCAACGGCUAUUAUUUCUGACAAUGUCAGGUGUUGCUAUUUCAAUUUAGGAAGAAGUUGUUUCGGUGUGCUAGCGAUGGGAGAUGUUGUGGCUGCGAUUCGGGGAGCUACUAGUUUAUUGCACUAAUAACGGCAGGUGCUGUUGCUUGAUGCGAGGUCCAUGGCCAGUUGUCAGCAGUUCGACUUUGGUAUGGGUGCUGCUGGUUCGAUUUUAGGUGUUGUCCAAUUUCAUUUUCAGGAUUUUAAUUUUAUUUUUCUUUUAUAUUUUCAUUAAUUAAUCAGGGUAAAAUUGGAUUUUAGAAUUUAGAAUGAAGGUAAUUUUGUUAAUAAUGGAAAUGAGAUUCUGAUUGUCGAGAAUGAGCUUACACAAACAACUAUAAAUUAAGUGAAAACAAAACACUUUUUCUCUUUGUGUGAUUAAAACAUGAUAUGUACCAUAAAUAAAUAAGUAAAAAAUAAAUCAACACAAUCUAAAACAGUAAACAAAUUACAAGAGGCACAGAUUUUUAUGUGAAACACCGAAAAUGGAAAAAACCACAGCAUCUUAGUUUGAUAUAAUCUUCUACUAUAUUAAUGGGAUUAUAGCACAAAUUCUUUCCUAUAUAACACUAGAGAUUAACAACAUCAAGAAUCUCAAUAAUCUUGACUUACAAUACAGCCUAAUAUUUGUCUCUCUAAUAAGUAGAUAUCUAAAAUAACAGUCUCUAAUAAGUAUGUAUCUAAAAUAAUAGUCAACAAGAGGAUAAAACAAAAAUUAAGAUUAGUAGGAUGUGUAUAAGGUGAUGCUAUCAAUUUAUCUUCUAAAUUUGAGAAAAAUAGUUAAAUUCACUUUUUCGAUUGUCCGACCAAAAAUGGAAACCCUUGCCCCAAAACCAAAGGAAUCACCAUUAUGUUUUUCUCUCUCUCUCUCUCUAUCUCGUUCUUUUCUUCUUCUUUUCUUAAUGUUAGCCAUCACUUGCUUUUAUUCUUUAUAGCAUUCAAAAAGCUACUUUUAAUGGUAAAUUUCAUUUAAGUCUGCAACUUAGUGAUAAUUGCACACCAAACAAUCCUUACAUAGUGUUUUGGGCCCUCAAAUGAGAUGAAUACAACAAAUCUCCCCCUUUAAAUCAUGUGGGGGGCACCGCAAGCCCGCUAUUUGCAUAUAGCUUUUCAGCUUCUCCUUGAAUAAUGACUUUGUCAUCAUACAUAAUCCAUUCUUCGUUGUGUAAAUCUUCUCAAGCUGUAACUGUUCCUUCUCAAGCUGUAAUUAUUCCUUCUCAAGCACGUCUCGUAUCUAAUGAUACCUUACAUCAAUAUGCUUAGAUUUCGAAUAGUAUAACAGCACUCUGACUAUCGUAGUACAUAACAUAGCUGUCUUGUUUUACACCCAGCUCUUGUAGGAAAUUCUUCGUCCACAAUAUUUUUUUGCAACCUUCAAUAAUUGUAAUAUCAUUUGCUUUAGUGGUAGAAAAGGCAACUUAUUACUAAAGUUUAGAUUGCGAUGAGACUGUUCCCCCUGCAAAAGUGAGCAAACAUCCUAGUAGGAAUUUUUCGGAAUCAACAGCUCCUGCCAUAUCUACACACUUGUAACACAGGUUUGUCACCACCAAAAUAUAAACAUGCUCUGGAAAUGCAUCUAAGAUAUCUGAGAAUUUUUCACUGUUGUCCAGUGCUCUUUACCGAGGUUGAAGAGAAACCACUGACUACACUAACUGUAUAGGCAAUAUUUGGUCUUGUACAAAUUAUGGCGUACAAUAAACUGCCAACUGCUGAAGCAUAAGGAACUCCUCUCAUGGAGAAAUGGGUUUUACUCUUGAGAUUUUUGGGACCAUGAAGAAUAAAGAUGUAAUUUCUUAUACUGCCAUUGUUUCGGGAUAUAUAAAUAGAGAACAAGUCGAUAUAGCUCGACAGUGUUUUGAUCAGAUGCCAGAACGAGAUUAUGUCUUAUGGACUACCAUGAUUGAUGGGUACCUUCGAGUGAAUAGGUUCAGAGAGGCUUUGACACUUUUUCAGGAGAUACAAACUUCAAAUAUAAUGGGAGACGAGUUUACCAUUGUUAGCAUUCUUACAGCUCGUGCGAAUCUGGGGGCACUAGAACUGGGAGAAUGGAUAAAGACUUAUAUUGACAAAAACAAAGUCAAGAAUGAUAUAUUUGCGGGGAAUGCUUUGAUAGACAUGUACUGUAAAUGUACUGUAAAUGCGGAGAUGUUGAGAAAGCUCAAAAGGUAUUCAGGAAGAUGCUUUGAAAGGUCAAAUUCACAUGGACGACCAUGAUUGUUGGCCUUGCCAUCAGUGGAAAUGGUGAUAAAGCUCUUGAUAUGUUUUCCCAAAUGCUCAGGGCUUCGAUCAAACCAGAUGAGGUAGCUUAUGUUGGUGUUCUGUCUGCCCGUACUCACAAUGGUAACGAAACUUUUGUGAUAAAUAGUUGCAACUUAAGGUGAGAACUGGAGGAAGGGAAAUAGAUUGAAGUUGUUCAAUCAUCAGUAGUUGCUACUUGGUUUUAAGUUGUUCAAUCAUCGGUCGUCUCUAUUUGGUUUUCUCCAAUAUCUCAUCUUCAAUUUUGACUCAGAUUGUAUCUUACCACUAGUAAUUACAUAGACUUGCUGCCAAAGGUAAGAAUGGGAAUAAAUUAAAUAGAUUAUGUCGAAAACGAAAUAAAUUUACUAUUGUUCUGUUCAUUCUAUUUGUUUCCUACAAAAUAUUUCUCCUGCCUAAAAUUUUUUGAAUCAGUAAGUUUUUACCUUAUGGAUGAAUUGUGUUGAGAGUAAUUCCAUUUCUCAGUCUCUUUAUGUUUCAAUGAAGACGUAAAACUUGUGUUCUAGUGCACCAACGUUUAUGCUUCUUACAAUUUGACUUUAAUUUACUUUGUAAAAUUUUUGUCAAAAAGUACUAAAAAGUAGUGCACCAAACACCAACUUUAUUACAGAGAGGACUUUAGUUAAAUUUUAAGAAAACACUCAAAAGAAAGAGUUGUAAAUUAUUAUAAAAAUAUUUCACAUAAAUAAAAGCCAUCCCAUGCUGCAAAGAUCUUGCUAUAAUCACCAAAAACUAUCGGGAGCUUUUAGGGUUUCCAUAAAAAUGCCAUUUCGUUCCAUGUAUAUGAUUCUAUAGUCUCACUGGCAAGUAAACCACAGCCCAACAGCACUGACUGUCCAUGAUGAUUCACCCCAAUGAACGAAACCAGCGUUGCAUCAUAUCUUUCUGUCAAGCAUGUAAUAUCAAUUGAUUUGAGCUAUUAACAUCAUUUCCAAAUACUCCAUUGGCAUCUACAUUACCAUUUCCCUCGGCAUCAAUGAUAAGAGUUCGAAACAGUCUAAUCUUUUGAACUUCUUCAGCACCAUCUAAGAGCAAUGUUCUUUUGGUUCCAAUACCCAUGUGCUUAUGAUAUUUGUAAAAUAAUUAUUUGUAAAAUAAUUAGUUCAAUUUUGACAUAAUACGGAAUAAACACAACCUGCCAAUCUAAGUUACUAUCUUUUCCCGUCAUCAGGUACCUGUUUGAAAAAUAAUUAUAUACAAUUUUAUUUGCGUCGUCCCUCUAAAAAUUUGGGACUCAAAUGUUAUUUCUAAUUGCUAAAAGUACGAAAUUGCCCCCUUUCUCUUCAGCUAAAGGAGUGCAAAGUCAUCUGUAUAAUUGAAUCUGCAUCAUCAGUUUCUAUUGCUGGCUGGUGUUACUGCAUGCUUACAGUUGCUUGACAAAGUGAGCCAGUUUUUUGUUUAUUAAUUUUUUUUCUUGUCGAGACAGUCACAAAGUAUUACUUGUUCUAUUUGAGAAUGAUGUGAAUCAAUUUUUCAAUUAUGCAUUCUGUGGUAAUUAUUGUGAAUUUAGUUUCAUUUGUCUUGUCUCCUGCAAAUUUUGAAGAAAAUGCAGACAUACAAAUUUACAAUAUGUAUUUGCGUUAGUAUAAAAACAAUUGUUAGAUGAUUAAAGCGAUUUAUUUUUUUUUUUACAGCAUUUGAUUGUAUUAGUUAAAAUCAUUUUUUAAGGAUAAAAAUAAAUAGAAAAUUAUUCUCAUGUAGUGUGGAAAUCUUUUCUAAUUUCUUGUUGACUUGUACAUUUAUUUCAGAAUUUCCAUUCAUUAAUUCUACUGUUUUAAUCUUUGACUUAGCUACCGUAGUUGACUUUUUAUAUCAAAGGCUUAAACAGCAUGCAUUUUUGAAUUGACUGAGAAUAAUUUGGUGGACAAAUUACUAGUAAAGGACUUCAAAUGGUUGAAUUGACUGUGGGUUUUUCAUGCCCAAGUCACUCGUCACGUCGUUUCAUCGAAACAAAGUGCCCGGUGCAAAUGGUGUGAUGUAAAACACCUUUUUAAAUUGUCAUUUUUUUUCCUUUGCUUUUGCUUUAAUUUUCUAAAUGCUCAACGCCAUAAAUCCAUGUAUUCUUAAUUUUCGUUUGCUGUAUUGAUUCCCAACCCUCUAUGUCACAAGGUUUUGAAUGCCAGUAAUUAAGUUAAAUUAAACAUAUUUUAAGUCCUACUUUAAAUUAUUGAAAAAUGUAUUAUGGUUGAACUGAAUUUUAACUAAAAAAUAUAUACAAAAUAAAAGAUUAAUCAUAUCUUUUUAUGAGGAAGGUCAGUCAUCAUUCUGACCACAGACACUUAAAAUUAAUUGAGUGGAAUAUUGCAAAAUAUAUAUAAACCAUGCCAAAACUAGAUGUUUGAGUAAUGAAAACGAGAAUUCAUAUGACUCAGAAAUAUGGUCGCUUUCCUUUUUCUGAAAGGCAAAAAAAAAGGGGGAACCAAAAAGGACCAAAAUGAACAAAAAUGGAAGGCGAAGGUAAGCAGACAUGUUAUAUGUUUUACCUAAGAUGCCAAAUGCAACUCCCCAUUGAUGGUGAUCGAACAUUAUGGCCAUUUUCUUAGUAAACAAAAAAUGAAUUUUGAACACUCAACAACGAAACUUGAGCAGAAGAUCAAGCAAGGGCCUCGAUCUCAAAGAAGAUACUAUGAAACCCUACUUAAUGGUUAAAUAACUUUCAUUCAGCUUUGGACCCUAUUUCGUGAUACGGAAAGACAAACCUUUCUUGGCCGGCAGUGUCCCAGAUCUGGGCUUUGAUGAUCUAGAGGUUGAUGGUGACAGUUCUGGUUUGGAACUCGACGCCAAUGGUUUAUUUCGAUUCAAAGCAAAACUCAUUCUUGGUGAAUCUCGAAAGAAUCUGAGACUUGCCCACGGCCGAGUCACCGAUCACCACUACCUUGAAUACAUAGUCUAUUUUGUCAGGAAUCAUAUUCUCUCGUUGUUGAUGACGAUGAUCGGUGCCAUCACCACUCAUUUCUUCGUUCAUUCAUUCUAUGUCCAUUGAUCUUUUUGAAUUAUUGAAGACAAGUGGCUCACCGCUUUUAGUAUUGGUAAAAUUCAGAUAAUCUCUAUUCCGAAAUAAUAAUAUUAAAAAUAUCUCUUAAAUCAUUAUAAACUUCAAAUCUAUUUUAAUUUUAUUUAAAAGAUAAAAGAAAAAUAAGUUAUGUUGGUGAUUUUUUAUUAUCUUUUUAAUAAAAAUAGAAUAAAUUGAUGUUUAUAAUUAUUUAAAGUAUUUUAAAGAUUGCUAUUUUAUGAGAGAAUAAUAUUUCAUUUUUUUUUUCGUGUGAAAGACCGAAAAAGGACAAAGCAAGUUUCCCUAAUUUUUAUUUUAUGUGAAAUUGGUCAUCUCAUAUACUUUACCCUUCAACACUCUAAUUUUUUUGGUUAUAAUUUUAUUAUUUUUUCUCUUUUACACAUGCAUGUGAAUUACUUUUCUUUAAGCUCCUGAAUAUUUAAGACAAAUCAUGGAAGAGAUGAGAGUAUAACAAGAUGAUCAAAAUAUGUAACAAAAAAAUUUUAGAAGUGAAAAAUAUGUUAGAGUCGAAGUAAAACUCUGAGGUGAUGUUUGAUUUGAAGAAAAUGGAGGAGAGAAAAAGAGUGGAAUGGAGAGGAAAAGAGAGAAAAGGAGAGGAGAGGAGAGGAGAGUGAACUUUUUUUCUAAUGUUUGGUUUGUCACAUAAAUAUACAAAGAAAGGAAAUCUCCAAUUUUUUAUUUAGACAAUUUUAACCUUAAUAAGUAUUAAGCUUUCAAUAUUUAUCAUGUGUAUAAUUUAAAAAAAGUAAAUGGUAGAAAGCGGUUUCUGAUUCCGGCCACAUCGCCGGCAAUGGAAGGUACUUAUCAGAACAUCAAGAACCGGCCAUCAUUCCCUAGCCAUCACUGCUGUAGGAACACUGCUAAAAAGCUGCCGAUUGAACCGCGAAAAGUCGUGGAAAUCGUUGCCUCAAAUCGGUGAGUUUCGCCUUUUUCUGGUCAUGCCGUCGCCUUGGCUUUGUCCAUCAACGCUGCCACUUCCAUUUCAACCAUCCAUAGCCACUAUUAACCGCCAAAUCGCCGCCGAUCAGCGGGAUCUGUGGAAGUUAAAAAGUUUCUAAAAUUUUUUAAUUGGAUUUGAACAACAUACAACCAUUUUUUGAUCUCAAUAACGACAUAGUAAUGUUGAUCGUUGGUCGGCAAGUCGAAUGGUAGUGGCGGUGAGUAACACGCGCCAAUGACAUCGGCGGCGGCGGCGGCACUAUCCGGCUACUGUUAAAAUUAAUAUUUUAUAUUUGUAGAUUAAAUAAAUUUAUUUUAUUAAACUUUUUAAAUCAUUAUUUAAAUUUAAUUAAUUUAAAAUUAUCUAUGAUGUUGAAUUGAUAAAAUAAAUUUAUAAAUAAUAAUUAUGUGAUUACAUUAAAUAAGUUAAAAAGUUGAAGGGUUAUUUUUGGAAGAUUUAGUUUCCAACACAAAGGGAAUUUGAAUUCUUCACUUCUUAGUGUGGAAUUCAAAUUCUAUAUUGUAAUGGAUAUUAAAUUCCAAUAGAAAUUAAAUUCUUAUAAGUUAUGUCAAACCAAACAACGGAAAUAAAAAAAAAGAAUUUAAAUUACUUUCCUUUCCUCCACCCUCUCCUUCCAACCAAAUACAUCCUGAAAAUAGAGAUAUUGAUUAAUUUAGAAGAGAUGCAAGCAAAAGAUAUUCCACAAAAAAAAAAAAGCAAUAUGUCCCUUUGGAGGGCAAACUUGUCAGUUUUAAAAAAGUACAUGCUUUGGAUUGAUAGUUGUAGGAUAUUUGUUUUGUCACUAUGUGUUAGUUGGAGAAGUCAAGCCUUGUGAAGAAUGUUAUGAAAGAGCAAAGGAUAUUCCUGAUAGCUGAUAGAGCUCUAUUUGAUUAUGUAUCCAAUGAAUGGAUGUGUUGUUGGAAGAUAUUUGAGUGCAUUAGUUCAUAUGUGUCUAUCAAUGUGAUUUUAAUGAUUUUUCCACUUGUUUGUUGUAAAAGAUUAUUGUAAAUUGAAAUGAACUUGAUGUUGUAAUAUUUUCUCCUUAGUAGAAUUUCACCUAGUAUGUAUUUAGUUGUGUUGUCUAUAAUUUUGCAUUCGAAUAAGUUUCACCUAAAAUAUUAGCAUGAGUAGUGGCCCUUGAAACUUUGGUCAAAAUUAUUGUUAUUAUUUCCGACUAGAUGUAAAUUUUUUAUUAAAUCUCGCUAACACAAUUCUUAAUUAAAAGUAUAGGUUAGUGUUGGUGCAAGACUUGCCACACCAAAUUCUGCCUAACUGUCAAAAGUGCAAAAUAAAUGAAGAGAAAGCACAAAUACACGACUUGAAUAAGGAUACAACGAAACUUAAAUUCAAGAGAAAAUGAUAGCUAUAUCUCAAGAUUUGAAAAAACGGUCAUGUAGAUUUUUAAGAUUUCAAUAAGCGACUGAGAUUCAAAUAAUAUCCUUUAAUUCUAUUAACAAAAAACAAAGACUCAAAUAUUUUAUGAUAAAUAAAAAUAUAAUAUUAAAAUAUAUGUGAUAAUAUACACAUUUUAAAUACUUUCAAUCCAAAAAAAUAGUUAUGUUUUACAAUCUAUUAGACAUAUUUUAUUAAAUUAAUAUAAAUUUUCUAUAAAAUAAGAAUAUAAUAUUAAAAUAAAUUCACAAAAAUUUAAAGAAUUUUGAAUGUAAAAUAAUUUUAAUAUAUCAAUACGUGAGUUUUUUUAUUAAUAUAAAAUUUAUUUAACUUUAAGAUUUUUUAAAAUCUUUACAAUAAGUAUAACUAUAUUAUUUACAUUUAAAAAUAUUUAAAUAUUAUUAACCUACAAUUAUAUUUGCAUUUGUUAGAAAUUUUUUAAGUCAAAUAUUUUGCACUUCUAUAUUAUUAGAAUUAUUGCACAAAAAGAAAGAAACAUACACCUUUAGAAAUUGUUUUCUUUUAAAAUAGAGAUGAUGAUUAGUAUAAGGAUGAAAAAAAGGAUAAAGAAUAUUAAUGAUUAACGAAAUCUCUAUACAAAUUGAUUUUAGUAGGAAAAGAGUGAGAUGAAUGAUUUCUUUUACAGUUAGAAACAUAGAUGAUGAUUAUUAUAACGAAGAAAAAAAGAUAAAGAAUAUUAAUUAUUAAUGGAAUCUCUAUACAAAUUGAUUUUAGUAGGAAAAAAAUGAUUAAAUGAUUUAGAGUGCGUUUGGAAUUGAGAUUGGGCAGCCAUAGAUUUUAAGUUACAACACUGAAGUGUUUAGUAAAUACUAGUUGCUGCAGAUUGAAAGUUAUGUUGAUAUGAUUUUUCACAUGUAUCAUAGAAAAUAUAUUACAUCUUUAAUAUUUUUUAAAAAUUUAUAUUUGCUAUAUAUUAUUAAUUUUUUUUUAUAGUUAUAACUUUUUUUCCACAACAGUUGUAGCUUAAAAGUCACAGCACCUCAAUCUCAAACAAAUCCUUAGACAUUCAUAGUGUGUUUAUUUUUUGGAUUGGUGAAUCAAAAUUAUUGACAACGCUAACUUCAUCUUCACUGUUCGCAAUCCAACAGCAGCAAUUGUCGCCAAUAAUGAUAUCUCCAAUGAUGAUGACAAUUAUUAUUAUUAUUUUUAUUAUUAUUAUUAUUAUUAUUAUUAUUAUUAUUAAUUAAUUAAUUAAUUAAUUAAUUAAUUAAUUAAUAUAUUAAUGUUGAUAUUAUUAUUAUUAAGAUUAACAAUAAUUAUUAGUAAUACAAUUUUUUGAAUAAAAAUAAUCACAAUAAUUAAAAUACAAAUUAAUAAUUAUGACAAUAAUUAAUUAAUGUCUUUUUAGUAAUUUGUAAUAAUCUAACUCAUUUUGGUUCUGAUUAUUACAGCUUAAGUAAACAAAUUAUUAUGAUUCCUAUUCUCCUUUCCCAUUUUAACUCACUUUGAUUCCAGUCUAUUCCGAUUUCUAUUUAAUAAAUGCACCAUUAGUGCUAAAGUAAUAUUUCAUACAUAGAAAAAUAAAAACUACGCCUAAGGUUAAGGGAAAAGACUUCAAAAUUCUCUUUUGAUCAUAAUACAUUUUGUCCUAAUUAACUUAAAGAUUUUGAAUCUAAUAUUUUAUAAUAAAUAAAAAUAUAUUCCUAAAAUAAAUAUAAUAUCAAUAUUUAAAAUAUGUUUUAAUAUUUUACAAUCUAUCAUACACAUUUUAUUAUAUUAAAGUAGAUUUAUAAUAAAUAUAUAAAAAUUUAGAAUAUUUAGAAUAUUAUAUAAAAUAAUUUUAAUAUAAUGCGUGAUAUAUAUUUUAUUAAUUUAAAAUGUCAUUUUACCUAAAAAAUAUGAUAAAUUAAUAAUUACAUAUUUGAAGUUAUUUCAAAUAUUAAAAAAAUUUAAUAUUAUUAAUCUUUUAGAUAGAUUAAAUUAUUUUUUAUAAGAGAGAUUAAAUUAUUUUAAAAUGCCUUAAUUGUUUUUACUUUUAACGUUACGGGCCUUUCUUUUAUUUUAUUGCAAAUUAAUGCUAACUAGAAAAACAAAAACAAAAGUGACAAACACAACCAGCUGGAAUCUUUUAUAAAACUACAAAUUAAAAUGGAUUUUUUUUUUUUGUUGAUAAAUUACACAUGAAAGUGGAUUCUUUUGAAUAUAAGUGGGGUAGGCUCUUUUAUUUUUUUUUUAAUACCGUAUAACAGGACUGUAGACUCUUUUAUUAAGCACAAAUAUAGAGUUGUCGAGACAAUUAGGGUCUUUUAUUAAACUACAAAUUGUAUAGUCUUUUUUAAAUUGUUCAGAUAUUUAUAAAUUGGUGGCCCCUACAAUCCUCAAUAAUUGUACCGAUAUUCACAAGCUGGUGGCCCCUACAAUCCUUAAUAAUUGUUUUUUUUUUUUUCUGCAUUCCCUUUCAUGCUCUUAAUAAUUAAAGAGCAUACUUUUCAAAUGUGGAGCCGCGGCUAAUGUCGCUAAUUUAAUUUGGGAUUAAAUUAGGGGACUAUUAUAUUGCAGUGUGCACUAAUUUUUAUGUUUAUCUAAACUCCUUAAAUUUAAGAUAUAUUAUGGCAUAAAUAAGAAUAUAACAAUAGCAAAAGAGUUAGAAAGUGUAGAGAAGAUCUUGCAGAAAUAUAAAUAAUAUUUAUUUUAAAAUAAUAUCAAUAUUUAAAAUAAUUUUUAUUAUUUUAUGAUCCAUUAGAUAUAUUUUAUUAUAUUAAAGUAAAUUUUAUAAUAAAUAAAAACAUACUAUUAAAAUGAAUAUAUAGAAAAUUUAGAGUAUUUUAAGUAUUAUAUAAAAUAAUUUUAAUAAAAUAUGUGAGAUAUUCAUAUUUUAUUAAUUUAAAAUACCAUUUAACCUAAAGAUUUAUUUAUGAUAAAUUAAUAAUUAUAUUUUUGAAAUUACUUCAAAUAUUAAAAAAAUUAAUAUUACUAAUCUAUUAGAUAGAUUAAAUUAUAUAUAUUAUUUUCUAUUUAUUAAAAAAUUUCAAAUUAUUUUUAAUUACUAUUCAAAAAAUAUGAUGAUAAAAAAAUCUUAACAUCUUUAUUAAAAAAUUAAAAACUUACAUGAUCAAUUCUCUAAAUAUUUAGGGUAUAUGUGAACCACGGUGGACAGAGGUCAUUACUAAAAUUUCUCUUCCACAGGCAAUUACAGCAGCUCCAGUUUAUCAAACUCAACCAAUUUUCUUUCUUAACAAAAUUCCAAAGAUGUGUAGCUUUUUUCAGAUCACAUGCGAUGGUGCUUUUUUCAAUCGUUGCUUGGAUUGCUUUCUUGGAAAAGCAGCAUACAUACGUAACCUCCAAGAUAAUCUUGAUGCCUUGGACACUGAACUGGGAAGACUAAUCGCAGCAAAGAACGAUGUGAUGAUUAGGGUUGUCAAUGCUGAACGGCAAUAAAUGAGAAGGCUGGACGGAGUGCAAGUGUGGGUUUCGAGUGUGGAUGCUGUUAAAACUGGAGCCGAUGAACUUAUCACAGACGGCUCUGAAGAAAUUGGCAAAUUAUGUGUUGGAGGCUACUGUUCCAAGAACUGCAGGUCAAGCUACAAAUUCGGAAAACAAGUGGCUAGAAAGCUACGAGAUGUGGAGACUUUAAUCGCCGAAGGAGUUUUUGAGGCGGUGGCUACUGAGGUGGUGCCUGAGAGAGCUCCAGAGCCUGUAGCAGAUGAAAGACCUACCGAGCGAAAAGUAGUAGGCUUGCAAUCACAACUUGAACAAGUCUGGACGUGUCUUGUGGAAGAAUCAGCGGGAAUCAUUGGCCUAUACGGUAUGGGCGGUGUUGGUAAAACCACACUAUUGACCCAUAUCAACAAUAAAUUUCUCGAGAGUCCAACCAACUUUGAUUGUGUGAUUUGGGUAGUAGUUUCAAAAGACCUGCGACUUGAAAAACUUCAAGAAGAUAUUGGGAAAAAGAUAGGUUUGGUUGGUGAUUCAUGGAAGAGUAGAAGUGCAGAGGAGAAAGCUCUCGACAUCUUCCGGAGUCUAAGAGGGAAGAGAAUUGUAUUGUUGUUAGAUGAUAUAUGGGAGCGGGUUGAUUUAACAAAAGUGGGCGUUCCACUUCCUGGACCACAAAAUACUACCUCAAAAGUCGUAUUCACAACNNNNNNNNNNNNNNNNNNNNNNNNNNNNNNNNNNNNNNNNNNNNNNNNNNNNNNNNNNNNNNNNNNNNNNNNNNNNNNNNNNNNNNNNNNNNNNNNNNNNNNNNNNNNNNNNNNNNNNNNNNNNNNNNNNNNNNNNNNNNNNNNNNNNNNNNNNNNNNNNNNNNNNNNNNNNNNNNNNNNNNNNNNNNNNNNNNNNNNNNNNNNNNNNNNNNNNNNNNNNNNNNNNNNNNNNNNNNNNNNNNNNNNNNNNNNNNNNNNNNNNNNNNNNNNNNNNNNNNNNNNNNNNNNNNNNNNNNNNNNNNNNNNNNNNNNNNNNNNNNNNNNNNNNNNNNNNNNNNNNNNNNNNNNNNNNNNNNNNNNNNNNNNNNNNNNNNNNNNNNNNNNNNNNNNNNNNNNNNNNNNNNNNNNNNNNNNNNNNNNNNNNNNNNNNNNNNNNNNNNNNNNNNNNNNNNNNNNNNNNNNNNCAGGAAGUCCUAGUGCGUGCUAUCAGAAAAGAUGCUGGGAACUGUUUCGCGAAAAUGUUGGGGAAGAAACUCUUGAGAGUGAUCAUGAGAUCGUUGAGCUAGCCCAAACUGUGGCCAAAGAGUGUGGUGGUUUGCCACUCGCACUUAUUACUAUUGGUCGAGCUAUGGCCUACAGAAAGAAAGCGGAGCAGUGGAGACGUGCAAUUGAAGAGUUAAGAAGAUCAGCUUCAGAGUUUGCAGGUUUGGGAAAAGAGGUGUAUCCUCUUUUAAAGUUUAGCUAUGAUAGUUUGCAGAAUGAUACAAUUAGAUCUUGUUUCUUGUAUUGUUGUUUAUAUUCUGAAGAUUAUGGCAUUCUUAAAUGGGACUUGAUUGAUUGUUGGAUUGGUGAGGGAUUUUUGGGGGAAUCUGACAGGUUUGGUGCAGAAAACCAAGGAUAUGACAUUUUGGACACUCUUGUUCGUGCAUGUUUAUUAGAAGAGGUGGAAGAAGAUGAAGUAAAAAUGCAUGACGUUAUUCGUGAUAUGGCUAUAUGGAUAACCAGUGAAAUUGAGAAGGAGAAGAGAAACUUUUUGGUUUGUGCAGGUGCUGGAUUAGAAGAGGCACCGGAUGUUAAAGAAUGGGAAAAUGUGAGAAGAUUGUCAUUGAUGCAAAACCAAAUUGAAACUCUGUUUGGGGUUCCCACAUGCCCUCAUCUCAUCACUUUAUUUAUUGACUUUAAUAGGGAGUUGAAGACUAUCGCGGAUGGCUUCUUCCGAUGUGUGCCUUCUCUCAAAGUUUUGAAGAUGUCAAACUGUGGAAAGCCUUAGAAAGGUUUGGAAUUACCUUUGGGGAUGUCAAAGUUGGGUUCACUACAACUUCUUGAUAUUUCACACACCUGCAUACAAGAAUUACCACAAGAAUUAAAGUUGUUGGUAAAUCUGAAAUGUUUGAAUUUGAGGCGGACAAUUUGGUUAAAUAAAAUUUCAUGGCAACUAAUAUCAAAAUUUUCAAGGUUACGUGUGUUGAGAAUGUUCGCUACUGGCUGGUUCAGUUUUCAUGAAGCACCAGAAGACAGCGUUUUAUUUGGUGGGGGUGAAGUUUUGAUACAGGAAUUGCUCGGUUUGAAAUAUUUAGAGGUAUUGGAGUUGACCUUGGGAAGUUAUCAUGCUCUCCAAAUUCUUUUGAGCUCAAAUAAGUUAAAAAGUUGUAUUCGAUCUCUUUUCCUACAGUUGUUCAGAGAUACAACGUCGAUUAUUGAUGCUACGGCUUUCGCAGAUCUAAACCACCUCAAUCAAUUAUGUAUUAGUAACGGUUCUGAGUUGGAAGAAUUGAAGAUUGAUUAUACGGAGAUAGUACGAAAAAGGCGGGAACCUUUUGUUUUCCGCAGCCUUCAACGUGUUACCAUAGAGGAGUGCCAUAAAUUGAAAGAUUUGACAUUCCUCGUUUUUGCUCCAAACCUCAAGUCUCUUUCGCUAUACGAUUGCGGUGCUAUGGAAGAAAUAAUCAGCGUCGGAAAAUUUGCUGAGACUCCUGAGAUGAUGGGACAUAUAAGCCCUUUUGAAAAUCUCCAAAUGCUUUAUUUAAUGGCAUUGCCGGAGUUGAAGAGCGUCUACUGGAAGCCAUUGCCUUUCACUCAUCUGAAAGAAAUGGAGGUACUUGGGUGUGAUCAGCUUAAAAAGCUUCCACUCGAUUCCAACAGUGCAAAAGAGCGUAAAUUUGUAAUUCUUGGAGACACACAGUGGUGGAACCGUCUUCAAUGGGAGGAUGAAGCCACUCAAAUUGCUUUUCGUUCCUAUUUCCAAACCUGAUUCCUGAGCGGUGGUCGCAAAAUUUGAUUUCUGGUGAGUGCGUUUGUCUUUUAAAAGAAGAAUUUAAAAGAAAUUUAUUCUUGUCGUUUUCUUCUCUGUUUUUAUUUCAGUUUGUUUCUCUCUCUCUCUUUUUGUCUUCUGCAAAUCACAAUUAAAUGUUGAAUUAAUGGAAUUAAUGCUUCAUAAAUUUGCCGGCACUGCCAGUACUUUUUUUUUUUUUUAAUACGAAUUGAUGCUUUAUUUAUUUCUUCUUAGCGAUUUAAUUUCCUGUCAAAAGACGAGCGAGAAGAACAUAUGACUUAAACCAAUUGAUACUUUAUUUAUGUGCAUUGUAUGUAAUAAAAUUUUCUCUGUUUUUUUCAAAUUGAGGCUUUAUUUAUAUUUUCUUCGUGAAGAGUGAUUUAAUUUCCUGCCAAAAGACAAACGAGAAGAACAUUAGAGUCAAACUAAUGCUCACAUAAAUUUCCCGUAAGAAUAUAUAUAUAAUUAGACUGGAAUGCACACCUCUAGAUUGAACAGAAUUAAAGCUGAGAAAAUAUUGAGUAUAGUAGCCCUCUUUACAGAAAAUGACGCGAAAGUUAAUUUAGAAAGAUAUAUUCUUGAUUAAUCCAUUUUCUGAAGUUUUUUAUUUUGUAUGGUCAAUUAUACCUUCAUACUAAAAAAAAAAAAAAAAAAGAGAAAAUAUGUAAUCCAUGAAUGGUUAAUUUUGUUUGUUUGUUUUUUUUUCUUAAAUAUCAUUCUUUUUCGGCCACCCAAGGACAUUUUCACAAAUACCUUUUGUGUGCAGAAGUCUUCCAAACCAUCAAUGGAAAAAUAAAAAAUAAAAAAAACACGGUCCAGUAUACCUCAAAAUAUCAUUGAUGACUUUUCUGGUCUAAUGCUAUGUAAAUAGUAUGUUAAGUAAAACAUAAUCAGUUCAGUACCUCACAAAUAAUUCGCAAUAUCUACAAAAUACUAUAAUGGCUACAAAACAAAUCCUGCUUGCAAAUUGUCAAGGAUACCUAUCCGUUCGCUUGACAAGUCAUUUGAAUAAAUAUUGUUCACAUUCCUUACUCUGUCAAUUAUCCAAAGCACCAUCAACUUUAGUUUGAAUAGUAUACAUGCCAUCACCGUUACCAAGAAUCAAGCAUGGAAGGGUCAUUCUAUAGAGUGCAGAACAUGACUCUAUGCGGUAGUCAAUUUGACACACGACGAACACCAUAUGCUGCAUAACAUACAAAUUAAUUUCCCAUAUGUGAUGCAAUUUUCUCCUCAACAUAUGCGCAAUUCUUUCCAUUCCGGCAUUUACACUCAAAUUUUCCUUCCUUUCUCUUUGUGGUUGAAUCUUACACCACAACUCAUGUGAUGCAAUCUCCUCUCGCUGCCUAAAUUGCACUCUCAGCAAAGCAGCAUAUGUAAGCAAGCUUGAAGAUAAUCUUGCUGCUCUGCAGAAGAACGGCAAAAGUUAAUCGAAGCAAGGAAUGAUGUAUCAGAAAAUAUUUGGUGGAGAAUUCAGCACAAACAUAUUUCGGAUGAUCAGAAUCAAUAAAACCUGGUGGUUGUGCCAUAUAAACAUCUUUGGAAAGCUGACCUUGAAGAAAGGCGUUAUUGAUAUCCAAUUGAUGAAGAGGCCAGCCAUGACUAACAUCAAUACUAAGAACAAGCCGUACUGUGGUGGACUUAACAACUGGACUGAAAGUGUCAUAAUAGUCCACACCAGGCCAUUGAUUGAACCCUUUGGCAACAAGAUGAGCUUUAAACCUGUCAACAGAACCGUUGGAAUGUCUUUUAAUACAAAAAUCCAUUUGCAGCCAACAAUAUUGGAAGGGAUGGGAGGUGGAACAAGCUUCCAUGUCCCGUUACGAACAAGAGCAUCAUACUCUUCUGACAUAGCUGGACGCCAGUGAAGAUUUUUGAUAGCUUGCGUCACAGUUGUAGGUUCACAAUCAGAAGAAGGGCUAAAAUGAGCACGGAGGUUAAGUUUUUGUAACGGCUUGUGAAUCUUAUUUUUAGCUCGGGUAGUCAUAUCAUGAUGACUUGUGGGGCAAUGAUCUAGUGGAGUUUAGGAAGAUGAUUGAACAGGAAGUGAAGAAGUGCUUUGUGUAGAGGUAGAAGUAGGUUGGGAGGAUUGCUGCGGAGAUGUUACCGGUAGAGAAGAAGGAGCAGUACACGGUGGCAACUCCAGAGGGCCCACAAUAGAUGGAGUAGGUGCCGACAAUGGAGUACUAGGAAAUGAAACAGGAAGAAUUGGUGGAACACUUGCAUAAUUAGGAGUGGUAGAUGAGCUUGUAAUGAUUUGCAUGGAAAAACAAACUCUACAAAUUUAACGUGACGUGAAAUAAAAAUUUGAAAGGUGGAUGGGUCAAAACAUAAAUAAGCACUUUGAGAUAAAGGAAUAUCCUAGAAAAACACAAGGCUUAGAGGGUGGUUCGAGUUUAUGUGAUGAAACACAAACAUUCAAAAAAUUUUAAGUUUAUAUUAAUUAGGAGUGGUACCAAAAAUUAAUUAGCUAUGGGGUUGUUGGAUGUGUUUUGGAUAUUUACAGUUAAGUUUGAGUAUCUCAACUUAAAAUUUGUAGUUUUCACUUGAAAAAAUUCAGUUAAAUUUUGCAAUGCAGACUGAUUGAUUUAUCAGUUUAACGUGUGCCAGGAAUGAAGAACUGGAAUAUCACCGUCAAGCAAGCACCCUGUGGAGCAAUACCAAAGAAUGCACAAUCUGGCUUUGCUAGGUAACACUGGAGGCUUUUUGAAAAGUGCUUCACGCUCACUUGCACAGAUUGAGCAUCCCCUCUGGAUAUUGCCCUCUCUGAUCGAGUCUGAGCACUCAAAUUUUGGUCCUCAGAGGGAGCUACAGUUUUCUCUCCACUAACCAACAAUAUUCUAAACUCAGCACCUAGUGUGAUCAGAGUUGUUGAUAUUUGCAAAUGGAGAUCCCCAUAUUUGCAAAUGGAGACAUUUAACAAAUCACCAACAUGCUUCAUCCGGUCCACGAAAUUCUGCAACUGAUGCAAAUCUGGAACCUGAACCAGAGUCGGAGGUAUAUCUUGAGCCAUAUCUAAAGCAGUUUGAAGUUCAAGACCUUGAGCCCUUGACAAUGGUUUUGAAAUUGGAACAUCUUGGAUUACUGCAGACUUGUACCCCUUGGUUUCAAAGGUAAGGAAAGGCAUUGCUUGAGUACAAUUUGGAGGCAGCUUCUUCACCAAUUUUAUUUGGAGGCGAUUGGCAGCGGAUCCAGCUGCACCAAUUUCAGAGCAACUACUGACACUACUUCGAACAGCACACUGAAGAAGUGAUAUGUCUACGGCGAAGGCAAUGCAGUCCUCAUUUUGGCUUGAGACACAGUAAUCAUCGAAGAGAGUUUCCUUGUGAAACUGGGCAACACAUUGAAUCCCUUCGGCACUGAGAAGGUUGUGGAGGAAGUAAGCUUUCUCUCUAGUAAGGAAGAGGUGGCAUACAUUCCCCAUUUUGUCUAGGGCAGGUAGGAAUCUUUUUUCUAAGAGAUUUACUUCAUUCUCUGUGAGAAAUGCUUUGAACUUCAUCCCUCUGUCUCUAUCCUCACUUAUCAGUAAAAUAGUUGAAAGCGCUACAAGGAGAGAAAAGAAGAGUAUUAAGAUAUAUAUAUUAUAUAGACAAGAAAAACAUUAGAUGUCGAUCUUACAAGCUAAUACUUCAAACAAUAUCCUAGAAAGCUAAAAACUGCAAGAUGGCUUGAAAUUUGAAAAGAGCACGUGCUUUUCCUCCUUAACUUGAGAAAAUGUUUAAUAUAGUGCACCUUACAGAAGCAUUUAAGCAAUUAGAACUUUGCACAAAAACAUCAAGAAGACUAAACAAGUCAGAUGCAGUGUAUUUGUCCAAGCACAAAUUGCAUUUUGUCCUCAACUUUAAUAUUUAUUGAUGAGAAUCAAUACAGGUCCCUCAUUUGUUAUAGAAAGCUUUCUUGUAGUCUCACCAGUUAAUAUGGAUAUUAGAUAAGGAAACUUUAUUAGGUUGCGAGGGUAAAAAAGGAAAGAGAUAUCAUUAUUUUAUUAUCGAUAAUUAUUAAAUUUUUUUCCAAAAAAAAGAACAAGCAAGGAUAUUUUAUUGUCAAUUGCAACCUUUAAUUUUUUUAAAUGCUAUUAGAAACACAAGAUAACAAAAAUGUAGUGAGAUGGGAUCUCCUGCAUGCCACUCUGGUUUAGAACACAAAGAAUGUGUCUGCAUAAAUAUCCUCUGAAAUUGAACAACCCACAAACACAAAGCACCUCCAAGUCGGAGGCAUUGUACAAAACAUCAAAAGCCCUUGAAUCCUUCUCGUUGCCACCAACCUCGAAUUCUUCCUUCACUAUGUAUGUUAUAGGUCCAUCAGAACUAAUAUGUUUUGUGCUAUAGUAAGAGUACAUAGCCUCCACCUCCAUCUGAAACUUCCUUAACAUUUCAUUUGUGUACAGUUUUGAGAGUUGAAAUUCAUAGUAACAUCUUGGUUUCCGGAUACAACUUGAAUUUCUUGAAUCCAUAUCUGCCAAGGCUACCAGUUGAUAAUUCGCCUGCAGUGCUUGAUCAUACUUGUCUAAGAAUUCUUUCAAAGGAGUAUUCUUAUCAAGAUAUCCUUCAAAGUAUGAAGUAGAAACCUCAUUCUGCAGGAACGAAAACACUCCUGAUAAAAAAGCUUCCUUCAAAUAAAUAGGAGCCCACCUUUUAUGAUCUUCAUAUAAAGUUUGAAUCCAUCCGUGAUCCUUUAUUCCAUGACAUUGAAUCAUGUCUUCCCAAGCUGCUUCAAAUUUCUCAGGCCUGAGAGAGUGAUAAAUUGCUCUAUGUAAUGCAGCUUUAAUAGCUUCAUAUUCAAACAAUCCUUGGAGUUUCUCUGGAAUUUUUUUGCAUGAUGCAUGACAAUGAAAAGAAAUGAUAAGCUCUUGGGAAAACAUCACCAACAGCAAUUUGCAAGAUUCUACAUUGGUCAGUGAUGAUUGUUUGUGGAGAGCGCCCUAACAUACAUGUAAGCCACGCCGUAAACAACCAUGUAUAUGAUUCUAUGGUCUCACUGGCAAGUAAACCACAACCCAACAACACUGAUUGUCCAUGAUGAUUCACCCCAAUGAAUGAAACCAGUGGUACAUCAUAUCUUUCAGUCAGGCACGUAGUAUCAAUUAAGACCACAUCACCAAAGUACCUAUAUGCAACUCUUGACCUGGUAUCAGUCCAGAAUAGGUUUUUCAAGCAUCCCUUUUCAUUUAGAUCCACUACAUUAAAAAAGUUUGGAUCUGUCAACUGCAAAUGACAAAAGAAACUCUGGACAGCUUGUGCAUCUCCUGGUUUAAGCUUCAAUUGAUUUGAGCUAUUAACAUUAUUUCCAAAUACUCCAUUAACAUCUACCAUUUCCCUUGGUAUCAAUGAUAAGAGUUCGAAACAGUUUAAUUUUUUGAACUUCUUCAGCACUAUCUAAAUGCAAUGUUCUUUUGGUUCCAAUACCUAUGUGCUUAUGUGACUUGUAAAACUUUCCGCUUCUUGGGCUUAACAAGUGGUUAUGCUCAAGCUCGACUUCAAUGAUUCUCCACCUUUUGGUUUCCAUCAACCUAAACUUUAUCAUUGCUGGACAGCCAGUUCUUGUUUCUGGUCUUGGGCGGUUUGCCUCGCUUUUCUUCUUGAAGCCUGCACUACUACAGCUCAGCUUUCCUCUAUACUUUUCUCUACUCUUUCGGUACCAUGGAUUGCUAACUCUAACACCAAAACCCUGUUCCUUGGCAUAGCAAUUGUAAAAGUAAUAUACAUCAUCAUACAUCUCAAACUCCAUUCCAACAGUAGGAGGCAAGGGAUUUUGGAUUAUCCCAGUUUGUCCAACAUAUUCAGUCAUCGCACAAUCUCCUACAACCUCAAAAUCAUCAGUGUCAUCAUCACCUACUGGUUCGGUGUUGAGAGAAACUUCAUCCAUCUACAAUGGAUGUUCAAUGAAGUGAGCUUUAAGGAGAAAAAGCAAAAUCUGUUCAAGGAAUGAUAAUAUAAUCAUACAGUUACUUUCACAAAGCUUCAUAUUUCAUCACUGCUUUACCAACAUGCAACUGCCAGAGAACAAACAGACAUGUCAUAGACGCUUGAAUUAAGUAUUGGUACAAAUGAGCACACAUCAUGUGGGACAAAAUUUCAGUCACUAAACCCAAUACCACUUUUUACAUCAUACCAAGGAACAGAUUAAACCCGACACCUUCUUUUAAACCAUACCAAGGAACAGAUUAAAUCAUCAAUGAAAAAUUAAUCACAUAAUAACUUAACCAGACAAAUGAAGAGCCUGAAACAGCACAAAACUUGAAUCUGAUUAUGAUAAUUGUUGAGUCCUUGUAUCUACAGCUUUCCUUCAAUGAUAAGACAAUGAACAUAAACGAGACACAAAAAAAUUAUUUUAAACUGACAGCCCAUGAUAUAAAUCAAACAAAAUCAACUCCUUUUUUUACACAUUACAUCUCAUAUUCAUUUACAUUGAAACACAAAAAGGAAGCAGGAGUGGGAAAAAAACAACAGCAGAGGAACUUAUUUCCAUAAGGUUUACGAAAUAAGGAAUCUAUUAAAACCCAAAACUUGAGGUCACCACUAAGAAUUUGGUUCUCAUUAUUUUUUUCUUCAUUUUUCACCAAUUGAUGAACUUAAAAUACAAUCAUAAAUGAUAAAACCCCAUCUCCAUCUUUUUGAACUAGAGCUAAAGCAAAGCAUUUUAAGAUGUUUCAUCAUUUUUUUUUUUAAAAAAAACUCAAUAGUACAAUGUUUUUCAAUGCUAAAUGCACAAUUCAAUCUUCUCCUAAUUUACUCUAAUAAUCUCUUAAUUAAGGAAGAUUAAGCUUCAGUUGUAAGCUAAAACAAAUUUCUUAAAUCAAGCCCCAAUGCUUUAUGCUAUUCAACAAGGGCUCAUAAAUGAUAAAACUACUUCUAUAAAGAUACCCAUUUUCUAAAUUAAUUUCACAAACUGAAAUCAAACUCCUGAAACGUAACGAGCAUUAAUAUAAUCAAGCCCGAACAAGAAUUGAAAAAUGAUACAUAAACUCGUUUACACAUUUCGACAGACACUUUGCAAUCAAUGAGCAAAAAAUUAAUGGAGAAGAUAAAAUUCAAACGAAACAUGCCUUACAUUGAUAAAUUAGAAGGGCAAAAGAAAUUUUAGUACGAUAUGCGAUCAGGGUCUUGCCACGGUGAUGUUAUUUGUGAAGUUCGAGCGACUCAGCAGCCUUCGAGGUUGAAAAUUUGAUUGACCAAAAGCUUCCCGUUCGUUGAUUCUCUAAUAGUAGAAACGAGACUGGCAGUAUACACAAGAAGUUCGCCGAUUUUAAAUUCCGUUGUUUGAGAUGGAAAAUUUUUUGAAAAAAUUAAUGUGUUCGAUGAAAAUCAAAAUCUCAAAAACCUCUUGUUUUUCAUUUUUUUGGAAAAAACCAUUGAGAUCCUUACUAUUUUUUCUUAUAUCAUCUUCCUUAAUAAUUUGCAAAGUCUAUCGCAUAGCACCCAUGUAUGAUGUAUGCUGCGUUGUAAUUUACAAAAUUGCACAUGAAUAAAUCCAGCUAAAAUUUGUUAAAAGAAAAUAAUAAUAACAUGUUAAAACUUUAAAAUUUGAUUAUUCGAAGAAAUUUUAAUUUAGUUAAGUAGGUGACAUGAUAAUAAAUAGAUACGUAUAAUGUCCGAGAUUUUUUAUAAGAUUAAUAAAUAUGAUAAAUUUGGAUUAGUUCAAUUUUGACAUAAUUCAUAAUAAACACAGCUUGCUAAUCUAAAUUGCCACCGUUACUCAUCAUCAGGUACCUGUUUGAAAAAUAAUUACAAACAAUUUUAUUUGUGUUGUUUCUCUAAAAGUUUGAGACACAAAUGUUAUUUCAAAUUGAUAAAAGUACGAAAAUUCCCCCUUGCUCUUCAACUAAAAAUGAAACAUGCAAAUAUACACACUAAUUUAGAUGUGUGAAUAACAAAUAUGGAACGACACAUGCAAAGUCAUCUGUAUAAUUGAAACGCCAUGCACUAGUAGUAGGUAAGAGAAACCAAGGUUGAAGUUGCUCCAAUGGUUACUGUUAAUUUAUUUUUAUUUAUGAUUUUUUUUGUAAAAUGUAAGAAAUAUGUAGAAAUGUUGCCAGCAAUGAUUUUGGAACUUUGCAUAAAAUUUUUAUCAUUAUUGUUUUUGGUAUUAAGAAAUCCGAGGCGGUGAUUAGACGUAUGUUGCAACAAUUAAGAAAUUUCUUAUUGGAGAUAAUUUGGUAGGUUUGCAGCAAUUAGAGAAUAAUUUUCCUGCCAGUUAAUCAAUCAAUAAUAAAUUUCAAAUUGCAGAAAAUAAAAUAAUACAGCCUCACUUAGAAUCAUCUUUUCUAUCUCUUUCAAUUGUGGCAAUCAUUUGCAACAAAUAAAUCAAUUUGAUGCACAUCAUUUCCCCAAUUCAAAGUUCAAGUCACUGCUCAAUUACAGAGUAGUUAGUGGACAUGCAUGCAUGUUUAAUUAAGUACUGCAUUGUAGUAUCGAAAAUCAUAACAUCUCACCAAUAUCAGAUUAUUAACCAUGGAAAUCAUAUCACAAUAUCAUAUAGAAUUCACAAAUCUGAAAAUCAUCACCAAACAAGUACCCAGAGAAAUAAUCUCGUCAUAUCCAGACCUCAACGGACGGGCAAUGACGUACUAUUUGGGUAACGUCACACCCUGGAGCUACACGGAUAAAUAGGAAAAUACCAUCUCAUAUCUCAUCAUAUUUGUGCAUGCAUAAUCUAGUCCCCAAGGGACAAAAGCGCCCAAGCACACGGCCCAAAGCCUCUAUGUGUACUCAGACGGGCCCCAAAGGCCUGUAUCUCAUAUGUAUCAUAUGUAUCAUUUGUAUCUCAAUAUCUGUUUGUAUCUCAUUUCCGUAUAUCUAUAAUCAUCAUACCGCAUGCAUAUGCCCCCAAAAGACAAAAGCGCCCAAACACAUGGCCCAAAGCCUUUAUAUGUGUUUAGACGGGUCCCAAAAGCCUCUUAUCUCAUCUUAUCUGUAUCACUGUAUCUGGAGAGAAGGGUACUGUCUAAUGAUUUAAAAAACAAUCAUUAUACUCAUAUUUACAUACCUCUUAAUCAUAUUUGAAAUCAUAUCACAUUUGAAUCCACUUUUCUAAUCUUUAAAAUAUUAUCAUGCUUUAUUCAAAGUCGAUACGCAAAAUCAAUAACCAAACAUUUUAAAUCAAAUUAUUAACCAUGGAAAUCAUAUCACAAUAUCAUAUAGAAUUCACAAAUCUGAAAAUCAUCACCAAAUAAGUACCCAAAGAAAUAAUCUCGUCAUAUCCGGACCUCAACGGACGGGCAAUGACGUACUAUCUGGGUAACGUCACACCUUGGAGCUACACGGAUAAAUAGAGAAAUACCAUCUCAUAUCUCAUCAUAUCUGUGCAUGCAUAAUCUAGUCCCCAAGGGACAAAAGCGCCCAAGCACACAGCCCAAAGCCUCUAUGUGUACUCAGACGGGCUCCAAAGGCCUGUAUCUCAUAUGUAUCAUAUGUAUCAUUUGUAUCUCAAUAUCUGUCUGUAUCUCAUAUCCGUAUAUCUAUAAUCAUCAUACCGCAUGCAUAUGCCCCCAAAAGACAAAAGCGCCCAAACACAUGGCCCAAAGCCUUUAUAUGUGUUCAGACGGACCCCAAAAGCCUCUCAUCUCAUCUUAUCUGUAUCACUGUAUCUGGAGGGAAGGGUACUGUCUAAUGAUUUAAAAAAUAAUCAUUAUACUCAUAUUUACAUACCUCUUAUCAUAUUUGAAAUCAUAUCACAUUUGAAUCCACUUUUCUAAUCUUUAAAAUAUUAUCAUGCUUUAUUCAAAGUCGAUACGCAAAAUCAAUAACCAAACAUUUUAAUAAAAUACCAAUGCAUAAAUAAAAUUCAUUUCGAGAAAUCAUUAAAUCAGAACAUUUAAAAUACUUAUUUCGCAAACAUGCUUUACUAUCAUCGCUAACUAUGAAAAUAAGUUUUGUAUAUUCCACUUUCAGUGAUGGUGUUCACGGUCGGUUAUCGUCCAUAUCUGCAGACCGAUUCUCGCUCGCGAAUCCUCCUAAAUCAAGGAAACGACAUAAUUAUUUUUUGUAAAUCGGAAUUAUGACUAAAUUUUAUGCAAUAAACUCAAAACGAACAUCUAUUCAUAAUUGACAACUCCUAUAUCCAUAAAAUUACUAAAAUAUCCUUGAGUCCGUAGAUCAUUAACAUGCUCCGAAAUCGUAAAUCACUGAAUUACCCUCGGAAUCGUAAUUACACCCGAUCCUCAAUUAUAGGAAUUACUAACAGAUCCACAGGCUUAGAAAUUACAAAAUUGCCCUCGUAGUGUGAAAUUACCAAAAGCCGGAAGUUGGUCAACAAUGGCUAGGAAGCUCAAAUCGUAAAGUUCCAAUCACGCUGAGUUCAAUGGUACCGGCGGUGAGCUCCAACGCGCGACAACGAUGCCAGAAUCUAGCUCGGCAGCCGUGAAUUCCACCAAUCGACCGGCGGCACAACAGUGACUCUCGGUGCCUAUGGAUGGUCGAAAAUGGAAGAGGGAGCCGUGGGGAACAAAAUCCAACCGGUGGUGUCACCAAAACCGGUGAAAAUCCCGGCGGAGCAAAGUGAAACAGUCGCGGGUUUCAUGCUUCGAUCGCCGGUGUUCCGAUUGGUUUUUGGCGAGGAGGAUGGCAAGGGAACGACAGCCGGCUUCUAAGCUUCAGAUUGGUACCAAGCUCGGCCGAAACGAUGGCCGGAAAUGGGAGAUAUGACCGGGUCAAGGUCGCGGGUUCCGGGUCGGGUUUUUUGGUCUGUAGUUGGGUCGGUUUGGUAGCUUCUCUCUCACUCUCUGUUACACGUGCAUAUGUUUCCUCUGUUUCCAGCUUAUUCUUUUGCUUUUACUAACUUCUUAACCGCCUCAUACUUAUUCAUUUUUAAUUCACAUAUGUUACAAUAAUUCCCGAGUAUUAAAUAACCAGUGGUCAUAAUUUUUGUACAAGAUUCUUUUUUUUUUUUGGAGAUCGUUAAAAGUGGUUGACGAUCCAUUUCGUAAUAUCAUAGAGGGAUCAUCAAUUCCUUUUCUUUUCUGUGGCUAGGCAACACUUUUUGGCCAAAGUAAGGAAAUCUAUUUUAGGUAAUGUAAAAACCAGUUGUAGGAUGUAAUAGUUUAUUAUGCACUGACAAUAACUUUUUGUAUAAUUGUCAGUUUAAUGAAUGCAAGAGGAACUCUGUUGGCAAAUUCAUCCAAGAUAGAUGCUAAAAUUAUUUAUGCAUGCCAGUUGCCUUAACUAAGUUUUCUCAGCACUGGUUUUGAACAGGAAAAUGAAUAUGCAAUUUGUAUAUUGUGCCAUAGUGGAGAAUUUGGAUAUUCUUAUUUAAGUAACAAGGAGAUUAUUUGCCUCAUCUUUAAACAAUGAAUCUUUGAGAGAUGAGGAGUGGGUGAUUGGAUGUGUCUUCAUGUAAUUGUUCAUUUAUUUGUAUUUUGAACUGUUAUGAAAAUCUUUAUAUGCCAAAUUAGUAAUACAAGUAUUCAGAUGAUUUUUCCUAUUGAUCAUGCAUUUGUAUCUGCCCACAACCAUUGUAUAUCACUUUAUUCUGAUGCGCAAGCAUCUGUAAUUUAGAAGAAAAGAAAUAAUAAUCAUAUUUUAUUGCUUGGUUCAUGAUUAUUAACGAUUAUGGCUUUAAAAAUCUACAAAUUUCUUGUGUUCAUGUAUGAAUGUGCCAAGUUUGCUGUAUCUUAGAUUACCUUCUUCCAAGGUAACAAGUUCAUAUAUAUAUAUUUUUUAAAUCAUUUUCCAUUACAGUUGAAUUUCAAGUGUUAGUUUUGUUAUUAGUACCUGGUUUCCUGUUAUAAGGAUCUAAUAAACAGUGUACGGAUAUGUGCUCUACUUUUGGAGGGCUUCCACGUGAAAGAAAAUUACAACAAUUGAAUUCUUCCGGAGGAUAUGGUAAUUAAUUUAUUUUCUCAACUUCUUGUAAGACUAAUAUAUUUCCUUCAGUAGGCACAGCAUGGUGGGAAGGGUUUUUAUUGAAAGAAUUCUGAUAUUUCUUAGACUUUGUUUUGGAAGGGGGUGGAGGAAUUUCUCAUCCAUAUAUGGUUACUUGAUUAGCUUUUGACUGUAUUGUCUCUGUCGUGCAAAGGAAAAUCUAAAUACUAACGAUGGGGAAUUGCUUAGGCACCCAAAAGGCAGAAAUGAAUUACAGAAGGAAGUUUUUGCUGCUUUAUUUAGUGCUGCUGAGAAAUCUGAUGAAUUUCCUGAAAUUACGGUGAAGACCGAGUGGAGGUCCAAAGCAUUAGGAAAGGUGGUGAGUGAACUGCCGGAGGAAUUUGUACCAAAAUACAAGGCUAAUGUGGUGCACUUGCAGCAAGAUAACCAGACCGGUAUGUGCUCUUAUAUUAACUAUAUUGACUGGAUUUGUGAGUGUGUGCAUUUUUUUGUGUAUACUCACUUUUGUAUUUAUGCAUAUUAACAUGUGUAGGAUUCUUGAUUUCUGCCACUUACUGGAGAACUAGUGGAAAGCUUUAUAUUGAUAUAUCUGCAAUAACUAAUGGAAACUAUGAUAUGAAUAUUUUCUCUCACCUGGGGAGCUGUGUAACAGAUAUACUUUGUGGCUCUGGAAUGCUGAAGAUUCUGCAAUAACUAAUGGAAAAUAUGAUAUGAAUAUUUUGUCUCACCUGGAGAACUUUGUUACAGAUACCCUUUGUGGCUCUGGAAUGUCUAAAGAAUGCUUUAGUUAGAUCAAAUAUCUUUUAGUUAGAAAAGAUAAAAUUCUCUGAGUCUGAAAGACUGAAACAUUUUGCAUAUUUUGUGAAAGGGAAAUAUCUGUUGAUACUAGCUCAUGCAUUGAGGUAAUAUCGAUGUUAAAGAAAAACAGCAAUGAUUUAUGAUAUAGAAUUGGGUUCACUUGCUUCAAAUGCUGGUCUGAUCAACCAUAUCAACCUGUAAUGAUUCUGCAGAAAUAUAUAUACAUGGAGAAAGUAGCUAAAUUUUUCUUUCAUUUAUGGGUUCGGUCUUUUUUCCCCUUAUUUUUCAGCUUUCCUUCUCCUGAAGUAUGUUAACAAUUGCAGAUAAUGAUGAAGACGACAGCUUCCGGGCUCUCCUUAGAGCCGUGAUGGAAUAUAGGGGCACAAUGAAGGAAUAUUGUAAAGCUGUAGGUACUUUUUCUCCUUUCAUUUAUGUUUUCUCACACAUUUUGUAUAUGCCCUGAACAUGCACCUUUGUAUGUAUCAAUUGACUUUUAAAUUUUAAAAGCCAUAAAGUAAGAAUACGGUUCCUUGUCAGGCUACUGAUGACAUUCGCUCAGGGGGAUCAUGUUCGAGCAGGAAAAUUUCUAGAACAGGUAAGGUUUCCAUCUACAGCCAUCCAUUGACAGCAGAUACAUUUUCAUUCAGCAGACUCUGUUAGCAUUCAAGAUGCUGGCAGAUUCACUUGAUUCUUAUUAGCUUGUUUAGUGGCAAAGCCUAUAACCUGUAUUUCAAAGCCAAGUUGUGCUAUUGAUUAUGUUAACUUUUUUGUUAACAUAAAAUGAUAUGGAGGAAAUAAUCAGUGUUGGAAAAUUAGGUGAAAAGAUGAUGUCAAAUCUUGAACCUCUUACGAAACUCUAAGUUCUUUACUUGAAGAGGCUACGAAAUUUGAACAGCGUCUACUCGAAGGCCUUGCCAUUCCCUGAUGCAUGCAGAAUUUUUGUAUUUAAAUGCCCAGAGCUUAAGAAGCUGCCACUGGAUCUUGAAGGGGCAGACCAAGGUAAAAAUCUUAUCAAGGGAAAGGAAGAUUGGUGGAAACAACUUAAUGGGAGGAUCAAGUAACUCAGAAUGCAUUGCUUCCAUUUUUUAAAUUGACUGACAAGUGAUUGAACGGGGCAUCAUCAACAUCAUCAACAGGGAUGGAGAGAUACCGGAGCAGAUCAGCAGGGUUUGAAUAUGACCUUUGGCGGUUGCUUUUUUUUUGUGAUUUUUUUUUCAUUUUUUCCUUCCUGUCAUUUUAUCAUUUCUUUCUCUGUUUCUAUUGCGGGUGUUACUGCAUGCUUACUGUUGCUUGACAAAGUUUGCUAGCUUUUUGUUUGCAGUGUUGCUAUACACUCCGAGUCAAGCCUCGAAAAUUUAUUAAACGAAGCCGUUUCGACAGUAACAAUUCUUUUCUUUUCCCUUUGCAUGUCUCUUUCAUCUGCUGUUUCUCUAUCACUUUUCAUUUUUGAUUUCCUUGCUUCUCAGCUGCCCCUAAAUUGUUAUUCUAGCAAUAUACUUUCUCAUCUUUGAAUUUUCAUCCUUGAGUACUCCCACAGCCGUAAUUUCAUCAUCAUAGACUUCACUUGGAAUGCUGUAUUUUUUCGAUUCUUGAGCUACUUCAAUUACAUCUUAGUAUAGGAUCCUCAUCUUCCUUUAUUUCUUCAUCUUAUGAGGUAAUAAAUGGAUUUCACAACUCAUCUACUUUUAAGCAAUUACAUAUUAUACCUUGAAUGAUUCAACUGUUCUGACAGUUAAAGAUUUUAUGCUCAACCUGCAGUGCUACGAACAUUGUCCAUGAAAGAUGAGUUUCAGCAUAUAAAAUGAAAUAUAGAUGUUUAAUCUAAAAUAACCCUUCACUGCCAGAAACCUAGGUCACAAAAUUCACAGAUAAUGAUAAAGAGCUAAAAAAUUUGAAAAACUCUACAGAUCACACAUCAAGCAAGAUAUCAUGUUUUUUUCCCUCAUUCAGUGGUGAUUGAUUCGCUUUUUGAUGAUGGAUAUGGUAUAAAAGUGUUGACCCAAUUUCAAGCAAACACAAAUAGAAACACAAACACAAUCGGGACUAGAGUUGUGGGCGAUUAUCUUAGGUGUACAAGUGAAACGGUGGUGGCUGUCGAUGGUGGUAGUGGGGUGGUUGGGUAUGCGUGAUGGCUAGAUUUUAGGACAAUAAUGAUUGGAGUUGACCUCAAUCAACGAAGGAAAGUGACAACAAUUUUGACAUCAAACGGUGCAUUUUUUAGCUUAGUAAAAUGGAGCCGUUUCGAUUUUGGGGUUUAAUCCGGGGUUUGACUCGGUGCAAGUAUCAUUUUCCUUUUGUUUAUUAAAUUUUUUUAUGGUCACAAAGUAUCACUCGUUCUAUUUGAGAGUCAUGUGAAUCAAUUUUUCAAAUUUUCAAUUUUAAAUUUUGUGGUCAAUGUGAAUUCAAUUUCAUUUGUCUCCUGCAAUUAUGAAAAAAUUAAAUAGUCAUAAUAUGGAAAAAUACACCGGUAAAAACUUUGUAAAAGCUUCGGAGUGAUACGGGGAAUUCACUUACUACUAAGGACAAUUGGUGGCAAGCUAUUCCAUUCAUUUUAUGUCCAUCCAUCUAUUUAGUUAUUGAAGAUAAGUGGUCCAUUUGUAAAUUUCAGAUUGUCUCUCUCUCCCUCUUGAAAUAACAAUAUUUAAUAUAUCUCAUAAAUUAUUAUAAAUUUUAAUUUACUCUCGAUUUAAAAUGGAGCAUGUCGAUAAAUUUUUUUUCUUCUUAAUAAAAUUGACGUAAGUUGUGUUUACAGUAGUUUGAAGUUUGAAAUAUUUUAAAGAUUAUUAUUCUAUAAGGGAGUAAUAUGAAAUGAUAUUUACUUUUCAUGUGUGAAAUGAAAAAGGACGAAGCAAGUGUCCCUGCUUUUAUUUUAUUUCAAGGAGGAGUCAUCUCACAUACUUUAGCUCUUAACAUUACAUUUUUUCUGGUUACAUUUUUUAUUUAUUUAUUUUUUUUUUUUUACACAUGCGUGUGGGUUGCUUUUCUGUAAGCUCCUUAAUAUAUAUUUAAGACAAAUCAUGGAAGAGAUGGGAUUAUAUCAAGAUGAUCAAAGAAUGUUAAAAAAGAAAAAAGAAAAAAAAAAGAAGUAAGACACUGAAAAUGGAGAAGAGAUGGAAGCAAAAGAUAUUCCAAAACAAAGCAAUCUAUCCCCUUUCGAGGGCAGACUUAUCAGGUUUAAAAAAGUACACGCUUUGGAUUGGUAGUUGCAAUCAAGGGAAAAUAAAUAGGAUCCAAUGAAAUUUAAAUCUCGGAGAAAAUAAAUAAUCAUGCAGAUUUUCAAGAUUUUAAUAAGGGAUACUAAUAUCUUAUUUUGAUUAAUAAUAUCCUUUCAUUGUGUUAACUCAAAAAAUAUAUAUUUUAAUGUUUUGCAAUAAACAGAAACGUACUAUUAAAAUGAAUAUAUAAAGAAUUUAGAAAAUUUUGAAUGUUAUAUAAAAUAAUUUUAAGAUAAUGCGUGAGAUAUAUUUUAUUAAUUUAAAAUGUUAUUUUACCUAAAAAAUAUGAUAAAUUAAUAAUUACAUAUUUGAAGUUAUUUUAAAUAUUAAAAAAAUUUAAUAUUAUUAAUCUUUUAGAUAGAUUAAAUUAUUUUUUAUAAGAGAUAGAUUAAAUUAUUUUAAAAUACGUUAAUUGUUUUUACUUUUAACGUUACCGGCCUUUCUUUUAUUUUAUUGCAAAUUAAUGCUAACAAGAAAAAGCUAGAUCAUAUUCCACAAAAGCAAAAGUGACAAACACAACCAGCUGGAAUCUUUUAAUUACUAUUCAAUAAUUCGAGACGAUUAGGGUCUUUUAUUAAACUACAAAUUGUAUAGUCUUUUUAAAAUUGUUAUAAAUUGGUGGCACCUACAAUCCUCAAUAAUUGUACCGAUAUUCACAAGUUGGUGGCCCCUACAAUUCUGUUCGGAUAAUUUAACUGUGCAAGUGCUCAUUCACAAUAAUUGUUUUGUUUUUUUUUUCUGCAUUCCCUUUCAUGCUCUUAAUAAUUGAAGAGCAUACUUUUCAUUUUCAAAUGUGGAGCCGCAGCUAAUGUCGCUAAUUUAAUUUGGGAUUAAAUUAGGGGACCAUUAUAUUGCAGUGUGCACUAAUUUUUGUGUUUAUCUAAACUCCUUAAAUUUAAGACAUAUUAUGGCAUAAAUAAGAAUAUAACAAUAGCAAAAGAGUUAAAAAGUGUAGAGAAGAUCUUGCAGAAAUAUAAAUAAUAUCUAUUUUAAAAUAAUAUCAAUAUUUAAAAUAAUUUUUAAUAUUUUAUGAUUCAUUAGAUAUAUUUUAUUAUAUUAAAGUAAAUUUUAUAAUAAAUAAAAACAUACUAUUAAAAUGAAUAUAUAGAAAAUUUAGAGUAUUUUAAGUAUUAUAUAAAAUAAUUUUAAUAAAAUAUGUGAGAUAUUCAUAUUUUAUUAAUUUAAAAUACCAUUUAACCUAAAGAUUUAUUUAUGAUAAAUUAAUAAUUAUAUUUUUGAAGUUACUUCAAAUAUUAAAAAUAUUAAUAUUACUAAUCUAUUAGAUAGAUUAAAUUAUAUAUAUUAUUUUCUAUUUAUUAAAAAAUUUAAAAUUAUUUUUAAUUACUAUUCAAAAAAUAUAAUGAUAAAAAAGAAUCUUAACAUCUUUAUUAAAAAUUUAAAAAUUUACAUGAUCAAUUCUCUAAAUAUUUAGGGUUAUAUGUGAACAACGGUGGAGAAGCUUUAUUUAAUAUUAUUGAUUUAAAUAAUAUGUCAAUUAAAAAUGUACAGAGAAGGAAAUUUCGGUGGGUAUUUUAGUCUUUUCAGCAAUUAUCAUGAUCAGAUCAGCCUUUAGCCUUGAAUCGUCGGUCAGAAAAGUUUUAAAAUUAACGCUAACAAGAAAAAGCUAGGUCAUAUUCCACAAAAGCAAAACUGACAAAACAACCAGCUGGUUUCUUUUACUAAACUACAAAUUAAAAGUGGAUUCUUUUGAAUGCAAGUGGGACAGACGAUUAGGCUCUUUUUAUUAAAGGCAAGUAAAAACUAGUCGAAUAGUCUUUUUCAAAUUGUUGUUUUAUUAUUUUUCCUUCAAAAGUUAGUGUGGCUCAUGUUUGCAGGUGCGAAUGUGGGUCCCGAAUCAUUACUAAAAUUUCUAUUCCACAGCCCACCGCAGCUUCAGUUAAUCAAACUCAAAUCAAUUUUCUUUCUUAACAAAAUAUUCCAAAGAUGUGUAGCAUUUUUCAGAUCACAUGCGAUGGUGCUCUUUUCAAUCGUUGCUUGGAUUGCUUUCUUGGAAAAGCAGCAUACAUACGUAACCUCCAAGAUAAUGUUGAUACCUUGGGCACUGAAUUGGGAAAUCUGAUCGCUAGAAAGAACGAUCUGAUGAGGAGGGUUGUCGAUGCUGAACGGCAACAAAUGAGAAGGCUGGACGGAGUGCAAGUGUGGGUUUCGAGGGUGGAUUCUGUUAAAACUGAAGCUGAUCAAUUUAUAAGAGACGGCUCUCGAGAAAUUGAAAAAUUAUGUGUUGGAGGCUACUGUUCCAAGAAUUGCAUGUCAAGCUACAAGUUCGGGAAAAAAGUGGCUAAAAAGCUACGGGAUGUGCGGACUUUAAUCAGUGAAGGAGUUUUUGAGGUGGUGGCUGACAGAGCUCCAGAGUCUGUAGCAGAUGAAAGACCUACUGAGCGAACAGUAGUAGGCUUGCAAUCACAACUUGAACAAGUCUGGAGAUGUCUUGUAGAAGAAUCAGCGGGAAUCAUUGGCCUAUAUGGUAUGGGCGGUGUUGGUAAAACUACACUACUGACCCAUAUCAACAAUAAAUUUCUCGAGAGUCCAACCAACUUUGAUUGUGCGAUUUGGGUUGUAGUUUCAAAAGACCUGCGACUCGAAAAAAUUCAAGAAGAUAUUGGGAAAAAGAUAGGUUUGGUUGGUGAUUCAUGGAAGAGUAAAAGUGUAGAGGAGAAAGCUGUCGACAUCUUCCGGAGUUUAAGAGAGAAGAGAUUUGUAUUGUUGUUAGAUGAUAUAUGGGAGCGGGUUGAUUUAACAAAGGUGGGCAUUCCACUUCCCGGACCAAAAAAUACUACCUCAAAAGUCGUAUUCACAACCCGUUUCAUCGAUGUUUGUGGUAGCAUGGAAGUUGACAGGAAGUUUCAAGUAGCAUGCUUAUCAGAAAAGGAUGCUUGGGAACUGUUUCGAGAAAAAGUUGGGGAGGAAACUCUUCAGAGUCAUCAUGAUAUCGAUGAGCUAGCCCAAAUUGUGGUCAAAGAGUGUGGUGGUUUGCCACUCGCACUUAUUACUAUUGGUCGAGCUAUGGCCUACAGAAAGAAAGCGGAGCAGUGGAGACGUGCAAUUGAAGAGUUAAGGAGAUCAGCUUCAGAGUUUGCAGGUUUGGGAAAAGAGGUUUAUCCUCUUUUAAAAUUCAGCUAUGAUAGUUUGCAGAAUGAUACGGUUAGAUCUUGUUUCUUGUACUGUUGUUUAUAUCCUGAAGAUUAUGGCAUUCUUAAAUGGGACUUGAUUGAUUGUUGGUUUGGCGAGGGAUUUUUUGGGGAAUCUGACAGGUCUGGUGCAGAAAACCAAGGAUAUGACAUUUUGGACACUCUUGUUCGUGCGUGUUUAUUAGAAGAGGUGGAAGAUGAUGAAGUAAAAAUGCAUGACGUUAUUCGUGAUAUGGCUAUAUGGAUAACUUGUGAAAUUGAGAAGGAGAAGAGAAACUUUUUGGUUCGUGCAGGUGCUGGAUUAAAAGAUGCACCGGGUGUUAAAGGAUGGGAAAAUGUGAGAAGAUUGUCAUUGAUGCAAAACCAAAUUGAAACUCUGGCAGAGGUUCCCACAUGCCCUCAUCUCCAUACUCUAUUUCUUGACUUUAAUAGGGGGUUGGAUAUGAUCGCGGAUGGCUUCUUUCAAUUUAUGCCUUCUCUCAAAGUUUUGAAGAUGUCAAACUGUUCGAAUUUGAAAUUACCUGUUGGGAUGUCAGAGUUGGGUUCAUCACUAGAACUUCUUGAUAUUUCAGAAAACAGCACAAGAGAGUUACCGGAAGAGUUAAAGAAGUUGGUAAAUCUGAAAUGUUUGAAUUUGAGGUGGACAGAGCAUUUAAAUAAAAUUCCACGGCAACUAAUAUCAAAUUCUUCAAGGUUACGUGUGUUGAGAAUGUUCGCUACUGGCCGGUUCAAUUUUCAUGAAGCACCAGAAGACAGCGUUUUAUUUGGUGGGGGUGAAGUUUUGAUACAGGAAUUGCUCGGUUUGAAAUAUUUAGAGGUAUUGGAGUUGACCUUGGGAAGUUAUCAUGCUCUCCAAAUUCUUUUGAGCUCAAAUAAGUUAAAAAGUUGUAUUCGAUCUCUUUACCUCGAGUUGACCGGAGAUACAACGUCAAUUAUUGAUGCUACGGCUUUCGCAGAUCUAAACCACCUCAAUGAAUUACGGAUUGAUAAUGGUAUUGAGUUGGAAGAGUUGAAGAUUGAUUAUACGGAGAUAGUACGAAAAAGGCGGGAACCUUUUGUUUUCCGCAGCCUUCAACGUGUUACCAUAGCGGAGUGCCAUAAAUUGAAAGAUGUGACAUUCCUCGUUUUUGCUCCAAACCUCAAGUCUCUUCGGCUAUUCUAUUGCGGUGCUAUGGAAGAAAUAAUCAGCGUCGGAAAAUUUGCUGAGACUCCUGAGAUGAUGGGACAUAUAAGCCCUUUUGAAAAUCUCCAAAUGCUUGAUUUACAAGGUUUGCCACAUUUGAAGAGCAUCUUCUGGAAGCCAUUGCCUUUCACUCAUCUGAAAGAAAUGGAGGUACUUAGGUGCGAUCGGCUUGAAAAGCUUCCACUCGAUUCCAACAGUGCAAAGGAGCGCAAAUUUGUUAUUCGUGGAGAAGAAGACUGGUGGAACCGACUUCAAUGGGAGGAUGAAGCCACUCAAAUUGCUUUUCGUUCCUGUUUUAAAAGUGAUGCUUUAUUUAUAUCUUAUUCGUGAAAAGUGAUUUAAUUUCCUGCCAAAAGACGAACGAGAAGAACAAUAGAGUCAAACUAAUGCUCACAUAAAUUUCCCGUAAGAAUAUAUAAUUAGAUUGGAAUGCACACCUCUAGAUUGAACAGAAUUAAAGCUGAGAAAAUAUUGAGUAUAGUAGCCCUCUUUACAGAAAAUGACGUGAAAGUUAAUUUAGAAAGAUAUAUUCUUGAUUAAUCCAUUUUCUGAAGUUUUUAUUUUGUAUGGUCAAUUAUACCUUCAUACUAAAAAUUUCUGAAGUUAUAAAUUAGUGCAACUUGACAAUUUUUACUGAUGAUAUCUUCUAUUUUUCCCUUUUUUUUUUUUUCACUUUCAUAGACUGGCAGCGGAUCCUGCGGCACCAAUUUGAGAGAAUAUACUGACACUACUUCGAACAGCAAGCAGAAGAAGUAAUAUGUCUACGGCAAAGGCAAUGGAGUCCUCAUUUUGGCUCGAGAUGCAGUAAUCAUCGAAGAGAGUUUCCUUGUGAAACUGGGCAACACAUUGAAUCCCUUCACCACUGAGAAGGUUGUGGAGGAAGUAAGCUUUCUCUCCAGUGAGGAAGAGGUGGCAUAUACCUUCCCCAUUUUGUUGAGGGCAGGUAGGAAUCUUUUUUCUAAGAGAUUUACUUCGUUCUCUGUAAGAAAUGCUUUGAACUUCAUCCCUCUGUCUCUAUCCUCACUUAUCAGGAAAUAAGUUGAAAGCACUAUGAAGAGAGAGAGAGAGAGAGAGAGAGAGAGAGAGAGAGAGAAUUAAGAUAUAUAGACAAGAAAAAUAUUUGACGUUGAUCUUACAAACUAAUACUUCAAGCAGUAUCCUAGAAAGCUAAAAACUGCAAGAUGGCUUGAAAUUUGAAAAGAGCACAUGCUUUUCCUCCUUAACUUGAGAAAAUGUUUAAUAUAGUGCACCUUACAGAAGCAUUUAAGCAAUUAGAACUUUGCACAAAAACAUCAAGAAGACUAAACAAGUCAGAUGCAGUGUAUUUGUCCAAGCACAAAUUGCAUUUUUUCCUCAACUUUAAUAUUUAUUGAUGAGAAUCAAUACAGGUCCCUCAUUUGUUAUAGAAAGCUUUCUUUCUUGUAGUCUCACCAGUUAAUUCAGAGGUCUAUAAUCAUCUUGCAAAGUUAAGGGCAUUUCUUUUGAUCUAAAGUCUUUGCAUCACCACCUCAUCACACGCCAAGCCAAUAUUCCAUUUACCUCUACAACAAAAAGUUUUAAUUAAACAAUCCUAAUGCACGCAGCCAAAUAAAAUGCAGUAAGAAUAUUCAACUUAAAAAUCUGAAAGCCAACUUGGUGAAUUGCCUCCUUAGGUGAAGUUCCAUGCUUUACUAUAGUUGACAGAACUCAGCAAAAGCUUCCAUACAACAGAUUUUGAAAAUGAUGAUGCCAACAGAUACUCAUUCAAUGCAUUGAAACUCCAAAGGUUCAUUGUUCAUAGAAGUUUACAGAGUUUUGGUCAUCAAAUAGCUCAGACCUAAUCCCAAACAAAAAAUGAGUGAAAAUUAGAUCACGAGCAGCUAAUUGUAAAUUCUAACUUAACUCUUCAUCUCCUUUGUAAACAAGAAACAAAAUGGAGACACGCAAAAUGAAUAUGGAGAAAAUUUGAACUCAAAUGAAAUGAGGGCAUGAAAGCAAACAAAUGGCAUGCACCAAAAAACCAAGCCUCAAUCAAAAACUAAUUAACCAUUAAGAAAAAAAUUGGUCAGAGAAUGAACUCCAAAUUCAGGAGUCAAGCAAGAAGCUUUCAUUAUUAUCAAAGUCAAUUAUCUUUGUUAGUAUGCGAGUGUGACGACUAUAGGUUGUUCUUUUUCUAAUGUCAUAUGAUUCCAAUUUUAGGUACAGGGCAUCUCUCUCUCUCUCUCUCAUCGCUAAGUGGAUAUUUUUCUCUUUUGUCAUAUACUUUAGUUAUUCUUCAAUUUACUAACUAAAAUGAAGGCCGCUUUAUUAAGAAGUUAUAUCCAGUUAUAUAAUUUGUUGUAUUUAAUAUAUGUUUGGGCUCAUAAUUUUUUUUAAAAAUAUAUAUUUCAUUCUCCAUAAUUUUUUCCCAUCAUAGCUACGAAACGUCUUAGUUUCGACUAAAAUCCUAAAAUUGGUCCUUAAUUGAAUAUGCAUUGCAAUUUGCAAAUGUAAUAUUGUGAAUGGGACACUGGAGAUACCAAAAUGGUCAAAUGCGAAAUAAGUUAGGAUUGUACGAUGUAGUUUGUAUUCAUAUUCAAUGCCUUUUUUUUCAAAAAACAAAUUGAAAUGCCAUUACUAAACGAUUCUUGAUGAUGGGAGCCACCGUGCCAGCUUUGUCGCUGAUUUGGUAUUAUUCUUAACUUGCAGAUAGUUGUGGAUAUGAUAUGCAAAAAGGUAAGGACUAUAUCUUCUUGAUGGAGGCCUCUGAUUUUUUCCCUUCUAUGUAAUUUAGUAAAUCGCAUUUUCCCUUGUGAUUGAUAUAUCAUACCAAAGUCAAGUCUUAAAUACUGCUGUCAUAUGUUAAGGUUCAACUUCCAUUUUGAUUAACGUCCAUUUGCUGCUGCUUCCAAAAGUGAGAAUGAGAUACUUUGGUUAAUUUCAGUAGUUGAACCCAAUAGAGUACUUUAUUUAGAUCUUCAUGGUUCAAAGGCCUGAAAAAACUUGCCGGUAUUUGCAAAAUGACAUUCUGUGCUUUUAUUUAGGCUUAUUAUUUAAGUGAUAAAAACUCCCGUAACCUGCUGUCAAGAAAAUUUCAGAUUGUUAAAAGACAACAUUUUGUUUCAGCCAAAAAUGUUUGUUUCGAUUAAAGACUUGAACCAUUUUCAUUUAACCUUGAUUGUGAUGCUUUACAUUAUGCAUGUUCCUCUCAAUCAAUAAAAGUUGAGGUCAUGAUUUUAUAUUUCUAUUUUGUAACUUGAAAUAAUUGGUCUGCCUGUUUCUGUAGCUUGAUAACAUGAAUUUUUCCUUCUGAAGUUAAUUUGAUCAAUAAAGUAAUUCUUCGGAGAUGAUAUGCCCAUUCUAUAGUCAUUUUCUUAGGUAACAUGUUUUUUCUUCACUCUUCAGAGCAUGUCUAAACUAAUUGAUCGCUCAGCGGAGACUUUGGGUGAGAAGACAAAAUUUCUUGGUAAAUCCUCUAAAAAGGUAUGCAUAAUUCCCGAGUAUUAAAUAAUCAUUGGUCAUAAUUUUUGUACACAACUCUUUUUUUGGAGAUCGUUAAAAGUGGUUGAUGAUCUAUUUUGUAAUAUCAUAGAGGGAUCAUGAAUUCCUGUUCUUUUCUGUGGCUAGGCAACACUUUCGGGCCAAGCUAAGGAAAUCUAUUUUAGGUAAUGUGAAAACCAGUUGUAGGAUGUAAUAGUUUAUUAUGCCCUGACAAUAACUUUUUGUAUAAUUGUCAGUUUAAUGAAUACAAGAGGAACUCUGUUGGCAAAUUCAUCCAUGAUAGAUGCUAAAAGUAUUUAUGCAUACCAGUUGCCUUAACUAAUUUUUCUCAACACUGGUAUUGAACAGGAAAAUGAAUAUGCAAUUUGUAUAUUGUGCCAUUGUGGAGAAUUUGGAUAUUCUUAUUUAAGUAACAAGGAGAGUAUUUGCCUCAUCUUUAAACAAUGAAUCUUUGAGAAAUGAGGAGUGGGUGAUUGGCAGUGUCUUCAUGUAAAUGUUCAUUUAUUUGUAUUUUGAACUAUUAUGAGAAUCUUUGUAUGCCAAAUUAGUAAUACAAAUGUUCAGAUGAUUUUUCCUGUUGAUCAUGCGUGUGUAUCUGCACACAACCAUUGUGUCCCACUUUAUUCUGAUGCACAAAUAUCUGUAGUUUAGAAGAAAAGAAAUAAUAAUCAUAUAUUAUUGCUUGGUUCAUGAUUAUUAAACGAUUAUGGCUUUAGAAAAUCCACAAAUCCUUUGUGUUCAUAUAUGAAUGUGCGAAGUUUGCUAUCUCUUAGAUUACCUUCUUCCAAGAUAACAAGUUCAUAUAUUUUUUUUAAUCCUUUUUCAUCACAGUUGAAUUUCAAGUGUAAGUUUUGUUAUUAAUAGCUGGUUUCCUGUUAUUAUGAUUUCAUAAACAGUGAGAGGAUAUGUGCUCUACUUUUGGAGGGCCUCCACAUGAAAGAAAAUUGCAACAAUUGAAUUCUUCCGGAGGGUAUGGUAUUUAAUUUAUUUUCUCAGCUUGUUGUAAGACUAAUAUAUUUCCUUCAGUACCCAAAAGGACAGAAAUGAAUUACGGAAGGAAGUUUUUGCUGCUUUAUUUAGUGCUGCUGAGAAAUCUGAUGGAUUUCCUGAAAUUACGGUGAAGACGGAGUGGAGGUCCAACGCAUUAGGAAAGGUGGUGAGUGAACCGCCGGAGGAAUUAGUACCAGAAUACAAGGCUAAUGUGGUGCACUUGCAGCAAGAUGACCAGACCUGUAUGUGCUCUUAUAUUAACUAUAUUGGUUGGAUUUGUGAGUGUGUACAUUUUUGUGUGUAUACUCACAUUUGUAUUUAUGCAUAUUAACGUGUGUAGGAUUCUUGAUUUCUGCCACUUACUGGAGAACUAGUGGAAAGCUUUAUACUGAUAUAUGUGCUAUAACUAAUGGAAACUACAAUAUGAAUAUUUUCUCUCACCUGGAGAACUGUGUAACAGAUAUAAUUUGUGGCUCUGGAAUACUGAAGAUUCUGCAAUAACUAAUGGAAAAUAUGAUAUGAAUAUUUUUUCUCACCUGGAGAACUUUGUAACAGAUACAUUUUGUGGCUCUGGAAUGUCUAAAGAAUGCUUCAGUUUAGAUCAAAUAUCUUUUAGUUAGAAAAGAUAAAAUUCUCUGAAUCUGAAAGACUGAAACAUUUUGCAUAUUUUGUGAAAGGGAAGUAUCUGUAGAUACUAGCUCAUGCAUUGAGGUAAUAUCAAUGUUAAAGAAAAACAGCAAUAAUUUAUUAUACAGAAUUAGGUUCACUUGCUUUAAAUGCUGGUCUGAUCAACCAUAACAACCUGUAAUGGUCCUGCAGAAAUAUAUAUACGGGGAGAAACUAGCUAAAUUUUCCUUUCACUUAUGGGUUUGGUCUUUUUUUCCCCUAUUUUUCAGCUUUCCUUCUCCUGAAGUAUGUUAACAAUUGCAGAUAAUGACGAAGAGGACCGCUUCCAGGCUCUUUGUAGAGCUGUGAUGGAAUAUAGGGGCACAAUGAAAGAAUAUUGUAAGGUUGUAUGUACUUUCUCUCUUGUCAUUUAUGUUUUCUCACACAUUUUGUUUAUGCCCUGAACAUGCAGCUUUGUAUGUGUCAAUUGCCUUUUACGUUUUAAAAGCCAUAAAGUAAGAAUACAGUUCCUUGUCAGGCUAUUGAUGCGUUCGCUCAGAAGGGUCAUGUUCAAGCAGGAAAACUUCUAGAACAGGUAAGGUUUCCAUCUACAGCCAUCCAUUGACAGCAGAUAUAUUUUCAUUAAGCAGACACUGUUAGCAUUCAAGAUGCUGGCAGAUUCACUUGAUUCUUAUUAGUUUGUUUAGUGGCAAGGCAUAUAACCUGUAUUUCAAAGCCAAGUUGUGCUAUUGAUUAUGUUAACUUUAUUGUUAACAUAAAGUGAUAUGGAGGACAUAAUCAAUGUAGGAAAAUUAGGUGAAGAGAUGAUGUCAAAUCUUGAACCUCUUACAAAGCUCCAAGUUCUUUACUUGAAGAAGCUGCCAAAUUUGAAGAGCGUCUACUGGAAGGCAUUUCCAUUCCCAGAUGUAUGCAGAAUUUUUGUAUUAAUGCCCAGUUCUUAAGAACCUGCCACUGGAUUUUCAAGGGGUGGGCCAAGGUAAAAUUCUUAUCAAGGGAAAGGAAGAUUGGUGGAAAGAACUUCAAUGGGAGGAUCAAGCAACUCAGAAUGCAUUGCUUCCAUUUUUCAAAUCAACUGACAAGUGAUUGAAGGGGGCAUCAUCAACAUCAUCAACAGAGAUGGAGAGAUUCUGGAGCAGAUCAGCAGGGUUUGUAUAUGAUCUUUGGUGGUUGCUUUCUUUUGUGAUUUUUUUUUUCUUCCUGUCAUUUUAUCAUUUCUUUGUCUCUUUUUUUAUUGCUGAUGUUAGUGUAUGCUUACUGUUGCUUGACAAAGUUCGCUUGCUUCUUGUUUAUUAAAUUUUUUAUCGUCACAAAAUAUUACUUGUUCUAUUUGAGAGUGAUGUGAAUCAAUUUUCAAUUAUAUAUUUUGUGGUCAAUGUGAAUUCAAUUUCAUUUGUCUCCUGCAAUUAUGAGAAAACUGCAGAGUCAUAAUAUGGAAAAGUACACCAGCAAAAACUUUGUAAAAGCUUCGGAGUGAAACAGGGAAUUCACUUACUACUAAGAACAAUUGAUGGCGAGUUAUUCCAUUCAUUUUAUGUCCAUCUAUCUAUUUAAUUAUUAAAGAUAAAUGGUCCAUUUAUAAAUUUCAGAUUGUCUCUCUCUGAAAAUAACAAUAUUUAAAAUAUCUCUUAAAUUAUUAUAAAUUUUAAUACACUCUCGAUUUAAAAUGGAACAUGCUGAUGAAAUUGUUUUCUUCUUAAUAAAAUUGAAAUAAAUUGUGUUUGCAGUAGUUUGAAAUAUUUUAAAGAUUAUUAUUUUAUAAGGGAGUAAUAUGAAAUGAAAUUUACUUUUCAUGCGUGAAAUGUUGAAAAAGGACAAAGCAAGUGUCCCUGCUUUUAUUUUUAUUUUAAAGUGGAGUCAUCUCACAUACUUUAGCUCUAUCAUUACAAUUUUUCAGGUUACAUUUUUAUUAUUUAUUUAUUUUCUUUUUUACACAUGCAUGUGGGUUACUUUUCCGUAAGCUCCUCAAUAUAUAUUGAACCCAGCGAAGAAUGUUAUGGAAGAGCAAAUUAAUGAUAUUUCUGAUAGAGUCUAUUUGAUUAUGUAGCCUGAAUGGAUGUCUUGUUGAAAGAUAUCUCAGUGCAUUAGUUCAUCCUUGUCUGUCAAUGUGUUUUUAAUGGUUUUUCCAAUUGUUUAUUAUUAUAGAUUGAUUGUAAAUUGAUAUGAAAAUUUGAUAUGAAUUUAAUGUUGAAAUGUUUUCUCUUUAGUGGAAUGAAUUUAAAAGUGCAAAAGAUUAUUGCACACAGAGAAAUAAACAUAUAUGCUUUAUAACUUUAGCAAUCGAUUCUUUUACAGCUGGAAACAGAGAUGAUGAUUAUCAUAAGGAUGAAGAAAAGUAGUGCGUUAGACGAUUAGACUCUCUUAUUAAAGGCAAGUAUAAAGUAGUGAAGAAUCCAAUAUCUCUAUUGUCUAGUCUUUUGUUUAAUUCUUCUUUUAUUAUUUUUCAGAAUAAUUUUUGGUGAUUACAAUCGGGUUAUUAUUCAGAGUUAUUGUUAUCUUCUGGGGCAGUUUCUGUUCAUCGAAUUCAUUAAUUAAAAUUUUAGAACUCUUAUCAGAAGAAUAUUUUUCGGUUAUCUUUUUUAUGUUCUAAUUCCAAUUGUAAGAAGUAGCCAUUUUAGAAUUUGGGUCUUGAAUCGAAUUUCAAUGCAUGAAUUAAUAUUAAAAAAAAAAAAUUCACUACUCGCAGUUUAGGUUACAAAUUACUUUUUGGAAAGUUGACUUUGGAAUGUUUGCAAAGAAAGAGACUAACAUAUUUCCAAUUACACUAAAUCUCUAUUAUGAUAAUGUUAAGACUAAAUUAAUUUAAAUAAUUUUUAUUUGAAAAUUAUAUCAAACGCAGUCUAAUUUUAUUAAUUUUAAGAAAUAAUAAUUAUAAAAAUUAUUGUUCUGACUUAAUUAAUACAAGUGAUAUAAAAGUUAAGUGUGCACUAAAUCUGUUUUAAUUUUUUCCAGUAUAACUAACAGAGGUCAUUACUAGAAUUAUAUUACUAGUCUAUUAGAUAGAAAAAAUUACUUAUAUUGUUUUAUAUUUAUUAAAAAAUUUAAAGCCAAUUUUUUUAAUUACUAUUUAAAGAAUAUUAUAAUUUGAAAAAUUUUAAUAUCUUUAUUAAAAAUUUAGAAAUUUACAGUCCUCUAAAUAUUUAAGGCGUAACUGUCAUUUUCUCAAGAAGCUUUAUUUAAUAUUAUUGAUUUAAAUAAUAUCUUAUUAAAAAUGUACUGAGGAGAAAUUUUGGUGGGUAUUUUAGUCUUUUCAGCAAUCAUCAUGAUUAACCUUUGGUUGGCCUUGAAACGUCGGUCAGAAAAGUUUUAAAAUGCUUAAUUGUUUUUCACUGUUAACGUUAGUGGCCUUGAAAUUGCUUAUAUUUUAUUAAAAAUUAAUGCUAACAAGAAAAAACUAGAUCGUAUUCCACCCCCAAAGCAAAAGUGAUAAAACAACCGGCUGUAUUCUUUUAUUAAACUACAAAUUAAAAUGGAUUUCUUUAAUUAAAGUGGAUAUCAUUUAAUUAAUGUUUGAACAUUAAAGUUCUGAUAUAUAACCACUAUGCCGACCACCUAAUUGCUGCUAUUUAAUUUCGUUCCAGUUCUCUCUCUCUCUCUUUUUCUUUUUUUUUUGGGCCAAGCAAUAAAUAGUAAAAAUUCAAUAAAAGCAAUAUUAAUGCUGCAAGUGAGUCAUGUUAUUUAUUGUCAAUUAGGAAAUGUGAACCUAAUUUGAUUGCAUCCCUUUAAUCAUUUAAUAAUUAUGUAAGCACCAUCCCUUUAAUUAUUUAAUAACUAGAAAAUAGAACACUGCGUUUCACGCGGCUUUGAAAAAAGAAUUUAGUAUUAUCUUUUUUUCUUACUUUACACUUGAUGAAACUGAUAAAAAAUAUGAAUUGAUUUUUUUUAAAGAUGAGGCAGCCUUAUAAAAAAUAAAAAAAGCUAUUAGCCAGCAAUACAAAUAAAGAAGGAAUGCAAGAUAAAGAAUAAAAUGAGAGAAUAUAUUAUAGAGUGAUCUUAUUCAUUCUAAUUGUGUGUGUACAAAACAAAAAGAUGAGCUCUCCUUUUAUAACUACAUAAUUACUUCAUGAAAUUAAUGAAAAAUUAUGAAUCAUAAUUUCUUGUGAGAUAGUGGGAGUUAUUGGGAAGCUAAAAGUUGCUAAUGGGAGAUAGUGGGGAGACUAAGAGAUAUAUAUUAUGAACAUCUACAUUUAUUUUAAUAAAUUCAUAACACUCCCCCUUAAAUGUUCAUUACAAAGAAUAUGCCUCAUUAAAAUCUUUACAUAAUUGUUAUUGUGUAAUAACAAUCAAAUUAAUUAUAAGAAGAUGAAAAGCCAAAUCUAACAGAAAAUUUCUCUAUUUAUUAGAUAAUAGAGAAUAUAGCAAGAUGAGAAAUGGUAAUGCCACAUCAUCUCCUCACGUCCCAACUUUAUAUAUAUAUAUAUAGAUAAUAUAUAUUAUUCCUGUCCUACAUUCACAUAUUUAAUUGUCCUUUUGAAAAUAUUCAUGAGUUAGGCCAAGUAAAGUCAAAGAAAUUGGGAAAAAGGAACAAAAGGACAAACCUAAAUUAAUUGAACCUAAUUCAUGAAAAUGCACACUUUUGUGUUGCGGACGGCGGACCCUAAAGCUUCGUUGUUUGCAGCUGCAAUUAAUUCUUUUCCUUCAAAAGUUAGAGGCUCGUGUUUACAGUGGGUCCCGAAUCGGACGUACCUAAUAAAUCUUUUAAAAAAAUUUGCCGUAUAAAGGACAGAGGUCAUUACUGAAAUUUCUCUUCCACGGGCAAUUACAGCAGCUUCAGUUAAUCAAACUCAAAUCAAUUUUCUUUCUUAACAAAAUAUUCCAAAGAUGUGUAGCAUUUUUCAGAUCACAUGCGAUGGUGCUUUUUUCAAUCGUUGCUUGGAUUGCUUUCUUGGAAAAGCAGCAUACAUACGUAACCUCCAAGAUAAUCUUGUAGCCUUGGACACUGAAUUGGGAAAUCUGAUCGCUAAAAAGAACGAUGUGAUGAGGAGGGUUGUCGAUGCUGAACGGCAACAAAUGAGAAGGCUGGACGGAGUGCAAGUGUGGGUUUCGAGGCUCGAUGCUGUUAAAACUGAAGCCGAUGAACUUAUCACAGACGGCUCUCGAGAAAUUGAAAAAUUAUGUGUUGGAGGCUACUGUUCCAAGAACUGCAGGUCAAGCUACAAAUUCGGAAAACAAGUGGCAAGAAAGCUACGAGAUGUGGAGACUUUAAUCGCCGAGGGAGUUUUUGAGUCGGUGGCUGAGAGAGCUCCGGAACCUGUGGCAGAUAAAAGACCCACUGAGCCAACAAUAGUAGGCUUGCAAUCACAGCUUGAACAAGUUUGGAGAUGUCUUCUUGUAGAAGAAUCAGCGGGAAUCAUUGGCCUAUAUGGUAUGGGCGGUGUUGGUAAAACCACACUGUUGACCCAUAUCAACAAUAAAUUUCUUGAGAGUCCCACCAACUUUGAUUGUGUGAUUUGGGUCGUAGUUUCAAAAGACCUGCGACUUGAAAAAAUUCAAGAAGAUAUUGGGAAGAAGAUAGGUCUGUUUGAUGGUUCGUGGAAGAAUAAAAGUGUUGAGGAGAAAGCCGUAGACAUCUUGCGGAGAUUAGGAGAGAAGAGGUUUGUAUUGUUGUUAGAUGAUUUAUGGGAGCGGGUUGAUUUAACAGAAGUGGGCGUUCCACUUCCCAGCCCACAAAAAUACUACAUCAAAGUCGUAUUCACGACCCGUUUCAUUGAUGUGUGUGGUAGCAUGGAAAGUCACAGGAAGUUUAAAGUGGCAUGCUUAUCAGAAGAGGAUGCUUGGGAGCUGUUUCGAGGAAAAGUAAGGCAAGAAACUCUUGAGAGUCAUCAUGAUAUCGUUGAGCUAGCCCAAACUGUGGCCAGAGAGUGUGGCGGUUUGCCACUCGCGCUUAAAACUAUAGGUCGAUCUAUGGCCUACAGAAAGACAGCUAAGGAGUGGAGACAUGCAAUUGAAAUGUUAAGGAGAUCAGCUUCAGAGUUUGCAGGUUUGGGAGAAAAGGUGUAUCGUCUUUUAAAGUUUAGCUAUGAUAGUUUGCAGAAUGAUACGAUUAGAUCUUGUUUCUUAUAUUGUUGUUUGUAUCCUGAAGAUUAUGGCAUUCUUAAAUGGGAUUUGAUUGAUUGUUGGAUUGGUGAGGGAUUCUUAGAGGAAUCUGACAGGUUUAGUGCAGAAAACCAAGGAUACUACAUUGUGGGCACUCUUGUUCAUGCAUGUUUAUUAGAAGAGGUGGAAGAUGAUAAAGUAAAAAUGCAUGACGUUGUUCGUGAUAUGGCUAUAUGGAUAACCGGUGAAAUUGAGAAGGAGAAGCGAAACUUUUUGGUUUGUGCAGGUGCUGGAUUAAAAGAGGCACCGGAUGUUGAAGUAUGGGAAAAUGUGAGAAGAUUGUCAUUGAUGCAAAACCAAAUUGAAACUCUGUCAGAGGUUCCCACAUGCCCUCAUCUUCUCACUUUAUUUCUUGACUUUAAUAGGGAGUUGAAGACUAUUGCGGAUGGCUUCUUCCGAUGUAUGCCUUCUCUCAAAGUUUUGAAGAUGUCAAACUCUGGAAAGCCUUGGAAAGGUUUGGAAUUAAAUUUGGGGAUGCCAAAGUUGGGUUCACUACAGCUUCUUGAUAUUUCACACACCUGCAUACAAGAUUUACCGCAAGAAUUAAAGUUGUUGGUAAAUCUGAAAUGUUUGAAUUUGAGGCGGACAAUUUGGUUAAAUAAAAUUUCAUGGCAACUAAUAUCAAAUUUUUCAAGGUUACGUGUGUUGAGAAUGUUCGCUACUGGCUGGUUCAAUUUUCAUGAAGCACCAGAAGACAGCGUUUUAUUUGGUGGGGGUGAAGUUUUGAUACAGGAAUUGCUCGGUUUGAAAUAUUUAGAGGUAUUGGAGUUGACCUUGGGAAGUUAUCAUGCUCUCCAAAUUCUUUUCAGCUCAAAUAAGCUAAAAAGUUGUAUUCGAUCUCUUUACCUCCAGUUGACCGGAGAUACAGCGUUAAUUAUUGAUGCUACGGCUUUCGCAGAUCUAAAACACCUCAAUGAAUUACGCAUUGAGUCGGCUACAAAGCUGAAAGAAUUGACGGCUGAUUAUACAGAGAUAGUUCGAAAAAGGCGGGAACCUUUUGUUUUCCGCAGCCUUCACCAUGUUACUAUACAAAGCUGCCAGAAGUUGAAAGAUUCGACAUUCCUCGUUUUUGCUCCAAACCUCAAGUCUCUUUCGAUAGUCAAAUGCAAUGCUAUGGAAGAAAUAAUCAGCGUCGGAAAAUUUGCUGAGACUCCUGAGAUGAUGGGACAUAUAAGUCCUUUUGAAAAUCUCCAAAUGAUUGAUUUACUAGGUUUGCCACAUUUGAAGAGCAUCUUCUGGAAGCCAUUGCCUUUCACUCAUCUGAAAGAAAUAUCUGUGCGUUAUUGCCCUAAUCUUAAAAAGCUUCCACUCGAUUCCAACAGUGCAAAGGAGCGUAAAUUUGUUAUUCGUGGAGAAGAAGACUGGUGGAACCCACUUCAAUGGGAGGAUGAAGCCACUCAAAUUGCUUUUCGUUCCUGUUUCCAACCCUUGUUCCUGAACAGUGGUCGCAAAAUUUGAUUUCUGGUGAGUGCGUUUGUCUUUUAAAAAGAAUAAUUUAAAAGAAAUUUAUUCUUGUCGGUUUCUUCACUGUUUUUAUUUCAGUUUCUCUCUCUCUCUCUCUCUCUCUCUCUUUUUGUCUUCUGCAAAUCACAAUUACAUUUUUAUUCUUGUCGUUUUCUUCACUGUUUUUAUUUCAGUUUCUCUCUCUCUCUCUCUCUCUCUUUUUGUCUUCUGCAAAUCACAAUCAAAUGUUGAAUUAAUGGAAUUAAUGCUUCAUAAAUUUGCCGGCACUGCCAUUACUUUUUUUUGGGGGAUCGAAUUGAUACUUUAUUUAUAUCUUCUUAGCGAUUUAAUUUCCUGUCAAAAGACGAACGAGAAGAACAUAUGACUUAAACCAAUGCUCGCAUAAACUUGCUGUAAAAAGAUAUAAUCUCACUGAAAUGCACACGCCUAGAAUGAAUAGAAUUAAAACAGGGAAAAUAUUAAGUAUAUUAGCCCUCUUUACUGAAAAUCAAAUGACAGUAAAUUUUUUGAAGUUUUGAUUUUCUAUGGUCAAUUCCACCUUUUGCAAUUUCUUCUGUUCUAACAAAAACCAAUUUCUUUGUUCAAGUAUUUUCGUUUGGAUAUUAAUAAUUCUCCACCGAAAGAGUGAACUCUUGCUCAAAGGGAUCUCUAAUAAUACAUAACAUGAUUAUUUUCGUUUGAAUAAUUGAUUUCUUGAUUGAAUUGUCGUGUAAUUGAUUUAUGGGGGAUGACACAUCAACAUACUUGAAAAUACACUAAUCUCAGCAUCAUCGGUUAAUAACUUUUAGAUUUAUGGGUAAUCAAUAGUUAAGAUUAGUUGUCAUUAAUACUAAAUAAUUUUUACUUUUUUUGUCUCUUCUAGAGGAUCUUCUAGAAAAAUGCAUCCACAAUUAAAUUUAAUACUUUACAUAAUAAACAAAGCCUAAAUGUUAAAUUUAAGAAACUGCAUUGUAUUUCAGUUGAAGUUGACUUUAAUAUUUAGGGUAGAAAAACAAUUAAUUUUAUUUUUUGAAAUGUCCAUAUUCAGAGCACAUUUCAAAAAGACUCAAUAAUUUCUCAUAAAUUUCAAUUAAAAAUAUUCAAUUUGUUGUUUCAGUUCUUUUAUUUUUUAUUUUUUCCGACAUGAAAGCGACUUAAUGUUACUAAAUUGGGUGGUCUUUGGAUUUUCAUGACCCAAUAAUUGGAACAAAACAAUUUUCUCAAGCGCUCUCCCGCAACAUUUUAUAAUUGAAGCCGCUGCCCCGCCCGUGGUUUCAAACUUUUUUCUUUCUCCUUGUUUAAAUUAAUGGGAGCAGCCUCCGUCCUUGACUAGUUGACUGCUUGUCUUCUUUUUUUUAUUAAUUAAUUAAUUCAGCCGCCCCCCUUUCUUGUCCCAAUAUCUUCUACUUUCGGUUUCCUUUUAUUAUCUCUUUAUUUUUAAAAAAUGCUUAUAAUAAUAAUAAAAUAUAAAAUAUAAAAAUAAAAAUAUAAUUUAUCAGAAAAUUAAGAUAAAGAAAUAUUAUAAGCACAUCAAUCAACAAGUGAAAAAAAAACAAUUUUAAUUUACAUUAAAUAUAAACUUUCAGUGUUAAUCAACUUUUCUAAAUAACUAAAUUAAAAAAUUAAUUGAUUUAAUUGUGGUGUAAUUGAUUUGUAGGGGAUGAAUCAGCAGCAUCAUCGGUUAACGCUUUCAGAUUUAUAGUUAAUCAAUAGUUGAGAGUUGUUAUCACUAACGCCGUGUAUUUUUUAAUGUUUUUUCUCUCUCCUACAGCAUCUUCUAGGAAAGUGCAUCCGUUGCUAAAAUUUAGUAUCGUAAAUAAUAAACCAAGAAUAAAUAUUAAAUCUAAGAAACUGUAUUGCAUUUAAUAUUUAAGGGAGAAAAAUAAUUAUAGUGUCUUUAUUAAUCAGUAAAAAAAAAAAUUAGAAUCAUAAUAAAUUGUAUUGUUAUUGAUGUAUUUAUUUUAUUUUAUACUCAAAAUAAAUUAUUUUAAAUUAUUAAAAUAAUUUAAAAUUAGUAUUUUAUUUUAUACUCAAAAUAAAUAAUUUAAAAUUUUCAUUUCUUGUUUAUUUCGCAAGUUGUUAUUGCCUAAUGCUAUGUCAACUCGAACAUUAGCAUUUUUUUUUUUGGUCCUCUUUUAACGCAAAAUUAGUGUAGGUUAAGUAACAUAAUCAAUAUUAGGACAAUUUGAAAUCCCUAUGGGUGCGUUUGGUACACUGUAUUGUAUUAUACUGUAUUGCAUUAUUUUAAUGCUGAUGUAUUGUAUUAUGUUGUAUUGCAUUAGCACUGUAUUAUAACAAUGCUAUACAAUAUUUGGUGUUACAUUGUACUGUAUUAGAUUUUAAUUAUAUUAUAUUUAGUGUUACAAUUGUUGUAACAUAAACACGACCAAAAUAAAUUGUACUAAAUAAUCUAAGUAAGAGUUCUGUAGUAUAUGUAAUAAUACUAUUUAUAUUAUUAUUAUUAAUAAUUCUAAAUUAAUAUUAUUUAAUUUUAUUCAUAUUUAAAUAUGUAUUAUUAGUUUAUUAAAUUAUUUAAAAUAAUUAAUUUAUAUAUAUUAAUUAUUGUAACUUAAUUAAAUAAUGUAAUGCUAUAUUAUAUUUUUAUAUACUAUUUAAGUAUUUAUUAUUAAUUAUAUUUAAUUAUAAAUUUAUUAAUAAAUUAUAAUAUAAAAAUAAAAAAUAAAAAUUAAUAUUGUAUAAUAUUAUAUUAAAUUAAAGUUUUAUUUUUAUUACUAUUAUUAUAAAGUAAAAAAAAAAAAAAGGGAAGCUACUGACUUUUGAAACACAAAAGUCAGUAAUACAACCUAAUCACGAGGGGGGGCGCGGGUUUUGAUAAUGCGGCAAAAGCUGCAUUGUAAUGCUGCUCAAUGCAAUCCAUUUGAUCACCAAACACAGGUAUAUUUUAACUAAUGCUGGGCCCACAAAAUAAUACAAUGCAAUUCCGCAUGCCAAACAUACCCUAUGGGUGCGUUUGGUACACUGUAUUGUAUUAUACUGUAUUGUAUUAUUUUAAUGCUGGUGUAUUGUAUUAUGCUGUAUUGCGUUAGCAUUGUAUUAUAAUAAUGUUGUACAAUGUUUGGUGUUACACUGUACUGUAUUAAUUUUUAAUUAAACUAUAUUUGGUGUUAUAUUGUAUUGUAUUAAUUUUUAUAAUUAAUUAAAUUAAAUAAUUAAAAAAUAAUAUUUAUUAAUACUUAGAAAAAUAAUAAAUAUAGAAAUCUUAAUUGUAGAAAUUUAACAAAUUUUUUAGUAAAUAUUAAAAAUUAAUGAUUAAAUUUCUAAAAUUUGUAUUAUAAUUAUGAUAAAAUAAAUUUAUAAAAUUUAAUAUUAUAUGUAAAUAAUAAAUUUAGAUUAUAAUUAAUAUUAUAAUUGUUAAUAUAAAUUAAUAAAUUAUUAUUCAAUAAUAUUCAAUUAUAUUUUAAUUUACAAUAUAUUAUUAUUUUUACAUUUUAAUAUAUUAAUAAAUUUAUAAUUUAACAUAAAUAAUUAUAAAUUUAAAUAAUAUUAAUUUUAAAAUUAAUAUUAAUGUAAAUAAUAUUAUAAUAUUAAUAUAUUAUUUUUAUAUGAAUCAUUAAUAAAUAAAAUAAUAUUAUCAUAUAAUUUAUUUUUAUAUUUUAUUCAUUAUAUUAAUAUUUAAUAAUAAAAUAAUUUAUUUUUAUAAUAUUUUAAUAAAAUAAAUUUGCCUCAAUUGAGGCAUUAACUGUUGCCUCAAUUGAGGCAAAAAGCUUCCGCAUCCCUCGGGUUUGCGUAAUGCGGCCCCAUGCCUCAUUAUGCUGCAUUAUAAUGCAGCAUAAUGAGGUGUCAAAUUUUGCCAAACAUGUUCUUGGUAAUAAACUAAUGUGAAUAGUAGUAUAAUACCACAUAAUCUCAUGCACCAAACACGCCCUAUGUGUAUUAUUCACGGUAUCUAUGAGGGCUUAUCCUUUUGCUAGAACAAACUCUAGCAAAUUGUCAAAUGUGCUUAUCCUUUCCCUUGACGACUCAUUUUAAAAUUGUCACUCAUUUUAAAAUUGUCUUUCAAUGCACAAACACAGACAUAACCGCCGACAUCGAGCACCAAGUUUGGAAUUUAAUUGAUAAGCAUACAUUUGAUAAAUUAAUGAAAAGUUUGGAGAGUAGUUUUGAUCACCCUUGAUUAGGACGGUAUUACAAAAAAGAUCAAAAAGAAAACAUCGUCUCUCUUCACAAAAAUAAAUAUUUUCCGUUAGAAUUUAAUACAAUAAUAUUUUUUUUGAUUAAAAUUUAAUUAAAUACACAAAUAAAUUAUAUAUUUUUUAAAAAAAUUUACACCCAGUCACAAGGCUGGCUAUUAAACUUAAAGGGUGGAAGCUUCGGAGACUAAAGUUGGUAACUUCUCCAAGUGGUCUUAAGUUGACCGGAACUACCCAGACUUUAUGUUUGGUAGCCUAGACCUGAUCGGACCUAGGCCCAAGUUUGGUCUUAAAGUCCACAAUUAAAUUAAAAAAAAAUUAUUUGAUUUGUAAUUGAUUUAUGGGGAAUGAAUCCGCAGCCCUAAAAUUACACCAAUCUUGACAUAAUGACAUCAUCGGUUAAAAACGUUCAGAUUUAUGGUUAAUCAAUGGUUUGAGAUUUGUUAUCAUUAAUGCUAGAUAUUUUUUAACAUUUUUUUCUAUCUCUCUUCUCCUGAAGGAUUUUCUAGGAAAAUGCAUCCACAACAAAAAUUUUAAAUUGUAAACAAUAAACAGAGUAUAAACGUUAAAUCUAAGGAACAUCGCUGCAUUUCAGCUGAAGCGAACUUUAAUAUUUUACGGAGAAAAAUAAUUAAGUCUUUAAUGUGAUUUAUUGAUUAAUAUAUAUGACUAAUUUUUUAAAAGAAGAUGAAGGAUGAAGCUUAAAAAUAUAAAUUAUAGAAUUAAUUUAUCUCUUCAAUAAAUCUAAAGUUUAUUUUUUUUAUUACAUGCUUCUAUUUUAUUUUUAUUCCAUGUUAAUGAAUGGAGAUUUAAAUCCAUUUUGGAUUUAUAAAGAUGUUUAGAUAUUUAAAUCCACGUGUGAUUCCAAACUUGAACCUUUUUUUUUUUUUUUUCUAAUUAAUGCAAACAGCCGCCUCUUUGACUGCUUUUCUUCUUUGUUUAUUAAUUAAUUAAUUCAGCUGCCCACCUUUCUUUUCCUAAUGUUUUCUACUCCCAAAUUUUUUUAAGGACAAGGCUACGUUGCAGACGCUGUACCUAACAGCUGCACCUUCGCCAGCUUAAAAAAGGGUGCAUUUGGUAAGCAACUUUUCUUUCGUGUGCAUAUGUGUCCUGCCACCAUUGGGUGUGUACGUAACAGAUAAUGUACCGUAACAAGCUCCUAUUUUUAAAUUUGUUUAUAAUGAUAAAAUAUAAAAAUUAAGAUUAAAAUGUAAUGUAAUGUAAAAUUAAAGGUGGAAGAGUAUUAAAAUAAGGCUAAACCUAUGUUACGUUUAACGUAACAUACAUUUAAAUAUAUAAAAUAUCAAUGGAAACCCUCAAAUUUUAUGGAAACUAUAUUAAUAAAAUUAAAAGAAAUAUUUUUAAAUCUGAAAGAAGAAAUAAAAGAUAUAAAGCAAGAGAUAGGAAAACUAAAAAUAGAAAUAUCUGUAAAAGAAAAAGGAAAAGAAAAAUUAGAAAUAAAAGAAACAACUCCAACUGAAUCGAAUUCAGACUAAUGGAAGAUGUAUUAGAAACUUUAACUGAAAAAUUCAGUGACAUAAAUCUUAGUGAUUUAGAAGACUUUGAAAAAGAAUAUUAGAUAAAAAUGAAUACUGCUGGAGGACCAGAAAUGAAACCUAAUGUAGCAUAACCAAGUCAUAGAUAUGGUAUAAAUAAAAUGAAAAAUAAACCUUUUUACGAGUAUAUACCUCCUAUUAAAAAUACUCCUUGGAAAAAAGAAUACAAACCAAAUCAAGAUACAUUAACCCCAAUAAAUAAUGCUGGAACAUUUUUAAAUCUAGAUUGUAAGAUAGACAUUCGAAAGGCGUUAGCAGAAUGGGUGUUACAAAUGAAAUUAUUUUUUAUAUUUAACGGGUCAAAGGAUGACUAGAAUGUAGAGACUGAAGAAGAAAAAAUAGAUAUAUUUGUUGAAAUCUUAAUAGCCAGUUUUUCAGGAAAUGUGUUUAAUUGGUGGAGAGGAUUAAGCGAUGAUACACAAAACUUAAUAAAAGAUUCAACCAAAUAGCAUUUAGAAAAAAUAAAGCCUUAGGAAUGGAAAGGAUAACUGAAUACAUAGCUAGUGAAUUUUUAGGAGAAGAUUGGCUAGAAAAAUCGGGCAUAUAUGAAAAUUUAAAAAUUUAUGAUAAAAAGAUCUUAGUGUUUUUAUUAAAAAAUUAAAAUUUACAUGACUAUUUCUUUAAAUAUUUAGGGCAUAUAUGAACCACGGAGGAGAAAAGCUUUAUUUAAUAUUUUAGAAUAGUUUUUGAUCAGUACAAUUGGGUCCUUAUUCAGAAUUAUUGUUCUCUUCCGCAACAGUUUUUGUUUAUCAAAGUCGUCAAUUAAAAUUUUAGAAUUCUUAUCAGAAGAAGUAGUCGUUUUAGAAGUUGGGUCUUGGAUCAAAUUUCUACGAGUGCAUGAAUUAACAAUAAAAAAAUUUCAUUACACACGGUUUAAGCUACAAACUACUAUUUGCACAGUUGACUAUAAAACUUACCUCCAAUUACACUAAACCUCUCUAUUUGGUAACGUUGAGACUAAAUUAAUUUUAUUAGCAUGAAAAGAUGAUAGAAAUAUAAUUAUAAAUAUUAUUGUUGUUAAUCAAUUAGUACAUGUGAUAUAAAGGUUAAAUGUGCACUAUAUUUAAUAAUUAAUUAGUGGAGCAUGUUAAACAAAAUGUUAAUGUAUAUUUAUAUAGUGUUAGGAAUAUGCAAAGUCAAGUCCUCAAUUUGCAUUAUCCUGUAUAGAAUAUUACUCUAAAAAUGUUUUACUAUAAUUGGCUUAGAACAUUUGUAAAGAAAAAUAAUAAUAAAAUAAUAAAUAACAUACACCGUCACAUAGCACCUAGACAAUGAUAGAAAAUUAUUAAAGAGAGUGCAAACAAUUAAUUAGAGAUUUUUAUGAUGACUUUUAAUAUUCAUGAUAAUAACAAAUAAAUACAUGUAUCACUUUUUUAAAAUAUUAAAUUUGACUGCUCCAUUAAUAAAUUAUUAUUGUAAUUCAGACUCUAUCUAUAUAUCCUUGCACUAAGAAUAAUUAAGGUAACGUUUGUUUUUUAACUUAAUGACUUAAAGUGACUUAACUUAAUUAAUUAAGUUAAUUAGAGGUGUUUGUUUUAUAACUUAAUGAGACUUUUUAGAUAAUUUUGACUUAAUAAAAUAAGCUAAUUUUUUUUGGCUUUUUACUUAAUGGAGAAAUCUGAAUUAAGUCAAUUACUUGCUAAUGUCAAAAAUAUCCUUGUUUUAUAAUUUAUUUUUCAUGUCUAUCCCAAAACUCGCCCGUAGAUAUUUACCCCACAUAAAAAUAUCCCUGUUUUUUUCUUUCUUAUAUUAUAUACGAUAAAAUUUGAAAUUUAUAGUAUUUUAUAUAUUAAAAUUCUAAAAUAAUUAUGUAUUCACUUGAAUAUAGUUUUACUUAUAAAUGUUAAAAUAUGAUGGUAUUUAAUAUAUUAUUUAUUUGACAUUCAAAUUUAAUAAGGAUACAAAUGUAAAAGUACAUAUUUUCAGCUUUUUAAAUUGAAAAAAAAUAACUUAAUAUUUAUUUUCUGAGAUUCAGACGAAAAAAUAAACAUAUUAUUCAGAUUCAUACAUUCAGAUCUAUUCAGAAUUCAAACUAAUUCAAGUCUAUUCAAAUUUUAGACAAAAAAAUAAACGCCACCUAAGUCAUAAUAAAAAUUUUCGUAACUACAUCUCGUUUCUUCCUCAUAAUAAUAAUUAGAUUGGUUCGAAUAUUAUAACUAUAUAGAUUUAGUGUAUAGCCACAUCCAAUUUAAAUAUUGACCCAAUUGGGAUGGUCCCCAAAAAAAAAGAUUCGUUAAAGGAUAAUUCUAAUUAUUUUUACUUCUCAAACGUUAGUGGGACGUUUCUAUUAGCGCACUCGUAAGCCAAGUUGUCAAAUAUUUAUACUAAACUACAAUUGCUAACAAGAAAAAUCAAGAUCGUGUUAAGCAAGUGGGUCCCGAAUAGGACGUGCAAAUCUCUCGUAAGUCAAGUUGUCAAAUGUUUAUAUAAAACUAACAAUUACUGACAAGAAAAAUCAAGAUCGUAUUAAAAAUGGGUCCCGAAUAGGAUUAUCUUUUUAAGAAUAUUAUUAUUUUAUUAUUAAAAUUUUAUUAAUAUAACAGUAUUAAAAUUUAUUAAAAAAUAUAUUUUAUUAUUAAAAUUUUAUACCGUUAUCAAUUUAUUAUUAUUUUAUUAAAAAAAUUAAUAUUUAACAAAAAUUGAGAUAAAAAUUAAUUUUUGUUCUCUGUCUUUAUUUAUUUAUUUAUUUUUUUGGGUCUUCUGCAAAUCACAAUCAAAUGUUGAAUUAUAAAUUUGCCGGCAUUGCUUUUUUUUUUUUUUUUGGGCCGGGGGGUGGUGUUGAAUUGAUGCUCUGGGUUUUUGACUUUUGUUGUCAAAUUUUACUCUGUUUUUCCCAAAUUGAUGCUANNNNNNNNNNNNNNNNNNNNNNNNNNNNNNNNNNNNNNNNNNNNNNNNNNNNNNNNNNNNNNNNNNNNNNNNNNNNNNNNNNNNNNNNNNNNNNNNNNNNNNNNNNNNNNNNNNNNNNNNNNNNNNNNNNNNNNNNNNNNNNNNNNNNNNNNNNNNNNNNNNNNNNNNNNNNNNNNNNNNNNNNNNNNNNNNNNNNNNNNNNNNNNNNNNNNNNNNNNNNNNNNNNNNNNNNNNNNNNNNNNNNNNNNNNNNNNNNNNNNNNNNNNNNNNNNNNNNNNNNNNNNNNNNNNNNNNNNNNNNNNNNNNNNNNNNNNNNNNNNNNNNNNNNNNNNNNNNNNNNNNNNNNNNNNNNNNNNNNNNNNNNNNNNNNNNNNNNNNNNNNNNNNNNNNNNNNNNNNNNNNNNNNNNNNNNNNNNNNNNNNNNNNNNNNNNNNNNNNNNNNNNNNNNNNNNNNNNNNNNNNNNNNNNNNNNNNNNNNNNNNNNNNNNNNNNNNNNNNNNNNNNNNNNNNNNNNNNNNNNNNNNNNNNNNNNNNNNNNNNNNNNNNNNNNNNNNNNNNNNNNNNNNNNNNNNNNNNNNNNNNNNNNNNNNNNNNNNNNNNNNNNNNNNNNNNNNNNNNNNNNNNNNNNNNNNNNNNNNNNNNNNNNNNNNNNNNNNNNNNNNNNNNNNNNNNNNNNNNNNNNNNNNNNNNNNNNNNNNNNNNNNNNNNNNNNNNNNNNNNNNNNNNNNNNNNNNNNNNNNNNNNNNNNNNNNNNNNNNNNNNNNNNNNNNNNNNNNNNNNNNNNNNNNNNNNNNNNNNNNNNNNNNNNNNNNNNNNNNNNNNNNNNNNNNNNNNNNNNNNNNNNNNNNNNNNNNNNNNNNNNNNNNNNNNNNNNNNNNNNNNNNNNNNNNNNNNNNNNNNNNNNNNNNNNNNNNNNNNNNNNNNNNNNNNNNNNNNNNNNNNNNNNNNNNNNNNNNNNNNNNNNNNNNNNNNNNNNNNNNNNNNNNNNNNNNNNNNNNNNNNNNNNNNNNNNNNNNNNNNNNNNNNNNNNNNNNNNNNNNNNNNNNNNNNNNNNNNNNNNNNNNNNNNNNNNNNNNNNNNNNNNNNNNNNNNNNNNNNNNNNNNNNNNNNNNNNNNNNNNNNNNNNNNNNNNNNNNNNNNNNNNNNNNNNNNNNNNNNNNNNNNNNNNNNNNNNNNNNNNNNNNNNNNNNNNNNNNNNNNNNNNNNNNNNNNNNNNNNNNNNNNNNNNNNNNNNNNNNNNNNNNNNNNNNNNNNNNNNNNNNNNNNNNNNNNNNNNNNNNNNNNNNNNNNGAAGGGUCUCUAAUCAAUAGCUGGAAGCAAUUGAGAAGGCGGUUGCUACAGUGAAUUCAAAUGUAAAAUGUUUGCUAUUCUUCGAUUUGGUUAAUGAUUUCGUAUGAAUAUUGUUGUUCCGUUGAGUUGCAUGCGAAUUCAAAUGCAAAAUAUUCUUCGAUUUUCAAUUUUGAAAUCAAAUUUUUUUUUCCUUCUCAAGCAUGUUAUGCAGAAACGAUUGUCAUGUUAUGCAGAAACGAUUUUUACUAAAUCAUUUUUAACAAACUAUUGAAAUUAAACCACUGGAAUAAGAAUUGUAAGGAUUUAUCGUAAGCUUACUAAUACGAUAAUUCUGAAACUAUCACCUUUUUUUUUUUAUUUGUUGCAGGGAAACCCAAAUUUUGUAUUUUGUCAAUUUCAUCUGAUAUGGAAUUUAUUUCCUCCCUAAAGAUUUAUCAAACUGCUUCUCUUCCCUGCUUCAAUAUCUUUAUGCAAUUACGAUCUCAUAGGAAAAGAGAGUUUGGGUUGUAUAUCUUAUAGUAUUUAUUUAUUUUUUGUUAAAAGAAAUUUAUUUUAAAAUAGUUUAUAGCAACAGUUUUUAUUUAACAAUAAUGAGGAAGGAUUAUUAUAGGUUCAAAUAGUUGUUAGAACAUUAUAAAAAAGUCCAUUUACUAUCAAAUGUUUUAAAUUGGUGCAACGUGAUAAUUGUCUCAUAUAAUUUUUUAAGGGUAAAAACUCGUUUCAUUCCCAUAUUUUAAGAUUAUUACUCAUUUAGUCUUUAUAUUUUUAAAAAUGUUUCAAAACAUUCAUACCCUUAAAUUAUUAACAUCUCUGCUGUUACUUUUUAUUUUUUUUUGACUUGUUUUUACAAUAUUGCCCUCUUACAAUAAUGUUUCUUUUUAUAAAAUUAAUAAAAAGAAAAAAAAUUAAAUUAUCAAUUUAACCCCAAAAAUAAAAUAAAAAUAAAAAGAAUAAAUAUUAAUUUUUGUGAAAGUUUACAUGUGUCCAAAAUAAAUUUUAUUGUAAAAAUAAUUAAAUUGCCUUUUUUUUGGACAUUAGUAAUAAAAAAAUUAAUAUAUUAAUUCCUCAGCAGUGUGUUACAAAAAAGUAAAAUAUAUUAAUUUUGUUUUUAUUUUAGACAAUGAGAUAGAGAAAAGUACAAGAUAAAGGAAAGGACUUCAAAACUCACUGUUCAUCAUAAUGCCCUUUGCCUUUAAAAAAAAAUCAUUCUAAUAUUUUAUAACACAUAAAAUAUAAUCCUAAGAUAAAUAUAAUAAUACAUAUUUUAAACUAAUCUCGAUAUUUAAAAUAUGUUUUAAUAUUUUAUAAUCUAUCAGACAUAUUUUAUUAUAUUAAUGUAAAAUUUAUAAUAAAUACAAACAUAUUAUUAAAAUAAAUAUAUAAAAAAUAUUUAUUUUUUAUAUGUUUACACUGAGGACUCUCUUUAAUUCAUUUAUUUUCUCUCUCUCCAAACAGGUACUGUCUUCAGUUAGCAAUGCUAUGAUAGUAAUCCAAUUCUCUUCUCCCCCACCUGAGCGAGAUUUGAAUUUGAAUCCCUUGUUUUUCACCCACUCUGUUUUUUUUCACGCAAGAUUUGACAAUUUGAGUUAAAAAAUAUGGUCCAAAACUUGAACACGUAUCUUUUAAUUGUAAUAAAAGUUCUUUAAGCUUUGGAGAUGGCAUAUAUAUGGCUGGAAGUGUCCUUUUCUUUGACCUAGAGGCAGCACCAAGCUAUCCAGCAUCAUCAUUUUUCAAGUGGGUCUUAAAUGCCUAGAAACGUUGGUGUUUCUUGAUUUAAAGAUGACACAUGCUAUAAGUGUGAAUGGUUUGGCUAAGCCUAAAUUUAAAGUCUACUCAAGUCGCAUUCAGGAUCAUGGAAAUUGGAAAGGGAGAGAUGAUAGCAAGAUUUAUAAUAAACAAUUAACUUGGGUCCUCAGUGUACAAAGCAAAUGCCACGCAAGCGAUAGCCGGCCCAGCCCAGAAAACCCAGUGGCGAUCCCAGAGAUGGCCUCCUCUAACGAGUGCUGGGCCCAAAAAUCUUUGCGGGUUGAGCCCAGCUCCGGCAUAGCCCUUUUGAGCAGUAACAGUUGUCGAGACAAAAACCAGAAGACCCAACACUGUUCCAAUGACAAUGCAUACGGUAAACUCUGCCAAGAGCCUUGGCUUGUCUGGAGUCAAAAGCCAUCCACACAGAAGCAAAAAGGAACACAAACGAGCAAAUUAUCUCAAGCCAAAGGGCCUGCCUAGUCCCCAAGCCGAUCUCAACAGGCCCAUCUGGCCCAGGUACGACAACAUUCAGGGUGCAGCCUCCAAGUUGUCAAAUAUUUAUAUUAAACUACAAUUGCUGACUAGAAAAAUCAAGAUCGUAUUACAAGUGGGUCCCGAAUUGGACGUGCCUAAAUCUUUUUAUAAUUUUCCCAGUGUAGCGGACAGAGGUCAUUACUAAAUUUCUCUUCCACACGCCACAGCAGCUUCGGUUAAUCAAACUCAAUCAAUUUUCUUGGCUUCUCCGCUUAUCAAUAUUACAAGGUAUGGGUAGCAUUUUUCAAAUCACAUGCGAUGGUACUAUUUUCAAUCGUUGCUUAGAUUGCUUUCUUGGAAAAGCAGCAUACAUAAGUAACCUCCAAGAUAAUCUUGUUGCCUUGGAGACUGAACUAAGGAAACUAAUCGCAGCAAAGAACGAUGUGAUGACGGCGGUUGUCAAUGCUGAACGGCAACAAAUGAGAAGGCUGGACCAAGUGCAAGUGUGGGUUUCGAGGGCGGAUGCUGUUAAAAAUGAAGCUGAUGAACUUAUCAGAGGCGGCUCUCAAGAAAUUGAAAAAUUAUGUCUUAGAGGGUUCUGUUCCAGGAACUGCACGUCAAGCUACAAGUUCGGAAAACAAGUGGCUAAAAAGCUACGAGCUGUGGAGACUUUAAUCGCCGAAGGAGUUUUUGAGGCGGUGGCUGCCGAGGUGGUGCCUGAGAGAGCUCCAGAGCCUGUAGCAGAUGAAAGACCUACCGAGCGAACAGUAGUAGGCUUGCAAUCACAACUUGAACAAGUCUGGAGAUGUCUUGCAGAAGAAUCAGCGGGAAUCAUUGGCCUAUAUGGUAUGGGCGGUGUUGGUAAAACUACACUAUUGACCUAUAUCAACAAUAAAUUUCUCGAGAGUCCAACCAACUUUGAUUGUGUGAUUUGGGUAGUAGUUUCAAAAGACCUGCGACUUGAAAAACUUCAAGAAAAUAUUGGGAAAAAGAUAGGUUUGGUUGAUGAUUCAUGGAAGAGUAAAAGUGUAGAGGAGAAAGCUCUCGACAUCUUCCGGAGUUUAAGAGAGAAGAGAAUUGUAUUGCUGUUAGAUGAUAUAUGGGAGCGGGUUGAUUUAACAAAAGUGGGCGUUCCACUUCCAGGACCACAAAAUACUACCUCAAAAGUCGUAUUCACAACCCGUUUGAUCGAUGUUUGUGGUAGCAUGGAAGCUGACAGGAAGUUCAAAGUAGCAUGCUUAUCAGAAAAGGAUGCUUGGGAACUGUUUCGAAAAAAAGUUGGGGAAGAAACUCUUGGAAGUCAUCAUGAUAUCGUUGAGCUAGCCCAAACUGUGGCCAAAGAGUGUGGUGGUUUGCCACUCGCACUUAUUACUAUCGGUCGAGCUAUGGCCUACAAAAAGACAGCCGAAGAGUGGAGACACGCAGUUGAAGUUCUAAGAAGAUCAGCUUCGGAAUUUGCAGGUUUGGGAAAAGAGGUGUAUCCUCUUUUAAAGUUUAGCUAUGAUAGUUUGCAGAAUAAGACGAUUAGAUCUUGUUUCUUAUAUUGUUGUUUAUAUCCUGAAGAUUAUGGCAUUCUUAAAUGGGACUUGAUUGACUGUUGGAUUGGUGAGGGAUUCUUAGAGGAAUCUGACAGGUUUGGUGCAGAAAACCAAGGAUACUACAUUGUGGGCACUCUUGUUCAUGCGUGUUUACUAGAAGAGAUAGAAGAUGAUAAAGUAAAAAUGCAUGACGUUGUUCGUGAUAUGGCUCUAUGGAUAGCUUGUGAAAUUGAGAAGGAGAAGAGAAACUUUUUGGUUUGUGCAGGUGCGGGACUAAAGGAGGCACCUGAUGUUAAAAGAUGGGAAAAUGUGAGAAGAUUGUCAUUGAUGCAAAACCAAAUUGAAACUUUGUCAGAGGUUCCUGCAUGCCCUCAUCUCCAUACUCUAUUUCUUGCCUCUAAUAAUAGUUUGCAGAGGAUCACCGAUGGCUUCUUCCAAUUUAUGCCUUCUCUCAAAGUUUUCAAGAUGUCAAACUGCGGGAAUUUAAUUUUGGAAUUACCUUUUGGGAUGUCAAAGUUGGGUUCAUUGGAACUUCUCGAUAUUUCACAUACCUACAUACAAGAGUUACCACAAGAGUUAAAGUUGUUGGUAAAUCUGAAAUGUUUGAAUUUGAGGUGGACAAGCGAGUUAAAUAAAAUUCCACGGCAGCUAAUAUCAAAUUCUUCAAGGUUACGUGUGUUGAGAAUGUUGGGUACUGGCUGGUUCAAUUUUCAUGAAGCAUCAGAAGACAGCGUUUUAUUUGGCGGGGGUGAAGUUUUAGUACGGGAAUUGCUCGGUUUGAAAUAUUUAGAGGUAUUGGAGUUGACCUUGCGAAGUUAUCAUGCUCUCCAAAUUGUUUUGAGCUCAAAUAAGUUAAAAAGUUGUAUUCGAUCUCUUUACCUCCAGUUGACCGGAGAUAGAAAGUCGAUUAUUGAUGCUACGGCUUUCGCAGAUCUAAACCACCUCAAUGAAUGAUUGAUUUUUAAAGGUUUUGAGUUGGAAGAAUUGAAGAUUGAUUAUACAGAGAUAGUACGAAAAAGGCGGGAACCUUUUGUUUUCCGCAGCCUUCACCGUGUUACCAUAGAUUCGUGCCUUAAAUUGAAAGAUUUGACAUUCCUCGUUUUUGCUCCAAACCUCAAGUCUCUUUCGCUAUUCAAUUGCCGUGCUAUGGAAGAAAUAAUCAGCGUUGGAAAAUUUGCUGAGGUUCCUGAGAUGAUGGGACAUAUAAGCCCUUUUGAAAAUCUCCGAAGUCUUCGUUUGUCACAUUUGCCAAAUUUGAAGAGCAUCUACUGGAAGCCAUUGCCUUUCACUCAUCUGAAAGAAAUGGUGGUACAUGGGUGUGAUCAGCUUAAAAAGCUUCCACUCGAUUCCAACAGUGCAAAAGAGCGUAAAUUUGUUAUUCGUGGACAAGCAGACUGGUGGGACCGACUUCAAUGGGAGGAUGAAGCCACUCAAAUUGCUUUUAGUUCCUGUUUCCAACCUUAACUUGAUUUCUGGUUAGUGCUGUUUCCUUAACUUUUACAUAUAUUCUCGUCGUUUGCUUCGUGCAAAAUACUAGGUCUUUUGUUCUCUGUUUUUAUUUCGCCCAUUUUUUUUUUUUUUUUUUGUCUUCUGCAAAUGACAGACAAAUGUUGAACUAAAAGGAAUUAAUGCUUUAUAACUUUGCCGGCAUUGCUUUUUUCUUUUUCUUUUUUGAUUUUUUGGGGCGAGGGGGGAUCGAAUAGAUGCUCUGGUUUUUGACUUUUUGUUGUCAAAUUUUACUCUGUUUUUUUCAAAUUGAUGCUUGAAUAUUUGAAUCAAAUUAAUGCUCACGUAAAUUUGUUCAGUUGCCGUAAAAGGAUAUAAUUACACUGAAAUACACAAACUCUAGAAUGAAUAGAAUUAAACAGAGAAAAUCUUGAGUAUAUUAGCCGUCUUCACAUAAAAUCAUAUGAAAAUUAAAUUUUGAAGUUUUUAUUUUCUAUUUUUAAUCAUACCCUUUAUAAUUUCUUCUGUUCUAACUACAAUAAAAUUUUUGGUUCAAGGAUUUUUAUGAGGGGUAUUAAUAAUAGUCCACCAAAAGAGUGAACAGUUGGAUGCUGCCCUAAGGGUCUCUAAUCAAUAGCUGGAAGCAAUUGAGAAGGCGGUCGUUACUGUGUACAAAGCCAUGCAGUAUUUGCUAUUCAUCUUAGUAAUUAUGAAGCUUUGGUAAAAUUUUCAAACAAAGUUGACAUGUUAUUUUGAGAUUUGGUUCAUGAUUUUGUAUGAAUAUCGUUGUUCCAUUGAGUUGUAUAUGAAUUCAAAUGUAAAAUAUUCUUUGGUUUUCAAUUUUGAAUUCAAUUUCUUUUCUUAAGCAUGUUGUGCAGAAAUGAUUUCUACUAAAUCAUUUUUGAUAAACUACUUAAAUUAAACAACUGCAAUAAGAACUGUUAAGGAUUUAUCGUAAGCAGACUAAUAUGAUAAUUCUGAAACUAUCAUUUUUUUUUUCAAUUUGUUGCAGGGAAAGCCAAAUUUUGUAUUUUUCAGUUUUAUCUGAUAUGGAAUUUAUUUCCUCUACACUAGCUACCUAAAGAUUUAUCAAAUUGCUUCUCUUCCCUGCUUCAAAUUAAUAUCUUUAUGCAACUACAAUCUCAUAGGAAAAGACAGUUUGGGUUGUAUUUAUUAUAGUUUUUUUUUUCGUUAAGAGCAAUUUAUUUUAAAAUCGUUUAGUAGUAACAGUUUUUAUUGAAUAAUAAUGGGGUAGGAUUAUUAUAGGUUCAACUAGUUGUUAGAACAUUAUAAAAAGUCCAUUUACUAUCAAAUGCUUUAAAUUGGUGCAACAUGAUAAUUGUCCCACAUAAUUUUUAAUAAUAUAUAUGGCCCAUAAAUUUAAUAUGAAUAAAUGAGUUUCGAUAGUUAAAUUUGAUACGAUUAUUAAAUAAGUUAUAUCCAUGUCAAUUCGACUUAAAAUCUGGUAAAUUUAGAUUUAGAGUUUAUAACAUGAUAACUUGUUUUAUGACAUGAUUUACUAAUCAAUUAAUAUUAAAUUAUAUUUUAGCCAAUCAGAUAUGUGGUACAUUUGUCAAAUUUUAAAAAUUAUUUAUUUAUAUAUGAAAUAAAUUUGACUAGACUGUGUGUAGGUAAUAGUGCAUAAUUUCUAAAAAAAUGUAAUAAUAACACGUUAAAAUGUUAUUUUUAUGAAGAAAAAUUGAAAUUUUAUUAAAUAGGCGACACAAUAAUAAAUGGGUUGAGAUUAUUUACAUUUUAAGAAUUACUCUGAACAUUAUUUUAUUUUAUAAAUUUUAUAUUACAAAAACACCCAUAGUUUAAUUUACCAUUAAGAACAAUUUUGUGCGAUUAAAUAAAAUACAUUACUCUUUACCCUUUCACUACAUCGACAUAAAUCCUAAUUGUUAUGUUUCUAAUUUCUUUGAUAUGCUUAUUGAAGUCCACAUUAUAAUCAAUUUUAAACUAUUAUACCACUUAAAUACAUUUUAGAAUGAGAAGUUUGGUUUUCUUCAUGGGCUGCCUUGCUGAUGCUGUUAUUGAAACUAUCGAACUUAAUAAUUUUAUGGCCAAAAUGAUAUAUGUUGAACCAGCUUUUACAUCGAAUUCUACCACCAUAAAAAAUCGUACUUGUAACAUCUCAAGGUUCCAAUUUAUCAAAAGUUAAUCAUUCAUAUUUGUUAGUUCCUAACAGUCACAAGAGCGUACAAGCCAAUUUUUGUAGCUCCUUUUUCUGCAGUAGAUUCAAGUAUAUUAUUAUCAAGCAUUUUUGUUACACCCUUAAUUCCUUAUCAUCAUCCCUUCAUUCAGAGCAACUAAACAGAGGUCAAUGUCAUUAUGUUAGAGUUACGAGGAAGAGUACUGCCAAAAAAGUUCUUUGUAUGGGAUUUAAUUUUCUGGGUUUGUAGUGAUGAACAAAUUGAGGGUUGUUUUGGUAUUUUCAAGAGUGUAUUGAGUGAAAAUUAUUUUUAAAAAAUUUAACAAAUGAGUGUAAUGAGUAAAAAAGUGUUUAAAGUAUUUUUUAGAGUACAAAUAGCUCCACCUUAAUAAAUGAGUUCUUGUAAAAAUUGAGAUUAUUGAUAUAAUUAUUAAAUAGGUUGGAUUGAAGUUAGUUUAAUUUUGACAAGAUAAUAAGACGACGCGACACAAAUACAACCAACCAGUCAACCCAAAUUGCAACCUUUUACUAAUAAAAGAUACCUGUUUGAAAAGUAAUUAUAAGCUAUCUUCUUUGUGUUAUUUCUCUAAAAAUUUGCGGCACAAAUAUUAUUUCCAUGGAGAAAAGUACGAAAUACCCGCUUUCACUUCAGCAGAAGCAAAGCAAAGCUAUGAGCCAUCUCUGUAUAAUUGAAACGCCAUUGCUAAACGGUUCUUGAUGAUGGGUGCCACCGUGCCAGCGUUGUCGCUGAUUUGCAUGAUUUAUUAGUUGUUCAGAUGGCGGAUUUUGUACUGUCACUUUCAUUUCAUUCUUGAGAGCCACGUACAAUACUAGGUGGCAUUGAAGUUGCCCCAGUGGUUAGUUUUCUGAUUUUUUUUAAUUCAAAUUUUUAUGUUUUAGAAAAAUGUAAGAAAUAUGUAGAAAUGUUGACAGCUACAAUUUUGAAACUUUGCCUAAAAUUAUUAUCGUUGCUUAUUGUUUCUUAGCUAAAGAGAAAUCCUAGAAACAUGAAAUUAUUAUUCUAUGCUUGUUUUAAUAUUAUACAUUAGCAGGUUAAUUAAAAAUUAGACGUGAAUACAACAAGAGAUAAGUGGAGAGAAUUUGGUAGUCGACCGCAUUUAGAAUUUAAUUUUUCUUUUAGCUGCCGAUCAUUAAAUUUUAUAUUUCAGAAAAUUAUACCUAGAAUAUUUCAAGGAUAUACUACGAAGAUUAUGAAGGUUUGAUUACAUGUCACUAUCAAUUGCCUCAAUCAUUUGUAGUAAAUUAAUUAAUCAUUUUGCUGCAAAUGAUUUCCUAUUAAAAAAUUCAAGUCAGAGCUGAAUUGCACAGUAGUUAGUCGUGCUUGCAAUUCAAAUCAAGUAUUGUAUUUUCUGCCUGAUUUGGUUGAUUCAACUAUGUGCAUUUGCAUAAUGGAGAUGCUUAUGAACGUUGUAGUAUAGAAAUCGAAACGUCUUGUCUUUUGCUAAGCCCAGAAGCAAAGUUCUUUGUAUUAUACUCAUCAGUUUUCUUCGUUCUCUUCGUUGAAAUUUUAUCCAAACAGCGGUUUCUUCGAAUUUUUGCCCUCUCUUACAUUUUUAAAUCUAUCAAAGAACGGUUACCUGAGAAGAUUGCCAUCAGGUAUUUCGAAAUUGAUUUCACUACAAUACCUUAAUCUAUCAGAUUUUAAUCUAUCAGAUGCUCCCGUCACUCAGUUGCCAAAAGUGACAAAAGCCUUAGUAAAUUUUUAGAGUAAAAACUCAUUUAUUCCUUAUAUUUUAAGAUUAGUAUCUAUUUAGUCCUUAUAUUUUGAAAAAUACCUUGAAACAUCACUGCCAUUAAAGUAUUGAUACCCUUACCGUUACUUUUUAUUUAUUUUGGCUUAUUUUUACAAUAUUACCCUUUAAUAAUAAUUUUUUUGUUUAGACAUUAAUAAAAAUAAAAUAAUUAAAUUACCAAUUUAAUCCUAAAAAAUAAAAAUAAAAAUUUAUAUUAAUUUUUAAUUGUAAAAAAUUGUAUGCAAACUACCAAAUGUGCAAACGGUGCUUGCAAAAAAAUUAAUAUAAAUUUUUUAUUUUUAGGGUUAAAUUAGUAAUUUAAUUAUUUUAUUUUUAUUAAUGUCCAAAAAAUUAGUAAUUUAAUUAUUUUCUUUUUAUUAAUGUCCAAAAAUUAUUAUAAAAGGGUAAUAUUAUAAAAGUAAGCUAAAAGAAAUGAAAAGUAACGGUAGGGGUAUCAAUACUUUAACGGUAGGGAUGUUUCGAGGUAUUUUUAAAAAUAUAAAGAGUAAAUGGACACUAAUAUUAAAAUACAGGGACUAAAUAAGUUUUUAUCCUAAAUCUUUAAGUGUUUGAAUUGGAGUACAUAAAUUAUCUCUCUACAAUUCAAAAACAACAGAUUUGUUACUUUUCAACGCUACAGGUUCCGCGAAUAUUCAGUUGUGGUUAUCUUGUUGAAACACCAGAAAAUAGCGUUCUAUUUGGUGGUAAUGAAUUCUUGGUUGGGGAGUUACUUAGUUUAAAACAUUUAAAUGUAUUAAGCAUCGCCUUAAAAGGUUUUUCUACCGUCCAAAAAUUUAUGAGCUCCCAAAAGUUUCAAAGUUGUACAAAAUGUUUGGAGCUUAUAGACAGUGAUGAUUCAAAGUCGUUUGCCAUGGCAGAGUUGAAGCAUCUUGAAAAACUAGGUAUUUCAAAUUGUGGAAAUUUGGAAGAGUUUAAGUUCUGCUGUGUCGAAGUUGGAAAAACUUGAGAAGAUUUUUGUUUGAACAGCCUUCACCAAGUUAAGAGAAAGGCUUGUCAUAAAUUGAGGGAAGUGACAUGGCUUGUGUUUGUACCAAAUCUUAAGGUUAUUCAGAUAGAAAAAUGUAUGGAGAUGGAGGUUGUUGGGAAAGAGACUACCACAAGCAGCUAAAAAUUAAGCGAAUACAAAAUUCUUUCUCUCUUUGUGUGAUUAAAAUAGGAUGUGCACCACAAACAAAUAAGCAGAAAAAUAAACCAAUAAAUGCAAAGCAAAAACCAACCACAAGAGACACCGAUUUUUAAGUAGAAAAUUUAAAUUGGGAAAAAUCACAGGAUAGUAGUCUGAUAUAAACUUCUACUAUAUUAAUGAGAUUACAACACAAAUUCUUCUCCAGAUAAUACUAGAUGCUAACAAUAUUAAAAUUCUCAACAAUCUUAGUUUAUAAUAAUAGAUCUAAAAUCUAUUUCUUCAAUAAGUGAGUAUCUCAAAUAAUAGCUACUGAGAGAAUAAAAUACAGAUCAACACCAGUAGAAAUAUAGAGGGCAAUGUCAGGAACUUACCCUCCAAAUUUAGGACUAAUCAGAGCUAAAAUAACCUUUUGAUUGUUGAAUCAAAGAUUGAAAACCAAAAAAAAAAAAAAUAUCUCUUUCUCUCGCAGUGUCUUCUCACUUUCGCAAAAUGUCUACAGCUCUCGCGAUUCUUUACUUAUUUCCUUAGUUAAUUUCAUCCAAGUCCAAAAUUUUACAAUAAUUACACAUCAAGCAAAUUAUUUUGGACUUUGAACUUUUUGGUCCACUGAAGUGAAAUGGACCUUACAAAUCUCCCCCUCCAUCUCAUCUAAGGGGCACCACCAAGCCCGCUCUCUACUUACAGCUUUCCAGCUUCUCCUUGGGUAAUGACUUUAUCAUCAUAUCUGAUGCAUUCUUCGUUGUGUGAAUUUCUCCAAGCUGCAACUGUUUCUACUCAAGCACGUCUUGUAUCCAAUGAUACUUCAUAUCAAUAUGCUUCGAUUUCAAAUGAUAUGUUGAAUUCUUUGCCAAGUGGAUGACACUUUAACUGUCACAGUACACAACAUAACUAUCUUGAUUAACACCUAGUUCUUGUAGAAAAUUCUUCAUCCACAAGGUUUCUUUGUAACUUUCAGUGAUUGUAAUAUACUCUACUUCUGUAGUAGACAAAGCAACACACUACUAAAGUCUAGACUGCCAUGAAACUGCUCCUCCUACAUAGGUGAGCAAAUAUCUUGAUAGAGACUUUCUAGAAUCAACAUCUCCUGCCAUAUAUGCAUCCGUAUCUACUUGUAAUAUAGGUUUGUCACCACCAAAACAUAAACAUGCCUUGGAAGUGCCUCUGAGAUAUAUGACAAUCUACUUUACUGCUGUCCAGUGUUUUUUACCCAGAUUAGAGGAAAACCAGUUGACUACCAACUGUUGAAGCGUACCUCAAACUACCAACUGUUGAAGCAUAAAAAACUCUUUUUAUCUCUUGCUUCUCUUUCUCACUUAUGGGACAAUGCUUGAAACUAAGCUUGAAAUGACCUGCAAGUGGAAAAUAAACAUAUUUUGCUUUGUCCAUAUUAUAUCUUUUAAGAACUUUUUCAACAUAUGCUUCCUGAGAUAACCAUAAAUUCCCAGUUUUUCUGUCACGAGAAAUCUUCAUGCCAAGAAUUUGUUUCGCCGAUCCCAAGUCCUUCAUUACAAAAGACUUGCUAAGCUCUCUCUUCAAAUUGUCAAUCUUACUAGUAUCCUUGCCAACAAUCAACAUGUCAUCCACAAAAAGUAAAAGAAUAAUAAAAUCAUUAUCACUAAACUUUUUCACAAACAUACAAUGAUCACACAUUGUCUUGCAAAAGCCAUGAUUCUCCAUAAAAGAAUCAAACUUCUUAUACCACUGUCUUGGUGCAUGUUUCAGCCCAUAUAAAGUUUUUUUCAAUUUGUACACAAGUUCUUCUUUACCUUUGACACUGAACUCUUCAGGUUGUUAUAUGUAUAUUUCCUCCUUUAAGUCAUCGUGUAAGAAAGCAGUCUUUACAUUGAAUUGUUCAAUUUCCAAAUCCAAGCUAGCUACUAAUCCCAGAGGUGCUUGCUCAAUUGGUUCUGCUGGACCAUUAUUAUUAUCCUCUCCAGCUCCCCUAUGAUCAUCAUGAACAACAUGUGGAGAAACCGAAGUUGGAAUAAUAAGAAUCUCUGGAGAUGGCUGAGACUUAUCAUUUUUUUUUCAUCACCAACUAUCUAAUUUUUAAGAAACACAACAUCUCUAAUUCUGAUUACUUUUCUUGUCACUGGAUCCCAUAAUCUGUACCCAAAUUCUUCAUGUCCAUAGCUUAAGAAAAUACAUUUCUUGGCUUUAUCAUCAAGUUUUGAUCUCUCAUCUUUAGGGAUAUGAACAUACACUCUGCACUUAAACACCCUCAAGUGUUUAUAAGAAACAUCUUUCCCAAUCCAAACUCUUUUAGGUACAUCGUCAUCUAAUGGAGCUUAAGGAGAAAGAUUAAUCAAAUCAACUACAGUACGCAUAGCCUCCGCUCAGAAGGAUUUAUAAAGCUUGGCAUCAGAAAACAUACAUCUGACUAUCUUUUCAAUUGUUCUGUUCAUUAUUUCUGCAACACCACUCUGCUGAGGGGAUUUUGGUACAGUUUUCUUAAGUUUGAUUCCAUGAGAUCUGCAAUACUGCUCAAAUGGUCCUCUGUACCCACCAUCAUUUUCUGCCCUGACACAUUUCAAUUUUUUUCUUGUCCCUCUCUCAACAUAAGCACGAAAGAAUUUAAACAUAGUAAGCACGAAAGAAUUUAAACAUAUCAAGCACUUAAUCUUUAGAUUUUAAAGCAAAAGUCCAUACUUUUCUAGAACAAUCAUUAAUAAAAGUCAUAAAAUAAAGUGCACCUCCUAUUGAUCUAUUUUGCAUCAUGCAAAUAUCAAUGUGAAUCAAAUCAAGGAUUUGUGACUUUCUAGAUGGAGAAAAGCUUUUAAAAGUUACUUUAUGUGCCUUUCCAGCUAAACACUAAACACAAGUCUUGAGGGACGUACCUACAAAGCUUGGUAGAAAUCCUUUUUUGGCAAGAGUUCCUAACCCUUUCUCACCAAUGUGACCAAGCCUUUUAUGCCAUGUCUCAAUGUCAGAAUUGUUUACAGCCAUAUUCAUAUAUUCUUUCUUGAUUUUGGCUUCUAUUACGUAGAGGGUGUUCAUUUUCUUUCCUUUAGCCAACACUAGAGAGCCUUUGGUGAGCUUUCAUUUUCCUUCACCAAAUUAGUUAGUAUAACUAUCAUCAUCAAUUUUUCUUGUGGAGAUCAAAUUAAGACGAAUAUCUAGUACAUGCAAGCUUUUUUGUGGAGAUCAAAUUAAGGCGAAUAUCUAGUACAUGUCUGACAUCUUUAAGGAGUAGCUUAUAGCCAACACUGGUUUGAAGCAAAUAUCUCCUAUGCCCACAAUCUUGGAUGCCCCCUCAUUUCCCAUCCGAACAUGGUCAUAAUUACCAUUAACAUAGGAUGUGAAGUAAUCAUGAUGUGCAGUUGUUGUGCAAAUUUUAAUGUACUCGCAAGCGCACGAAUCUAUUGUAGUAUAGAUCAAUGGUGACGAGUGUCGAUCCCACGAGGAGGUGGAUUUUAAUUGUGUAUAGAAUUAAUUUUGCAAAUGGUUGAUUGGAUUUGUGGUGGAAAUGAUUUGGAAUAUGCUAAAACUUAAAUUAAAAUGGCGAGAAUAAAUUCUAAAAUUGGAAUUGAAAUUGCGAGAAUAAAGUUGAAGAGAAUUCUAUUGAAAUGACGUACUUGGGUAUCUGGAUCCGUAUCAACAUGCAUCAUGGGCUAAAUAAUGCGUAUUAAUGCCAAUUAAAUCAUGAGGGGGGAAUCCACACCUCAUGAACCACGCUCUAAUCAAUAUGGUGCUAAGGGCUUAUCGUGCCAAAUAAUAAUAACCUUGUACUAGAGAGCCGGUGUAACCAAGGCGGUACUAGACAAGAUUAGUAUUAUUUGUCGACGAGAAGUCAAAACAUCCACAAAAACUAGAGGGGAAGAGAAAAUAAAUUUACCAAAUAAAGCCCAUGACACAUGUUGAGACUUCACCUUCAACCCAAGCUUAAAAGAAAAUUAGCUACUCAUAAUUGAACUAAGGGCAAAAUGGGAAUUUAUUAAAAUACGAAGAAAAUACAAGAUAGAGAGGGAAUUACAGAAAAUGGAUCCCAAAAAUGGAUUCAGAGAUAUCAAAUUAGGGGGGGAGGCCCCCUUUUUAUAGAUACAUGGAGUAAAUCAUGGCAAUCGGAUUAAAAACAGUUUGGACGCUCAGGAUUGCGCCACGUCAUCAGUCAACAGUCCACGGUUUGACCACGCGGAUGAACAGUAAUACGGUUUGACCCAUAUGAACAGUACGCGGUUUGACCCGGAUGAACAGUAACGCGGUUUGGUUGAAAAUAAUCCUGUGUGAUGCAUGCACCGUACGCGAGAUUUUUUGUCCACUGAUAUGCUGCCACGUCACCAUCAACAGUACAUAAGAAUUUUAGUCCAACAGGAUCGUGACACCUCAUCAGUCAAUGCCACAUCAUCGAUCCGUCUAUGUGAGCAGUGCCGUGAACAGUAACAUAUACAGUACCGUAUACGUGAAUAGUACCGUACAUGUGAAUAGUGCUAUUUUUCCUUUUAUGCUCCUCCUAAGGUUUUCGACCGUCCUGAGUUCAAAAGUGAUGUCCGUUUUACCGUCUGAUCUCUCCUUUAUUGUGAAAUCACUAUAAUACCACUAAAAUACAUAAAAUACUUAAUUAAAAUAAAACACAUGUAAUUAAAUCACAAGAAGGUUAAAUACAUAAAAGUAAGGGUUGUUAGUAAGACUUGAAAUGUAAAAUGAUGGUUUUCUCCUUUAUAAAUAUGCAUUUUCUAACACUCAACAGCAGUAACCACGAUGUGCAGUAACAUCAAACGAAGCACCCGAAUCAAUCACCCAAUUACUGGUAUGGCAAGUAAGAUUUAUAGAGCUAUCAUUAUAAGCAAUGCCCAUAUCACCAUUAAUUACGGCUGUAACAUUCUCUUUGUCAUUUUUCUGACCAUCGCCUUUUUCUUUCGCAUGUUCUCUUUUCCACAAUUUACACUACCUUUUUACAUGGCCCAUUUUCUGACAAUGAAAGCACUUAGCUUCUCCUAUGGGACUUAGAUCUUCCUCCAGGGUUAUCAUUAUUCUGAUGACGGAAAUUUCUGCUUCGACUUCUCCCCCGUCUUUUUUGGUUUUCUGAAACAAGUGUAGCUGACUCAGAGGGAACUACUUCAGCAUUCUUUCUUCGAGAUUCUUCAUUCCGCAGUCUAUCUGUAACCAUAUCCAAGUUUAAUUUACCAUUCGGUGCCGAAUUAUUCACUGACACCACUAAUGUCUCCCAACUAUCAGGUAAAGAACUAAGCAACAACAAUGCUUGUAACUCGUCAUCUAGAAUAAUCUUCAUAGUAGUCAACUGAUCAACCAAACCCUGAAACUCACUAGUGUGUUCAGUAAUACUGUGGCCUUUUUUAUAUUUCAAGUUAACAAGCCUUUUCAUUAGAUUGACUUUAUUUUGUGCUGUUGGCUGCUCAUAAAUUAUUUCUAAUUUUCUCCAAAGAACAUCAGCCUUGGAUUCCUUCGCGACAUGAUGGUACACACUCUGAUCAAUCCAUGACCUAAUAGUGCCCACGGCUUUCUGGUUCAAUUGAGCCCAUUUCUUAUCAUCUAUAUCAACAAGUUUAACUUCAUCACCUUCAAUAGGUUCAUGUAAGUCUUUCAUGUAGAGCAAAUCUUUCAUUCUAGACUUCCAAAUAUCAUAAUUCCACGACUCAAUUUAAUCAUGAACGCCAAAGACUCCUCUAUUUCAACCACAUAAGUAAUAAAAACACACAACCUGGCUCUGAUACCACUCUAUUGGGAAAACGACUACCACAAACAGCUACAAAUUAAGCGAAAAUAAAAUUCUUUUCCUCUUUGUGUGAUUAAAAUAGGAUGUGCACCAUAAACAAAUAAGCAGAAAAAUUAAUCAAUAAAUUCAAAGCAAAAAUCAACCACAAGAGACACCGAUUUUAACGUGGAAAAUUCAAAUCGGGAAAAACCAUGGGACAAUAGUCCGAUAUAAAUUUCCACUAUAUUAAUGGGAUUACAGUACAAAUUCUUCUCCAGAUAACACUAGAGGUUAACAACAUCAAGAUUUUCAACAAUCUUGGCUUACAAUAAUAGAUCUAAAAUCUAUUUCUUCAAUAAGUGAGUAUCUCCAAUAACAGCUAAUGAGAGAAUAAAAUAUAGAUCAACACGAGUAGAAAUGUAAAGGGCGAUGUCAGGAACUUAUCCUCCAAAUUUGGGAGAAAUCAAAGCUAAAAUUAUUUUUCGAUCGUUGAAUCAAAGAUUGAAAACCCAAAGAAAAAAAAUAUCUUUUUCUCUCGCAACGUCUUCUCACUUGCGCGAAAUGGCUACAUCUCUCGCGAUUAUUCACUUAUUUCCUUUAUAUUUUUUUUGGUUAAUUUCAUCCAAGUCUAAAAUUUUACAAUAAUUACACAUCAAGCAAAUUAUUUUGGACUUUGGGCUUUUGGUCCACUGAAGUGAGAUGGACCCUACAGAAGCAAUAAUCAGUGCAAGAAAAUUAAGUGAAGUUCCAGAGAUGAUGGCAGAUCUAAACCCUUUUGUAAAACUCCAAUAUCUUGGCCUCCGAAUUCUACCAAAAUUAAAAAAGCGUCUAUUGGAAUGUGUUGCCCUCUCCACAUGUCAGGGAAAUUUUUGUAUCUGAAUGCCCAAUUCUCAUUAGAGGAGAGGAACACUGGUGGAAUAAGUUGCAAUGGGAGGAUGAAGCAACCUAUAAUGCUUUUCUUCCUUGUUUUGGAUCCAUUUGAUGGGCAUCAACAUGGAUUAAUAUUUUGCAGCGAACCAAUUUGAAUAAAACUUACGGUAAGUGCUUUUCCAUUUAUUGCAUAUUUAUAUCUAAUUUUUGUUUUCCUUUAUGGUUAAAUUUUGCCCUGUAUAUGUUGUUGUACGGUGACAUUCUUGAAUCAAUUAUUAAUUUUUUUAAUUCUCGUCUCACAACCACCCUUUUGAUCAUGAGGAUAUGCCGAUAUCAAAGAGUCAUAAUUUGGGAUACAAAUGUAAGAAUUAGGCAGAUGACAUGUUGUUUCAAAGCUUUCGAAGAAGGACUAAAUAUGUCAUUGAAAGCCUCCAAUUUUGCGACUGAUUUUUUUUUAAUUUGUUAUUUUUAUAGGUGGCAAAAAUACCCGUCUGAUUUGGACUCGGCUGAUUUGGGCCGGGUACGGAGUAUGAAGCCGGGUUGGUCCUGGGCAUCACUUGAAACUCGGAACCUGGAUUUUAUUAAAAAAUAUUAUAAAUAUAUAUUAUUUUAAAUAUCUAUAUUUAUUAGACUCAUCUAUUACAUAUAUCUAAUUUCAUUGAAAUAAAUUUAAAAAUUAUAAAAUUACCAAUAUAUAUAUAUAUAUAUAAUAUUAAAAAAGUAUAAAAUCUGAGUCCUCAGAUUAAAACCCAGUUCAAGUGUCUAAAAAAUACAUGUGGACCGAGUUUGAACAUUGCGAUACCCAGACCCAAACUUGGGUUUUGCCAACCCUAGUCUUUUAAAUUGCUUGAUUGUAAUGUUUUAGUAUAGAAAAAUGAUAGCCAAGACAACAAUAAGAGGGCACAUUGUGCAUGCACAAUAGUGGAUAAUUUCGGCAUUCCAAAUCCAAUUAGGGUGGAUAACCUUUUAUUAGUAUUAACCUUCUCUCGUAUUCAAGUAAUGUAAAAUAUGCUUAGAAGCUGUGGAUCCCCCUUUAUAAGUGUUGGGCUUAUGCCAAACUCGAUUGAUGUGGGAUGCCUUUAUAGGCAUCAAGUUUUCUCCCAUACACUUUAUGUUAAAAAUAAUAAUGAUAAAAUAAAUCCAUUUUAAAAUAGACUUCUUUUUCUUUUCUAUAUAAACAAACUCAUUCUUCAAAUCAGUUGUGGGUGGAAGGAGUGAGUAGAGAAGAACUGGGCCCCUUUCGUUCCUCUAAAAACCUCACCAAACCUCUCUUGUAAGCUUCUCAGUGUCCCUCUCAAUAUUUCUUAUGAUCUCGUUUUUUAUUGAAUCACUUCUUUUGUGUGCUGCAUUUUUGUGUGUCGUAUUUGGGUUUAUCUUAUCUGGAAUCCUGUUAUGAUUGAUGGAACAAGUAAUCGAUUUUUGGUUUAUUUGGAAUGGAAUUAUGGUUUAUUUGGAAUGGAAUUAUCUGGGUGUAACGGAUUAAAUUAUGACAUUGGGGAGAAGGCACUAAGGGGUUUGCUUGACACAUUUGGUUCUGUGUUUACUCUGAAAGAAAUAGCUUUUGCUUAUCGUAAUGCAAGGCGAAAUCCCGAUUUGGGUGGUGAAUUUCUCUAUCCCAAUUGGGCUGGUGAAUUUCUCUGUGACAAAUAGGCAAACAGCUCAACCUCUUUUAUCUAUCUUCUACUAGUGAGGCAAGGGAUAAAAAGUCUUCAAAAUCAUCAAAUAGUAACAUCUUCGAGAAUUCAUUUUAUGCAAAUGGAAAAUCUAGACCUUCUAAGACAAAAUGGCGUCCAGUAUCAAGAGGUACCGUUUCAAGUUUUCUUGGUAAAAAUUAUGUAAACUUGCACAGCCAGCUAAUGGCACUUUUCUAGUUUUCUGGCAUCAAAGCCAUUGAAGUCGUAUCCAAAGGAGUUUCCCAUGUCUGCACUUUGUGGAGAAGGAACUAAACAAAAACAAUCAAAGGAUGACCAUUUGCAGAAGGAUGUGGAAGAUUUUCUGUUUAAAUUGCUAGGAGAAGUGUUCCAGCUGAAUAGGGAUGUGAUUCGGGAAGUUCCAGUAAUGUCUUAAAUAUGUUGAUGCCAAUUUAAUAUAUAUUGUCAUUUUCAAUGUUCUUUCUUUCUUUCUUUAUCUUCUUUUCUUCUACUUCUUCUUCUUUUUCUUUUCGUGUGCAUGUGAUCACUAAUUUGUUAUUAUACUUAACUUGCAGGUAGUUGUGGAUAUGAUAUGCAAAAGGUAAGGACUAUAUCUUCCUGAUAGAGGCCUCUGCUUUUUCCCUUUUAUGUAAUUUAGUAAAUCUCAUCUCCCUUUGUGAUUGUUAUAUCAUAUCAAAGUCAAGUCUUAAAUACUGCUGUCAUAUGUUAAGGUUCAACUUGCAUUUUGACUAACAUCCAUUUGUUGUCGCUUCCAAAAGUGAGAAUGAGAUACUUCGGUUAAUUUCAGUAGUUGAACCCAAUCGAGUACUUUAUCUAGAUCUUCAUGGUUCAAAGGCCUGAAACUUGCCCGUGAUUGUAAAAUGAUAUUAUGUGCUUUUAAUGCAAUAGGGGGAACAAGGUGUCAAAGGAAUUAGCAGAUUCUAUGGCAGAUUCUAUGCCUGUACAACUGUAACAAUUAUCCUUAUGAUUGUAAAUCUUAUAUGUUUUCCUUAUUUAGGAUAUACUAGCUGUAGGCUAUUUUAGAUAGUUAUGUAUAUGAUAGUUUAGCUAUGUUUAGGGCUAAACAUAAGCUUGUAUUCAUAGUAUAUAAAGGGAAUUCUCUUCUAAGAGAAAGCAUAACUUUUGCUCAAAAUUCUCUGAGUUUAUCAUGGUAUCAGAGCCUCAGUUCUGAAUUCUCUUCUUCCUAGUUCAUUCCCUUGUUCUUAGUUAUUCUUUUUUUUAUCAAGUUAUCUCAGCCUCAUGUCUUCAGACAAGUAUGAUGCUUUUUUGAUCCGUUUUAAUGGCACAAACUACUCAGCCUGGGCAUUUCAUUUCGAGAUAUUUGUCAAAGGCAAAGAUCUAUGGGGACAAGUUGAUGGCAGGAAACCUGCCCCUGAUAAAGAGAUAGACCAGGAUGGGUACGCCAAGUGGGAAGUCAAGGAUGCUCAAAUCAUGGCAUGGAUUCUAGGAUCUGUGGAAUCCAACUUCAUCUUGAAUCUUCGACCCUUCAAGACUGCAGCAGGAAUGUGGAAUCAUCUAAAGAAACUCUACAGUCACACCAACACUGCUCGUUGAUUUCAGCUUGAACAUGAGCUAGCCAAUCUCCAACAAGGCAGUCUCUCUAUUUCUGAUUUUUAUUCUAUCUUUAUGAUUAUUUGGGCUGAAUAUACUGAUAUAAUCUAUGCUACCUUACCUCCGAAGGUCUUAGUUUUGUUCAAUCUGUACAUGAAACUACUAAGAGAGAUCAAUUUAUGAUAAAACUGAUAUAUGAAUUUGAAAGCACUAGGUCCAAUCUUAUGAAUUGAGAAUCUGUCCCUUCCUUGGAUACAUGCCUCAAUGACUUAUUUCAUGAGGAGCAACGACUUCUUACUCAAAAUACCAUGAAACAAAAAAAAUCUACUUCUGUUCCUAUGGCUUAUGCAGCUCAAGGCAAGCCAAAAGGUAAGGACAUCAGUAUAGUUCAAUGUUUUUGUUGCAAAGGAUUUGGACAUUACGCUUCAAAUUGUUCAAAAAAAUUAUGCAACUAUUGCAAAAAAGAUGGACAUAUCAUUAAGGAAUGCCUUACUCGACCCCCCAAGAAAUCUGAAACAACAUAUGCUACCUCAGUUGGUUCUUCUAGUGAUGGUAGUUCUGUGGAUACAGCACAUUUGACCCAAAGUGCUCCUGUUCCUGUUCAAUCUGUGACCCCAUAAAUGAUUCAACAAAUGAUCAUUAUUGUAUUCUCCUCAUUAGGACUCUCAGGUAAAUCACCCACUAGAUCUCCUUGGUACUUUGAUUCUGGGGCUUCCCAUCACAUGACAAACAAUGCUAAAUUCUUCACCAAUGUAAGUAAAUACCUUAGAAAUCUAAAAAUUCAUACAGCUGAUGGCAACUCUUUACCUAUCACAGCCACUAGUGAUGUUUCUUUUUCUAUAACCAAUGUCUUUGUCUCUCCUGGUCUUCCUACUAAUCUUGUUUCAAUCGGUCAGUUAGUUGACAAUAAUUGUAAAGUAGAAUUCUCUAAAUCUAGUUGUGUUGUGCAGGAUCAGCAGUCAGGGAAGAUGAUUGCCAGGGGGCCUAAAAUAUGACGUCUUUUCCCUCUCCAAUUUGCUAAGUCUCCAUGUUUCUCUUUGCCUAUCAUCACUUGCAAUUUUACUAAGGUUAAUUAUCGAGCAUGGCAUAAACGUCUAGGACACCUAAACUCUAAUGUAUUUUAUGCUUUGCUAAAUUCUGGUUUACUUGGGAAUAAAAGAUCACCAUCCCUUAGUGUUGUUCAAUUUGAUUGCAAUUCUUGCAAGCUUGGAAAAAGUAAAAUUCUGCCAUUUCCCACUCACACACCGAAUGUUGUCCAGCCUUUUGAUUUGAUACAUAGUGAUGUGUGGGGUAUGGCGCCUGUUACAUCUCAUGCUAAUUACAAGUACUUUGUCACUUUUAUUGAUGACUAUAGUCGCUUCACAUGGAUUUAUUUUCUACAUUCUAAAGAUGAAGUGUUCUCUGUUUUCAAGCUUUUUCAUGCAUAUAUUCAGACCCAAUUUUCUACUAAUAUCAAAAUUCUUUGCUUUGAUAAUGGGGGUGAGUAUAUGUCUCAUUUAUUUUAAGAAUUUUUGCACACCAAUGGUAUAAUUUCUCAAAGAUCUUGUCCUUCAACCCCUCAACAAAAUGGGGUGGCUGAAAGAAAGAACUAUCACCUUCUCGAUGUUGUCUUCAUUUGUACCCUCUCGUUUUUGGUGUGAAGCUUUCUCCACUGUUGUCUAUCUCAUCAACAGAUUGUCCUCUCAUUCCUUGAACCAUGUCUCCCAUUUCUUUCAGUUAUUUGGCCAUACACUAAGUUACUCUCAUCUCCAUACCUUCAGUUGUGUGUGCUAUGUUCAUCUUCCUCCAUAUGAGCGUACAAAACUCACAGCCCAAGCUGUGAAAUGUGCUUUUCUAGGAUAUUUUAUGCACUAAAAAUGUUUUCUUUGUUAUGAUCCAAAUUUGCAUCAUAUAAGGGUUUCUCGAAAUGUGAUUUUCUUUGAAAAUCAGUAUUUCUUUUCCGCAUACCACGACGAUUCUUCGCCUUCAUUUUCUGUUUUGCCAAAGUUUACUAACCCUUCUGCAGAUUCUGCACCUUCUAAACCUAUCAUAGUCUAUCAGCGACGCAAGAAUUUAGUACCUCUCGGGCCCCCUCCAGCAACUUCCCUGAAUGUUGAUCCAGUUCCAGCAACUGCACCUGAACCUUUCAGACAUAGUACUCGGGUUCGUAGACCACCAGAUAGGUAUGGUUUCACCUCUCCAUUAUUUUUGACAGCCACUUUGUCUUCUAUUCUUAUUCCUUCAUCAUAUAAACAGGCAAUAGAGCAUGAAUUUUGGUGAAAAUCUAUUGAAUCAGAACUUCUUGCACUUGAAGAAAACCAAACUUGGGAUAUUGUUUCAUGUCCUCCAUCCGUGAAACCCCUUAGUAGUAAGCUAGUGUUUUCUAUCAAGCUGCGUUUUAAUGAAUCCAUAGAUCGUUACAAGGCUCGGUUGGUGGUUCUUGGCAACAAGCAAGAAUAUGGCCUAGACUACGAUGAGACCUUCGCGCCGGUAGCCAAAAUGACCACUGUUCGAACAAUAUUAGCCCUUGCUGCAUCACAAUCAUGUUCUUUACAUUAAAUGGAUGUAAAGAACGCUUUCCUACAUAGUGAUCUCAAGGAGGAAAUUUACAUGAAACUUCCCCACGGUAUGACUACUUCCUCUCCUAAUGAUGUUUGCAAACUAAAAUGUUCGUUGUAUGGGUUGAAGCAAGCACCGCGAGUAUGGUUUGAGAAGUUUCGAUCAACUCUUUUCAGUUUUUCAUUCACUCAAAGUCAGUAUGACUCCUCCUUUUUUUUUUCCAACAGACAUCUAAGGGCAUCAUUGUUCUCCUUAUUUAUGUGGAUGACAUCGUUAUCACUGGUUCUGAUAUGGAGGCAAUUUCUAAACUUCAGAAUUUGUUGCACUCUAUUUUUCACAUGAAAGACCUCGGUCAACUCACCUAUUUUUUGGGGUUAGAGGUGCAUUAUCUGCCUCAAGGUAUCUUCUUGAAUCAACACAAGUAUAUUCAGGAUUUAAUUUAAUUAGCUGGACUUAUGGACAAAAAUUCUGUUGACACCCCAGUGGAACUUAAUGUGAAAUAUCGACAAGACGAAAGGGAACUACUUCAAGAUCCUACUUAUCUAUCUAACUAUCACCCGCCCAGACAUCUCUUAUGCUGUCCACACCGUUAGCAAGUUCAUGCAAGCCCUUCGACAUCUCCACGUAUCCACAGUCCGCCGCAUCAUUAGAUAUAUUCUUGGCACUCUUAACUGCAGUUUAUUCUUCCCUACUGGUUCUUCACUCCAACUACAAGCCUACAAUGACGCAGAUUGGGCUAGCUGCCCGGACACGAGAAAAUCUACUUUGGGAUGGUGCAUGUUUCUUGGUGAUGCCCUUAGCUCUUGGAAAUGCAAAAAGCAAGACUCAGUCUCCAAAUAAUCCACUGAGGCAGAAUACCGCGCCAUGUCUGUAGCCUGCUCCAAGAUCAUUUGGUCGCGUGGUCUCUUAACAGAGCUUGGUUUCUCACAACAUCAACCUACUCCCCUACAUGCUGACAACACAAGUGCCAUCCAAAUUGUAGCCAACCCUGUCUACCAUGAGCGCAUGAAACACAUAGAGGUUGACUGCCACUCUAUUCGAGAGGCCUAUGACCACCAAGUUAUCACCCUCCUGCAUAUCUCCACUACUCUACUGAUUACGAAUAUCUUCACCAAAUCCAUGACAUGUCAGCGACAUAACGUUCUUGUUAGCAAAUUGAUGCUUGUAGAUUUACCAGCAUCAAUUUGAGGGGGGAUGUCAAAGGAAUUAGUAGAUCUUAUGGCAAAUUCUAUGCCUGUACAGCUGUAACAAUUAUCUUUAUGGUUGUAAAUCUUAUAUUUUUUCCUUAUUUAAGAUAUACUAGCUGUAGGCUAUUUUAGAUAGUUAUGUAUAUGGUAGUUUAGCCAUGUUUAUGGCUAAACAUAAGCUCGUAUUCAUAGUAUAUAAAGGGAAUUCUCCUCCAAGAGAAAGCAUAUGAAAGAAACUUAGUUCUAUAUUGUUUGGUAGGCUAGAAAAUGAAAGAAAAUAAAAGAAAAGCUUUGCAAAGAAAACUGUUAGAUCCUUUUAUUAUACCAAACUUACAGUUUAAUGACUAAAAAUUGAUAUUUAUAUUGAGCUACAAACUCUUCACACACACACACGAGAUUGUUGCAACACAUAACCAAUUGCUGUAUAACUAACUUGACACAUCAGCUCAACCAGCUAACUAACUUUGACAGGUCAGCUUAAUGAUUUGAUCUGAUACAACCAGCUACACAGCAACAUCAUGCUCUGCUCCAGCUUCAUCUAAUUCACUAACAACUUUUGCUCAAAAUUCUCUUAGUUUAUCACAGGGAAGUAUAGCUUUGGAAAAGGCCGGAUCAAUAACUAUGGAGAGAUUUAUAAGUGAUAAAAAUUCCCGUAACCCGCUGUCAAGAAAAUUUCACAUAGUUAAAGACGCCAUUUUGUUUCAGCCAAAAAUGUUUGUUUAAUCUGCCAAAAAUGUUUGUUUCGAUUAAAGACUUGAACCGUUUUCAUUUAACCUGAUUGUGAUGCUUUAUGUUAUGUAUGUUCCUCUCAAUCAAGAAAAGUUGAGGUUCAUGAUUUUAUAUUUCUAUCUUGUAACUUGCAAUAAUAACUGGUCUUCUUGUUUUUGUAGCUUGAUAACAUGAAUUUUCCUUCUCAAGUUAAUUUGAUCAAUAAAGUAAUUCUUCAAAGAAAAUAUGCCCAUUCUAUAAUCAUUUUCUUAGCUAAUAUGUUUUUUUUUUGUUUACUCUUCAGAGUGUGUCGAAACUAAUUGAUUGCUCGGCAGAGACUUUGGGUGACAAGUCAAAAUUUCAUGGUAAAUCCUCUGAAAAGGUAUGCAUAAUUCCUGAAUAUUAAAUAACCAAUGGUCAUAGUUUUUGUACACGACUCUUUUUGUGGAGAUCGUUAAAAGUGGUUGAUGAUCCAUUUGUAAUUUCAUAGAGGGAUCAUCAAUUCCUUUUCUUUUCUGUGGCUAGGCAUCACUUUCGUGCCAAAGUAAGGAAAUCUAUUUUAGGUAAUGUAAAAAACAAUGGUAGGAUGUAAUAGCUUAUUAUGCACUGACAAUAACUUUUUGUAUAAUUGUCAGUUUAAGGAAUACAAGAGGAACUCUGUUGACAAAUUCAUCCAAGAUAGAUGCUAAAAUUAUUUAUGCAUGCCAGUUGCCUUAACUAAUUUUUCUUAACACUUGUAUUGAACAGGAAAUGAGUAUGCAAUUUGUGUACGUGCCAUUGUGGAGAAUUUGGAUAUUCUUAUUUAAGUAAGAAGAAGAGUAUUUGCCUCAUCUUUAAACAAUGAAUCUUUGAGAAAUGAGGAGUGGGUGAUUGGAAGUGUCUUCAUGUAAAUGUUCAUUUACUUGUAUUUUGAACUAUUAUGAGAAUCUUUUAUAUGCCAAAUUAGUAAUACAAAUGUUCAGAUGAUUUUUCCUGUUGAUCACGCGUUUGUGUCUGCAGACAACCAUUGUAUAUCACUUUAUUCUGAUGUGCAAUUAUGUAUAGAUUAGAAGAAAAGAAAUAAUAGUCUUAUAUUAUUGUUUGGUUCAUGAUUAUUAAACGAUUAUGGCUUCAAAAAAUCUACAAAUUCCUUCUGUUCAUAUAUGAAUGUGCCAAGUUUGCUAUAUCUUAGAUUGCCUUCUUCCAAGAUAACAAGUUCAUAUGUUUUUUAAUCCUCUUCAAUCACAGUUGAAUUUUAAGUGUUAAGAUUUGUUAUUAAUACCUGGUUCCCUGUUAUUAUGAUUUUUAUUAUGAUUUCAUAAACAGUGUACGGACAUGUGCUCUACUUUUAAAGGGCCUCCACGUGAAAGAAAAUUGCAACAAUUGAAUUCUUCCGGAGGGUAUGGCAUUUAAUUUAUUUUCUCAACUUCUUGUAAGACUAAUAUAUUUCCUUCAGUAGGCAGGGCAUGUUGGGAAGGGCUUUUAUUGAAAGAAUUCUGAUAUUUCUUAGACUUUGUUUUGGAAGGGAGGUGGAGGGAUUUCUCAUCCAUAUAUGGUUACUUGAUUAGCUUUUGACUGUAUUGCCUCAGUCGUGCAAAGGAAGAUCCAAAUACUAAUGAAUGAGAAUUGGUUAGAGACCCAAAAGACAGAAAUGAACUACAGAAGGAAGUUUUUGCUGCUUUAUUUAGUGUUCCUGAGAACUCUGAUGAAGAUGGAGUGGAGGUCCAAAGCAUUAAGAAAGGUGGUGAGUGAACCGCCAGAGGAAUUGGUACCAGAAUACAAAGCUAAUGUGGUGCAUUUGCAGCAAGAUAACCAGACUAGUAUGUGCUCUUGUAUUAACUAUAUUGACUGGAUUUGUGAGCAUGUUCAUUUUUGUGUGUAUAAUCACUUUUGUAUUUAUGCAUAUUAAUGUUAGUAGGAUUCUUGAUUUCCUCCACUUACUGGAGAACUAGUGGAAAGCUUUAUAGUGAAAUAUCUGCAAUAACUAAUGGAAACCAUGAUUUGAAUAUUUUCUCUCACCUGGAGAGCUUUGUAACAGAUGUACUUUGUGGCUAUGGAAUACUAGAGAUUCUGCAAUAACUAAUGGAAACUCUGAUAUGAAUAUUUUCUCUCACCUGCAGAACUUUGUAACAGAUACACUUUGUGGCUCUGGAAUGUCUAAAGAUUUUGUCUGCUUCAGUUAGAUCAAAUAUCUUUUAGUUACCUACAUUAUGGAAAAGAUAGAGUUCUCUGAAUCUGAAAGACUGAAACAUUUUGCAUAUUUCGUGAAAGGAAAAUAUCUGUAGAUACUAGUUCAUGCAUUGAGGUAACAUCAAUGUUAAAGAAAAACAGCAAUAACUUAUUAUAUAGAAUUAGGUUCACUUGCUUUAAAUGCUGGUCUGGUCAACCAUAUGAACCUGUAAGUGUAUCUGCAGAAAUAUAUAUGGGGGGACAAACUAGCUAAAUUUUCCUCUCAUUUCUGGCUUUGGUCAUUUUUUCCCCUUAUUUUUCAGCUUUCCUUCUCCUGAAGUAUGUUAACAAUUGCAGAUAAUGACGAAGAGGACAGCUUGCAGGCUCUUCGUGGAGCUGUGAUGGAAUAUAGGGGCACAAUGAAAGAACAUUUUAAAGCUGUAGGUUCUUUUUCUCCUGUCAUUUAUAUUUGCUCACACAUUUUUCAUAUGCUCCAAGCAUGCAAGUUUGUAUGUGUCUUUGCCUUUUAAGUUUUAAAAACCAUAAGGUAAGAAUACAGUUCCUCGUCAGGUUAUUGAUGCAUUCACUCCGGAGGAUCAUGUUCGAGCAGGAAAACUUCUAGAACAGGCAAGGUUUUCCAUCUACAGCCAUCUAUUGACAACAGAUACAUUUUCAUUCAGCAGACACUGUUAGCAUUCAAGAUGCUGGCAGAUUCACUUGAUUCUUAUUAGUUUGUUUAGUGGUAAAGCAUAUAACCUGUUUUUCAAAGCCAAGUUGUGCUAUUGAUUAUGUUAACUUUAUUGUUCACAUAAAGUGAUAUGGAGGAAAUAAUCAUUGUAGGAAAAUUAGGUGAAGAGGUGAUGUCAAAUCUUGAACCUGUUACAAAACUCCAAGUUCUUUACUUGAAGAAGCUACCAAAUUUGAACAGGGUCCACUGGAAGGCCUUGCCAUUCCCUGAUGCCUGCAGAAUUUUUGUAUUUAAAUGCCCAGAGCUUAAGAAGCUGCCACCGGAUCUUGAAAGGGCAGGCCAAGGUAAAAUUCUUAUCAAGGGAAAGGAAGAUUGGUGGAAACAACUUCAAUCGGAGGAUCAAGUAACUCAGAAUGCAUUGCUUCUAUUUUUAAAAUCAACUGACAAGUGAUUGAAGGGGGCAUCAUCAACAUCAUCAACAUGGAUGGAGAGAUUCAGGAGCAGAUCCGCAGGGUUUAUUACGACCUGUGGUGGUUGCUUUUUUGUGACUUGUUCCCUUUCAUUUUUUCACUUCCUGUCAUAUUAUCAUUUCUUUGUCUCUGUUUCUAUUGCUGAUGUUGCUGCAUGCUUGCAGCCCUUGACAAAGUUAGCAAUGCAAUAUAGAUUUUGAAAUUAAAUUUUGUAUGUUCGGGACAGUCACAAAGUACUACUUGUUCUAUAUGGGGGUGAUGUGAAUCAACUUUUCAAUUAUAUAUUCUGUGGUAAUUGUGAAUUCAAUUUCAUUUGUCUCCUGCAAAUUAUGAAGAAAGUGCAGAGUUAGAAUAUCGAAAAGUUCACUGGCAAAUACUUUGUAAAAGCUUCGGAGUGAAACAGGGAAUGCACUUGCAACUAAGGACAAAUUGGUGGCCAGCUAAUGCAUUCAUUUUAUGUACAUUCAUCUUUUUAAUUAUUGAAGAUAAGUGGUUCGUUGCUUUUGUUGUAGAAAAAAUUCAGACGACCUCAAUUGUGAGAUGAAAAUAUUUAAAAUAUCUCUUAAAUUAUUAUAAACUUUAAUUUAUCUUAAUUUUAUUUAAAAGAUAAAAGAAAAAUGUGGUAUAUGGGUAAAAAUUUUUUUAUCUUGUUAAUAAAAUGAAAUAAAUUAAAAUUUACAAUAAUUUAAAGUAUUUUAAAAUUAUUAUUUCAUAAGAGAUUAAUAUGAAAUUAAUCCUUUUUACUUUUUGAAUGUGAAAGGACAAGAAAAGAGAAAGCUAGUGUCACUGCUUUUUAUUUUAUUUGAAAUCGGAGUUAUCCCAUAUACUUUACUACUUUAGCUCUAACAUUACAAUGUUUUUAGGCUACACUUUUAUUUUUCUUUUUCCCCCUUUUUUUAUACAUGCAUGUGGAUUACUUUUCUCUAAGCUCCUUAAUAUUUAAGACAAAUCAUAAAAGCAAUUGAAGCAUAACAAGAUGAUCAAAACAUUUAACCGAAAAAAAAAGAAAUAAAACAUUGAAAAUGGAGAUGUUGAUUAAUUUAGAAGAGAUGCAAGCAAAAAAUAUUCCCAAAAAAAAAAAAAAAAAAAGCAACGUUAGUUCAUCCAUGUCUGUCAAUGCGUUUUUUAUGGUUUUUUUUUUCCAGUUGUUUGUUGUAAUAGAUUAAUUGUAAAUUGAUAUAAACUUGAUGUUGUAAUAUGUUCGCUUUUGUGGAAAUAAAUUUCAAUAUUCAAGAUUAUUCAAGUCUUAUCUAGUAUGUGUUCGGUUGUGUUGUCGAUAAUUUUACAUUCUAAUAAGUUUUCACCUAAAAUAUUAGCAUGAGUAGUAGUCCUUAAACCUUUGGUCAAAAUUAUUGUUAUUGUUUCUUUUAGAGGAAAUUUUUUUAUUAAAGCCUCGUUAACACUAUUCCUUAUUAAGAUUAUAAGUUAGUGUCGGUGCAGGAUUUGCAGCGACAAAUCUUGUCUAGCCACGUGUCAAAAUACAAAUAAAUCAAGGGAAAGCACAUGACAUGGAUUAGGAUCCAAUAAAAUUUAAAUCCCAAGGAAAAGGACAACUGUAUCCUAAAGUUUCAAUAAGAGAUACUGGGAUAUCUUUUGACUAAUGUUAUUUUUUGGCUUUAUUAAUAAAAAGAUCCAAUAGUUUAUAACAAAUAAAAAUAUAGUAUUAAGCUAAAUGUGAUAAUUUACACAUUUUACAUAAUUUCAAUAAAAAUUUUUUUAAUGUUUUACAAUCUAUCAGACAUAUUUUAUUAAAUUAAUAAGAAUUUUCUUAUAAAUAGCAACAUAAUAUUAAAAUAAAUUUAUAAAAAUUUAAAUGUAAAAUAAUUUUAGUAUAAUUAAUACGCGGGAUAUAUUUUGUAAAUUAUAAAAUUACUUAACCCAAUGAUUUUUAAAAAUCUUUAAAAUAAAUAAAAAUAAAUUAUUCACAUUUUGAUGUAAAUAUUUAAAACAUUUUUAUACAUUAGUCCACAAUUAUUUAUGUUAUAUUUGUAUUUAUUAGAAAUUUUGAAAGUCAAAUGUUUUUUACCUCUAUGUUAUUAGAAUUAUUGCACACAGAGAAAGAGCCAUAUAUGCUUUAUAACUUUAAAAUCGAUUUGUUUUAUAGCUGGGAAUAGAGAUGAUCAUUAUUAUAAGGAUUUUUUAAAAAAAGAUAAAGAAUAUUAAUGAUUAGCGAAAUCUCUAUGGAAAUUGAAUUUAGUAAGAAAAAAUUGAGCUGAUUUUAGUGGUAUAGUAAUAUUUUAUAUAGAGAAAAGUAAAAGCUGCACCCAAGGUUAAGGGAAAUGGUCAAAAUUCUUUUUUAAUCAUAAUACCCUUUUUCCUAGAUAAUUUAAAAAUUUUACUCUAAUAGUUUAUAAUAAAUAAAAACAUAUAAUCCUAAAAUAAAUAAAAUGAUAUAUAUUUUAAAAUAAUCUCAAUAUUUAAAAUAUAUUUUAACAUUUUAUAAUCUAUUAGAUAUAUUUUAUUAUAUUAAAGUAAAUUUUAUAAUAAAUACAAAACAUACUAUUAAAAUAGAUAUAAAAAUUUUAAAGUAUUUUGAAUAUUAUAUAAAAUAACUUUAAUAUUGUUAAUGCAUGAGAUGCAUUUUAUUAAUUAAAAAUUCUAUGUAACCCAAAGAUUUAUUUAUAAUAAAUUAAUAAUCAUAUUUUUGAAAUUAUUUUAAAUAUUAAAAAAUAUUUUAAUAUUACUAACUAUUAGAUAGACUAAACUAUUUAUUUUAUUUUCUAUUUAUUAUAAAAUUUCAAAGUUAAUCUUUUUAACUACUAUUCAAAAGAUGUUAUGAUAAAAACAGAAUUUUUGUGUUUUUAUUGAAAAUUUGGAGUUUACAUCUAUUUUUUCAAAUAUUCAGGGUGUAACUGUUUUUUCCCUUUUAUAUAUACGAACGGUGGUGAGAAAGUUUGAUUUAACGUUAUUUAUUUAAAUAAAAUCUCAGUUAAAAAUGUACAGAGAAGAAAUUUCGGUUGGUAUUUUAGUCUUGGUAAUCUCUAUAUUAUAUGCAUAUAAGAUACAUCAUUCUCACAUGAAUAGUAUAUGUGUGAGAUCCAUAUAUUAUUCAUGUGAGGGAGAUGUAUCUUAAUAAGAUAGAGGGAUCCGUUAGUCUUUUACCAAUCAUCACGAUUAGGCCUUGGCCUUGAAACAUUAAUUGUUUCACUUUUAGCGCUAGUGGCGUUGAAAGUUGUCAAGAAAAAGCAAGACCAUAUUCCACAAAAGCAAAAGUAACGUAGGCUCUUUUAUUAAAGGCAAAGUAUAAAGUAGUCAAGAAUCGAAUAUCCUGUCGUCUACUCUUUUUUAAAUUCUUCUUUUAUUAUCGUUUAGAAUAGUUUUUGGUAAUUACAAUCAUUAUUCAGAGUUAUUGUUAUCUUCCGGGGCAGUCUCUGUUCAUCGAAGUCGUUACCUUUUUUUUAAUGGAUCAGUUCCAGUGGUAAGCAGUAAUUUUCUUAGAACUCGGAUCUUUAAUUCGAGUUUCUGUGUGAAUUAAUAAUAAAAAAUUUUCAUUACACGCAAUUUAAGCUACGAAUUACUUUUUGCAAAGUUGAAUAUGGAAUUGGAGAAAUUAAGUAAUUUAGAAUGUUGGUAAAAAUUGACGAACAUAUCUCCAAUUACAGUAAAACCUCUCUACAGUCAUAACAUUAUAACAAAAUUAAUUUUAUUACUAUGUUGAGGUAAUAUAGGUUUAGUUACAAAAUUAUUGUUUUAAUAUGGUUAGUGUCAAGUGAUAUAAAGGUUAAGUAUGCAGUACAUUAAUAAUUAAAUAAUGAAGUGUCAAAUCUAAUGUAUAUAUAUUAAUGAUAUAGAUAGACAUAGUUUUAAAAAACUAAUUAAUGUAUAUUUAUGUAGUGUUAUGAAUAUGGAAAGUCAAGCCUACACUUUACAUUAUCCUUAAUUUUUUCUCUCAGUUAAAUUCUACAAAUAUUGUACAAUGGUUGGGCAAGAACUCUAAAUUAAGAAUAAAUUAUUGUCACAAAUAAUUUUAGAAAAUAUUUUAUUUCGUCUUAAACCUUUAAUAUAAAUAAACAUAUAUAUAUAUAUAUAUAUAUAUAUAUAUAUAUAUAUGUGUGUGUGUGUGUGUGUGUGUGUGUGUGUGUGUGUGUGUGUGUGUGUGUGUGUGCAUAUUUUGCAACGUAUAGAUAAUUGUUAGUAUAUGGAGACAAGUCUUUUAAGGUAGGACCUAGGAAAAUUUAUAACUUACUACACUGUGGAGUUUUUAUUCCUUUUUAUAAUUGGCUCAUAUUGAUACAUUCUUACACAAAAUAUUACCAUUGACAUAUUUUACUACAAUUAGUUUAGAACAUUUGUUAGGAAAAAAAAGAAAAGAAAAGAAAACAUCCCUUGGAUGUAGCUCUCCUGACUAUUUAAAUCUUUUAAGGAAAAAAAGAAAAAAGAAAAACUGGCACAUUCAAAUCUUGAAGCAAUUACAUUAAAAUCUCUCCAUAAUGAUAGGAAUAAUCUCCAUUUAGUAAUAAAAAAUUUUGUUCGCAAUUUAGGCAGAGUUAUAAAUAAGAAUAAAAUCCUCAUUGUAAUAAGUUAUAUUUAUUAUGGAUCCCAUCCUAAGGAAUUCGUCUCUAUAUAGUAAUAAUUAUUUGCAUAUUAUAAAUAUAUAUGUUGCAUUAGAUUAAAUGAACUUGUCUCCACAUACUACUUAGACAACGAGAGAAAAUUAUUAAAGAGAACACAAAUAUUUAGAUAUUUUUAAGAUUACUUUGCAUAUUUAUAACAAUAAUACAUUGAUAUAUGUAUUAGUUUUUUGAUAUAUUAGAUUUAACAUGCUCUAUUAAUAAAUUAUUAAUACGAUGCAUAUUCAUCUCUAUAUCCUUGCAAUAAAAGUAACUAAGUUAUAACAAUAAUUAUUAAUAAAUUAUUAAUACGUUGCGUACUUCAUCUCUAUAUCCUUACAAUAAAAAUAACUAAGUUAUAAUGAUAAUUUUUGUAACUACAUACUUAUUAGGUUUUAACUACUUCAUAAUAAUAAAUUAGUUUCGUCCUAAUAUUAUAAUUAUGUAGAGUUGUAGUGUAUAGACACACCCAAUUUAAAUAGUAUAUCAAAUAAAAUUGUCCCCACGAAAAAGAAAAAAGGGGUAAAGGAUUCUCAUUUCUUCAAACAUUAGGAUCACGUUUGUACAAGUGCGAUGCCUUUCUUUUGAAGGCAACGUCAGUGGGUACCCAAUAGGACGUGUGUAAAUCUUUCCAAAAUUUCUCUGGUAUAACGGACAGAGAUCAUUACUUUUCUCUUCCAUAUACCACAGCAGCUUCAGUUAAUCAGACUCAAUCAAUUUUCUUGGUUUCUUCGCUUAUCAAAAUUCCAAAAUAUGGGUAGCAUAUUUCAAAUCACAUGCGAUGGUGCUUUUUUCAAUCGUUGCUUGGAUUGCUUUCUUGGAAAAGUAGCAAACACAAGUAAGCUCCAAGAUAACCUUGUUGCCUUGGAGACUGAAUUGGGAAAACUAAUCGCAGCAAAGAACGAUGUGAUGAUGAGGGUUGUCAAUGCUGAACGGCAACACCUGAGAACGCUGGACCAAGUGCAAGUGUGGCUUUCGAGGGUGGAAGCUGUUGAAACUGAAGCUGAUGAAUUGAAAAGACACGGCUCUCAAGAAAUUGACAAAUUAUGUGUUGGAGGCUACUGUUCCAAGAACUGCGCGUCAAGCUACAAGUUCGGGAAACAAGUGGCUAAAAAGCUACGGGAUGUGCAGACUUUAAUCGACGAAGGAGUUUUUGCGGCGGUGGCUACCGAGGUGGUGCCUGAGAGAGCUCCAGAACCUGUAGCAGAUGAAAGACCCACUGAGCCAACAAUAGUAGGCUUGCAAUCACAACUUGAACAAGUUUGGAGAUGUCUUGUAGAAGAAUCAGUGGGAAUCAUUGGCCUAUAUGGUAUGGGCGGUGUUGGUAAAACUACACUAUUGACCCAUAUCAACAAUAAAUUUCUUGAGAGUCCAACCAGUUUUGAUUGUGUGAUUUGGGCCGUAGUUUCAAAGGACUUGCGACUCGAAAAAAUUCAAGAAGAUAUUGGGAAAAAGAUCGGUUUGGUUGAUGAUUCAUGGAAGAGUAAAAGUGUAGAGGAGAAAGCUCUCGACAUCUUCCGGAGUUUAAGAGAGAAGAGAAUUGUAUUGCUGUUAGAUGAUAUAUGGGAGCGGGUUGAUUUAACAAAAGUGGGCAUUCCACUUUCCGGACCAAAAAAUACUACAUCAAAAGUCGUAUUCACAACCCGUUUCGUCGAUGUUUGUGGUAGCAUGGAAGCUGACAAGAAGUUCCAGGUGGCAUGCUUAUCAGAAGAGCAUGCUUGGGAACUGUUUCGAAAAAAAGUUGGGGAAGAAACUCUUGAGAGUGAUCAUGAUAUCGUUGAGCUAGCCCAAACUGUGGCCAAAGAGUGUGGUGGUUUGCCACUCGCACUUAUUACUAUUGGUCGAGCUAUGGCCUUCAAAAAGACAGCCGAGGAGUGGAGUCAUGCAAUUGAUGUGCUAAGAACAUCAGCUUCUGAGUUUGCAGGUUUGGGAGAAAAGGUUUAUCGUCUUUUAAAGUUUAGCUAUGAUAGUUUGCAGAAUGAGACGAUUAGAUCUUGUUUCUUAUAUUGUUGUUUAUAUCCCGAGGAUUAUAGCAUUCUUAAAUGGGACUUGAUUGAUUGUUGGAUUGGUGAGGGAUUCUUAGAGGAAUCUGACAGGUUCAGUGCAGAAAACCAAGGAUACUACAUUGUGGGCACUCUUGUUCAUGCAUGUUUAUUGGAAGAGUUAGAAGAUGAUAAAGUAAAAAUGCAUGACGUUGUUCGUGAUAUGGCUCGAUGGAUAGCUUGUGAAAUUGAGAAGGAGAAGAGAAAAUUUUUGGUUUGUGCAGGUGCUGGAGUAGGAGCGGUGUCAGAUGUUGAAGGAUGGGAAAAUGUGGGAAGAUUGUCAUUGAUGCAAAACCAAAUUGAAAUUCUGUCAGAGGUUCCCACAUGCCCUCAUCUCCUCACUUUAUUUCUUGACUUUAAUUAUAAAUUGGAGAUGAUCACCGAUGGCUUCUUCCAAUGUAUGCCUUCUCUCAAAGUUUUGAAGAUGUCAAACUGUGGGCAUGUCAAAGUUUUGAAAUUACCUUUUGGGAUGUCAAAGCUGGGUUCACUACAACUUCUUGAUAUUUCACAUACCGGCAUAAGAGAGUUACCAGAAGAGUUAAAGUUGUUGGUAAAUCUGAAAUGUUUGAAUUUGAGGUGGACACAUAUGUUAAAUAAAAUUCCACGGCAGCUAAUAUCAAAUUCUUCAUGGUUACGUGUGUUGAGAAUGUUCGCUAUUGGCUUUGAAAAUUCUAAAGAACCAUCAGAAGACAGCGUUUUAAUUGGUGGGGGUGAAGUUUUAGUACAUGAAUUGCUCGGUUUGAAAUAUUUAGAGGUAUUGGAGUUGACCUUGCGAAGUUAUGAUGCUCUCCAAUUUUUUUUGAGCUCAAAUAAGUUAAAAAGUUGUAUUCGAUCUCUUUUCCUCAAUAAGCUGGGAGAUACAAAGUCGAUUCAUGCUACGGCUUUCGCAGAUCUAAAGCAUCUCAAUGAACUAUGCAUUCGUUCGGCAGUGGAGUUGGAAGAAUUGAAGGUUGAUUAUACAGAGAUUGCGCCAAAAAGGUCGGAACCUUUUGUUUUCCGCAGCCUUCACCGUGUUACUAUGGAGCGGUGCCAUAAAUUGAAAGAUUUGACAUUCCUCGUUUUUGCUCCAAGCCUCAAGUCUCUUUCGCUAUACGGUUGCAAUGCUAUAGAAGAAAUAAUCAGCGUUGGAAAAUUUGCUGAGACUCCUGAGGUGAUGGGACAUAUAAGCCCUUUUGGAAAUCUCCAAACGCUUUAUUUAACUGAUUUGCCAGAGUUGAAAAGCAUCUACUGGAAGCCAUUGCCUUUCACUCAUCUCAAAGAAAUGACGGUACAUGGGUGUAAUCAGCUUAAAAAGCUUCCAUUCGAUUCCAACAGUGCAACAGAGCGUAAAUUUGUUAUUCGUGGAUACACACUCUGGUGGAACCGUCUUCAAUGGGAGGAUGAAGCCACUCAAAUUGCUUUUCGUUCCUGUUUCCAAUCUCAUGAAAUAUAAAUUCCUGAGCGGUGGUUGCAAAAUUUGAUUUCUAGUGAGUGCUUUUUUCUUAAACUCUUACAUAUAUUCUCGUCGUUUGCUUCGUGCAACGGACUAGGUUUUUAUUUCAGAUUCGUUUUUUGUCUCCUGCAAAUCACAAUUAAAUGUUGAAUUAUAUGGAGUCAAUGCUUUAUAAAAUUUUCAAGGCACUGCCAUUUCCUUUUUCUUUUUCUUUUUUUUUUUGGGUCGAAUUGAUGCUCUGGCUUUUUACUUUUUGUUGUCACAUUUUGCUCUGUUUUUUCAAGUUGAUGCUUGAAUAGUUGAAUUCAAUUGAUGCUCACAUAAAUUUGUUUAGUUGCCGCAAAAGGAUAUAAUUAGACUGAAGUACACACUUCUAGAAUGAAUACAAAAUGUUAAGUAUACUAGCCCUCUUUACAGAAAAUCAAAUGAAAAUCAAUUUUUUGGGGCUUUGAUUUUCUAUGGUCUAUUAUAUACUCUUUUUAAUAUCUUCUGUUCUAACUAUAACCAAAUCCUUUGUUCAAGGAUUUUUAUUUGGGGUAUUGAUAACUGUCCACCAAAAGAGUGAACACUUGGAUGCUGCUCAAGGAUCUCUAAUCAAUAGCUGGAAGCAACUGAGAAGGCGGUCGCUACUGUUUACAAAGCGAUGCAGUAUUUGCCAUUCAUCUUAAUAAUUAUGAAGCUUUGGUAAAAUUUUCAAACAAAGUUGAACACAUGUUGUUUUGAGAUUUGGUUCAUGAUUUUGGAUGAAUAUCGUUGUUCCGUUUGAGUUGGAUGUGAAUUCAAAAUCUAUAUAUUCUUUGGUUUUCAAUUCUGAACUCAAUUUCUUUUUCUCAAGCAUGUUAUGCAGAAAUGAUUUUUUACUAAAUCAUUUUUGAUGAAUUGUUUAAAUUAAACAAUUGGAAUAAGAAUUGAAAAGGUUUAUCAUAAGCAUGCUAAUAUGAUAAGUUGUUUUAUGAACGAUUAAUUAAUUAAUCAAUUAAUAUUAAAUUAUCUAUUAGUCAAUUAGAUAUGCGUUACAUGUCAUGUUUAAAAAUUAUUUAUUUAUAUUUCAAACAAAUUUGACUGGAUGUUGUGUAGGUAAUACUACAUAAUUUCAAAACAAAAAAAGUAAUAAAAACACGUUAAAUUUUGUUUUUAUGAAGAAAAAUUUAAAAUUUUAUUAAAUAGGUGAAAAUAAUAAAUGGAUUCGUGUAUGGUUUGAGAUUCUUGACAUAAUUAUGAAAUAAGCCGGAUUCGACUUAGUUCAAUUUUGACGCGAUAAGAAGACGACACCACACAAACACACGAUAAGAACCGUUACCUGAGAAGAUUGCCAUCAGGAAUUUUGAAAUUGAUUUCACUACAAUACCUUAAUCUUUCAGAUACUACCAUCACUGAGCUGCCAGAAGAGCUAAAAGCCUUGGUAAAUCUUAAGUGUUUGAACUGUACACAAAUUAUCUCUCUACAAUUCAAAAACAACUAAUUUGUUACUUUUUCAAUGCUACAUGUUCUGCGAAUAUUGAGUUGUGGUUAUCUUGUUGAAAUAUCAGACAAUAGAGUUCUAUUUGGUGGUAGUGAAUUGUUGGUUGGGGAGUUGCCUAGUUUAAAACGUUUAAAUGUAUUAAGCAUCACCUUACAAGGUUUUUCUGCUGUCCAAAAACUUAUGAGCUCUCAAAAGUUUCAAAGCUGUACAAAAUGUUUGGAGCUUAUAGACUGUGAUGAUUCAAAGUCUUUUGCCUUGGCAGAGUUGAAGCAUCUCGAAAAACUAGUUUUUUGAAUUGUGGAAGAGUUUAAGUUCUGCUUUGUUGAAGUUGGAAAAGCUCAAGAAUGUUUUCGUUUGAACAGUUUUCACCGAGUUAAUAUAAAGGCUUGUCAUAAAUUGAGGGACGUGACAUGGCUUGUAUUUGCUCCAAAUCUUACAGUUAUUCAAAUAGAAAAAUGUAUGCAGAUGGAAGUAAUAGUCAGUGCAAGGAAAUUGGGUGAAGUUCCAGAGAUGAUGGCAGAUCUAAACCCUUUUGCAAAUAUCUUUGCCAGCGAGUUCUACCAAAAUUAAAAAGCGUCUAUUGGAAUGAGUCACCCUUUCCACAUGUCAGGGAAAUUAUUGUAUCUGAAUGCCCAAUUCUCAAGAAGCUUUCACUCGGUUUUAACAAUGCAAAGGAAUCUAAAAUUGUCAUUAGGGGAGAGGAACACUGGUGGAGUGAGCUGCAAAGGGAGGAUGAAGCGACCGUUAAUGCUUUUCUUCCUUGUUUCGGUUCCAUUUGAUAGGCAUCAACAUGGAUUUAUAUUUUGCGGUGGACAACUUGUGGUAAGUGCUUUUCCAUUUAUUACAUGUUUAUAUCUAACUUUUGUUUUCCUUUAUGGUUAAAUUUUACUGUAUAUAUGUUGUUAUACGGUGACAUUCUCGCAUCAAUUAUUAGCUUUUUAAUUCUCUUCUGGCAUUAAUUGCCCUUCUGAUCAUGUAGGAUAUGCCGAUGUCAAAGAGUAGUAAAUUGGGAUACAAAUGUAAGAAUUAGCCAGAUGACAUGUUGUUUUGAAGCUCUCUCGAAGGACUAGUUAUGUCAUUCAAAGCAUCCAAUUUCGCUACUUUUUUUUUCAUUUGUUGCUUUUUAUAUUUCUAGAUAGCUUGAUAUUCGGCCAAGACAUCGAUAGGAGGGCACAUUGUGCAUGCACACUAGUGGAUGAUUUGGGCAUGCCGAAUCCAAUUAGCGUGGAUGACCCUUUAUAAGCAUCAGGCUUCUCUCAUACCAGAGCAAUGUAGAAUAUGUUUAUAAACUGUGGAUUACCCUUUAUAAGUUUAGACUUCUUCUAUACUCGAGCGAUGUGGAAUACCUGUAUAAGCAUUAAGCUUCUCUCAUACACUUUAUGUUAAAAAUAAUAAUAAUAAUAAUAAAAUAAAUCCAUUUUAAAAUAGGCUCUUUUUUUCUUUUUUUAUAUAAACAAAAUGCAUUCUUCAAAUCAAUAGUGGGUGGAAGAAGUGAGUAGAGAAGGACUAGGCCCCUUCAUUCCGCCUAAAACCUCACCGAAACCUCUCUUGUGAACUUCUCAGAUUCUCUCUCAAUAUUUCUUAUGAUCUCGUUUUUGAUAGAAUCACUUCUAUUGCAUGCUGCAUUUUGUGCGUCGUUUUUGGGUAAUAUCUUAUCUGGAAUGCUGUUAUGAUCAAUAGAACAAGUAAUCAAUUUUUGGUUUGACGGAAGUCGAUUUAUUUAUUUACUAUUGUUUUUUAUUUGAAAUUUUGACAGUUGUGUUUCAUUCAUUUCUUUCCUUCUUUUUUUAUUUUAUAUUUAUUAUGUAUAAUUGUGUUUCAUUUGAUAUUGAUCAUACUGUAGAUAACUAUGUGAUUGUAGCUGGGGAUUUUAAGUUUUGUGAAUUCAAGAAACUGUCAAAAUGCUAGUGAAAUUGGGACCUUUAUUCAUAAGCUUGUGGUUUUCAAAAGUAGCCGGGUUCAACUGAUGAAGUUCCUUUUUGGGAUUCUUUUUUUUCUAGGCUGCAAUUCGGAUAUGUACCUGAUAGACAAUCUUUUGUGAGUUUAGCAUAUCUUCUCCGAUUUUGUCUUUUAUUCCCCAACUUUACAGCUACACACCAUGAAUGCUGGGUGAUUGUACAGAAAAUUUGUGUUAGAACAAAAGCAUUGUGAAGGAGUUUCUGUGCUAUAAGUUAUUGGCUUCAGCUUUAUUGGCAUUAAUUGGGUAGAUUAUGUGUUACAGUGAUUCAAUUUGUGAUCCACACUUUAAUUUUCUCUUUUCCCCAAUUAUUUAUGUCAAAUUCAAAUCCAGAAGCAUGCGCUGAUUUUUUUUUUUUUUUGUGAUAAUCUGUGAAGUUUAUUUGGAAAGGACGUAUCUGGGUUUAAUGGAUUAAAUUAUGACAUUGAGGGAAAGGCACUAAAGGUUUUGCUUGACACAUUUGGUCUGUGUUUACUCUGCAAUAAAUAGCUUCGCUUAUCAGAAAUCCCUAUUUGGCUGGUGAAUUUCUCUGUGACAGACAGGCAAACACCUAAACCGCUUCUAUCCAUUUUUCUGCUGGUGAGGUAAGGGGUAAAAAGUCUUCAAAAUCAUCAAAUAGUAACAUCUCUGAGAAUUGGUUUUAGAAAAAUGGAAAAUCUAGACCUACUAGGACAAAAUGGCGUCCGGUAUCAGGAGGUACCGUUUCAAGUUUUCUUGGUAAAGAAUAUAUUAAACCUGCGCAACCAGCUAAUGGCACUUUUCUGGCAUCAAAGCCAUUGAAGUUGGAUCUAAAGGAGUUUUCCCAUGCCUGCAUUGUGCAGAGAAGAAACUAAACAAAAACAAUCAAAGAAUGACCAUUUGCAGAAGGAUACGGAAGAUUUUCUAUUUAAAUUGUUAGGAGAAGGGUCCCAGCUGAACAGGGAUGUGAUUCAGGAGGUUCUCGGUAAUGUCUUAAAUAUACUGAUGCCAAUUUAAUACAUAUUGUCCUUUUCAAUGUUCUUUCUUUCUUUCUUUUUUUUUUCCUUCUUCUUCUUUUUCUUUUCGUGUGCAUGUGAUCACUGAUUUGGUAUUAUGCUUAAGUUGCAGAUAGCUGUGGAUUUGAUAUGCAAAAGGUAAGGACUAUAUCUUCCUGAUGUAGGCCUCUGCUUUUUCCCCUUCUAUGUAAUUUAGUAAUUCACAUCUUCCUUUGUGAUUGUUAUAUCAUAUCGAAGUCAAGUCUUAAAUACUGCUGUCAUAUGUGAAGGUUCAACUUGCAUUUUGAUUAAGAUCCAUUUGCUGCUGCUUCCAAAAGUGAGAAUGAGAUACUUUGGUUAAUUUCAGUGGUUGAACCCAAUAGAGAACUUUAUUUAGAUCUUCAUGGUUCAAAGGCCUGAAAAAACUUGCCCGUAAUUGUAAAAUGACAUUCUGUGCUUUUUAUGCAAUAGGGAACAGGGAAGUAGAGCUUUGGAAAAGCCUGGAUUGAUAACUAUGGAGAGACUUAUUAUUUAAGUGAUGAAAAAUUCCCAUCGCCCGCAGUCAAGAAAAUUUCAGAUAGUUAAAGACUCCAUUUUGCUUCAGCCAAAAAUGUUUGUUUCAAUUAAAGACUUGAACCAUUUUCAUUGAACCUGAUUGUGAUCCUUUACGUUAUGCAUGUUCCUCUCAAUCAAGAAAAGUUGAGGUCAUGAUUCUAUAUUUCUAUAUUGUAACUUGAAAUAAUAAUUGGUCUACUUGUUUCUGUAUCUUGAUAAUAUGAAUUUUCCUUCUCAAGUUAAUUUGUUCAAUAAAGUAAUUCUUCAAAGAAAAUAUGCCCAUUCUAUAAUCAUUUUCUUAGCUCAGAUGUUUUUUCUUCACUCUUCAGAGCAUGUCAAAACUAAUUGAUCGCUUGGCAGAUACUUUGGGUAAGAAGACAAAAUUUCUUGGUAAAUCCUCGGAAAAGGUAUGCAUAAUUCCCGAGUAUUAAAUAACCAAUAGUCAUAAUUUUUGUACAUGACUCUUUUUUCUCUUUUUUGUGGAGAUCAUUAAAAUUGGUUGAUGAUCCAUUUUGUAACAUCAUAGAGGGAUCAUCAAUUCCUUCUCUUUUCUGUGGCUAGGCAACACUUUCAGGCCAAAGUAAGAAAAUCUAUUUUAGGUAAUGUGAAAACCAACGGUAGGAUGUAAUAGUUUAUUAUGCACUGACAAUAACUUUUUGUAUGGUUGGCAGUUUAAUGAAUACAAGAGGAACUUUGUUGACAAAUUCAUCCAAGAUAGAUGCUAAAAUUAUUUAUGCAUGCCAGUUGCCUUAACUAAUUUUUCUUAACACUUGUAUUGAACAGGAAAAUGAAUAAGCAAUCUGUAUAUUGUGCCAUUGUGGAGUAUUUGGAUAUUCUGAUUUAAAUAACAAGGAGAAUACUUGCCUCAUCUUUAAAUGAGGAGUGGGGGAUUGGAAGUGUCUUCAUGUAAAUGUUCAUUUAUUUGUAUUUUGAACUAUUAUGAGAAUCUUAUAUGCCAAAUCAGUAAUACAAAUCUUCAGAUGAUUUUUGCUGUUGAUCAUGGGUUUGUGUCUGCACACAACCAUUGUAUAUCACUUUAUUCUGAUGUGCAGGUAUGUGUAGCUUAGAAGAAAUGGAAUAAUAAUCAUCUAUUAUUGCUUGGUUCAUGAUUAUUAAACGAUUAUGGCUUUAAAAAGUCUACAAAUUCCUUCUGUUCAUAUAUGAAUGUGCCAAGUUUGCUAUAUCUUAGAUUAUCUUCUUCCAAGAUAACAAGUUCAUAUUCUUUUUAAUCUUUUUCCCUCACAGUUGACUUUUAGGUGUUAAGAUUUGUUAUUAGUCCCCUGUUAUUAUGAUUUCAUAAACAGUGUACGGAUAUGUGCUCUAACUUUGGAGGACCUCCACAUGAAAGAAAAUUGCAACAAUUGAAUUCUUCCGGAGGGUAUGGUCUUUAAUUUAUUUUCUCAACUUCUCGUAAGAUUAAUAUAUUUCAUUCAGUAGGCACAGCAUGGGGGGAAGGGUUUUUAUUGAAAGAAUUCUGAUAUUUCUUAGACUUUGUUUUGGAAGGGGGGUGGAGGGAUUUCUCAUCCAUGUAUGGUUACUUGAUUAGCUUUUGACUGUAUUUCCUCAGUCAUGUAAAGGAAGAUCCAAAUACCAACGAAGGAAUAUUGCCUAGACACCCGAAAGACAGAAAUGAGCUACAGAAGCAAGUUUUACUACUUUAUUUAGUGCUCCUGAGAAAUCUGAUGGAGACCGAAUGGAGGUCCAAAGCAUUGGAAAAGGUAGUGAGUGAACCGCCGGAGGAGUUGGCACCAGAAUGCAAGGCUAAUGUGGUGCACUUGCAGCAAGAUAACCAAACCGGUAUGUGCUCUUAUAUUAACUAGACUGACUGGAUUUGUGAGUGUGUGCAUUUUUUUGUGUAUACUCUUGUAUUUAUGCAUAUUAAUGUGUGUAGGAAUUUCUGCCACUUACUGGAGAACUAGUGGAAAGCUUUAUAUCGAUAUAUCUGCAAUAACUAAUUGGAAACUAUGAUAUUAAUAUUUUCUCUCACCUGAGGAACUGUGUAACAGAUAUACUUUGUGGCUCUGGAGUACUAGAAAUUCUGCAAUAACUAAUGGAAACUAUGAUAUGAAUAUUUUAUCUCAACUGGAGAACUUUGUAACUUGUAGCUCUGGAAUGUCUAAGGAAUUUUGUCUGCUUCAGUUAGAUCAAAUAUCUUUUAGUUGCAUACAUUAUAGAAAAAGAUAAAGUUCUCUGAAUCUGAAAGACUGAAACAUUUUGUAUAUUUUGUGAAAGGGAAAUAUCUGUAGAUACUAGUUCAUGCAUUGAGGUAACAUCAAUGUUAAAGAAAAACAGCAAUAAGUUAUUAUGUGGAACUAGGUUCACUUGCUUUAAAUGCUGGUCUGGUCAACCAUAUGAACCUGUAAGUUCUGCAGAAAUAUAUAUACGGGGAGAAACUAGCUAAAUUUUCCGUUCAUUGAUGGCUUUGGUCAUUUUUUUCCCCUUAUUUUUCAGCUGUCCUUCUCCUGAAGUAUGUUAACAACUGCAGAUAAUGAUGAAGAGGACAGCUUGCAGGCUCUUCUUAGAGCCAUGAUGGAAUAUAGGGGCACAAUGAAGGAACAUUGCAAAGCUGUAGGUUCUUUUUCUCCUGUCAUUUAUGUUUUCUCACACAUUUUUUAUAUGCUCCAAGCAUGCAAUUUUGUAUGUGUCAACUGCUUUCUAAGUUUUAAAAACCAUAAUGUAAGAAUACAGUUUCUUGUCAGGCUAUUGAUGCAUUUGCUCAGGGGGAUCAUGUUCGAGCAGGAAAACUUCUAGAACAGACAAGGUUUUCCAUCUACAGCCAUCUAUUGACAACAGAUAUAUUUUCAUUCAGCAAACACUGUUAGCAUUCAAGAUACUGGCAGAUUCACUUGAUUCUUAUUAGUAAUGUUUAGUAGCAAAGGAUAUAACCUGUAUUUCAAAGCCAAGUUGUGCUAUUGAUUAUGUUAGCUUUAUUGUUCACAUAAAGUGAUAUGGAGGAAAUAAUGUGAAGUGAUAUGGAGGAAAUAAUCAAUGUAGGAAAAUUAGGUGAAGAAAUGAUGUCAAAUCUUGAACCUCUUACAAAACUCCAAGCUCUUUACUUGAAUAAGCUACUAAAUUUGAACAGGGUCCACUGGAAGGCCUUGCCAUUCUCUGAUGCAUGCAGAAUUUUUGCAUUUAAAUGCCCAGAGCUUAAGAAGCUGCCACUGGAUCUUGAAAGGGCAGGCCAAGGUAAAAUUCUUAUCAAGGGAAAGGAAGAUUGGUGGAAACAACUUCAAUGGGAGGAUCAAGUAACUCAGAAUGCAUUGCUUCCAUUUUUAAAACAACCAGCAAGUGAUUGAAGGGGGCAUCAUCAACGUCAUCAACAUGGAUGGAGAGAUUCAGGAGCAGAUCAGCAGGAUUUAGUACGACCUGUGGUGGUUUCUUUUUUGUGACUUUUUUCCCUUUCAUUUUUUCACUUCCUGUCAUAUUAUCAUUUCUUUGUCUCUGUUUCUAUUGCUGGUGUUGCUGCAUGCUUGCUGUCCUUGACAAAGUUAGCUAGUUUUUUUUUUUUUAAUUAAAUUUUGUAUGUUCGGUCGGGACAGUCACAAAGUACUACUUGUUCUAUAUGGGGGUGAUGUGAAUCAACUUUUCAAUUAUAUAUUCUGUGGUAAUUGCGAAUUCAAUUUCAUUUGUCUCCAGCAAAUUAUGAAGAAAGUGCAGAGUUACAAUAUGGAGAAGUUCACUGGCAAAUACUUUGUAAAAGCUUCGGAGUGAAACAGGAAAUGCACUUGCAGCUAAGGACAAAUUGGUGGCCAGCUAAUGCCUUCAUUUUAUGUACAUUCAUCUUUUUAAUUAUUGAAGAUAAGUGGUUCGUUGCUUUUGUUAAGAUUAUAAGUUAGCGUCGGUGCAGGAUUUGCAGCAACAAAUCUUGACUAGCCACGUGUCAAAAGCACAAAUAAAUCAAGGGAAAGCACAUGACAUGGAUUAGGAUCUAAUAAAAUUUAAAUCCCAAGGAAAAUGACAACUGCAUUAUGAAGUUUCAAUAAGGGAUACUGACUAAUGAUAUUUUUUGGCUUUAUUAAUAAAAAAAGAAUAUUUUAUAACAAAUUAAAACAUAAUAUUAAGCUAAAUGUGAUAAUUAUAUACAUUUUAAAUAAUUUCAAUAAAAAAACAUUUUAAUGUUUUACGAUCUAUCAUACAUAUUUUAUUAAAUUAAUAUGAAUUUUUUUUUAUAAAUAGCAACAUAAUAUUACAACAAAUUUAUAAGGAUUUAAAUGUAAAAUAAUUUUAGUAUAAAUAAUACGUGGGAUAUAUUUUGUAAAUUAUAAAAUUAUUUAACACAAAGUUUUUUAAAAAAUAUUUAAAAUAAAUAAAAAUAAAUUAUUCACAUCUUGAUUUAAAUAUUUAAAAUAUUUUUAUAUAUUAGUCUACAAUUAUUUAUGUUAUAUUUUUAUUUAUUAGAAAUUUUGAAAGUCAAAUGUUUUCACCUCUAAGAGAAAGACACAUAUGCUUUAUAGCUUUAAAAUCGGUCUGUUUUAUAUCUGGAAACAAAUAUAUCAUUAUUGGUAAGGAUUAAAAAAAGGGAUAAAGAAUAUUAAUGAUUAAUGAAAUCUCUAUGGAAAUUGAAUUUAGUAGGAAAAAAUUGAGCUAAAUGAUUUAGACAUUUAGUGGUAUAGUAAUAUUUUAUAUAUAGAAAUGUAAAAGCUGCACCCGAGGUUAAGGGAAAUGUUCAAAACUCUUUUUUACUCAUAAUACCCUUUGUCCUAACUAACUUACAAAUUCGACUCUAAUAUUUUAUAAUAAAUAAAAAUGUAAUCCUAAAAUAAAUAAAAUAAGAUAUAUUUUAAAAUAAUCUCAAUAUUUAAAAUAUACUUUAAUAUUUUAUAGUCUAUCAGACAUAUUUAAUUAUAUUAAAGUAAAUUUUGUAAUAAAUACAAACAUACUAUUAAAAUAGAUAUAUAAAAAAUUUAAAGUAUUUUGGAUAUUAUAUAAAAGAACUUUAAUAUUGUUAAUACGUGAGAUAUAUUUUAUUAAUUAAAAAUUCUAUUUAACCCAAAGAUUUAUUUAAGAUAAAUUAACAAUCAUAUUUGUGAAAUUAUUUCAAAUAUUAAAAAAUAUUUUAAUAUUACUAACUAUUAGAUAGACUAAACUAUUUAUAUUAUUUUCUAUUUAUUAUAAAAUUUCAAAAUUAAUCUUUUUAACUACUAUUCAAAAGAUAUUAUGAUAAAAAUAAUUUUUUUGUGUUUUUAUUAAAAAUUUGGAAUUUGCAUAACUCUUUUUUUAAAUAUUGGGGUAUAGCUGUCUUUUCCCUUUUAUAUAUACAAACCACAGUGGUGAAAAAGCUUGAUUUAAUGUUAUUUAUUUAAACAACACCGAUAUUCACACCACAUUGAGCACCAUAGUUUUUUUUUUUUUUUUGAAAAGAAAGUACACCUUUCAUUGAAUUAAGAGAAAAGAAACAAAACAUCCUCUGGAAAUUCAUCCAGCCAAAUACAAGGGUCUGACUUUUUGAAAGCCAACUUUGCCAAAUCAUGCGCUAAAAAGUUACACAUCCUAAGGACGUGCUGAGCUUUAAAAUUCUGAAAGAUUUUCUUAGCUUCUAUAAUAUCAAAAAUCACCCAAAAGGUGUCUGUCAAAGUGCUUCUCUUGUUAUUGAUUAGCUCUAUCACCCCUUUAGAAUCAGACUCUAAGAUAACUGAAGUUGCCCCUGCCUUGGCAGCUGCCUGCAUUCCCCACAAAACAGCUUUUGCCUCACUCAACUCCACAUCUCCUGAGCUCUUAAAAGUGCUAACAGCUGCAGCAACUGUUUCUCCCUUAUGGUUUUUAACUACUGCUCCCAGCCCAGCAAGAUAAUUCACCCUAUCCAUAGCAUCAUCAACAUUUACCUUAAGCCAUCCUUCUUCGGGUGGACUCCAUUGGCUUUGCUGAACAUUGUUUUGUUCUGCUAAGAAAUCCUCUUCUGACAUUGAGCACCAUAGUUAAGUACAAAACGGUGCGUUUUGUUCACGCAUGUUAGUAAACACCCACGCAACUUACACACAUACGCGCGGCUCACAACACGCGCUCUCCUCGCCCUAAAUCUCACCUGAUUGAAGCCACAAAUUUGGCCACGUUCUCCCACAGCUCUCUCCGUUCUGACCGUUUACUCUUCCUCUAGCCCCAUCGAUUACAUCUCUCAUAGCACCUCAUUCAACCGACGUAAUUGCCAGAAAACAACCUACCUGGUAAUAAAAGUCGAUUCUCUUACAAUUUUGGCCCAAAAAAAAAAAUUGCACAACUGAAAAAUCAAAAUGCCACUCUUUAAAACCAAAAAUCAAUUUUGGGCCCCCUUCAUCACCGCCUUCACUCUAGAUUUUUUCAAUCCACUUUGUCGUCAAAACCGUGGUGUUCUUAAACCAUUAUUAUAUUCACCAUCCCCUUAAUCACAUCCAACCAUCCCCAUUAUUCGUUUGUCAAACACGCUGUUCUCUUCCCAAAUUAAUUAAUUAAUUAAUGACAGACAGGAACAAAAGUACUUUAAAUCUCUGCCAAAUCGUAUUGUUAUUACUUCUUCCGAGUCGAGGCCACGUCGUUCUCGAUGGAAACCAUUGCUUUUUAUUACCACUCUUGAGGAGUUCGAAGCAUUCUCGACGGAGACCCGCGCAAGCUGUGGAAAGAGAGAGAGUCAACGGUGAAAAGAGAGCAUGGUGAGAUGUGUGAGCGACGGGGGGAGAGAGAGAGAGAAAGAAAGCCGACGGAGAGAGCACAUAGAGCUGAGAUGCGUGAGUUGGGUGAAGAUUUGGUGAGCGUUGUGUCAGUUGCCCGUGUGUUGUGUGAGCUCUGUGCCAUGUGAUAUGCGUGCUACUUUGAGAAUUUAUAGAUAGCACAAAACUCAAUCUAUAUCCAAUUCAUACCUAGAUAGAUGCGGAUUUGACUCAAUUUAUAUCCAAUUCGUCAUUUGCGAACUAAAAAUUUUUAAUUCUCUCAAAUUCACAAACUAACUAAAUAAAUAAAAAUUUAAUAUAAAAAUAACUGUACUACCGAUCAAAUUUAAAAUUAAAUAAUAUUUAAAUAAAUUAAUUGUUUAAAUAAAGUUAGAAAAUACAUUCAAAAUUUUAAAAUAUAACACAGUAAAAAGAAAAAAUCUCAUUUGUUUAGACCUAUGUAUGAAAAUUAAUUGUUUAGGAAUCUAUAUUUAUUUAUUUUUAUAUUAUUAUCGGAUAAGAUAUAAUAUGGUGUUAAUGUAACUAUAUUUUAACUUAUUUAUUUAUAAGACCAAUGCUAUAUGUACAAGUUUAAUUUUUUAAUUAAAUAAAUAUUUUUUUUUGCGGAAUUGUGGAUUUUUGCGGAUUUACAAAAGUAAAUCUAUAUCCAAUCCACCGACUAUGGAUUUUCAAAUUUUCAAAAUUUCAAAUUUUCAAAUUUUCAAAAUUUCAAAUUUUCAAAUUUUCAAUCCAAUCCAAUCCACCAAUUCACAAAUUCGGAUUUUUACGGAUUAGAUUUCUACAGAUUAAACGAAUUGAGCAGACCAUAUUUGAUUUUGAACAUUGCUAAUUUGUAUGUUAAGUAUAACAUAAUCAAUUAUUUGGAUAAUCCCUUGUGUUUUAUCUCUAAUUAGAGCAUCAAUCUUCACAAUAUCUACAAAGCUACAAUGGCUACAAAACAAACCUGCUUGCAAAUUGUCAAGGAUACUUAUCCUUUCUCUUGACAAGUCAUUUGGAAAAAUACUGUCCCUUGGCGGCUCCAUGACUUCUCUGCUCCUCCUUUUGGUCUUAAUGUACGGUUGCAUAAUGAUAGUUUAGGCCCUUUAGGGACUACUUUCCCUGGGGUUGUUAAGUCUUAGCUUGUGCUAGGCUCGUUUUUCUUACCAAAAAAAAAGGGAAUACUUCUCCUAUAAGAAAUAAUCUCUAUAUAUAGGGUGGUUGGAUUCACUUGUUUACAUAACAGAUCAAUUAGUUCUCUGUAAAUAGAGAGUUUCUAGUAUAAGAGAAACGGUAGAUCUAUUGAGAGAUUAUGUGUUAUUAAAAUUUUAGUUGCGAAGAAAAGUACUAGAGUGAUUGUAUUAAUUUUUUACAUAGUAGAUUUUUCUAUCGUCAUCUUUAUGGCUGUGAUUUUUCUUCCAUAUAGAAGUUUCUCACGUAAAUUUUUAUGUUGUGUGAUUAGUUUUAUUCUCUAUCUAUUUUUUGUUUAAUAUUUUAUUUGUAAGAUGCUGGAUGGGAUUAAAAUUUCUUAACAAAUAACGGAUUAAAAAUCAUGAAGAAAAAGCUCAAGAGAUCUUCAAGAUUUGAAGUGUGCAAAAGUUCAUAUUACUGCUAGAUGAUAUAUGGGAGCGGGUUGAUUUAGUAAAAAUGGGUGUCCCUCUUCCUAGAUCAGAAAACAGCACAUCCAAAGUGAUAUUUACAAACCCGUUCUGAGGAAGUUUGCGGCUUAAUGGAAGUUCGUAGGAGUUUUAAAGUGGCGUGCUUAUCAAAUAAAAAUGCUUGGGAAUUGUUUCUAUACAAAGUUGGGGAAGUGAAAGAAAACAGAGAUGUACUGUUUGGUUGAAUAGAAAAUUACAGAGAAAAUUCUCAAUACUUGUAUUUGAUAAGAUUCAAUUCUUAAGAGCUUUUACAAAUCAGUACAAGUAUUUAUAUUAUUCCUUACACGUGAGAAUUGCUAGUAACUCACUAACUAACUAACUUUCUUUGAGCUGGAUCACUAACACUUGACUAAUCACACUGAGCUGUUAUUCUUCACUAACAACCUUCUGCUGACGUGGCUUCACCAAGCUACUUGAAUAAUGAGCAGCCUUGACAGCCCCCCUCAAACUCAAGGGACAAGACAUGACGUUGAGUUUGGCCCUAAGAUAGUUAAAAUGGAUGAAUGAGAGUGGCUUGGUCAUGAUGUCAGCUACCUGCUCCUCACUUGGUAUAUAUUGAAUGUUUAGUUCUCCAGCAAGAACUUUGUUUCUAACAUAAUGAAUAUCAAUCUCAAUAUGCUUUGUUCUUGAGUGGAAAACUGGAUUGUGAGCUAACUCUGUUGCACUGAGAUUGUCACACCAAAUAACAGGUUUCUCUAUGCAUUGUAAUUUCAACUCAGAAAACAGUGAUUGCAGCCAGCUUAUCUCGGCACUUGCUGAGGCUAGGGACCUAUACUCACUCUCUGCACUGGACCUAGCAAUAACAGGCUGCUUCUUAGACGACCAAGAUAUCAGAUUAUGACCAAGAUAGAUGCAAUAGGCUCCAAUCGAUUUUCUGUCAUCCAGAUCCCCUGCCCAGUCUGCAUCUGUGAAUCCUGUUAGUUUCAGAUCACCAUCCUUAAUAAUUUUGAGUCCAUAGUUCUGUGUAGCCUUUAGAUAUCUGAGCACUCUUUUGCAAGCCAUAAGGUGCUGCAGUGUUGGUGCAGAAACGUAUUGACUCAGCUUGUGAACACUAAAGGCAAUUUCUGGUCUUGUUAAUACCAAAUAUUGCAUCCCACCAACAAUGCUUCUGUAAUGUGUUACAUCUUCAACAUAACAACCAAGAUUACCUUGAGCUUCCUUCUGUAGCUUCAUUCCUGUACUCAUAGGAGUAUCAAUAUCUUUGCAAUUUAUCAUCUCAACUCUUGACAGCAGAUCCCUUAUGUAUUUCCUUUGAGAUAAGAAAAUACAAUCUUUAUCAUACAGUACUUCAAUGCCUAAGAAAUAAGAGAGAACUCCAAGAUCCUUCAAAGCAAACUUUGUACUGAAUUCUGUAAUGAAUUUUUCCAGCUCAAAGCUAUUUGGUCCUGUUAUUAAAAUGUCAUCAACAUAUAUAAGAACUAGAAUCAUAGAUGACUUAUUUAUUUUCAAGAAUAAGGAGGUAUCUGAGCUGGAAUUUGUGAAUCCCCACUGCAACAAACAGCCUUUCAACUUAUCAUACCAAGCUCUUGGAGCUUGUUUAAGUCCAUAAAGAGACUUGUGAAGCUUGCAUACAAAGUCUGGUUUCUCAAAGCUGAUAAAUCCCUCUGGUUGAUCCAUGAACACUUCCUCUGUUAAGUCUCCAUUAAGAAAGGCAUUAUUCACAUCAACUUGCCUUAUCUUCCACUGAUUCAUCACAGCUAAACUCAAGACUACUCUUACAGUUGCUGGUUUUAUGACAGGACUGAAAGUUUCAAAAUAAUUCACUCCUAUAAUUUGUUGAAAUCCCUUUGCAACUAACCUAGCUUUGUAUUUAGCUACACUUCCAUCAGUGUUGUAUUUAACCCUAUACACUCAUUUGUUUCCAACAACUCUUUGAUCAUUUGUUUUUGGCACUAAGGACCAUGUACCACUCUGCAUCAAAGCUGCAUAUUCUUCUUUCAUGGCUGUAAACCAUUUUGGGUUUUGCAUAGCCUCAUAUACAGAAUCAGGUUAUUUGUGAACAAGGGUUGCUGUAUAAAGCUUUGGUUUGAAGAUACCAGUUUUGCUUCUGGUAGUCAUUGGAUGUGUAUUAGGUUGGACUGGAAAAGAUAUAUCAGGUGUAGGUUGAGCUAAUAAGGAUAUGUCAGGUGCAGGUUGUGGUGAAUUUUGAGGCUCUGUAGAUGGUUCAAUAAAUGUGGUAUGUGUUUGUGAAUAGGAAUGUUGAUUGUCAGUAUGAAAUGGAUUAUCUGAAUGUUGUGAACUGCUGCUGGUAGAAAUUGCAGAUAGAGGAUUGCAUGAGCUAUUUCCAUCUGAUACUGGUGUUGUAGAUAAUAUGGUCAGAUGAAACACUGGUUGGGGUGUAAGGGAUUGACUCGAAUAAGAUGAUGAUUCAUUAGAAUGAAAAACUGAGUCUGUAGAAUAAGGAAAUGUUGACUCAUAAAAAACAACAUGUCUGGCUAUGUACAUCUUGCCUGAUGAAUGCAAGCAUUUGUAACCUUUGUGAACUGGACUGUAGCCAAGGAAAAUGCAUUUGCUUGAGUGAUAAUCAAAUUUGUGUUUGUUGUAAUCCCUUAGAUAAGGAUAACAUGUGCAACCGAAACACUUGAGCAUGCUGUAAUCAGGUUUAAGUUUAAAAAUUGUCUCAUAUGGGGUAAGAAGUUUCAGAGCUGUUGAGGGUAAUCUGUUUAUAUGGUAAACAGCUGUAAGAAAAGCAUCCCACCAAAAUUUAAAUGGUAGCUUAGCUUGUGCUAAUAGGGUUAGUCCUAGCUCAACAAUGUGUCUAUGUUUUCUUUCUACCACCCCAUUUUGGUGAUGUGUAUAAGGACAAGAAUGUCUGAAAAUGAUUCCACAUUGGUUUAAGAAUUGAGUAAAUGAUCUGUAUUCUCCCCCCCAAUCAGAUUGCAGGUUUUUAAUGGGGCUGUCAAAUUGGUUUUCAACCUGCAAUUUGAAUAGUUUGAAUACAUCUAAUGCCUCAGAUUUCAACUUAAGAGGAUAAAUCCAAGUGUAUCGGCUAAAAUCAUCAACAAAACUUAUGUAAUAGACAUAGCUAUCUCUAGAAGGUGUAGGUGAGGGUCCCCAUAGGUCUGUAUGUAUAAGCUCAAGGGGUUUUGUUGUUUUGGUUUCUGUGCUGGGAAAAUGCAGCCUAUGGGAUUUGCCCAUUUGACAUGCUUCACAGAUAUGCUCAAGUGUUUGUUUUAUGUUAUUUCUUGAGAGAUUAACUGAAGUAAUUCCUUUUAGCAAAUGCAUUAGAAUUUGAGAAUUAGGAUGGCCAAAACGUUUGUGAAGAAGAAGAAUUUUAUUAUUCAAUGCAUCACAAGAUGAAAUGUAGCUGGAAAAUUUAUUUAUUGAUGCAUUACAAACUGUGACACAACUGGAAUCAUUAUUCUGAGUGUUUUUAAGAACACUUGAAUCAAAAGAACAUGCAGAUAACAUUGACAAAGGUUGAGUGGAUGAAGGUUGACCCAUGUAAGAACAAGGAAGAGACUCAGAUGGUCUUAGAAGUAGCUUAUACAAUCCUUUCUCAGCAAUUCCUGUCAGAAGCACUUGCCUCUUCAGAGAAUCCUUCACAUAGCAAACAUUAUCAACAAAUUCAAUAGAGAUAUUGUUAUCAGCAGUUAAUUUUGAUAUGCUGAGCAGGUUCUUUGUGAUAUCAGGUACUAAUAACAUGUCAUUCAGUAAGAUAUGUGUUGGUUUAUAUGCAGCAUUUGAUCCUUUAUAAGUAAAACAUGGAUUACCAACAUGAGUUAUAGGCAAACCUUGGCCAUUGCCGAUGACAAGUUGAUUAGAUCCUCUGAAUUCCUCUCUGACAUUCAUGUUGGCCAUACUGUUAGUCAAGUGAUGUGUGGCACCAUUGUCAAGGUGCCAUCCUUCAUCAGCAGGCCCUUCAUAGUUGGUAAGAUAGGCUUCAGGAAUUACUGUGUCUGUUGAUGGAUAAGAGGAGAAGGAUAAAGGAUUGUAGCUUGAGUAGGGUGCAGCAUACUGUUCUUCAGUUGAAGGAGCAGCAUAGGUUAGAGAUGGAUCAAAGUUAGCUGUGUAUGCAGCCUUAGAUUCAAAAGAUCUGCCCCUUCCAAAAUGCCUAGGUAAUGGUUGAGGAUUGUCAUCAUAUCUAUGCCAGCAUUCAUCUGCUGCAUGUCCUGUUUUGUGGCAUAUCUGACAUAUGGUUGGUAAUUCAUCAGCAUGCAUGUUAGCUGAAGGAUGAAAGUUUGGCUUCAUAGGUGGCCUAAAAGGUUGCAUCAUCUGGCCCCUGCCAUAACCCCCAACAUUACCAACACCAGGUGAAAAACCUCUGGGAUGUGGAUUGUGAAACAUGCCUCUUCCAACAUUAAAUCCUCUAGUCAUAGGUCGACCAUAAUUUCCAUUUCCAACAACACCUCUUCUAAAAUUUCCUCUCAUAUAAGGAUGAUUCACAUUCAUUGUGCUAUAGUUUGCAUUAAACACAGUUUUGGCACUUUGAUUUUGUUCAAGUCUAGCUUCAUGAGUCAGUAAUAAUGCAUAAGCAUCAUCAUAGCUCAUCUUAUUAGCUGUGAUUAUGGAAGCUAGAUCUAGAUAACCUGAACCUAAGCCAUUCAAAACUCUCAUUAACAGAUCCUUUUCAGUGAUUACAUCACCAGCACAAGCAAGUUUGUUGGCGAGUAAUUUCAUUUUAGCACAAUAUUCCUCAACAUUCAUUGAAUCUUUUCUUAAGAUAUUCAUUUCAUAUCUGAGUUGCAUAAUCUUAGCCUCAGAUUGAACUCCAAACUGUUUUUCAAUAGAUCUCCACACAUCAAAUGAAGUGUCAUAGCUAAGAACAGAACUAAGAAUACCUUCACUUAUAGUUGAGAGCAGCCAGCCAAGGAGUAUUUGAUCUUGUGCUCUCCAGUUGCUGUAGGCUGGAUUUUCAAUGCUCUCACCAGAUCCUUCGAUCAUUGAAUCAACUAGAUACUGUUCUGGAAUAAUUUGCGGCUCUAGAAUGAAUCUUUCAAGGCGAUUUCCUCUGAUUGAAGUUACCACUUGUUUGCGCCAAAGCAAGAAAUUUGAUCGAUCAAGUUUCACAGUUGCAGCAAAAGUAAAUGAUGUUUGUGUAUGUUGAUUUGAGUUUAUGAUUGUUUGAUUUGAGAUUGUAUUGCUUGAGCUGGCCAUUUGUGGCUCUGAUACCAUGAAAGAAAACAGAGAUGUACUAUUUGGUUGAAUAGAAAAUUACAGAGAAAAUUCUCAAUACUUGUAUUUGAUAAGAUUCAAUUCUUAAGAGCUUUUACAAAUCAGUACAAGUAUUUAUAUUAUUCCUUACACGUGAGAAUUACUAGUAACUCACUAACUAACUAACUAACUUUCUUUGAGCUGGAUCACUAACACUUGACUAAUCACGCUGAGCUGUUAUUCUUCACUAACAACCUUCUGCUGACGUGGCUUCACCAAACUGCUUGAAUAAUGAGCAGCCUUGACAGGAAGAAACUUUGAACAAUCAUCCUGAUAUCCUUCAGAAAGCACAAUAGUUGUUAAGGAGUGUGGUGGUUUGCCACUUGCACAUUUUACCAUCGGUCGAUUUAUGGCAUGCAAGAAGACACAGCCGAAGAAUGGAGAUAUGCUAUUCAAGUGUUCAAUUCGUCCGCUUCCCGUUUCCAGGUCUGGAAGAAUGGAUAUAUACUCUUGUAAAAUUCAGUUAUGAUAGUUUACCCAAUGACACAAUUACACCUUGUCUGUUAUAUUGUAGUUUAUAUCCAGAAGAUUGUUGCAUUUCUAAAGAGAAUUUGGUAGAUUGUUAGAUCAGUGAAGGAUUUUUUAAUGAGAGUGAUUGGUUUGGAGAAAAAAUCAAGGAUACUUCAUUUUGGGCAUUCUUCUUCACGUUUUUUUUUGGAAAAGGGAGGAGAUUGUGAAAUGAAAAAUGCAUGCAUGACGUUAUUCGUGAUAUGGCUUUGUGGAUCGCAUGCGACUAUGAGAAGGAGAAGGAGAACUUUUUGGUUUACGCUGGUGUUGGUUUAACUAAGGUACCGGAUAUUAGAGAUUGGGAAAAGGUAAGGAGAUUGUCAUUGAUGAAAAAUAAAAUUGAGAAUCUAUCCGAGGCUCAUACAUGCCCUCAUCUCCUCACUUUCUUUCUUGACGAUAAUGAGUUUCGGAAGAUCCCCGGUGAUUUCUUCCAGUUUAUGCCUUCUCUCACUGUUUUAAACUUGUCAUGUAUUAAACUAAAGUCAGUUCCUUUAGGGACUUCAAGGUUGGUUCCACUACAACAACUCGAUCAUUCAUAUUCAAGCAUAAAAGAGUUGCAAGAAGAGUUAAAUGCCCUGAUUAAAGUUAAAUGCUUGAAUAUAGAUCAUGUAGAGGAGCUAAUUACAGUUCCACAACAACGGAUAUUUAAUUUUUAAGGUUAUAUGUGUUGAGAAUGUUCGAUACUAUUAGUUUAAAUUUUCAAGAAGCAUUAAAUAAAGACAGCAUUUUAUUUGGUGGGGAGGAAGUUUAAGCAGAGGAGUUGCUCGGUUUGGAAUAUUUGGAGGUAUUGAGCUUCACUUGAGAGGUGUUCGUGCUCUCCAAUUUAUUUUGAGCUCACAUAAGCUACGAAGUUGUACUCAAGCGCUGUUCCUCCAAUCCUUCAAUAAUUCGAUAUGGCUUGAUAUUUCACUUUUGGCAGAGUUAAAAGCACCACUGCAGAUUUAAGUAUUUUUGGCUGUAGAAAAUUGGAGGACUUGAAGAUGGAAUAUACAGGGGGAGCGAAAAACAAGCGGCAACCUUGUGUUUUCUAAGGCCUACAUACAGUUCACAUAGAGGUUUGUUCUAAAUUGAAGGACUUAACAUUCCUUGUUUCUGCUCCAAAUCUCAAGAACUUGGAAAUACAAAAUUGCCCUGCUGUGGAAGCAAUCAUCAGUGUGGGAGAAUUUGCGGAAGCUCUAGAGGUGGUGGAAAAUCUAAACCCAUUUGCAAAACUCCAGUAUCUUGGACUAGAAAAUCUGCCAAAUGUGGAGAGCAUCUAUUGCAAGCCUCUGCCCUUUCCAUGUUUGAAAAGAAAUGACUGUGGAUAGUUGCGGUUGUCUUAAAAAGCUUCCACUCUACUCCAACAGUGUAAAAGAGUGUACAAUUGUUAUUUCAUCAUUCGGAGAGUUAAUGGUGCAAUGAGAUUUGGCAGUUAACUCUCGUGGGAAGAGCUUGAAUGGGAAGACGAAGCCACUCGAAUUGCUUUUCAUUCAUGUUUCAAAUCUCUGAUUGGAUUGGAGAUUGCAUUUCGCCUCAGGUUCGUACUUUUCUUGAAUUUUUCUUGUUAACUUCAUUUGUUCAUUUAUCCAUUUUUUUUUAAAGGAAUCAGAAGGGUUAAUAAUUUUGGUUGUGUUAGGUCGACUUCUAAUCACGAGGCAGAAGGAGUUGAGAUGAAGUUUAAUUUUGGUGGAGAAAUUGUUUGAUUUAAAAAAUUUAAAUGAGUUGACCAUCAUUCUUUAGCAUAUUUGUAUGAACAGGAGUGUGUAAAUAUGCAAACUGUCCAGCUGUAUGUGUAUAGCGUAAUAAUUUUGAGGAGUUAAAACAUUGAAGAAUAUUGAUGUUUCCAUUGUCAAACCAAAUAUACUUAAUUACUUGAGGAUAAUGAUUACUGCUAAUACAUUUGCUAAUACAUUUGCAAAGAAAAAAACAUGCCUAUUGAAAAACUCAUCUUAUUAGCAACAGCAUUAUAAGUAGUAUCCAAUCAUAGUUUCAUGCAAGAUUUUGAGAUUUUUCAAAUGCUGAUUCCGGGAAUGGAGAUUAAUAGAUAAUGGAGACAGGUUGACUGCAAUGGCUAAUUGCAAGAGGGAAUUUUAGUCGUAAAAACAGACCAACUAGCAAAGCAAAUUCCAAAUCUUGGAAUGAAGUGGCAAAAAAACGAAACAAACAAAUGGCAAGAGGAAGUGACUAUACAAUAAUAACAUCGACUUGCAAUUCAACAUUUAUACAGUUUUACUCACCAAGAAAAGAGAAAAUUACAAUAGCAAUUUGGCUACUAGAAGAUGUUCAUUCAUGCUUAUGCCUGUCAUAUGGAUUUGAAACAAGGAGUAAAAGCAUUUAGAGUGGCUUCAUCCUUCCACUGCAGCUCAUUCCACCAGUGUUGCUCUCCCCUAAUAACAAGUUUGCGUUCCUUGGCGCUGUUGUAAUCGAGUGGAAGCUUCUUGAGGUUCGGGCAUCCAGAUACAAACAAUUCUAAGAGAUUUGGAAAGUGCACUUAAAUUCUUAUGAAUUGCUUAAGUAUGCAAGCAGCAGAGCAGAAAACAAACAACCUUUUCAUAUAUUAUAAUAACAUGAAUAAUCAGAUAUACACAUCCUUCACAUAUUUAUACUAAACGUGAAAAAUGGUAGCUUGCUCAAAGGGAAAACAGAAAUGAAUAAAACAAAAGAUUACAGCUGCACUAGCCAAUCAUUGGAAACAUUCUAGAAACUCCAGCUUGCAGUAUUCACGUGUAAAUAUUCUCCUGCAUAACAGUUUUGCCAGCUCAUUGAAUACACCUCAACUUCUUCAUCAGCUGGUUGCUGGAUAUGGCUGCUCAGGUGGCAUGCCAGCAUGGCCUUUGGGUCAAUUGUUGACUCAUCUUCAUAAUCUGAAUUCUCAACACCCUCUCUCAAACUUAAGGUCUUGUCGAAGACAUUAAGUUUGCUUCUAAAUUGACUGAACUUGUAAUAAGGCAAUGGCUUGGUUAAUAUGUCUGCAACUUGAUCUCUGCUGGCUACAAAACUGAUUUCCAGCUCUCCUUGAGUGACUUUGUCUCUAAUGAAAUGAAGGUCUAUCUCAAAAUGCUUUGUCUUUGAGUGAUACACUGGAUUUGUGGCUAUUGCUGCUGCACUUGUGCUAUCACUUAAGAUCAUUGGAACUCUUUGCAUCUUGAUUUCCAAUUCACCAAACAGAGAAUUUAUCCAAGUGAUUUCAGUAGUACACAAAGCUAUGGCCCUGUACUCGGACUCAGCUGUCGAUCUUGCUACCAUGCCUUGCUUUAUUGAGCUCCAAGCUACUAAAUUGUCUCCCAAAAACACACAAUAUCCACUUACUGAUCUUCUGUCAUCUGGAUCACUAGCCCAGUCAGCAUCAAUAUAGGCUAUCAAAUCUAGAUGUUCUGACUUCUGGAACUUUAAGCACAUGUUUGCAGUGCUCUUUAGGUACCUCAACACUCGUUUGCAAGCUGUCCAGUGAGAUUGUCUUGGGUCAGACAGGUAUUGGCUAAGCUUGUUCACAGAAUAUGCAAGCUCUGGUCUUGUUAGAACAGCAUAAUGUAGACUUCCUACAACACUCCUAUAAAAUGAAGGAUUGUCAAGUUUGGUGCCUUCACCCUUCUUUAGUUUCUCUGCUGUGCUGAAAGGUGACUCUAUUCCCUUGCAAUUCUCCAUCUCUGUUUUAGCUAAUAGGUCUUGAACAUAUUUAGCUUGAGAGAGCAAAAUGGAGUUCUGAUUUCUUAUAACAUGUAUCCCAAGGAAGUAGCUUAAAUUUCCAAGAUCUUUCCACUUAACUUUCCUAUCACUUCCUCAAUACCCUUGCUGUUAUUUCCAGUCACAAUUAUGUCAUCUACAUACACAAGCACAAUGAUUAUUUCAGCACUGCUUCUUUUGAAGAAUAGAGAAAUAUCACACUUGGAGUUGUUGAAUCCCCAAGAGCACAGAGCAUUCUUUAAUUUGUCAAACCAUGCUCUGGGUGCUUGUCUCAGUCCAUAAAGAGCUUUCUUGAGCUUGCAUAUGUGGUUUGGUCUUCUCCUAUCCUCAAAUCCCUCAGGUUGUGGCAUGUACACUGUCUCUGUCAAAUCUCCAUUCAGAAAUGCAUUAUUUAUGUCAACCUGCCUCAACAGCCAAUCAUUACUUACAGCCAAAGUUAAAAUGAUUCUGAUUGUUGCAGCUUUGACCACAGGGCUGAAAGUCUCAUUAAAGUCAAGUCCUGGUGUCUGCAGAAACCCCUUCAAGACAAGUCUAGCUUUGUAUCUAUUUAUGGUGCCAUCUGGAUUUUCCUUUACUUUGUACACCCAUUUGUUGCCAAUGAGUUUGUAGUUCUGGUCAUGUGGAAUUAAGGUCCAGGUUUGGUUUUUGACAAGAGCAUUAUAUUCAUCCUCCAUUGCUCUUCUCCAUUUAGGAUCUUUCAGUGCCACAGUGGAGUCAGGGGGUAAGGAAGUUUGAGAUUGAGUGGAUAUUUGAUAAACCUUUGGCUUGCAAAUCCCUGCUUUUGACCUUGUGAUCAUGGGAUGUAAGGAGGCUUGAGUGUUUGGUUAUGUUAUGAGAGGCAAGGUGCAAUUUUCUACUGAGGUGUUUGGUGAGAGUUCAACAGGUGAGUGGUUGUCUGAUAUAGAGUUGAAGCUCAAAUUCUAACAAGCUCCAUCUUAACUAAAACUUGGGAGCUGUUCUGAGUUUCCAGCAGUGGCCUGAGAUUAACUAUGAGCUGCAUUUUGCUGUGUUGACUCAGGGGGAACAGUAGUGGAGAAAGAUACAACUUGAAAUUUUUCUAGAACUGUGGGGGAAUCAUUUUGGUCAGUGAGCCUUUGCUUGCAGAAAUUUGAGUCAUUUUGAAAAGGGAAUGAAUGAUCAUUAAAUUGACACUGGCUGAAAUGUAGAUCCUCCCAGAAUGAUGCAUGCAAAUGUAACCUUUGUGACUGAUGCUAAUGCCUAGUAGUGUGCACUUGAAAGUGUGAAAAUCAAACUUAUGCUUGUUGUAGGGUCUUAAGUAUGGAUAGCAUUCACAACCGAAAACUUUAAUUUGGGAAUAAUCUGGUUUGGUGAGAUAUAACAGCUCAAAUGGAGUUUUAUUUUCAAGAAUAGGUGAGGUUAAUCUGUUUAUGAUGUAGGUGGCAUAGCUGAAAGCUUCUUGCCAAUAUCUCAAAGGCAUUUUUGCUUGGGCUAGUAAUGUUAGGCCAGUUUCCACAAUGUGUCUGUGCUUUCUCUCCACCUUUCCAUUUUGUUCAUGUAAAUAAGGGCAUGAGUGUCUUAAGGCUAUUCCUUCUUUCUUGAGAAAGGGUUCGAAAGUUUUAAACUCCCCACCCAUGUCUGUUUGUAAAGCCUUGAUUCUUAAAUUUAGCUGAUUUUCUACUUGGUUUUUAAACACAAUGAAUGUGUCAAGGGCCUGUGAUUUUGUUGUUAAGGGAAACAACCAUGUGUAUCUUGUCUUGUCAUCCACAAAUGAUAUGUAAUAUCUGUGUCCAUGGGUAGAUGGAAUAGGUGCUGGUCCCCAGAGAUCACUAUGUAUUUGUUCUAAGGCUGUGCUGGUCUUGGUUUCAAUGCUUUUAAAGUUUAGUUUUGAUUGCUUUCCAUACUGACAAGCAUUACAGAAUGAGGGAAAUAUAUUUUUAUUUAAGUUGAGCUGAUUACAAGAUAAUAGAGUAUUUUUCAGAACUGACUCAUUUGGAUGCCUCAGCCUAUGGUGCCAGAGAUCUAUUUCAUUUGUUCUAAGAUCCCUACUGCUUGUAUCAGCUCUACUGGACUCGACAACACUGGCACCAACACUGGCACCUAAAGACUCAUUACUACUGAAAUUGAAACAUGCCAUUGACAUUGGAUUGCUAAUGCAACUUAUUGACUUGGGUAUUGGAAAUGAAGAUAACUCAGCAGCAUAAGUAACCUUGUUGCCACUCAAAUGAGUUGGCAUGCAUAGCAGCUCAUAUAGUCCAUCUCUAGCCACUCCUUUCACCAGAAUUCUCCCUUGGCUCUUGUCCUUGAUGAAGCAAACAGAUUUUUGAAACUCAACAUCAAUAUCAUUAUCAUGAAGCAAUUUGGAAACACUAAUGAGAUUUUUGGUAAUAUCAGGUACAAACAAAAUAUGAUUUAAUUUGAUGUGUUUGUGUGGACUGUAAGUGGGCAAUAUAGAAUAACCAAUGUGAGAGAUAUGAAGUUUGUUACCAUUACCAACAGUGAGCUUGUCAUUACCUUGGUACUCUGAGUUCAGGUUCAUGUUUCCAAUAGCAUUGGUCACAUGAUUUGUGGCACCACUGUCAAGGUACCAGGCAUUGCUGUUUUGUCCUUCUGUUGUGGCCAUGUAGGCUCCUCUCCUCCUAUUUAGCUGUGGCACAUAAUUUUUCUUAAACCUAUGCCAGCAUUCAACAGCUGUGUGCCCCAUUUUGAAGCAGAUUUGGCAUGGACCCUUUGAUUCAGAACCUUCACCUUCUGCAGCAGCUUUGCCUUUGCCUUUGUCUUGAAUAUUUUGAUUUCCCUGACCAUGACCACCAUUGCCACCAUUUCCAGUGCCACCACCAGGAUUUCUGAAGACUAUCCCAGGUUGUUGCUGACUGCCAAAUCUUUCACCAUUGCCCCAGUUCCUCCUGCCAUUUCUCAUCUGUGUGAAGUUAGCCUCAAGAAUCCCUGGGCUGAGAUUUUGCUCAGUCCUGGUUUCUUGGCUGAGGAGCAUGCUGUAGACCUCUGACAAUGAAGGAGUUUCUGGCAUAGAGUUAAUGUUAGUGACAACAGAGUCAUAUUCAGAUCAUACUCCAGCUAAGACACACAUAAUAAAGUCCUCAUCACUCAUGUUAUUUCCAGCUGCUCUGAGUGUAUUUAGGAUAGUUUUCAUCAUGGAGUAAUAAUCAUGGAUUGUAAGAGAGCCCUUUUUAGUGGUUUGAAUCUGUGUCCUCAAAUAUAGGAUUCUAGCUCUUGUUCUUGCACCAUACUGAUUGGUAAGAGUUGUCCAAACUUCAUGUGAAGUAGAACAAUCCACCACAGUGCCGAGGACACCCUCACUGAGAGAUGAGAGCAACCAGCUCAAAAGAAUGUGGUCCUGUUUCUUCCAGAUUUGAUAUUCUGGAUUUUGGUGGGUAACGGUAGCUUGGUUAGGUCCAGGACUGGUGAAAUAUCUGGGGGGACAGGUAUAGCUUCCAUUUAUGAAGCCUUCAAGCUCAUUUGCUCGUAUGCUGGAGACCACUUGUGAUCUCCAGAGCAUGAAAUUGUUCUGUGUUAACUUGAUGGGAGUGGUGAACACAUAUGUGUUGCUGGUGAUAUGUUGGGUAGGAGAUGGGUUCAUUAUGGUCACAUUUCUUGUGUUAUUAUCUGGAUUCUGAUUGUCGAUAUUUUCAGGUUGGUUUUGAUUCAAAUCAUUUGGUUGAUCAUCUGGAUUUUCCAGAGUUUGAUUCAUGUUUGUUUGUGAAUUUCUGCUGCUUUCCAUAGCUCAAAAGUUGCUCUGAUACCAACUUAAAUUCUUAUGAAUUGCUUAAGUAUGCAAGCAGAAGAGCAGAAAAAAAAUAACCUUUUCAUAUAUUAUAAUAACAUGAAUAAUCAGAUAUACACAUCCUUCACAUAUUUAUACUAAACGUGAAAAAUGGUAGCUUGCUCAAAGGGAAAACAGAAAUGAAUAAAACAAAAGAUUACAGCUGCACUAGCCAAUCAUUGGAAACAUUCUAGAAACUCCAGCUUGCAGUAUUCACGUGUAAAUAUUCUCCUGCAUAACAGUUUUGCCAGCUCAUUGAAUACACCUCAACUUCUUCAUCAGCUGGCUGCUGGAUAUGGCUGCUCAGGUGGCAUGCCAACAUGGCCUUGGGGUCAAUUGUUGACUCAUCUUCAUAAUCUGAAUUCUCAACAAUGCAUUCAAACAGAUCUUCUUCAAAUUUCUUAGAACUUGCAACCGAAGAUAUUGGAGUUUCGCAAAAGGUUUUAGCCCUGUAACUUCUUCCACUUUCCAAACACUGAUUAUUUCUUCCAUCUCAUAACAACGUUCUACAUGGACCAUCUUCAGAUUUGGGGCAAAAACAAGCCAUGUCAUCUCCCUCAAUUUACUGCAAUAGUCUAUGGUAACACUUUGAAGGCUGUUGAAACCAUAAGUUCUCUUGUUGUUUGAACUUCUGCAUAGUCAACCUUUAGCUCUUCCAAACUUGUACAAUACACAAAAUCUAGUUUGUCAAGAUACUUGAGAUCUGCUAUGGACAAAAUAUUCCAUGACCUUGAAUCCUCACAGCGUCGAAGCUCUAAAGCAUAUUUACAACUCUUGUACUGUUGGCAGCUCAAAAGUCUUCGUAGAGCAUAAAAACUUCUUAACGUGACGCUUAAUACAUUUAAAUGUUCCAAAGUAAUCAACUCCUCUACCAAAAUUUCACUACCACCAAAUAGAACGCUAUCUUCUGGUACUGUAUUAGCAGAGCCACAAUCUAGCAUCCUCAACACCUUUAACCCAGAAAAAUUACAAAGCAGUUGCCGUGGAAUCGUAUGGAGAUAACGCAUGUACUCCAAGUUCAAACACUUUAGAUUUUUCAAGGCUUUUAAUUCAUGUGGUAACUCUUUGAUGAAAGUUUCUGAAAGAUUAAGAUAUUGUAGUGAAACCAAUUUUGAAAUUCCUGAAGGCAAUUGACUCAAGGAGCGAUUCUUUGAUAGGUUUAAAACUUUAAGAGAAGGCAUAAAAUCGAAGAAAUCACUAGGGAUAGUAUCUAACAUAUUAAUGCCGAGGAACAAAGUUAUAAGAUGAGGGCAUAUUGGAGUUAUUGGUAAAAUCACAAUUUUAUUUCUCAUCAACGAUAUCCUUCUCUUAUCUUCCCAUUGUUUAACCUCGGGUGGUUCAGUUAAUUCAAUACCGGCAGAAACCAAAAAGUUUUCAUUCUCCACUUCACAGGCUAUCCACAAGGUCAUAUCACGAAUCACAUCAUGCAAUUUUACAUAAUCUGAUCCUGCUUCUUCCAAUAGGCAUGCAUGAACAAGAACACCAAUAAUGUAGUAUCCUUGGUUAUGUACUCCAUUAAUUCCUUCAUAUUCCUUCAGAAAACCCUCACCAAUCCAACACCCUAUCAAUUCAAUUUUGCUAAUUUGAUAAUCCUCAGGAAAUAAACUACAGUAUAACAGACAAGAUCUAAGGACGUCACUAGACAAACUAUCAUAACUGAAUUUUAAAAGACGAAACACCUCUUUCUCCAUACCUGGAAAUUCAUAAGCUGAUCUCCUUAACAUCUGAAUUGCAUAGCUCCAUUCUUCGGGUGUCUUCUUGCUGCUCAUGGCACGACCGGUGGUAAUAAGUGCAAGUGGCAAACCACUACACUCCUUUGCCACAGUUUUGGCUAACUCCGGAAUAUCGGGAUGACUUUCAAGAGUCUCUUCUCCGACCUUCUUUAGGAACAAUUCCCAAGCAUCUUGAUCUGCCAAACACUCCACCUUGAACUUUUUUUGAGCUUCCAUGAGGCCACAGACGUCCACAAGACGAGUCGUAAAUGUUGAAAGUCAUGGCUGGCGCCGGCCAUCUAGAUGGCCGGUGCCAACCAUUCAACAUUCAACACGGCCCGCCAUUAUUGGUGGUGCCGUGUUGAAUGACUCCAUAAAAAAAAAAAAAAAAAAAAAGAGCCAAAAUUUUGGCUAUAUAAAGAGGGCUUCCCACCCUCAUUUAUAAUCCAAUCUUGAGAGAGCAAUUUAGGGAGUUGAGAGAGAGUUUAAGAGCUUGCAUUUAUAAGCUCUUAUUUUAGUGAUUUGAGAGUUUGGGUGUAUUGGGGUUUUGGGUAGUGAGCUAAAAUACUACAAUACUUGUAACUCCUUUUCACUAGUAAAAUAUUUCCUUCUGUCUUUGCCCAUGGACGUAGGCUAAAAGCCGAACCACGUAAUUUCUGGUGUCCUCUAUUGUGCUUGUUCUUUAUUUUAUUUCCAAUUUCAUUUUAGCUGCGGUCCUGCUUCACCCACCAAUUUCCUAACAGUGGUAUCAGAGCUAUUGGUUGUAUUUUUGGAGUCGGGAACUGUUCACGUAAGGGGUACUAUUCACGUAUACGACACUAUUCACGUAUACUGUACUGUUCACGUAUACGGGUUUGUUCACAUAUACGGUACUGUUCACGUAUACGAUACUAUUCACGUAUACGGUACUAUUCACGUGAAACGGGGAAGCGAUCCAAGAAUUUUCCGGUGCAAAGCAGGGAAUAGUAGUGUGAGAAAAGCAACUGUGGUUUUGUACAUGUCUAGGAAAGUUCUGUCACAAAGGCGAUAAGAGCUUAAGGAGUCUGGGUUUUAAGUGGGACCAUUGUGACCCCUCCAGUCUUUCCUGGGAACUUUCCUGGUGUGCAUUCUCACACAUACUCACAACUAUUCAAGGUGGUAUACUAGCUUGUGUGCAGUAUUUAUCAACAAAAUGGCGGCAAAGUAUGAAAUUGAGAAGUUGAACGGAAAUAAUUUUUCGUUGUGGAAAAUGAAGAUGAAAGCUGUAUUGAGGAAAAAUAAUUGUUUGGCAGCAAUUGGAGAAAGGCCCAUGGAGAUAACUGAUGACAAGUGGAACGAGGUAGACGGUAACGCCAUUUCUGAUCUACACUUGGCACUUGCGGAUGGUGUAUUAUCUAGUGUGGCAGAGAAAAAUACGGCGAAGGAAAUAUGGGAUACUCUCACAAAAUUGUACGAGGCCAAGUCACUACACAACAAAAUCUUCUUGAAGAGAAAACUAUAUACUCUUCGAAUGGCGGAAUCUACAAUGGUGACCGACCACAUCAACACUUUGAAGACUCUAUUUUCACAACUCACAACGUUGGGUCAUAAUAUAGAGGAGAAUGAACGUGCAGAGCUUCUACUUCAAAGUCUACCAGAUUCGUAUGAUCAACUCAUCAUCAACCUGAUGAACAACAAUCCAGUGGAAAGUCUAGUUUUCGACAAUGUUGCAGCCUCCGUAUUAAAUGAGGAGAGCAGACGGAAAAAUAAGGAAAACAGACAAGCAAGUUCGCAGCAAGCAGAGGCGCUAUCGGUGACGAGAGGGAGAUCAACGGAACGUGGCCCCAGUGGGAGUCAAAGUUAUGGUAGAUCAAAAUCCAGAAGUAAGAAAAAUGUUAAAUGCUACAACUGUGGCAAGAAAGGGCACGUCAAGAAAGAGUGUUGGAGUAACCAGAAGAGAAGAGAGGGUAAAGAACCUGAGUCAUCAAAUGCUCAGGGGUGUGUAGCAAGUACCUCGGAUGAUGGCGAAAUUCUCUACAGUGAGGCAACAACUGUUUCAGAAGGCAGAAAACGACUUUCUGAUGUCUGGCUUAUAGACUCAGGAGCUACCUGGCACAUGACCUCUAGGAGAGAAUGGUUCUACACAUAUGAACCUAUCUCAGGAGGAUCUGUAUAUAUGGGUAACGAUCAUGCCUUGGAGAUCGCUGGUAUUGGUACUAUCAAAAUAAAAAUGUUUGAUGGUACAAUUCGCACAAUUGGGGAGGUACGACAUGUCAACGGCCUAAAGAAAAAUCUAUUGUCUUUAGGACAAAUGGAUAGUCAUGGGUACAAAACUCAUGUGGAGAAUGGAAUUAUGAAGAUCGUUAAAGGCGCGCUUGUAUUAAUGAAGGCAGAAAAGAUCAGUGCUAAUCUAUUCAUGCUUAAAGGAGAAACACUACAGGAGGCUGAUGCGUGUGUCGCGUCAAAUGGAGAAGAAUCAACGAUGAUGUGGCAUCUCAAACUCGGCCACAUGUCAGAACAAGGCUUGAAGAUUCUCUCUGAGCGAAAAUUGCUUCCGGGGCUCAAAUCAGUAAGUUUACCAUUUUGCGAGCAUUGUGUUAUAAGUAAGCAGUAUAGAUUAAAAUUCAGUAGAUCUAUUGCUAGAAGUAAAUGCAUUCUAGACUUGAUUCAUUCUGAUGUUUGGGAAUCACCGGAUAUAUCCAUGGGAGGUGCAAAGUACAUGGUGACUUUCAUUGAUGAUUAUUCCAGAAGAUGUUGGGUGUAUCCAAUUAAGAAAAAGUCAGAUGUAUUUCCUGUGUUUAAAGAAUACAAAGCGCGGGUGGAACUUGAAUCUGGUAAAAAGAUCAAGUGCUUAAGGACAGAUAAUGGUGGAGAAUAUACAUACGACGAGUUUCUUGCUUUCUGUAAGCAAGAAGGUAUUCAGAGGCAAUUCACGGUGGCAUACACUCCUCAACAAAACGGAGUAGCAGAGCGGAUGAACAGAACUCUUACAGAAAGAAUAAGAGCUAUGUUGAGGACUGCUGGUUUACCCAAUUCAUUCUGGGCAGAAGCAGCCAAAACCGCCUGUUAUAUAGUAAAUCGGUCGCCAUCUACAGCUAUUGGGUUGAAGACAGCGAUGGAGAUGUGGACUGGAAAGCCAGCUGAUUAUUCCUACCUACAUGCAUUUGGAUGUCCUGUGUACGUGAUGUACAAUGCCCAAGAAAGAACAAAGCUGGAUGCAAAAUCUAGAAGAUGUAUCUUCUUGGGGUAUGCUGAUGGAGUAAAGGGGUAUCGUCUGUGGGACCCCACUGCCCAUAAGAUCGUCAUCAGCAGAGAUGUUAUCUUUGUAGAAGAUCAACUACAAAGAAAAGAUGGAGAUGAUGGCACUGUAAAAGAAAAGUCAGAGACUGUACCAGUAUAUGUCGAAAAUAAUCUAGAAGAUUCAGAUUCUUCUGAAGCAGCACCAGAGCACGAGGAACAAGAACCAGUCGAGUCUGAGGCUCCAGAAGUUCGUCGGUCAACUCGUGAGAGACGACCACCGGCGUGGCACUCGGAGUAUGUCACAGAGAUCAACGUUGCAUACUGUCUUCUAACAGAGGAUGGAGAGCCUUCAACUUUCCAUGAAGCUUUAAACAACUUAGAUGUUGCUUUGUGGAUGACAGCAAUGCAGGAAGAAAUUGAAGCUCUACACAAGAACAAGACAUGGGAACUUGUACCACUACCACACGGAAGAAAAGCCAUUGGAAACAAAUGGGUCUACAAGAUCAAACGUGAUGGCAAUGACCAAGUGGACCGGUAUCGUGCAAGAUUGGUGGUGAAAGGAUAUGCUCAGAAAGAAGGUAUUGACUUCAACGAGAUAUUUUCUCCGGUGGUUCGACUCACAACAGUCAGAAUAGUCUUGGAGAUGUGUGCUACAUUUGAUCUACAUCUUGAGCAGUUAGAUGUUAAAACUGCAUUUCUUCAUGGAGAACUUGAAGAAGAAAUAUAUAUGCUCCAACCAGAAGGUUUUGCAGAAACAGGAAAGGAGAACUUGGUUUGCAGGUUGAACAAAUCUCUAUACGGUCUCAAACAGGCGCCGAGGUGUUGGUAUAAGAGAUUUGAUUCCUUCAUCAUGAGCCUUGGAUACAACAGACUCAGUUCAGACCAUUGUGCAUAUUACAAGAGGUUUGAAGAUAAUGAUUUCAUCAUUUUACUGUUGUACGUGGAUGACAUGUUGGUAGCAGGCCCCAACAAAGAUCAAGUCCAAGAAUUGAAGGCACAAUUGGCUAAGGAGUUUGAAAUGAAGGACUUGGGACCAGCAAACAAGAUUCUAGGGAUGCAAAUUCACCGAGACAAAAAUAACAGGAAGAUUUGGCUUUCACAGAAGAAUUACUUGAAGAAAAUCUUGCGGCGCUUCAACAUGUAAGAUUGUAAGUCAAUUUCUACCCCACUUCCUGUUAAUUUCAAAUUAUCCUCAAGUAUGUGUCCUAGCAAUGAAGUGGAGAGGAAGGAGAUGUCUCGAGUACCGUAUGCAUCAGCAGUGGGAAGUUUAAUGUUCGCUAUGAUAUGUACUAGACCAGACAUUGCACAAGCAGUGGGAGCAGUCAGUCGAUACAUGGCGAAUCCUGGUGGAGAGCAUUGGAUAGCUGUAAAGAGGAUUCUGAGAUACAUCAGAGGAACCUCAGAUGUUGCAUUAUGUUACGGAGGAUCAGAGUUUACUAUCAGGGGCUAUGUGGAUUCAGAUUUUGCAGGAGAUCUUGAUAAAAGAAAAUCCACUACUGGUUAUGUGUUUACACUUGCAGGAGCAGCUGUAAGCUGGGUUUCGAAACUGCAGAUCGUUGUGGCUUUANNNNNNNNNNNNNNNNNNNNNNNNNNNNNNNNNNNNNNNNNNNNNNNNNNNNNNNNNNNNNNNNNNNNNNNNNNNNNNNNNNNNNNNNNNNNNNNNNNNNAUAUUCUUGAUUAAUCCAUUUUCUGAAAUUUUUUAUUUUGUAUGGUCAAUUAUACCUUCAUACUAAAAAUUUCUGAUGUUAUGGGGUUGUUGGAUGUGUUUUGGAUAUUUGCAGCUAAGUUUGAGUUUAUAUCUCAACUUAAAAUUUGUAGUUUUCACUUGAAAAAAUUCAGUUAAAAAUUGAUUGGUAGAAUUGUGAAGAAGUUUAAAUUUUUAGUUCAACCCGAUUGCAUAUUUAAGAACAUCUCAAAUGAAUUGCUUACUGCUAUCAUCAUCAUAAUUGUCAGAGAUGGUUAAUUGAUAGACUAUGUGCCUGGGUCGAGCACUGGAAGCCUGCAAUGCAGACUGAUUGAUUUAUCAGUUUAACGUGUGCCAGGAAUGAAGAACUGGAAUAUCACCGUCAAGCAAGCACCCUGUGGAGCAAUACCAAAGAAUGCACAAUCCGGCUUUGCAAGGUGACACUGGAGGCUUUUUGAAAAGUGCUUCACGCUCACUUGCACAGAUUGAGCAUCCCCUCUGGAUAUUGCCCUCUCUGAUCGAGUCUGAGCACUCAAAUUUUGGUCCUCAGAGGGAGCUACAGUUUUCUCUCCAAUAACCAACAAUUUUCUAAACUCAGCACCUAGUGUGAUCAGAGUUGUUGAUAUUUAUAAAUGGAGAUCCCCAUAUUUGCAAGUGGAGACAUUUAACAAUUCACCAACAUGCUUCAUCCGGUGUACAAAAUUCUGCAGCUGAUUCAAAUCCGGAACCUGAACCAGAGUCGGAGGUAUAUCUUGAGCCAUAUCUAAAGUAGUUUGAAGUUCAAGACCUUGAGCCCUUGACAAUGGUUUUGAAAUUGGAACAUCUUGGAUUACUGCAGACUUGUACCCCUUGGUUUCAAAGGUAAGGAAAGGCAUUGCUUGAGUACAAUUUGGAGGCAGCUUCUUCACCAAUUUUAUUUGGAGGCGAUUGGCAGCGGAUCCAGCAGCACCAAUUUCAGAGCAAAUACUGACACUACUUCGAACAGCACACUGAAGAAGUGAUAUGUCUACGGCAAAGGCAAUGCAGUCCUCAUUUUGGCUUGAGAUGCAGUAAUCAUCGAAGAGAGUUUCCUUGUGAAACUGGGCAACACAUUGAAUCCCUUCGCCACUGAGAAGGUUGUGGAGGAAGUAAGCUUUCUCUCUAGUGAGGCAGAGGUGGCAUACCUUCCCCAUUUUGUCGAGGGCAGGUAGGAAUCUUUUUUCUAAGAGAUUUACUUCAUUCUCUGUGAGAAAUGCUUUGAACUUCAUCCCUCUGUCUCUAUCCUCACUUAUCAGGAAAUAAGUUGAAAGCACUACGAAGAGAGAGAGAGAGAGAGAGAGAGAAUUAAGAUAUAUAGACAAGAAAAAUAUUAGACGUUGAUCUUACAAACUAAUACUUCAAGCAGUAUCCUGGAAAGCUAAAAACUGCAAGAUGGCUUGAAAUUUGAAAAGAGCACGUGCUUUUCCUCCUUAACUUGAGAAAAUGUUUAAUAUAGUGCACCUUAUGGAAGCAUUUAAGCAAUUAGAACUUUGCACAAAAACAUCAAGAAGACUAAACAAGUCAGAUGCAGUGUAUUUGUCCAAGCACAAAUUGCAUUUUGUCCUCAACUUUAAUAUUUAUUGAUGAGAAUCAAUACAGGUCCCUCAUUUGUUAUAGAAAGCUUUCUUUCUUGUAGUCUCACCAGUUAAUUCACAGGUCUAUAAUCAUCUUGCAAAGUUAAGGGCAUUUCUUUUGAUCUAAAGUCUUUGCAUCACCACCUCAUCACACGCCAAGCCAAUAUUCCAUUUACCUCUACAACAAAAAGUUUUAAUUAAACAAUCCUAAUGCACGCAGCCAAAUAAAAUGCAGUAAGAAUAUUCAACUUAAAAAUCUGAAAGCCAACUUGGUGAAUUGCCUCCUUAGGUGAAGUUCCAUGCUUUACUAUAGUUGACAGAACUCAGCAAAAGCUUCCAUACAACAGAUUUUGAAAAUGAUGAUGCCAACAGAUACUCAUUCAAUCCAUUGAAACUCCAAAGGUUCAUUGUUCAUAGAAGUUUACAAAGUUUUGGUCAUCAAAUAGCUCAGACCUAAUCCCAAACAAAAAAAGAGUGAAAAUUAGAUCACGAGCAGCUAAUUGUAAAUUCUAACUUAACUCUUCAUCUCCUUUGUAAACAAGAAACAAAAUGGAGACACGCAAAAUGAAUAUGGAGAAAAUUUGAACUCAAAUGAAAUGAGGGCACGAAAGCAAACAAAUGGCAUGCACAAAAAAACCAAGCCUCAAUCAAAAACUAAUUAACCAUUAAGAAAAAAAUUGGUCAGACAAUGAACUCCAAAUUCAGGAGUCAAGCAAGAAGCUUUCAUUAUUUCAGAAGCUCCUGUACAAAUUAAUAAGUUAUGCUCUUUGGAAGCAAAACCAAAUUCCAAGAGAAACAGAACCCAAAAAAUUUGCAAUUAUUCGCAAAGGAAGUGAAGCACAGGAUUCUAUCACACAUAGGAAUUUUAUAACAAGAGAUCGAUAUAUCGAAUUAGAAAACUCAAUUCGAAUUUGUGUGAAAAAUCAAAAUUAGAAGAUUUCACAUUUCGAGAGGAACAAGCAACAGAUGAGUUUAAUUUCAGCCAUAACAUGCUAAAAAUGCUACACUUAACGGUUCCUUGUCAGCUAUUGAUGCGUUCGCUCANNNNNNNNNNNNNNNNNNNNNNNNNNNNNNNNNNNNNNNNNNNNNNNNNNNNNNNNNNNNNNNNNNNNNNNNNNNNNNNNNNNNNNNNNNNNNNNNNNNNAAGGGUCAUGUUCAAGCAGGAAAACUUCUAGAACAGGUAAGGAUUCCAUCUACAGACAUCCAUUGACAGCAGAUAUAUUUCAUUAAGCAGACACUGUUAGCAUUCAAGAUGCUGGCAGAUUCACUUGAUUCUUAUUAGUUUGUUUAGUGGCAAGGCAUAUAACCUGUAUUUCAAAGCCAAGUUGUGCUAUUGAUUAUGUUAACUUUAUUGUUAACAUUAAGUGAUUUGGAGGACAUAAUCAAUGUAGGAAAAUUAGGUGAAGAGAUGAUGUCAAAUCUUGAACCUCUUACAAAGCUCCAAGUUCUUUACUUGAAGAAGCUGCCAAAUUUGAAGAGCGUCUACUGGAAGGCAUUUCCAUUCCCAGAUGUAUGCAGAAUUUUUGUAUUAAUGCCCAGUUCUUAAGAAGCUGCCACUGGAUUUUCAUGGGGCGGGCCAAGGUAAAAUUCUUAUCAAGGGAAAGGAAGAUUGGUGGAAAGAACUUCAAUGGGAGGAUCAAGCAACUCAGAAUGCAUUGCUUCCAUUUUUCAAAUCAACUGACAAGUGAUUGAAGGGGGCAUCAUCAACAGAGAUGGAGAGAUUCUGGAGCAGAUCAGCAGGGUUUGUAUAUGAUCUUUGGUGGUUGCUUUCUUUUGUGAUUUUUUUUUUCUCAUUUUUUUACCUUCCUGUCAUUUUAUCAUUUCUUUGUCUCUUUUUCUAUUGCUGAUGUUAGUGUAUGCUUACUGUUGCUUGACAAAGUUUGCUUGCUUCUUGUUUAUUAAAUUUUUUAUGGUCACAAAAUAUUACUUGUUCUAUUUGAGAGUGAUGUGAAUCAAUUUUCAAUUAUAUAUUUUUUGGUCAAUGUGAAUUCAAUUUCAUUUGUCUCCUGCAAUUAUUAAAAAAAUGCAGUCUCAUAAUAUGGAAAAGUCGACCGGCAAAAAUUUUGUGAAAGCUUCGGAGUGAAACAGGGAAUUCACUUACUACUAAGGACAAUUGGUGGCGAGCUAUUCCAUUCAUUUUAUGUCCCUACAUCUAUUUAAUUAUUAAAGAUAAGUGGUCCAUUUGUAAAUUUCAGAUUGUGUCUCUCUGAAAAUAACAAUAUUUAAAAUGUCUCUUAAAUUAUUAUAAAUUUUAAUUCACUCUCGAUUUAAAAUGGAACAUGCUGAUGAAAAUUUUUUUCUUCUCAAUAUUCAAUAAAAUUGAAAUAAAUUGUGUUUGCAGUAUUUUGAAAUAUUUUAAAGAUUAUUAUUUUAUAAGAGAGUAAUAUGAAAUGAAAUUUACUCUUCAUGCGUGAAAUGUUGAAAAGGACAAAGGAAAGUGUCACUGCUUUUAUUUUAUUUCAAAGUGGAGUCAUCUCACAUACUUUACCUCUAUCAUUACAAUUUUUCACGUUACAUUUUGAUUUAUUUAUUUCUUUUAACACAUGCAUGUGGGUUACUUUUCCGUAAGCUCCUUAAUAUAUGUUUAACACAAAUCAUGGAAGAGAUGGGAGUAUAUCAAGAUGAUCAAAGCAUGAGACAAAAAUAUUUAAGAAGUAAAACACUGAAAAUAGAGGAGAGAUGCAAGCAAAAGAUAUUCCAAAGAAAAGCAAUCUAUCCCCUUUCGAGGGCAAACUUAAUCAGGUUUAAGAAAAGUACAUGUUUUGGAUUGGUAGUUGCAGCCUUGCAGGAUAAUUGUUUUUGCCAUUAUAUUAGUUGGAGGAGUUGAACCCAGCGAAGAAUGUUAUGGAAGAGCAAAUUAAUGAUAUUUCUGAUAGAGUCUAUUUGAUUAUGUAGCCUGAAUGGAUGUCUUGUUGAAAGAUAUCUCAGUGCAUUAGUUCAUCCUUGUCUGUCAAUGUGUUUUUAAUGGUUUUUCCAAUUGUUUAUUAUUAUAGAUUGAUUGUAAAUUUAUAUGAAAAUUUGAUAUGAAUUUAAUGUUGAAAUGUUUUCUCUUUAGUGGAAUGAAUUUAAAUUGAUUGAUUGUAAAUUGAUAUGAAUUUAAUGUUGCAAUGUUUUCUCUUUAGUGAAAUGAACUUAAAAGUGUAAAAGAUUAUUGCACACAUAGAAAUAAACAUAUAUGCUUUAUAGUAUAACUUUAGCAAUCGAUUCUUUUACGGCUGGAAACAGAGAUGAUGAUUAUCAUAGGGGUGAAGAAAAGGACAAAAAAUAUUAAUAAAUGAUCUUAAUGUUCCACAAAAGCAAAUCGUAAUAUUCCACAAGAAAAAGCAAGAUCUUAAUGUUCCACAAAAGCGUUAUUUAUUUUUUUUGGUGAGCCACGUGGAGCUCAAUUAUCAUUGUCUUUACUUUAAAAACGUUAUUUUAUUUUAUUUUCUUACAAAUUAAUGCUAACAAGAAAAAGCAAGAUAUAAUAUUCCACAAAAGCAAAUCGUAAUAUUCCACAGAGGAAUAAGAUCCACAAAAGCAAACAACUAGCUGGAUUCUUUUAUUAAACUACAAAUUAAAGUGGAAUCGUUUACUAAACAACAAAUUAAAGUUCAAAUAUUUAAAUAGUAGUGCGUUAGACGAUUAGGCUCUUUUAUUAAAGUCAAGUAUAAAGUAGUCCAGAAUCGAACAUCUCUAUUGUCUAGUCUUUUUUUUUUUUAAUUCUUCUUUUAUUAUUUUUCAGAAUAUGUUUUGGUGAUUACUAUUGGGUUAUUAUUCAGAGUUAUUGUUAUCUUCCGGGGCAGUUUCUGUUCAUCGAAAUCGUUAAUUAAAAUUUUAAAACUCUUAUCGGAAGAAUGUUUUUCCGUUAUUUUUUUAUAUUCUAAUUUCAAUUGUAAGAAGUAGUCAUUUUAGAAUUUGGGUCUUGAAUCGAAUUUCAAUGCAUGAAUUAAUAUUUUAAAAAAAUUUACUACAUGCAGUUUAGGUUACAAACUAUUUUUUGCAAAGUUGACUAUGAAAUUGGAGAAAUUAAGUAAUUUAUAAUGUUUGCAAAGAAAGAGACCAACAUACUUCCAAUUACACUAUAUCUCAAUUAUCAUAAUGUUAAGAUUAAACUAACUUAAAAUAAAAUUUAUUUAAAAAGUUUAUCAAACGCAGUCUAAUUUUAUUAACUUGAAGAGAUAAUAGUUAUAGAAAUUAUUAUUCUAACUUAAUUAGUAAAAGUGGUAUAAAGGUUAAGUGUGCACUAAAUCUAUUUAAAUUUUUUUCCAGUAUAACUAACAGAGGUCAUUACUAGAAUUAUAUUACUAGUCUAUUAGAUAGAAAAAAUUAUUUAUAUUGUUUUAUAUUUAUUAAAAAAAUUUAAAGUCAAUCUUUUUAAUUACUAUUUAAAGGAUAUUAUAAUUAAAAAAAUUUUAAUGUCUUCAUUAAAAAUUUAAAAUUUUAUAUGACCGUUAUCUAAAUAUUUAAAGUGUAACUGUCAUUUUCUCAUAUAUAUAUAUAAUUUCAUCAACCCCUUAUACUUUAUGUUAUUUAUAUUUUAUUCAUGAAUAUUAUAAAUUUUUUGAAAUAUAAAAUUUCGUUUAACCCUUUAUACUCAAUUUUAUUUUAUUAAAACCCUAGAGUAUGAAUUCGUCCCUAUAAUAUUAAAUUCUCAAAAUAACUUCCAUUUAAUUAAAAAAUAUAAUUAUUAUUAAAUGAAUUAUAAUUAUUAUUAUUAUGUUAUUAUAAUCAUAAAAAGCGAGAUCAUAUUCCACAAAAGCAUAAGUGACAAAACAACCAACUGGAUUCUUUUAUUAAUCAACAAAUUGUAUAGUCUUUUUCAAAUUGUUAUAAAUUGGUGGCCCCUACAAUCCUCAAUAAUUGUACCGAAAUUCACAAGUUGGUGGGCCCUACAAUUCUGUUCCGAUAAUUUAACUGUGCAAGUGCUCAUUCACAAUCUUCCAGGUCAUGCUCUUAACAAUUGUUUUUUCUUUUCUGCACGCCCUUUCAUGCUCUUAAUAAUUGAAGAGCAUACUUUUCAAAUGUGAAGCCGCAUCUAAUGUCGCUAAUUUAAUUUGGGAUUAAAUUACGGGACUAUUAUAUUGCAGUGUGCACUAAUUUUUAUGUUUAUCUAAACUCUUCAAAUUUAAAACAUAUUAUGGCAUAAAUAAGAAUGUAACAAUAACAAAAGAGUAAGAAAGUGUAGAGAAAAUCUUGCAGAAAUAUAAAUAAUAUUUAUUUUUAAAAUAAUAUUAAUAUUUAAAAUAAUUUUUAAUAUUUUAUGGUCCAUUAGAUAUAUUUUAUUAUAUUAAAAUAAAUUUUAUAAUAAAUAAAAACAUACUAUUAAAAUGAAUAUAUAUAGAAAAUUUAGAGUAUUUUAAGUAUUAUAUAAAAUAAUUUUAAUAAAAUAUGUGAGAUAUUCAUAUUUUAUUAAUUUAAGAUACCAUUUAACCUAAAGAUUUAUUUAUGAUAAAUUAAUAAUUAUAUUUUUGAAAUUACUUCAAAUAUUAAAAAAAUUAAUAUUACUAAUAUAUUAGAUAGAUUAAAUUAUAUAUAUUAUUUUUACUUAUUAAAAAAAUUUUAAAAUUAUUUUUAAUUACUAUUCAAAAAACGUAUUCAAAAAACAUAAUGAUAAAAAAAUCUUAACAUCUUUAUUAAAAAAUUAAAAACUUAUAUGAUAAAUUCUCUAAAUAUUUACGGUAUAUGUGAACCACGGUGGAUAAGCUUUAUUUAAUAUUAUUGAUUUAAAUAAUAUGUCAAUUAAAAAUGUACAGAGAAGAAAUUUCGGUGGGUAUUUUAGUCUUUUAAGCAAUUAUCAUGAUCAGAUCAGCCUUUAGCCUUCAAACGUCGGUCAGAAAAGUUUUAAAAUUAAUGCUAAAUUGUUUUUCACUUUUAACGUUGGUGGCCUUGAAAUUGCUUGUAUUUUAUUAAAAAUUAAUGCUAACAAGAAAAAGCUAGGUCAUAUUCCACAAAAUCAAAAGUGACAAAACAACCAGCUGGUUUCUUUUACUAAACUACAAAUUAAAAUAAAUUUUUUCGAUAAAUUACAAAUUAAAGUGGAUUCUUUUGAAUACAAAUGGGACAGACGAUUAGGCUCUUUUUAUUAGAGGCAAGUAAAAACUAGUCAAGAAUCGAACAGUCUUUUUCCAAUUCUUGUUUUAUUAUUUUUCAAAACUAGUUUUUGGUAAUUACAACCGGGUCAUUAAUCAUUAUUCAGAGUUACUGUUAUCUUCGGGGGCAGUGGGUAAAAGAUAAUUACUAACUGUUUUUCCUUCAAAAGUUAGCGGCUCAUGUUUGCAAGUGUGAAUGUGCGAUGCUCUUUUCUUAAAGGCCAUUACAGUGGGGCCCGAAUCAGACGUGCCUAAAUCUUUUUAAAAUUUUUGCCGUAUAACGAACAGAGGUCAUUACUAAAAUUUCUCUUCCACAGCCUACAGCAGCUUCAGUUUAUCAAACUCCAUCAAUUUUCUUUCUUAACAAAAUUCCAAAGAUGUGUAGCAUUUUUCAGAUCACAUGCGAUGGUGCUCUUUUCAAUCGUUGCUUGGAUUGCUUUCUUGGAAAAGCAGCAUACAUACGUAACCUCCAAGAUAAUCUUGAUGCCUUGGACACUGAACUGGGAAGACUAAUCGCUAAAAAGAACGAUGUGAUGAGGAGGGUUGUCGACGCUGAACGACAACAAAUGAGAAGGCUGGACGGAGUGCAAGUGUGGGUUUCGAGGGUGGAUGCUGUUAAAACUGGAGCCGAUGAACUUAUCACAGACGGCUCUGAAGAAAUUGGCAAAUUAUGUGUUGGAGGCUACUGUUCCAAGAACUGCAGGUCAAGCUACAAGUUCGGAAAACAAGUGGCUAAAAAGCUACAAGAUGUGAAGACUUUAAUCGCCGAGGGAGUUUUUGAGGCGGUGGCUACUGAGGUGGUGCCCGAGAGAGCUCCGGAACCUGUAGCAGAUAAAAGACCCAUUGAGCCAACAAUAGUAGGCUUGCAAUCACAGCUUGAACAAGUUUGGAGAUGUCUUGUAGAAGAAUCAGUGGGAAUCAUUGGCCUAUAUGGUAUGGGCGGUGUUGGUAAAACCACACUAUUGACCCGUAUCAACAAUAAAUUUCUUGAGAGUCAAAACAACUUUGAUUGUGUGAUUUGGGUCGUAGUUUCAAAAGACCUGCGGCUUGAAAAAAUUCAAGACGAUAUUGGGAAGAAGAUAGGUCUGUCUGAUGAUUCAUGGAAGAAUAAAAGUUUUGAAGAGAAAGCUGUGGACAUCCUGCGGAGAUUAGGAGAGAAGAGAUUUGUAUUGUUGUUAGAUGAUUUAUGGGAGCGGGUUGAUUUAACAAAAGUGGGCGUUCCACUUCCCAGCGCACAAAAUACUACCUCAAAAGUCGUAUUCACAACCCGUUCCAUUGGUGUUUGUGGCAGCAUGAGAGCUAGGCCGGUUAAAGUGGCAUGCCUAUCAGAAAAGCAAGCUUGGGAACUGUUCCGCGAAAAUGUUGGGGAAGAAACUCUUGAGAGUGAUCAUGAGAUCGUUGAGCUAGCCCAAACUGUGGCCAAAGAGUGUGGUGGUUUGCCACUCGCACUUAUUACUAUUGGUCGAGCUAUGGCCUUCAAAAAGACAGCCGAGGAGUGGAGUCAUGCAAUUGAUGUGCUAAGAACAUCAGCUUCUGAGUUUGCAGGUUUGGGAGAGAAGGUGUAUCGUCUUUUAAAGUUUAGCUAUGAUAGUUUGCAGAAUGAGACCAUUAGAUCUUGUUUCUUAUAUUGUUGUUUAUAUCCCGAGGAUUAUGGCAUUCUUAAAUGGGACUUGAUUGAUUGUUGGAUUGGUGAGGGAUUCUUGGAGGAAUCUGACAGGUUUAGUGCAGAAAACCAAGGAUACUACAUUGUGGGCACUCUUGUUCAUGCGUGUUUGCUAGAAGAGAUGGAAGAUGAUAAAGUAAAAAUGCAUGACGUUGUUCGUGAUAUGGCUCUAUGGAUAGCUUGUGAAAUUGAGAAGGAGAAGAGAAACUUUUUGGUUUGUGCAGGUGCUGGAUUAAAAGAGGCACCGGAUGUUAAAGGAUGGGAAAAUGUGAGAAGAUUGUCAUUGAUGCAAAACCAAAUUAAAACUCUGUCAGAGGUUCCCACAUGCCCUCAUCUCCAUACUUUAUUUCUUGCCUCUAAUAUGGAGUUGGAGAUGAUCGCGGAUGGCUUCUUCCAAUUUAUGCCUUCUCUCAAAGUUUUGAAGAUGUCACGCUGCUGGAAUUUUCAAUUACCUGUUGGGAUGUCAGAUUUGGGUUCAUCACUAGAACUUCUUGAUAUUUCACAUACCACCAUAAGAGAGUUACCCGAAGAGUUAAAGUUGCUGGUAAAUCUGAAAUGUUUGAAUUUGAGGUGGACAGGUGCGUUAAUUAGAAUUCCACGGGGACUAAUAUCAAAAUUUUCAAGGUUACGUGUGUUGAGAAUGUUGGGUACUGGCGGGUUCAUUUUUUAUGAAGCACCAGAAGACAGCGUUUUAUUUGGUGGGGGUGAAGUUUUGAUACAGGAAUUGCUCGGUUUGAAAUAUUUAGAGGUAUUGGAGUUGACCUUGGGAAGUUAUCAUGCUCUCCAAAUUCUUUUGAGCUCAAAUAAGUUAAAAAGUUGUAUUCGAUCUCUUUACCUCUAUUUGACCGGAGAUAAAAAGUCGAUUAUUGAUGCUACGGCUUUCACAGACCUAAACCACCUCAAUGAAUUAUGGAUUGAUAAUGGAAUUGAGUUGGAAGAAUUGAAGAUUGAUUAUACGGAGAUAGUACGAAAAAGGCGGGAACCUUUUGUUUUCCACAGCCUUCACCUUGUUACGAUAUAUAGUUGCCAUAAAUUGAAAGAUUCGACAUUCCUCGCUUUUGCUCCAAACCUCAAGUCUCUUUCGCUAUUCAAAUGCCGUGCUAUGGAAGAAAUAAUCAGCGUCGGAAAAAUUGCUGAGAAUCCUGAGAUGAUGGGACAUANNNNNNNNNNNNNNNNNNNNNNNNNNNNNNNNNNNNNNNNNNNNNNNNNNNNNNNNNNNNNNNNNNNNNNNNNNNNNNNNNNNNNNNNNNNNNNNNNNNNNNNNNNNNNNNNNNNNNNNNNNNNNNNNNNNNNNNNNNNNNNNNNNNNNNNNNNNNNNNNNNNNNNNNNNNNNNNNNNNNNNNNNNNNNNNNNNNNNNNNNNNNNNNNNNNNNNNNNNNNNNNNNNNNNNNNNNNNNNNNNNNNNNNNNNNNNNNNNNNNNNNNNNNNNNNNNNNNNNNNNNNNNNNNNNNNNNNNNNNNNNNNNNNNNNNNNNNNNNNNNNNNNNNNNNNNNNNNNNNNNNNNNNNNNNNNCACUGUUUUUAUUUCAGUCUCUCUCUCUCUCUUUGUCUCUGCUAAUCACAAUUAAAUGUGAAUUAAUGGAAUUAAUGCUUCAUAAAUUUGCCGGCACUGCCAUUACUUUUUUUUUUUUAAUACAAAUUGAUACUUUAUUUAUAUCUUCUUAGCGAUUUAAUUUCCUGUCAAUUGACGAACGAGAAGAACAUAUGACUUGAACCAAUGCUCGCAUAAACUUGCUGUAAAAAGAUAUAAUCUCACUGAAAUGCACACGCCUAGAAUGAAUAGAAUUAAAACAGGGAAAAUAUUAAGUAUAUUAGCCCUCUUUACCGAAAAUCAAAUGACAAUAAAUUUUUUGAAGUUUUGAUUUUCUAUGGUCAAUUCCACCUUUUGCAAUUUCUUCUGUUCUAACAAAAACCAAUUUCUUUGUUCAAGUAUUUUCGUUUGGGUAUUAAUAAUUCUCCACCGAAAGAGUGAACUCUUGCUCAAGGGAUCUCUAAUCAAUAGCCGGAAGGGCGCCGAGACCUGAUCGGACCUAGGCCCAAGUUUGGUCUUAAAGCCUGGGCUUGAGCCUGGCAAUUAAAUUAAAACAGUAAUUGAUUUCUUGAAUGAAUUGUCGUGUAAUUGAUUUAUGGGGGAUGACACAUCAACAUACUUGAAAAUACACUAAUCUCAGCAUCAUCCGUUAAUAACUUUUAGAUUUAUGGGCAAUCAAUAGUUAAAUUAGUUGUCAUUAAUACUAAAUAAUUUUUACUUUUUUUGUCUCUUCUAGAGGAUCUUCUAGAAAAAUGCAUCCACAAUUAAAUUUAAUACUUUACAUAAUAAAGAAAGCAUAAAUGUUAAAUUUAAGAAACUGCAUUGUAUUUCAGCUGAAGUUGACUUUAAUAUUUAGGGUAGAAAAAAAUUAAAUCCUUAAUGUGUUUAAUUUAUAUCACUUGUGUCAUUAAAAUUUUCUAGUCACCCUAACCAAUUACAUCUCAACCCACUUUUUUUUGGAUGAUUUUAUUUUUAUACUAUUAUUUUCAACAUUUUUUUUUCCUUUUAACACCAACAUUAGUGUAUGUUACGUAACAUAAUCCAUAUUUGGAUAAUUUGAAAUUUGUUUGUGUUUUAUCUCAAAAUAGAGCUUCAAUCAAUUUGUACCUCAUAAAUUCACAAUAUCUGGCAGGGCUAAUAAGACCAAACUCUGGCAUAUUAUCAAAUGUGCUUAUCCUUUUGCUUGACAUGUCAUUUUAAAAUUGUCAUUCAAUGCCAAAAAAAUCACAUCAACUGAUGGCCGACUACUUUAAUUUGAAAGCAUGCAUGCGAUCGCCACCAAUAAUUAUAACUUAAUUGUUAUAUUGAAAUUUUUUUCUUUAUAAUUUUUAAGUUUAAUACUGCUACAUGUGCGGCACAUAAGUUGGAAAAUAUAACAUAAAAUUUGAAAAAUGUGUAGUUUUCGUUCCUUUUUUUUCUUAAAAAUGGGGAAAAAGAAUGUAAUUUUGUUUAAAUUACUGUUGUGAUAACAAUUAUUAUUUUAUUGAUUAAUUGGCAGAGAAUCGUUAUGGUUUCGCAUGGUUGUUAAAACAUUGGAAAAUCCACUACAUCAUCCGAUAAUAACUUUCAGAUUUAUGGUUAAUCAAUAGUUGAGAUUUGUUAUCAUUAAUGUUAAAUAUUUUUUUAAUAUUUUUUCUCUCUCCUAGAGGAUCAUCCACAGUUAAAAUUUAAUAUUAUAAAUAGUAAACAAAGUAUAAACGUUAAAUCGAAGAAACUGCAUUGCAUUUCAGCUGAAGCUAACUUUAAUAUUUAACAGAGAAAAGUAAUUAAGUCCUUAAUGUGCUUUAUUUACCCAUAUAUAUGGCUAAUUUUUUAAGAUAAAGGGGAAGGAUGAUGCUCAAAAAUAUAAAUUAUAGAAUUAAUUGAGCUCUCAAGUAAGUUUAAAGUUCAUUAUUUUUAAUUACAUGUUUAUAAUUUAUUUUUAUUUCGUAUUAAUCUAUAGAUCUAAAUCCACUUUGGAUUCAUAUACAUAUAUAGACAUAAUGUGUAUGUUAAUCUAUAGGUCUAAAUUCACUUUAGGUCUAUAUAGGUAUUUUGACAAAUGUACUCCAAUCAUAUUGGCAAGUUCUAACUACUAUAUUGGUAUGUCAAUAUUAUCUCUAAUUGCCCUAUACAUUCAGAAAUAAUCUAGAUAUACAAAUUAACAUAAAAUAAAAAUAAUUGGUAGAAAAUAUAAAUUAUAAACAUGUAAUUGAAAACGAUAAACUUUAAAUUUACUUAAGAGAGUAAUUAAUUUCAUAGUUAAAAUCUUUAAAUUUUACCCCUCAUCUUAACUUAAGAAAAUUAAUCACUUAUUUUAUUUAACAAAGAAGAGAUUUUUUUCCCCUAUAUUUCCCAAUUAUUUCUCUCCCUCUCGCUCCCGUAAGUUAUACAACUUGAAGUGAAAUAUGAGUGGUCUGAUUCUAGCUUAAAUAAUUUAUUGUGACAUGCUAUCUAAGGACAAUACAUUACCUAGCUCUACAUAUUUUAUUUAACCUCCGGCUCACCCUGUGCAAACUUGCCUUCCCCUACAAGACAAGAUUAAUCAAUCUAUCAAGUCUCAAAUUCAAUUUGGAAUAUGACCAUCGUACGUUCUUGUUCUUCCCUCUUUACGAGUGCAUUCCCCCCAACCUCAAGCUCCCUCUCUCGUCUUCAAUGUCACUGCCUAUAUCCUUGUGUUGUUCUAGUUUGAAAUAGUGGCUUCCACAAUUUCAGGGCCCCCAAAAAUCCAGAAACAUAGUAUUCAUCACGAUGACAAAUUUUUUGGCAGGCAGGUGCUUCCUGACUUUCACACGGUAAUUCUCAAAUUCUGAUUUCACCAUAUUUUAAUUACUGAUUAGCAUAUAUUCAAGUGCUCUCCAUUAUAAUAGAAGCCGCCGCCUCACUCGUGAUUCCAAACUUUAUCUUUUUUCCUUUUUUAAAUUAAUGCAAGUAGCCGCUGUCCUUUUUAUUAAUUAAUUAAUUAAUUCGGCCGCCCACAUUUCUUUUCCUAAUGUCUUCUACUGUCGAUUUUCUUUUAUUUUCUUUUUAUUCUUAAAAUAUGCUUAUAAUAAUAAAAUAUAAAAAUUAAAAUUAACAUAUCAAAAUAUAAUUUAACAGAAAAUUAAGAUAAAAAUAAAAAAAAUAAAUUAUGAGCAUAUCAAUCAAUAAAUGAAAAAUAAUAAUUUUUAUUUUUAUUAAAUAUAUAUUUUUCAGUAUUAAUCAAUUAUUUGAAUAAAUAAAAUCAUUUAAAAAUAAAUAAAUAAAUUAUUCUUAAAAAAAAAGAAACUUUUUAUAACACUCACUAUGCUGGUUGUAGGGUAGACGCUUUGGGAACUGAAGCCGGUAACUUCUACAAGUAGUCUGAAGUUGACUGGCAACAACUAUAUUGACAUUUAGACAUAAUGUACUCCAACCGUAUUGGUAUGUUUAAAUGUUCUUACUAUUGUAUUGGUGUGUCAAUAUUAUCUCUAACUGCCCUAUAGAUAAAAAAAUAAUCUAAAUUUAUAAUUUAACAUAAAAUAAAAUAAUUGGUAGAAAAAUAAUUAUGGUUCAUUUACUUAUCAGUAAUCAGAAUAGACUAAAAUCGAAAUGAGUUGUAUUACCGUUGAUGUGUUUAUGUUGUCCUGGAAUCGGAAUGAAUUAUUUUAAGUUACUAAAAUAUCCUUGGUUUGUUAUUCUAAUUAUUAUUUAAUAUUUAUUAUAAUAUUUGUCAUAUCAUUAAAAAGAAAUAAUAAUGAUGAUAAUAUUAUCAUUAUUGUUUGUUACAUUAUUAUUAUUCAAAAAAAUUAUUGUUAAUAAUAAUAAUUUUUUUAUUUCAAUAAUAAUAAUGAUAAAAUUAAUAAUAAAAAACAUGACAACAACAAUAAUUAUUUAUUAUGCCAAAAAAUAACAAUAAUAAUAAGAAUAAUAAUCAUCAUCAUUUUUUUGCCAAAGAAAUCAUCAAACCAGACAAGAAAUCAUCAAAAAUUGCUAUUUCAAUUUAGGAAGAAGUUCUUUCGGUGUGCUAGCGAUGGGAGAUGUUGUGGCUGCGAUUCGGGGAGCUAAUAGUUUAUUGCACUAAUAACGGCAGGUGCUGCUGCUUGAUGCGAGGUCCAUGGCCAGUUGUCAGCAGUUCGACUUUGGCAUGGGCGCUGCUGGUUCGAUUUUAGGUGUUGUCUAAUUUCAUUUUCAGGAUUUUAAUUUUAUUUUUUUCUUUUAUAUUUUCAUUAAUUAAUCAGGGCAAAGUUUGAUUUUAGAAUUUGGAAUGAAGGUAAUUUUGUUAAUCAUGGAAAUGAGAUUUUGAUUGUCGAGAAUGAACUUACACAAGCAACUGCAAAUUAAGUGAAAACAAAACGCUUUUUCUCUUUGUGUGAUUAAAACAUGAAAUAUACCAUAAAUAAAUAGGUAAAAAUUAAAUCAACACAAUCCAAAACAGUAAACCAAUUAUAAGAGGCACAAAUUUUUAUGUGAAAUACCGAAAACGGAAAAAACCACAACAUGUUAGUAUGAUAUAAUCUUCUACUAUAUUAAUGGGAUUAUAACACAAAUUCUUCCCUAUAUUACACUAGAGAUUAACAACAUCAAGAAUCUCAAUAAUCUUAACUUACAAUACAACCUAAUAUAUGUCUCUCUAAUAAAUAGAUAUCUAAAAUAACAAUCUCUAAUAAGUAAGUAUCUCAAAUAACAGUCUCUAAUAAGUAGGUAUCUCAAAUAAUAGUUAAUAAGAGGAUAAAACAAAAAUUAAGAUUAGUAGGAUGUGUAUAAGGCGAUGCUAUCAACUUAUCUUCUAAAUUUGAGAAAAAUAGUUAAAUUCACUUUUUUGAUUGUCCGACCAAAGAUGGAAACCUUGCCCCAAAACCAAAGGAGUCACCAUUGUGUUUCUCUCUCUCUCUCUCUCUCUCGUUCUUUUCUUCUACUUUUCUUAAUGUUAGCCGCCACUUGCUUUUAUUCUUUAUAGCAUUUAAAAAGUUACUUUUAAUGGUAAAUUUCAUCUAAGUCCAAAACUUAGUGAUAAUUGCACACUAAACAAUCCUUUUUGGACUAUAGACUUUUGGACCUCCAAAUGAGACGAAUACAACAAAUCUCCCCUUUUAGAUCAUGUAGGAGGCACCACAAGCCCACUCUCUGCAUAUAGCUUUUUAACUUCUCCUUGAAUAAUGACUUUGUCAUCAUACAUAACUCAUUCUCCGUUGUGUAAAUCUUCUCAAGCUAUAACCGUUCUUUCUCAAACACGUCUCGUAUCUAAUAAUACUUCACAUCAAUUUGCUUAGAUUUCGAAUGAUAUAUCAAAUUCUUUGAACGACACUCUGAUUUUCGCAGUACAUAAUAUAGUUGUCUCAUUUUAUACCUAGCUCUUGUAGGAAAUUCUUCGUCCACAGUAUUUUUUUGCAACCUUCAAUAAUUGUAAUAUCAUUUGCUUUAGUAGUAGAAAAGACAACUUAUUACUAAAGUUUAGAUUACGAUGAGACUGCUCCUCCUGCAAAAGUGAGCAAACAUUCUAGUAGGAAUUUUUCGGAAUCAACAUCUCCUACCAUAUCUAUACACUUGUAACACAGGUUUGUCACCACCAAAAUAUAAACAUGCUCUGGAAAUGCCUCUAAGAUAUCUGAGAAUUUUUCACUAUUGUCCAGUGCUCUUUACCGGGAUUGAAGAGAAACCACUAACUACACUAGUUGUAUAAGUAAUAUCUGGUCUUGUACAAAUUAUGGCGCACACCAAACUGCCAACUGCUGAAGCAUAAGGAACUCCUCUCAUGGAGAAAUGGGUUUUGCUCUUGAGAUUUUUGGGAACAUGAAGAAUAAAUAUGUAAUUUCUUGGACUGCCAUUGUUUCGAGGUAUAUAAACAGAGGACAAGUCUAUAUAGGUCGACAGUGGUUUGCUCAGAUGCCAGAACGAGAUUAUGUCUUAUGGACUGCCAUGAUUGAUGGGUACCUUCGAGUGAAUAGGUUCAAAGAGGCUUUGACGCUUUUUCAGGAGAUGCAAACUUCAAAUAUAAUGGGAGACGAGUUUACCAUUGUUAGCAUUCUUACAGCUCGUGCGAAUCUGGAAGCACUAGAUCUGGGAGAAUGGAUAAAGACUUAUGUUGAGUGUUAGAAAAUGCAUAUUUAUAAAGGAGAAAACCAUCAUUUUACAUUUCAAGUCUUACUAACAACCCUUACUUUUAUGUAUUUAACCUUCUUGUGAUUUAAUUACAUGUGUUUUAUUUUAAUUAAGUAUUUUAUGUAUUUUAGGGACAUUAUAGUCAUUUCACAAUAAAGGAGAGAUCAGACGGCAAAACAGACAUCACUUUUGAACUCAGGACGGUCAAAAACCUUAGGAGGAGCAUAAAAGGAAAAAUGGCACUAUUCACAUGUACGGUACUAUUCACGUGUACGGUACUGUCCACGUUACUGUUCACGAUACUGUUCACAUAGACAGAUCGAUGACGUGGCAUUGACUGAUGAGGUGUCACGAUCCUGUUGGGCUAAAAUUCUUAUGUACUGUUGAUGGUGACGUGGCAGCAUAUCAAUGGACGAAAAAUCUCGCAUACAGUACAUGCAUCACACAGGAUUAUUGUCAACCAAAUCGCGUUACUGUUCAUCCGGGUCAAACCGUGUUACUGUUCAUCCACGUAGUCAAACCGCGUACUGUUGACUGAUGACGUGGCGCAAUCCUGAGCGUCCAAACUGUUUUUAAUCCGAUGGCCAUGAUUUACUCCAUGUAUCUAUAAAAAGGGGGCCUCCCCCCCUAAUUUGACAACUCUGAAUCUAUUUUGGGAUCCAUUUUCUAUAAUUCCCUCUCCAUCUUGUAUUUUCUACGUAUUUUAAUAAAUUUCCAUUUUACCCUUAGUUCAAUUAUGAGUGGCUAAUUUCCUUUCAAGCUUGGGUUGAAGGUGAAGUCUCAACAUGUGUCAUGGGCUUUAUUUGGUAAAUUUAUUUUCUUUUCCCCUCUAGUUUUUGUGGAUGAUUUGACUUUUCGUCGACAAAUAAUAUUGAUCUUGUCUAGAUACCACCUUGGUUACACCGGCUCUCUAGUACAAGGUUAUUAUUAUUUGGCACGAUAAGCCCUUAGCACCAUAUUGAUUAGAGCGUGGUUCAUGAGGUGUGGAUUCCCCCCUCAUGAUUUAAUUGGCAUUAAUAAGGAUUAUAUAGCCCAUGAUGCAUGUUGAUACGGAUCUGGAUACCCAAGUGCUUCAUUUCAAUAGAUCUAUCUUCAAUUUCUUCUCGCCAUUUUAAUUUAAGUUUUAGAAUAUUCCAAAUCAUUUCCACCACAAAUCCAAUCCCCGAUUCACAAAAUUAAUUCUAUACACAAUUAAAAUCCACAUCCUCGUGGGAUCGACACUCGUCACCAUUAGUCUAUACUACAAUAGAUUCGUGCGCUUGCGAGUACAUUAAAAUUUACACAACAACUUAUAUUGACAAAAACAAAGUCAAGAAUGAUGUAUUUGCGGGGAAUGCUUUGAUAGACAUGUACUGUAAAUGCCGAGAUGUUGAGAAAGCUCAAAAGGUAUUCAGGAAGAUGCUUUGAAAGGACAAAUUCUCAUGGACGACCAUGAUUGUUGGCCUUGCCAUCAGUGGCAAUGGUGAUAAAGCUCUUGAUAUGUUUUCCCAAAUGCUUAGGGCUUCGAUCAAACCGGAUGAGGUAGCUUAUGUUGGUGUUCUGUCUGCCUGUACUAACAAUGGUAACGAAACUUUUGUGAUAAAUAGUUGCAACUUAAGGUGAGAAUUGGAGGAAAGGAAAUAGACUGAAGUUGUUCAAUCAUCGGUCGUCUCUAUUUGGUUUUCUCCGAUAUCUCAUCUUCAGUUUUGACUCAGAUUCUAUCUUACCACUUAGGGGUGGGCAAAAUCGGGUUCGGGUCAACCCGAUCGGGUUUCGGGUUGUUCGGGUUAGACAAGGAACAAUCCGAACAUAACCCGAAUUAAUGACCCGACCCGAACUUAGUUCGGGUCGGGUCAUUAAUUCGGGUUAUGUUCGGGUUGGAUUUAAAAUGGGUAGGAUUGAGUUCGGGUCAAUUUGGGUUAGUUCGGGUCAAUUCGGGUCAGUUCGGGUCAAUUCGGGUCAAUUCGGGUCGGUUGAAAUCGGGUCAGUUCGGGUCAAUUCAGGUCAGUUCGGGUCGGUUGAAAUCAGGUCAAUUCAAGUCAGUACGUUUUUUUUUUUUAAGAACCCGAUCGGGUAUUCGGGUCGGGUCGGGUUUGACCCGAACCGAUCACAACCCGAUCGGGUUUGUAAAUUUCAAACCGAUCGGGUUUCGAUCCCGACCCGAUCCGACCCGAACCCGAAAUUUAUCGGGUCGGGUCGGGUCGGGUAAAAUGCCCACCCCUAUUAAUACCACUAGUAAUUACAUAGACUUGCUGCCAAAGGUAAGAAUGAGAAUAAAUUAAAUAGAUUAUGUCGAAAACGAAAUAAAUUUACCAUUGUUCUGUUCAUUCUAUUUGUUUCCUACAGAAUAUUUCUCCAGCCUAAAAUUUUUUGAAUUAGUAAGUUUUUAUCUUAUGCAAGAAUUGUGCUGAGAGUAAUUCCAUUUCUCAGUCUCUUUAUGUUUCAAUGAAGACGUAAAACUUGUGUUCUAGUGCACCAAUGUUUAUGCUUCUUACAAUUUGACUUUAAUUUAGUUUGUAAAACUUUUGUCAAAAAGUACUAAAAAGUAGUGCACCAAACACAAACUUUAUUACAGAGAGGACUUCAGUUAAAUUUUAAGAAAACACUCAAAAGAACGAGUUAUAAAUUAUUAUCGAAAUAUUUCACAUAAAUAAAAGCCAUCCCAUGCUGCAAAGAUCUUGCUAUAAUCACCAAAAACUAUCGGGAGCUUUUAGGGUUUCCAUAAAAAUGUCAUUUCGUUCCAAAAGUCAAUGGUGGGUAGAAAGUGGUGCAAAUGAGACUCAUUGUUAAUGGUAUAAGUUUUUGCUUAAUUAUGUCUUCCCCAAAAUGAUGAUUUAAUUUCCAUUCUCAAUUAAUUUUCAAGUUUCAACACUUUUCUAUGUAGCAUGACAUUGGAAAGAUCUUGUACAGUUGUACUACUAAAAGCUAGCACCACACGUUAGUUAUUGUUAAGUUCUUUUUCAACGUGAAAUAAAGGAAGUAGUCCUUCGUUAAAACCAUUAUAGCCAAAUUUCACGUAAUUGGACAUUUACAGACUUUUAUUUCAAGUUGGAUUUUGGUCCAACAUUUCAAAGUUGGCCCAAUUAUUUUUGUCUGGUCAAGUCCUUCGCAGCUAAGCCCCUCAAUGAAUGAGGGUGAGAUUGCUAAAAAUUACGACAGGUGAUAUUUUAUUAUUAUUAUUUGUUUGAGGGAAAAAAUAGGAAAAGCAAUAGAGCGCCACGUGUCAACCAAUGGAAUGAUUCCUGCACAAUCUAAGGUACCCCACACAAUCCGAGGUACCCCAUAUAAUAUGAGGUACCCCACACAAAUAGGGGUACCCCGCGUAAUAGGAGGUACCCCAUGUAACUCGAGGUACUCGGCAAAGCGGAUGCAAGAGAAUCCUCCGAAAAUAUCCGCCAUGAGAAACGUCUCCGCCUCCUAAAAGAUAUUAUUCAAUUUUGUCAGAAUUAUGAAUAAAAAACGACGCCCUAAAAGGAGGGACAGUCGCCUGCGACCUCUGCCAAAAGUGAAGGACACUGUCCCAAGGACAGUGGUCCCCAACGCCUACCCGACAGCUACUGCAAAGGUACCCUGGACCACUCUCCAGCGCGCGCCACGUUUCCAAAAGAUGAGAUACGCCGCGAACGUGCAGAUAACUGCCCAAAAAUUAUAAAGAGGUAAAAGGACGUUAGUAAAAAAGGGUAUGCCAUGUGGCAGCUGAGGUACUCCAUAUAUAAAGGCGCCUAGGUUUCAUUCUCCAUCAUGUUCUCACUCACCAUUAACACUCGCACUCCAAAAAAUAGGUUUUCUUCAACCUUAAACCCUAAUUUACAGAGGGUUAGUCAGCUCUCUUUACCAUAAAAGCUUGAGUUUGCUAACUUGAGCGUCGAAGUGUGAACGCCGGGGUACCCCGGCUUCACCUCUAACCUCUAUUUCACUGUUUUGCAGGCGUGAAGCUCAUUUGGAAGGACACAUCUCUUAGUUCUAAACCUUUCACCAUUGUUACCACUCUCUCUCCCUUUCUCACCUCCCCUGGAUUUCAGAUACACCACACCGCACACAAUAAACUAGUGAGGUACCCCGUCUCCCAUAAAAAUACAAAUUCAUUGUUCUAGAUAGAUUUGGCUUUUUUUACCCCAAAAUCUGUUGAAAACACUAUUUUUAAUUUUGGGGGAUAAAUCCUCACCAAAGUGAGGAGAUUUUAUCAAAAUCAAAAUAAAAAUAUAACAAGAACUGAAAGUCGGGCAGCCUAAAAGCUAGAUGAACUAAAAGUCAGGCGCCUAAAAACAACCUUAUGCAAAAGAGAAGCAACAUGAGACCGAUCAAGUAAAAGAAUCCACCGCAACACCUAAAUUGGCCAAAUUAUCUGUUGGUAUUACAAGUUUCUUGUUAUAAAAGUGUAGAAUGAAGUAGGUGACAGUAGUUUUAAGUUACAGCUGCAUGCCUAAUCGCAAUAUCAAAUAAUGAUUAAAUAUCAAAUAAUGCUUAAAGUAGUUGCCUAGGCCCGCCACAAUUUAUAUUAACUCUUAAAUUUAUAAAUAAUUAAAUUUUUAAAAGUUUGGAUUUAUAUUAAAAAAUCUUCAUAUAAAUAAAUAAUAUAUGCACUUUUACAACACAGUCUUUAAAUUUAAAUUUUUCUAGAAAAAUCUUCUGUAUAUCUUUUCUAUUAAAAAAUUUCCAUAUAAAUAAAUAAUAUACCUAAUUUAAUUGGACCCAGCACAUCGCAUAUGCAUAGAACACAUUCCACAAAGCCAUGCUAUUCGGAAAUUGACGAAUGAAAAGUGAGGAGGCAGCAGUCAAUGCUAUUUGGGCUUGGCCCAAAAUUGAUUUAUCAGGUUGACGUUUGCCAGGAAUGAAGAACUGGAAUAUCACCGUCAAGCAAGCAACCUGUGGAGCAAUACCAUAGAAUGCACAAUCCAGCUUUGCAAGGUGACACUGGAGGCUUUUUGAAAAGUGCUUCACGCUCACUUGCACAGAUUGAGCAUCCCCUCUGGAUAUUGCCCUCUCUGAUCGAGUCUGAGCACUCAAAUUUCGGUCCUCAGAUGGAGCUACAGCUUUCUCUCCAAUAACCAACAAUUUUCUAAACUCAGCACCUAGUGUGAUCAGAGUUGUUGAUAUUUGUAAAUGGAGAUCCCUGUAUUUGCAAAUGGAGACAUUUACCAAAUCACCAACAUGCUUCAUCCAGUCUACGAAAUUCUGCAGCUGAUUCAAAUCCGGAACCUGAACCAGAGUCGGAGGUAAAUCUUGAGCCAUGUCUAAAGCAGUCUGAAGUUCAAGUACUUGAGCCCUUGACAAAGGUUUUGAAAUUGGAACAUCUUGGAUUACUGCAGACUUGUACCCCUUGGUUUCAAAGGUAAGGAAAGGCAUUGCUUGAGUACAAUUUGGAGGCAGCUUCUUCACCAAUUUUAUUUGGAGGCAAUUGGCAGCGGAUCCAGCUGCACCAAUUUCAGAGCAAAUACUGACACUACUUCAAACAGCACGCUGAAGAAGAGAUAUGUCUAUGGCAAAGGCAAUGCAGUCCUCAAUUUGACUUGAGAUGCGGUAAUCACCAAAGAGAGUUUCCUUAUGAAACUGGGCAACACAUUGAAUCCCUUCACCACUGAGAAGGUUGGGGAGGAAGUAAGCUUUCUCUCUCGUAAGGAAGAGGUGGCAUACCUUCCCCAUUUUGUCUAGGACAGGUAGGAAUCUUUUUUCUAAGAGAUUUACUCCAUUCUCUGUGAGAAAUGCUUUGAACUUCAUCCCUCUGUCUCUAGCCUCACUUAUCAGUAAAAUAGUUGAAAGCGCUACAAGGAGAGAAAAGAAGAGUAUUAAGAUAUAUAUAGACAAGAAAAACAUUAGAUGUCGAUCUUACAAGCUAAUACUUCAAACAGUAUCCUAGAAAGCUAAAAACUGCAAAAUGGCUUGAAAUUUGAAAAGAACACAUGCUUUUCCUCCUUAACUUGAGAAAAUGUUUAAUAUAGUGCACCUUACAGAAACAUUUAAACAAUUAGAACUUUGCACAAAAACAUUCAAGAAGACUAAACAAAUCAGAUGCAGUGUAUUUCUCCAAGCACAAAUGGCAUUGCAUUUUUUCCUCAACUGUAAUAUUUAUUGAUGAAAAUCAGUACAGGUCCCUCAUUUGUUAUGGAAAGCUUUCUUGUAGUCUGACCGGUUAAUUCACGGGUCUAUAAUCAUCUUGCAAAGUUACAGGCAUUUCUUUCGAUUUAAAGUCUUUGCAUCACCACCUCAUCACACACCAAGCCAAUAUUCCGUCUACCUCUACAACAAAAAGUUUUAAGUAAACGAUCCUAAUGCAUGCAGCCAAAUAAAAUGCAGUAAGAAUAUUCAACUUAAAACUCUGAAAGCCAUCUUGGUGAAUUGCCUCCUUAGGGGAAGUUCCAUGCUUUACUAUACUUGACAGGACUGAGCAAAAGCUUACAUACAACAGAUUUUGAAAAUGAUGAUGCCAAUAGAUACUCAUACAAUCCAUUGAAACUCCUAAGGUCCAUUGUUCACAGAGGUUUACAGAGUUUUGGUCAUCAAAUAGCUCAGACCUUAAUCCCAAACAAAAAACGAGUGAAAAUUAGAUCACCAGCAGCUAAUUGUAAAUUCUAACUUAACUCUUCAUCUCCUUUGUAAACAGGAGACAAAAUGGAGACACGCAAAAUGAAUAAGGAGAACAUUUGAACUCAAAUGAAAUGAGGGCACGAAAGCAAACAAAUGGCAUGCGCAAACAAACCAAGCCUCAAUCAAAAACUAAUUAACCAUUAAAAAAAAAAAAGUGGUCAGAGAAUGAACUCCAAAUUCGGGAGUGAAGCAAGAAGCUUUCAUUAUUUCAGAAGCUCCUGUACAAAUUAAUAAGUUAUGCUCUUUGGAAACAAACCUAAAUUCCAAGAGAAAGAGAACUCAAAAAAUUUGCAAUUAUACGCAAAGGAAGUGAAGCACAGCAUUCUAUCACACGUACAAAUUGUAUAACAAGAGAUCGACACAUCGAAUCAGAAGAACUCAAUUCAAAUUUGUCUCAAAAAUCAAAAUUAGAAGAUUUCACAUUUCGAGAGGAACAAGCGACAGGUCAGAUGCAAAAUUUUCAGCCACAACAUGCCACAAUUAACAGUUUAUUUCCAUGGAUUUAGAGAGCUGACUGACCUUUUGGCUUUUGGAAUUGAGAAGAUCGCGGGCCAAAAUGGAAGAGGGAAAGCGAAAGUGCGGGUUUUAAUAGGGUAUUGGAUUAGCAAAUUUAAUUAGUUUGCGAGGGUAAAAUAGGAAAGAGAUAUCACUAUUAACUUUUUUUUUUAUAAGAAAAAAGAAUAAUAAAGAAUAUUUUAUUGUCAUUUGCAGCCUGCAAAUGACAAUAAAUCAAAUACGUCAUACAGAAGCUUAAAGCUGAAUCUAAAAAAUCUAGAGCUCUCAACUACAAAAAUUACACUUGAUGAUCCUCUACAAGAUGAAGCUUGUUCAAUAUCUUAUCCAAAGUUUAUAAAGUAACCUUGUAACGAUCUUGAGAUUGCCUGCCUUCCUCGACGACCUGCACGAUGCGUUUGUACAAAUCAUCAUACCUGUGCACCGGAUUUUUAAUAUCAACGCCACUGCAGCUGUGAUCAAGAACAUAAGAGCGUUUAACAUCUUUUCUCCAUCGAGAAAGAAUGUAGUGAGAUGGGAUCUCCUGCAUGCCACUCUGGUUUAGAACACAAAGAAUGUGUCUGGAUAAAUAUCCUCUGAAAUUGAACAACCCACAAACACAAAGCACCUCCAAGUCGGAGGCAUUGUACAAAACAUCGAAAGCCCUUGAAUCUUUCUCGUUGCUACCAACCUCAAAUUCUUCCUUCACUAUGUAUGUUAUAGGUCCAUCAGCACUGACAUGUUUUGUGCUAUAGCAAGAGUACAUAGCCUCCACCUCCGUCUGAAACUUCCUUCACAUUUCAUUUGUGUACAGUUUUGAGAGUUGAAAUUCAUAGUCACAUCUUGGUUUCUGGAUACAACUUGAAUUUCUUGAAUCCAUAUCUGCCAAGGCUUCCGGUUGAUAAUUCGCCUGCAGUGCUUGAUCAUACUUGUGUAAGAAUUCUUUCAAAGGAGUACGCUUAUCAAGAUAUCCUUCAAAGUAUGAAGUAGAAACCUCAUUCUGCAGGAAUGAAAACACUCCUGAUAAAAAUGCUUCCUUCAAAUAAACAGGAGCCCACCUUUUACGAUCUUCAUAUAAAGUUUGAAUCCAUCCGUGAUCCUUUAUUCCAUGACGUUGAAUCAUGUCUUCCCAAGCUGCUUCAAAUUCCUCAGGCCUGAGAGAGUGAUAAAUUGCUCUAUGUAAUGCACCUCUAAUAGCUUCAUAUUCAAACAAUCCUUGGAGUUUCUCUGGAAUUUUUUGCAAGAUGCAUGACAAUGAAAAGCAAUGAUAAGCUCUUGGGAAAACAUCGCCAACAGCAAUUUGCAAGAUUCUACAUUGGUCAGUGAUGAUUGUUUGUGGAGAGCGUCCUAACAUACAUGUAAGCCACACCCUAAACAACCAUGUAUAUGAUUCUAUGGUCUCCCUGGCAAGUAAACCACAACCCAACAACACUGAUUGUCCAUGAUGAUUCACCCCAAUGAAUGAAACCAGUGGUACAUCAUAUCUUUCAGUCAAGCACGUAGUAUCAAUUAAGACUACAUCACCAAAGUACCUAUAUGCAACUCUUGACCUGGUAUCAGUCCAGAACAGGUUUCUCAAGCAUCCCUUUUCAUUUAGAUCCACUACAUUAAAAAAGUUUGGAUCUGUCAACUGCAAACGACAAAAGAAACUCUGGACAGCUUGUGCAUCUCCUGGUUUAAGCUUCAAUUGAUUUGAGCUAUUAACAUUAUUUCCAAAUACUCCAUUAACAUCUACAUUACCAUUUCCCUCGGUAUCGAUGAUAAGAGUUCGAAACAGUCUAAUUUUUUGAACGUCUUCAGCACUAUCUAAUUGCAAUGUUCUUUUGGUUCCAAUACCUAUGUGCUUAUGUGACUUGUAAAACUUUCCGCUUCUUGGGCUUAACAAGUGGUUAUGCUCAAGCUCGACUUCAAUGAUUCUCCACCUUUUGGUUUCCAUCAACCUAAACUUUAUCAUUGCUGGACAGCCAGUUCUUGUUUCUGGUCUUGGGCGGUUUGCCUCGCUUUUCUUCUUGAAGCCUGCACUACUACAGCUCAGCUUUCCUCUAUACUUUUCUCUACUCUUUCGGUACCAUGUAUUGCUAACUCUAACACCAAAACCCUGUUCCUUGGCAUAGCAAUUGUAAAAGUAAUAAACAUCAUCAUACGUCUCAAACUCCAUUCCAACAGCAGGAGCCAAUGGAUUUUGGAUUAUCCCAGUUUGUCCAACAUAUUCAGUCAUUGCACAAUCUCCUACGACCUCAAAAUCAUCAGCAUCAUCAUCACCUACUGGUUCAGUAUUCAGAGAAACUUCAUCCAUCUACAAUAGAUGUUUAAUGAAGUGAACUUUAAGGAGAAAAAGCAAAAUCAGUUCAAGGAAUGAUAAUAUAACCAUACAGUUACUUUCACAAAGCUGCGUAUUUCAUCAAUACCUUAACAACAUACAACUGCCUGAGAACGUAUAGACAUGUCAUAGACGCUUGAAUUAAGUAUUGGUACAAAUUCAUGUGGGACACAAUUUCAGUCACUAAACCCAAUGCCUUUUUUUUUCACAUCAUACCAAGGAACGGAUUAAACCCAAUACCUUCUUUUACGCCAUACCAAAGAACAGAUUAAAUCAUCAAUGAAAAAUUAAUCACAUAAUAAUUUAACUAGACAAAUAAAGAGCUCGAAACAGCACAAAACUUGAAUAUGAUUAUGAUAAUUGUUGAGUCAUUGUAUCUACAGCUUUCCUUCAACAAGAAGAUUAUGAACAUAAACUACACACAAAAAAUUUAUUUUAAACUGACAUAAAUUUAUUCAGUUACAUUGAAACCCAAAAAAGGAAGCAGGAGCUGGAGAAAAACAACAGCAGAGAAACUUAUUUCCAGAAGGUUUACGAAAUAAGGAAUUUAUUAAGACACAAAAUUUGAGGUCAACAAUAAGAAUUUGGUUCUCAUUCUCUUUUUCUUCAUUUUUCACUUAUUGAUGGAGUUACCAUACAAUCCUAAAUGAUAAAACCCCAUCUCCAUCUUUUUGAAAUAGAGUUAAAGCAAAGCUUUUUAAGAUGUUUUUCCCUAAAAGACUCAAUAGUACAAUGUUUUUCAAUAUUAAAUACACAACUCAAUCUUCCCCUAAUUUACUCUAAUAAUCUCUUAACUAAGGAAGAUUAAGCUCCACUUGUAAGCUAAAACAAGUUUCUUAAAUCAAGCCCCAAUGCUCUAUGCUAUUCAACAAGGCCUCAUAAAUGAUAAAACUACCUCUACAAAGAUACCCAUUUUAAUUUCGCAAACUAAAAUCGAACUCCUGAAACGUAACGAGCAUUAAAACAAACAAGUCCGAACAAGAACUGAAAAAUGAUACGUAAACCCGUUUCGACAAACAGUUUCCAAUCAAUGAGCAAAAAAGUUAAUGGAAAACAUGAAAUUCAAACGAAACAUACCUUAGGUUGAUAAAUUAGUAGCGCAAAAGAAAUUUUAGCGAGAUAUGGGAUCAGGGAUUUUGCCACGGUGAUGUUAAUUGCGACAUUCGGGUGACUCAGCAGCCUUCGAGGCUGAAACUUUGAUUGACCAAAAGCUUCCCGUUCGUUGAUUCUCUAAUUGCAGAAACGAAACUGGCAGUGUACAGAAGACGUACGCUGAUUUGAUAAUUCUGUGAAAAUCAUUGUUUUUUUUCAGAUUUUUAAUGUGUUCGAUAAAAUAUCAAAAUCUCAAAAACUUUUGUCUUUCAUUUUGGGGGGGAAAAACCCAUUGAGAUCCUUAUGUUUUUUCUUAUAUAAUCUGGCUUAAUAAUUUGCAAAGUCUAUUACUUAGCACCCAUGCAUGCUGCGUUCCAAUUUACAAAAUUGUACGUGAGUGCAUCCAGCUAAAAUUUGUAAAAAGAAAAUAGCAAUAACAUGUUAAAAAUGUGAUUAUUAUGAAGAAAUUUUAAUUUAGUUAAAUAGGUGACGAUGGAUAGGUAUAAAAUCUGAGAUCUUUUAUAAGGUUAAUAAAUAUGUUGAGUUUGGAUUAGUUCAAUUUUGAAAUAAUAAUAUUCAAAAUAUCUCUUAAAUCAUUAUAAACCUCAAAUCUAUUUUAAUUUUAUUUAAAAGAUAAAAGAAAAAUAGGUUAUGUUGGUGAUUUUUUAUUAUCUUUUUAAUAAAAAUGAAAUAAAUUGAUGUUUAUAAUUAUUUAAAGUAUUUUAAAGACUGCCAUUUUAUGAGAGAAAAAUAUUUCACUUUUUUUUAGUGUGAAAGGCCGAAAAAGGACAAAGCAAGUUUCCCUAGUUUUUAUUUAUUUGAAAUUGGUCAUCUCAUAUACUUCACCCUUCAACACUAUAAUUUUUUUGGUUAUAAUUUUAUUAUUUUUUCUCUUUUACACAUGCAUGUGAAUUACUUUUCUUUAAGCUCCUGAAUAUUUAAGAUAAAUCAUGGAAGAGAUGAGAGUAUAACAAGAUGACCAAAAUAUGUAACAAAAAAAUUUUAUAAGUGAAAAAUAUGUUAGAGACUUACAGUGGAAGUAAAACUCUGAGGUGAUGUUUGAUUUGAAGAAAAUGGAGGAAAUGAAAAGACUGGAAUGUAGAGGAAAAGAGAGAAAAGGAGAGGAGAGGAGAGUGAAAUUUUUUUCUAAUGUUUGGUUUGUCACAUAAUUAUACAAAGAAAGGAAAUCUCUAAUUUUUUAUUUAGACAAUUUUAACCUUAAUAAGUAUUAAGUUUUCAAUAUUUAUCAUGUGUAUAAUUAAAAAAAAAAGAAGUAAAUGGUAGAAAGCGGUUUCUGAUUCCGGCCACAUCGCCCGCAAUGGAAGGUACUUAUCAGAACAUCAAGAGCCAGCCAUCAUUCCCUAGCCAUCACUGCUGUCGGAACACUGCCGGAAAGCUGCCGAUUGAACCGCGAAAAGUCGUGGAAAUCGCUGCCUCAAAUCGGUGAGUUUCGCCCUUUUCUGGUCACGCCGUCGCCAUGGCUUUGUCCAUCAAGCCUGCCACUUCCAUUUUCAACCAUCCAUAGCCACUAUUAAUUGCCAAAUCACCGCCGAUCAGCGGGAUCUGUGGAAGUUAAAAAGUUUCUAAAUUUUUUUAACUGGAUUUGAACAACAUACGACCAUUUUUUUAUCUCGAUAACGACGUAGUAAUGUUGAUCGUUGGUCGGCAAGUCGUAUGGUAGUGGCAGUGAGUAACACGCGCCAAUCACAUCGGCGGCGGCGGCGGCACUAUCCGGCGACUGUUAAAAUAAUAUUUUAUAUUUUCAGAUUAAAUAAAUUUAUUUUAUUAAAAUUUUUAAAUCAUUAUUUAAAUUUAAUUAAUUUAAAAUUAUCUAUAAUGUUGAAUUGAUAAAAUAAAUUUAUAAAUAAUAAUUAUGUGAUUACAUUAAAUAAGUUAAAAAGUUGAAGGGUUAGUUUUGGAAGAUUUAGUUUCCAACACAAAGGGAAUUUGAAUUCUUCACUUCUUAGUGUGGAAUUCAAAUUCUAUAUUGUAAUAGAUAUUAAAUUUCAAUAAAAAUUAAAUUCUUAUAAGUUAUGUCAAACCAAACAACGAAAAUAAAAAAGAAAUUUAAAUUAUUUUUCUUUCCUCCACCCUCUCCUUCCAACUAAAUACAUCCUGAAAAUAGAGAUAUUGAUUAAUUUAGAAGAGAUUCAAGCAAAAAAUAUUCCAAAAAAAAAAGCAAUAUGUCCCUUUGGAGGGCAAACUUGUCAGUUUCAAAAAAGUACAUGCUUUGUAUUGAUAGUUGUAGGAUAUUUGUUUUGUCACUAUGUAUUAGUUGGAGAAGUCCAGCCUUGUGGAGAAUGUUAUGAAAGAGCAAAGGAUAUUCCUGAUAGCUGAUAGAGCUCUAUCUGAUUAUGUAUCCAGUGAAUGGAUGUGUUGUUGGAAGAUAUCUGAGUGCAUUAGUUCAUAUGUGUCUGUCAAUGUGCUUUUAAUGAUUUUUCCACCUGUUUGUUGUAAAAGAUUAUUGUAAAUUGAAAUGAACUUGAUGUUUUAAUAUUUUCUUCCGUAAAUUGAAAUGAACUUGAAUUAAAUCUCGUUGAAUUUAAUAUUAUCUCCUUAGUGGAAUUUCACCUAGUAUGUAUUCAGUUGUGUUGUCUAUAAUUUUGCAUUCGAGUAAGUUUCACCUAAAACAUUAGCAUGAGUAGUGGCCCUUGAACCUUUGGUCAAAAUUAUUGUUAUUAUUUCUGACUAGAUGUAAAUUUUGUAUUAAAUCUCGUUAACACAAUUCUUAAUUAAAAGUAUAGGUUAGUGUUGGUGCAAGAUUUGCCACACCAAAUUCUGCCUAGCUGUCAAAAGUGCAAAAUAAAUGAAGAGAAAGCACAAAUACACGACUUGAAUAAGGAUACAACGAAACUUAAAUUCAAGAGAAAAUGAUAGCUAUAUCCCAAGAUUUGAAAAAGUAGUCAUGUAGGUUUUUAAGAUUUCAAUAAGCGACUGAGAUUCAAAUAAUAUCCUUUAAUUCUAUUAAUAAAAAACAAAGACUCAAAUAUUUUAUGAUAAAUAAAAAUAUAAUAUUAAAAUAUAUGUGAUAAUAUACACAUUUUAAAUACUUUCAAUCCAAAAAAAUAGUUAUGUUUUACAAUCUAUUAGACAUAUUUUAUUAAAUUAAUAUAAAUUUUCUAUAAAAUAAGAAUAUAAUAUUAAAACAAAUUCACAGAAAUUUAAAGAAUUUUGAAUGUAAAAUAAUUUUAAUAUAUUAAUACGUGAGUUUUUUUAUUAAUAUAAAAAUUAUUUAACUUUAAGAUUUUUUAAAAUCUUUACAAUAAGUAUAACUAUAUUAUUUACAUUUAAAAAUAUUUAAAUAUUAUUAACCUACAAUUAUAUUUGCAUUUGUUAGAAAUUUUUAAAGUCAAAUAUUUUGCACUUCUAUAUUAUUAGAAUUAUUGCACACAAAGAAAGAAACAUAUACGUUUAGAAAUUGUUUUCUUUUAAAAUAGAGAUGAUGAUUAGUAUAAGGAUCAAAAAAAGGAUAAAGAAUAUUAAUGAUUAACGAAAACUCUAUACAAAUUGAUUUUAGUAGGAAAAGAGUGAGAUGAAUGAUUUCUUUUACAGUUAGAAAAAUAGAUGAUGAUUAUUAUAACGAAGAAGAAAAGAUAAAGAAUAUUAAUUAUUAAUGGAAUCUCUAUGCAAAUUGAUUUCAGUAGGAAAAAAAAUGAGUUAAAUGAUUUAGAGUGCGUUUGGAAUUGAGAUUGGACAGCCAUAGAUUUUAAGUUACAACACUGAAGUGUUUGGUAAAUACUAGCUGCUGCAGAUUGAAAGUUAUGUUGAUAUGAUUUUUCACAUGUAUCAUAGAAAAUAUAUUACAUCUUUAAUAAUUUUUUUAAAAUUUGUAUUUGCUAUAUAUUGUUUUUUUUAUAUAGUUAUAACUUUUUUUUUUUCCACAGCAGCUGUAGCUUAAAAGCUACAGCACCUCAAUCUCAAACAAGUCCUUAGACAUUCAUAGUGUGUUUAUUUUUUGGAUUGGUGAAUCAAAAUUAUUGACAACGCUAACUUCAUCUUCACCGUUCGCAAUCCAACAGCAGCAAUUGUCGCCAAUAAUGAUAUCGCCGAUGAUGAUGACAAUAAUAAUAAUAAUAAUAAUAAUAAUAAUAAUAAUAAUAAUAAUAAUAAUUAUUAUUAUUAUUAUUAAUAAUUAAUAUAUUAAUAUAUUAAUGUUAAUAUUAUUAUUAUUAAGAUUAACAAUAAUUAUUAGUAAUACAAUUUUUUGAAUAAAAAUAAUCACAAUAAUUAAAAUACAAAUUAACAAUUAUGACAAUAGUUAAUUAAUGUCUUUUUAGUAAUUUGUAAUAAUCUAACUCAUUUUAAUUCUGAUUAUUACAGUUUAAGUAAAUAAAUUAUUAUGAUUCCUAUUCUCCUUUUCUAUUUUAACUCACUUCGAUUCCAGUCUAUUCUGAUUUUUGUUUAAUAAACGCACCAUUAGUGCUAAAGUAAUAUUUCAUACAUAGAAAAGUAAAAACUACACCUAAGGUUAAGGGAAAGGACUUCAAAACUCUCUUUUGAUCAUAAUACAUUUUGUACUAAUUAACUUAAAGAUUUUGAAUCUAAUAUUUUAUAAUAAAUAAAAAUAUAUUCCUAAAAUAAAUAUAAUAUCAAUAUUUAAAAUAUGUUUUAAUAUUUUACACAUUUUAUUAUAUUAAAGUAGAUUUUAUAAUAAAUACAAACGUCCUAUUAAAAUGAAUAUAUAAAAAAUUUAGAAAAUUUAGAAUAUUAUAUAAAAUAAUUUUAAUAUAAUGCGUGAGAUAUAUUUUAUUAAUUUAAAAUGUUAUUUUACCUAAAAAAUAUGAUAAAUUAAUAAUUACAUAUUUGAAGUUAUUUCAAAUAUUAAAAAAAUUUAAUAUUAUUAGUCUUUUAGAUAGAUUAAAUUAUUUUUUUUAUAAGAGAUAGAUUAAAUUAUUUUAAAAUGCCUUAAUUAUUUUUACUUUUAACGUUACCGGCCUUUCUUUUAUUUUAUUGCAAAUUAAUGCUAACAAGAAAAAGCUAGAUCAUAUUCCACAAAAGCAAAAGUGACAAACACAACCAGCUGGAAUCUUUUAUAAAACUACAAAUUAAAAUGGAUUUUUUUUUUGAUAAAUUACACAUGAAAGUGGAUUCUUUUGAAUAUAAGUGGAGUAGGCUCUUUUAUUUUAUUUUUGAAUAUUGUAUAACGGGACUGUAGACUCUUUUAUUAAACUACAAAUUGUAUAGUCUUUUUAAAAUUGUUAUAAAUUAAUGGCCCCCACAAUCCUCAACAAUUGUACCGAUAUUCACAAGUUGGUGGCCCCUACAAUUCUGUUCCGAUAAUUUAACUGUGCAAGUGCUCAUUCACAAUCUUCCAGGUCAUGCUCUCAAUAAUUGUUUUUUUUUCCUGCAUUCCCUUUGGGAAAUUUACGAAAAUAAUCAUUAAUAUUUUAUUAUUUUUACAAUUAACCGUCUUAAUUUUUUUCUAUCAACAUUAGCCAAAUACAAGUCUUUCUUCCCAAAUUACCCUUCUUUACAGAACAAAACCAACAUUGUUUCUCCCAUAUCGCCAAACCAAAAGCAGCUUUUUAUUCUUAAAUCAUCAGCCAACGGCGACCGCAAAAGACAACGGUAAAAGUGAUAUCCGAUCAUAAUCUAUCCGGAUCCAACACAAAUCUACAUCACUCAGUGGUAUGAAUUAUUUUUUGAACUUACUGAACUCAGUCGGGUGAAUCUGAGUCUGGCGACAGGCUGCCUGUCGCAGUAAAACUUGGUGCGACAGGCAACCUGUCGUACCAAACCUUGGUGCGACGGGCACCCUUGGAGAUUUAUUAAAAAUGUAUUAUUUUAAUAGGACUCAAAUAAUUUUUUUUUAUAAUUUCAGGCUUAAUGGAUUCAGUUGUACUUGAAUUGUGUUACGAUGGUUGGUGGGAGACAUUAGAGAAUGGCUGUAUGGAGUACGUGAAUGGUAAAAAUCGAGCUUUUUUGGUUGGAAAAAAUUACUUGUUUGAUCAGUUAUUGGCAAGAGUAUACGAGGUAUUAAAAAUAAACCCUAAUGACUAUAGUAUCACAAUGAAGACAACUUUGAGGUCUAGUAACACAUUAUAUCGUAUAUGUGCAAUGCCCAUGGAUAUAUGUGAUGAUGAAAUGGUGAGGGUUGUGUUGCAUAUGGCAUCUGACGUAGCUAAUUUUGGAUGCAUUCCUAUAUUCGUGACCACAUCACCUCGACUUCCGAGCGAAGGUAUUGAGCCACAUGUCGAUAUAGAAACUUCGUUUAGAGCAAAUAUGUCUGGCCCCGAUAAUGAUGAAGAGGUGUUGCCAAGGACAAUAUCGCUGCAGCAAUAUUACUCUCCAAUCCACGACAAUUAUGAUAACAUUGAUGAUAAUAGCGUUACGUUACAGGAUGUUGGAGCAACGGUAUUUCCAAUAACAACGUCGUUGGAGCAACGAUAUUCUCCGUAUCACAACAAUGAUUUUCGGGACAAUGAUGAUUUUCAUAAUGAGACAGAGGAGGAUAAUGUUUGUGCAGAACCUUCUAAUAAUACGAGGCGGGGCACUCGUUUCAAUAAUGAUGGUGAUGAUGGAGGAGUCGGUCAUUCGAAUGUUCCGUCGUUUCAGCAUGAGGAUGAGUGUGAAGACAAUACUCCUGUGAAUAACAGAGGCAAUAGACCUAUUCCUUCUAUGGUUCGAUCGAGAAGGAGAAUUGACCCCCUUACAAGUCUUGCUCCAACUUUACCUUCGAACAUGGUUGCUCCAAGCUUUGUUAGCAGUUGUGACUCAGAUGAUAUCAGCGUGGGUAAGCUAUUUGUUGAGAAGAAUGAGCUUAUAUUACAACUACGCAAGGUGGCCUUUAGAGAUAAGUUUGAUUUCAAGAUUGCACGGUCUACUACGACACGUUUCGAGGCUCACUGUUGUUCAGAAUCAUGUAAAUGGCAUAUUCGAGCAACUAGAAGUUCGAACGAGCAAAAUGUUCCUUGGGUGGUGAAGAGAAUUGAUAAUGUACACACUUGUCAUAAUGAGGUAUUGAUUGAUGGACGUCAUCAAGUAAGGAGCCGGGUUGUCGGUCAUAUUAUCGCAGAAAAAUAUAUUCAAGAUAAGAGGAUUUAUACUCCCAAUGACAUAAGAGCAGAUAUGCAACAGGAAUACGGUGUUCAGUUAACAUACCAGCAGGCAUAUAGGGCGAGAGAAGUUGGUCUUGAAAUAGUUCACGGCAACCCUGCAGAGUCAUACAACUUGCUCCCUAAAUACUCUCACGUACUAACUACAACGAAUGAGGGUACAGUCACUCACCUCGAGCAGGAUGGAGAUGGUAAUUUCUUGUACUAUUUUGUAGCACUCGGAUAUUCCAUCAAGGGGUUUAUGCAGUACAUUCGGCCUGUCAUUGCUGUAGAUGGUACUCAUCUAAAGAGAUUAUAUCGUGGAAGCAUGUUCGUGGCAACAUGUCUUGAUGGUAACAAUCAAUUGUAUCCGUUAGCCAUUGGGAUCAUGGAUUCAGAAAAUAAUGAUGCUUGGGAAUGGUUUAUGAUGAAGUUACACGGAGUGAUUGGUGAUAGACCUGAGUUGGUAAUUAUCUCUGAUCGAUGCACUGCCAUAAGGAGAGCCGUUCUUAAAGUAUUUCACAAUGCAACUCAUGGCGUUUGUUUUUACCACGUCAAAGGUAACAUUAAGUCACAAUUUAGAAUGUCCAAAGCUCUUUGGGAUGAAUUUGAGCAUGCCUUUAUUAAUGCAGCAAAAGCAUAUGGCCACGAGGAAUUUAAGAGACAACUUGAAGGGUUGUGGAUGAUCCACUCGGGUGCGGCUGAUUACUUAGAAAAUAAUGUCGGCACGUGUAAUUGGGCAAGGUCUCAGUUUCAAGGUAGGAGGUACAACAUUCUUACCACCAACAUCGCGGAGAGUGUUAAUGCUUUCAUGAGGGAACCUCGAAAAUUUCCUGUUACUCAUCUUGUUGAUCACUUCAGGAAAACAUUGCAGCAAUUGUUUUAUGAUAGAAAAAUUGUGGCUGAAUCAAUGACUACUCGGCUAACAACAUGGGCGGAUGAAAUAGUCACUGAGAGGAGAACUAUAGCUGAAAGAAUGAUAGUUCGGCCGGUGUCUCCGCAUCGCUUUCAAGUUAUAGGCGGUGGGCUUAAGGAAGGGUUGGUUGACUUGCAAAAGAGAACUUGCUCCUGCAGAGUGUUUCAGCUUGAUCAGCAUGUGUGUGCUCAUGCAAUUGCGGCGUGUCUAACACACCGGGUGGAUUUUAUUAACCUUUGCUCGGACUUUUACACUACAGAAUCGUUGGCGAUGGCUUAUGCACAACCAGUGGAGCCAGUUGGUGAUGUGGCUGAUUGGGAAGUUCCAGAUGAAAUUCAGGAGAUGCAGGUAUACCCACCAGUUGAGGCACCACUACCUGGCCGUCGUAAAGAGCUCAGAAUACCCUCGACUGGCGAGGACGUUGACCGGCGGACUGUAAGAUGCGGCCGGUGUCAUGAACUAGGCCAUAAUCGUAAGCGAUGUAAGAAUCCUAUUGCGUCGACUCGAAGUUAGUUGUAUUUUGUGUGUUAUUCGUUGGUUAAAACUAUUAUUGUUUUUGUGUUACAUUGGUUAAAACUGUUAUUGUUUUUUGUAUUUCGUUGGUUAAAACUGUUAUUGUUUUUUGUGUAUUGUACACUUAUAUUCAUAAAACUUUAUUUUAUUUUAAAGUUCAAAAUGUGAGGCAUUAAAAUUAUAUAAACUUAAGUGCGGAAAUUAAAAAAAAUGCAAAUUUCAACAUUGAAAUUACUACAUAGGUCUACAAUAUAAUAUCGUCAUUAAAUAUAUCAACCGCAAUCUUCUUUCUAAAGUACUCGACAUGACUAGCGUUAAACUCCAAUCUAAGCCCGAACAUUAAAUACAUCGUAACCAUCAAUACAAAAACACUGCAAUCGCUAGUUCCGGGCUCUUGUUGUGGUGCGCUCUUAACUGCGAUAACUUUCCACGGGUCUUCACUCCGCAACUCAGGUCGGAUAUUGUAGAAGCCAACAUAUUCCAACCAUCGAGGGAAUAUAACUUCAAGUGGCUUGAAUUUCAACUUGUACUUUUUGUCGUCGCGAAAUGUGAGUAAUGAGUCAUAAAUCCAGACUUUAUUUUUCCGAAAGUCAACUCGUGCUAGUACCCAAUGCGCGCCGUCCAAGUUAACAGGGAUGAGUAACUGCAUAUAAAAAUUAAAAAAACAUGUUCGUUAUAUAUGAAAUUGAAAUACAACAAAGAAAAAGCAACAACUCGAAUAUUUUCAUUAUAGAGCAUGUGAAAUGUAAUAAAAUACACACCAUAUCGACAUCCGUCAUUAAUUUUGACAUUGUGUGCUGUCGCCCACAAAGAUAACUAUUCAAGCGGUCGUCGAAUACCAUUGAAUCAACUGCACAAUUCCUGUUAUUCCAUAACUGAUUCAAGAACACCUAGUACAUAGAUAACCAAGAAAUGCAUAAAUUAAUAAAACUUAAAGGCAAUAAUUAAACAAAUUAAAUAGUAUUUAUAAGUUUUGUCGGCACGUUACCCAAAAAAAUGUGUCAGUAUGUGUGACACGUUGGAGUAAGGCAUUUGGAUACUGCCGUUGUUUCUCGCUAAUCAAGCGGAGAUACUCGUGAAUAUGCUGUAGAGAAACAAAAAUAUUACGAUUUAAAAAAAAAUUAUACACAAAUCCACAACAGUAUACACCACGAGGAAAAUAUAAAUACCUCAUCGCCUAGCCAUCCCAUCGAAGCUGUCCCCAAAAUUAUUUGAAAGAAUGACCGCAGGUGCUGGACUCUCCGGCGGACUCUGCUAUCACCAGUGAACCAUCGAUCAAACUCAGCAAACAAACUAGAGUCCUCCAAUCCUCUCAGUGGAUUUACAUCCACACUCGUACUCAUGUCAAUCGCAUGCUCCAUCAUUUGGGGUCGAGGUAACCUCCGGACGUUCUGUCCACGCCUGACCGGAGGAAUCAUGUAAGGACUGUUAUAAACAUACGACGGUAUGUACGCGCGGCCGAACUUACUAACGCCCGGAGGCACCUCUGUGAACACCUGCAUGCUCUCCCCACUAACAUCCCCGUAUAAACUAUAAAAUGACGUGGGCGUAGACAAAUUUUCAUUGCCCACGUCAGUAUACACUCCAUAGUCAUCCGGGGCCUGUACAUUCGCCAAAAAGAACAUAUUAAAUAAUUAUCAAAUUAAAAGUUAAACGAACAUAAUUAUUUAAUUUAAAUUAGCUUACCGCAUACGAGCGUGCAGUGGGAGAAUCCUUAUUUGGAUGUUUAGAAAAUGUGUCGAUGAAGCCAACAACGGUUUCUUUAAAAUCUUUUAAUUCUGACUUUAUUUCAUACACAUUACGAUCAAUCUUAUCCAGCCGUCGUCGUACGUAAUCAUUAAACUGCUUUGUCCUCGACUAUUACAAAAGAAAAAAAUAAAACUUUAGAAUAACAAUAAAAAAAUAAUAAUUUAUAAAGGAAAAAUAUCGUAUAUUAUUUAUAACCUCAGAAUCCCGUGCGUCAUCAGAGUUGUCUGUUUGCUGCUGGUGGUCAUCAACAGCCACCUCAUCCUCAAAAGUGUCAAGACGCUGCUCUGGUAUUGGGUUUAGUAUGUCGUCAUGAUCAUCAUGCUCGUCCGAUUGUCUUGUAACCGACGGCAUCGCGUUGAUUGAGGGUUGGUGCUGUAUAAAGUAUCAUUUAAAAUUACUAAAUGAAAAGUCAAAAAUUUCGAUAAAAAAAUUUUUAGUACUUACAGUAUACCGACCUUAUGAAUCCAAUCUGGAAUGCUUGGCAAGUAAUCCUUCACAGAGAGUCAAUAUUUUCUGCUACUCUCUUUUGAAUUUGGCUCAAGAGUUUGUAAAAUGUCCGUCUGCCAUAAAUUCAAUUGAAAAAUUUAAGUAAGUAUACCCAACUUAAAUUUAGUAAAGUUAAAAAAUAAGUAAUACAUAUUACUUACAAGACGAGAUUCGUCGUUGAAGAACGAAUAAACCUCCGCAAAGUUGAUUCUCGAAGACGUCAUGGGCUUCCAUUGCAGAAUGCGGGGAAUCUUACUCUUCGUUUUGACGACCCAUGUUGAUGGCAACCCUCCGAUUGCUUCGUAAAUCCAAGCCUACAACAAACCAAAGUGAAAAAUCAAAUAAAACAACUAUCAAAUAUUUAAUACUAUAAAACUUAUUAAUAAACAAAAAAAAGCACCUGCACCCCAGACGUAAAGCCGUAAAGAUUAUAUUUUUCAAUAUUAUGAUCUGAAUUUUUCAACCGAGUCUUCUUAAAUUUCUCGUCUUUCUCGAACAGUGCAUUGUCAAGACUCUCGUAAAUCAUUUCCCACGACAAUAGACCCCAUGGCGCUUUCGGAAGUACUGUAUAUCAUCAACUUGGUCAAGCCAAUCGAAAUUAAUUUGACAGUGAUUUUUUCUUGCAUUUAGUACUCUGUCCGCAAAAUAAAACAGCGCAAUCUUUAAUGCGUCCAUAUCGUCCAUUUCCUCGAAAUUCAACUCCUUAAAUACUGCAUCAAAUUGCUUCACAUUAAUCUUACGAUGCACACCACCAAAAUACGUAUUCCGUAGCCUCUGCUCCAUUUCAUCAUUUUUUUCAUUGGUAUCAACACCAAAUGAAAGUCCAGUAACCAAGCACCAUUCGAUAAUUGACAAGCGAAUCAAAUGCUUACCAAUUUGAAACCAUAACUGAUCCUCACAGCUAUCUUCUUCAUGGGCCACUUGCCGCAGUAAACGAUUGUGCAAAAUUACCCCACUAAAUGGAAAACUUCGGCACUCCAAGAAAUGCCCAAAUAUAUCCUUUUUGAACAUACUCAACUGCCGCUUUGUUAAUUUUUCCUCGAUGGCUUUUACGACCGAAGAUAACAUACACAUGCUCGAAAUUCGACCAGGAAAGUGAUCAGCAUAACGAAAAUACAUCUUGCCUACUUCAAUAUCCGGUGAUUCUGAUUUCGCCAUGUAUCUGUAAUAUUUAUAAAAUUAUUACAUUACAUUUACAAAAUUAUUACCAAACUCUAAUUUUUUGGUGCGACAGGCGCCUGUCGCUCCAAAAAACUGCCUGUCGCACCACAGCUGGUGCUCCAAAAUCGAAAACAAUACUCCCAAACACUACCAACUACCACAAACAUCAUCACCACCACUAUUAAUCUCAAGCUAUAACUAUUAUUAUUCUAAAAUCUCAUUUUAAAUUAAUGAAAAUAAGAAAAAUGACUAACCUAGGUUUUGUUGAAGGUUGUAGAUCGUAGAUCGGAUGCCGGUGAGAGAUGGAGCCGCCGCCGACGAGGGUUGAUGUCGCCGCCGAUGAUGGGAGUUGGAUCGGUUUGGGAGAGAUGAGUGAAAAAGGGAGUGUUGGGGAAGAGAUGAGGGAUGGGUAUUUUGGUCUCAAAUGUUGUUUUAUGGCUAAUGUUGAUAGAAAUAUUUUUGGGGGGUUAAGAUGAAAAAAAACAAAUUUGUUUUGGUUAUUACUGUAAAUUUCCCAUUCCCUUUCAUGCUCUUAAUAAUUGAAGAGCAUACUUUUCAUUUUCAAAUGUGGAGCCGCAUCUAAUGUCGCUAAUUUAAUUUGGGAUUAAAUUAGGGGACCAUUAUAUUGCAGUGUGUACUAAUUUUUGUGUUUAUCUAAACUCCUUAAGUUUAAGACAUAUUAUGGCAUAAAUAAGAAUAUAACAAUAACAAAAGAGAUGCCGGAGCAGAUCAGCAGGGUUUGAAUAUGACCUUUGGCGGUUGCUUUUUUUUUGUGAUUUUUUUCAUUUUUUCCUUCCUGUCAUUUUAUCAUUUAUUUGGCUCUGUUUCUAUUGCGGGUGUUACUGCAUGCUUACUGUUGCUUGACAAAGUUUGCUAGCUUUUUGUUUGCAGUGCUGCUAUUCACCCCGAGUCAAGCUCCGAAAAUUUAUUAAACAACGCCGUUUCGAUAGUAACAAUUUUUUUCUUUUCCCUUUGUCUGUCUCUUUCAUCUGCUGUUUCUCUAUCACUUUUCAUUUUUUAUUUCCUUACUUCCCAGCUGCCCCUAAAUUGUUAUUCUAGCAAUAUACUUUCUCAUCUUUGAAUUUUCAUCCUUGAGUACUCCCACAGCCGUAAUUUCAUCAUUAUAGACUUCACUUGGAAUGCUGUAUUUUUUCGAUUCUUAAGCUACUUCAAUUACAUCUCCCAGUAUAGGAUCCUCAUCUUCCUUUAUUUCUUCAUCUUAUGAGGUAACAAAUGGAUUUCACAACUCAUCUACUUUUAAGCAAUUACAUAUUAUACCUUGAAUGAUUCAACUGUUCCGACAGUUAAAGAUUUUAUGCUCAACCUGCAGUGCUACGAACAUUGUCCAUGAAAGAUGAGUUUCAGCAUAUAAAAUGAAAUAUAGAUGUUUAAUCUAAAAUAACCCUUCACUGCCAAGAAACCUAGGUCACAAAAUUCACAGAUAAUGAUAAAGAGCUAAAAAAUUUGAAAAACUCUACAGAUCACACAUCAAGCAAGAUAUCAUGUUUUUUUCCCUCAUUCGGUGGUGAUUGAUUCGCUUUUUGAUGAUGGAUAUGGUAUAAAAGUUUUGACCCAAUUUCAAGCAAACACAAAUAGAAACACAAAUAGAAACACAAACACAAUCAGGACUAGAGUUGUGGGCGAUUAUCUUAGGUGUACAAGUGAAACGGUGGUGGCUGUCGAUGGUGGUAGUGGGGUGGUUGGGUAUGCGUGAUGGCUAGAUUUUAGGACAAUAAUGGUUGGAGUUGACCUCGAUCAACGAAGGAAAGUGACAACAAUUUUGACAUCAAACGGUGCAUUUUUUAGCUUAGUAAAAUGGAGCCGUUUCGAAUUUGGGGUUUAAUCCGGGGUUUGACUCGGCGCAAGUAUCAUUUUCCUUUUGUUUAUUAAAUUUUUUAUGGUCACAAAGUAUUACUCGUUCUAUUUGAGAGUGAUGUGAAUCAAUUUUUCAAUUUUAUAUUUUGUGGUCAAUGUGAAUUUAAUUUCAUUUGUCUCCUGCAAUUAUGAAAAAAUUGCAGUCAUAAUAUGGAAAAGUACACCGGCAAAAACUUUGUAAAAGCUUCGGAGUGAUACGGGGAAUUUACUUACUACUGAGGACAAUUGGUGGCAAAGCUAUUCCAUUCAUUUUAUGUCCAUCCAUCUAUUUAGCUAUUGAAGAUUAGUGGUCCAUUUGUAAAUUUCAGAUUGUCUCUCUCUCUCUCUCCCACUUGAAAUAACAAUAUUUAAUAUAUCUCUUAAAUUAUUAUAAAUUUUAAUUUACUCUCGAUUUAAAAUGGAGCAUGUCGAUAAAAAAUUUUUCUUCUUAAUAAAAUUGACGUAAGUUGUGUGUUACAGUAGUUUGAAGUUUGAAAUAUUUUAAAGAUUAUUAUUCUAUAAGGGAGUAAUAUGAAAUGAUAUUUACUUUUCAUGUGUGAAAUGAAAAAGGACGAAGCAAGUGUCCCUGCUUUUAUUUUAUUUCAAGGAGGAGUCAUCUCACAUACUUUAGCUCUUAACAUUACAUUUUUUCUGGUUACAUUUUUUAUUUAUUUAUUUUUUUUUUUUUACACAUGCGUGUGGGUUGCUUUUCUGUAAGCUCCUUAAUAUAUAUUUAAGACAAAUCAUGGAAGAGAUGGGAUUAUAUCAAGAUGAUCAAAGCAUGUAAAAAAAGAAAAAAGAAAAAAAAAAAUUAAGAAGUAAGACACUGAAAAUGGAGAAGAGAUGGAAGCAAAAGAUAUUCCAAAACAAAGCAAUCUAUCCCCUUUCGAGGGCAGACUUAUCAGGUUUAAAAAAGUACAUGCUUUGGAUUGGUAGUUGCAAUCAAGGGAAAAUAAAUAGGAUCCAAUGAAAUUUAAAUCUCGGAGAAAAUAAAUAAUCAUGCAGAUUUUCAAGAUUUUAAUAAGGGAUACUAAUAUCUUAUUUUGAUUAAUAACAUUCUUUUAUUGUGUUAACUCAAAAAAAAUAUUAUAAUGCUUUACAAUAAAUACAAAUGUCCUAUUAAAUGAAUAUAUAAAAAAUUUAGAAAAUUUAGAAUAUUAUAUAAAAUAAUUUUAAUAUAAUGCGUGAGAUAUAUUUUAUUAAUUUAAAAUGUCAUUUUACCUAAAAAAUAUGAUAAAUUAAUAAUUACAUAUUUGAAGUUAUUUCAAAUAUUACUUAAUUGUUUUUACUUUAAACAUUACCGGCCUUUCUUUUAUUUUAUUGCAAAUUAAUGCUAACAAGAAAAAGCUAGAUCAUAUUCCACAAAAGCAAAAGUGACAAACACAACCAGCUGGAAUCUUUUAUAAAACUACAAAUUAAAAUGGAGUUUUUUUAAAAAAAUUGUUAUAAAUUGGUGGCCCCUACAAUCCUCAAUAAUUGCACCGAUAUUCACAAGUUGGUGGCCCCUACAAUUCUGUUCCGAUAAUAAUUGUUUUUAUUUUUCUGCAUUCCCUUUCAUGCUCUUAAUAAUUGAAGAGCAUACUUUUCAAAUGUGGAGCCACAGCUAAUGUCGCUAAUUUAAUUUGGGAUUAAAUUAGGGGACCAUUAUAUUACAGUGUGCACUAAUUUUUGUGUUUAUCUAAACUCCUUAAAUUUAAGAUAUAUUAUGGCAUAAAUAAGAAUAUAACAAUAACAAAAGAGUAAAAAAGUGUAGAGAAGAUCUUGCAGAAAUAUAAAUAAUAUCUAUUUUAAAAUAAUUUUUAAUAUUUUAUGAUCCAUUAGAUAUAUUUAUUAUAUUAAAGUAAAUUUUAUAAUAAAUAAAAACAUACUAUUAAAAUGAAUAUAUAGAAAAUUUAGAGUAUUUUAAAUAUUAUAUAAAAAAUUUUUAAUAAAAUAUGUGAGAUAUUCAUAUUUUAUUAAUUUAAAAUACCAUUUAACCUAAAGAUUUAUUUAUGAUAAAUUAAUAAUUAUAUUUUUGAAAUUACUUCAAAUAUUAAAAAAUUAAUAUUACUAAUCUGUUAGAUAGAUUAAAUUAUAUAUAUUAUUUUCUAUUUAUUAAAAAAUUAAAAUUAUUUUUAAUUACUAUUCAAAAAAUAUAAUGAAAAAACAUAAUGAUAAAAAAAUCUUAACAUCUUUAUUAAAAAAUUAAAAACUUAUAUGAUAAAUUCUCUAAAUAUUUACGGUAUAUGUGAACCACGGUGGAUAAGCUUUAUUUAAUAUUAUUGAUUUAAAUAAUAUGUCAAUUAAAAAUGUACAGAGAAGAAAUUUCGGUGGGUAUUUUAGUCUUUUAAGCAAUUAUCAUGAUCAGAUCAGCCUUUAGCCUUCAAACGUCGGUCAGAAAAGUUUUAAAAUUAAUGCUAAAUUGUUUUUCACUUUUAACGUUGGUGGCCUUGAAAUUGCUUGUAUUUUAUUAAAAAUUAAUGCUAACAAGAAAAAGCUAGGUCAUAUUCCACAAAAUCAAAAGUGACAAAACAACCAGCUGGUUUCUUUUACUAAACUACAAAUUAAAAUAAAUUUUUUCGAUAAAUUACAAAUUAAAGUGGAUUCUUUUGAAUACAAAUGGGACAGACGAUUAGGCUCUUUUUAUUAGAGGCAAGUAAAAACUAGUCAAGAAUCGAACAGUCUUUUUCCAAUUCUUGUUUUAUUAUUUUUCAAAACUAGUUUUUGGUAAUUACAACCGGGUCAUUAAUCAUUAUUCAGAGUUACUGUUAUCUUCGGGGGCAGUGGGUAAAAGAUAAUUACUAACUGUUUUUCCUUCAAAAGUUAGCGGCUCAUGUUUGCAAGUGUGAAUGUGCGAUGCUCUUUUCUUAAAGGCCAUUACAGUGGGGCCCGAAUCAGACGUGCCUAAAUCUUUUUAAAAUUUUUGCCGUAUAACGAACAGAGGUCAUUACUAAAAUUUCUCUUCCACAGCCUACAGCAGCUUCAGUUUAUCAAACUCCAUCAAUUUUCUUUCUUAACAAAAUUCCAAAGAUGUGUAGCAUUUUUCAGAUCACAUGCGAUGGUGCUCUUUUCAAUCGUUGCUUGGAUUGCUUUCUUGGAAAAGCAGCAUACAUACGUAACCUCCAAGAUAAUCUUGUAGCCUUGGAGACUGAACUGGGAAGACUAAUCGCAGCAAAGAACGAUGUGAUGAUGAGGGUUGUCAAUGCUGAACGGCAACAAAUGAGAAGGCUGGACGGAGUGCAAGUGUGGGUUUCGAGGGUGGAUUCUGUUAAAACUGGAGCCGACGAACUUAUCACAGACGGCUCUGAAGAAAUUGGCAAAUUAUGUGUUGGAGGCUACUGUUCCAAGAACUGCAGGUCAAGCUACAAAUCGAAAACAAGUGGCUAGAAAGCUACGACAUGUGAAGACUUUAAUCGCCGAGGGAGUUUUUGAGGCGGUGGCCACUGAGGUGGUGCCCGAGAGAGCUCCGGAACCUGUAGCAGAUAAAAGACCCACUGAGCCAACAAUAGUAGGCUUGCAAUCACAGCUUGAACAAGUUUGGAGAUGUCUUGUAGAAGAAUCAGUGGGAAUCAUUGGCCUAUAUGGUAUGGGCGGUGUUGGUAAAACCACACUAUUGACCCAUAUCAACAAUAAAUUUCUUGAGAGUCCCACAAACUUUGAUUGUGUGAUUUGGGUCGUAGUUUCAAAAGACCUGCGACUUGAAAAAAUUCAAGAAGAUAUUGGGAAGAAGAUAGGUCUGUCUGAUGAUUCAUGGAAGAAUAAAAGUUUUGAAGAGAAAGCUGUGGACAUCCUGCCGAGAUUAGGAGAGAAGAGAUUUGUAUUGUUGUUAGAUGAUUUAUGGGAGCGGGUUGAUUUAACAGAAGUGGGCGUUCCACUUCCCAGCGCACAAAAUACUACCUCAAAAGUCGUAUUCACAACCCGUUCCAUUGGUGUUUGUGGCAGCAUGAGAGCUAGGCCGGUUAAAGUGGCAUGCCUAUCAGAAAAGCAAGCUUGGGAACUGUUCCGCGAAAAUGUUGGGGAAGAAACUCUUGAGAGUGAUCAUGAGAUCGUUGAGCUAGCCCAAACUGUGGCCAAAGAGUGUGAUGGUUUGCCACUCGCACUUAUUACUAUUGGUCGAGCUAUGGCCUACAGAAAGACAGCCGAGGAGUGGAGUCAUGCAAUUGAUGUGCUAAGAACAUCAGCUUCUGAGUUUGCAGGUUUGGGAGAGAAGGUGUAUCGUCUUUUAAAGUUUAGCUAUGAUAGUUUGCAGAAUGAUACGGUUAGAUCUUGUUUCUUGUACUGUUGUUUAUAUCCUGAAGAUUAUGGCAUUCUUAAAUGGGACUUGAUUGAUUGUUGGUUUGGCGAGGGAUUUUUUGGGGAAUCUGACAGGUCUGGUGCAGAAAACCAAGGAUAUGACAUUUUGGACACUCUUGUUCGUGCAUGUUUAUUAGAAGCGGUGGAAGAUGGUGAAGUAAAAAUGCAUGACGUUAUUCGUGAUAUGGCUAUAUGGAUAACUUGUGAAAUUGAGAAGGAGAAGAGAAACUUUUUGGUUCGUGCAGGUGCUGGAUUAAAAGAGGCACCGGAUGUUAAAGGAUGGGAAAAUGUGAGAAGAUUGUCAUUGAUGCAAAACCAAAUUGAAACUGUGUCAGAGGUUCCCACAUGCCCUCAUCUCCUCACUUUAUUUCUUGACUUUAAUCAGGAGUUGGAGAUGAUCGCGGAUGGCUUCUUCCAACUUAUGCCUUCUCUCAAAGUUUUGAAGAUGUCAAACUGUGGACAGAGGAGGUUGAAAUUACCUGUUGGGAUGUCAGUGUUGGGUUCAUCACUAGAACUUCUCGAUAUUUCAUGUACUGGCAUAACAGAGUUACCAGAGGAGUUAAAGAAGUUGGUAAAUCUGAAAUGUUUGAAUUUGAGGUGGACAGGUGCGUUAAUUAGAAUUCCACGGCAACUAAUAUCAAAAUUUUCAAGGUUACGUGUGUUGAGAAUGUUCGCUAUUGGCUAUGAUCGUUUUCAUGAAGCACCAGAAGACAGCGUUUUAUUUGGUGGGGGUGAAGUUUUGAUACAGGAAUUGCUCGGUUUGAAAUAUUUAGAGGUAUUGGAGUUGAGCUUGGGAAGUUAUCAUGCUCUCCAAAUUCUUUUGAGCUCAAAUAAGUUAAAAAGUUGUAUUCGAUCUCUUUGCCUCGAGUUCGCCGGAGAUACAGCGUCAAUUAUUGAUGCUACGGCUUUCGCAGAUCUAAACUACCUCAAUGAAUUAAAUAUUUAUAGUGGUUUUGAGUUGGAAGAGUUGAAGAUUGAUUAUACAGAGAUAGUACGAAAAAGGCGGGAACCUUUUGUUUUCCGCAACCUUCACCGUGUUACUAUACAUAGCUGCCAGAAGUUGAAAGAUUUGACAUUCCUCGUUUUUGCUCCAAACCUCAAGUCUGUUCAGCUACUCGAUUGCUAUGCUAUGGAAGAAAUAAUCAGCGUCGGAAAAUUUGCUGAGACUCCUGAGAUGAUGGGACAUAUAAGCCCUUUUGAAAAUCUCCAAAUGCUUGAUUUAGAAGAUUUGCCACAUUUGAAGAGCAUCUUCUGGAAGCCAUUGCCUUUCACUCAUCUGAAAGAAAUGGCGGUAAGUGGGUGUGAUCAGCUUGAAAAGCUUCCACUCGAUUCCAACAGUGCAAAGGAGCGUAAAUUUGUAAUUCGUGGAGAAGAAGACUGGUGGAACCGACUUCAAUGGGAGGAUGAAGCCACUCAAAUUGCUUUUCGUUCCUGUUUCCAACCUUAUUCCUGAGCGGUGGUCGCAAAUUUUGAUUCUCUGUUUUUAUUUCUGGUUAGUUUCUCUCUCUCUCUUUCUCUCUCGCUCUCUCUCUUUUUGUCUUCUGCAAAUCACAAUUAAAUGUUGAAUUAAUGGAAUUAAUGCUUCAUAAAUUUGCCGGCACAGCCACUACUUUUUUUUGGGGGGGGGGGGGGGGGGGGUCGAAUUGGUGCUCUGGUUUUUGACUUUUUGUUAGCGAUUUAAUUUCCUGUCAAAAGACGAGCGAGAAGAACAUAUAUAUGACGUAAACCAAUUGAUACUUUAUUUAUGUGCAUUGUAUGUAAUAAAUAUUAAGUAUACUUUAUUUUUGCCCUGUUCUCUGUUUUUAUUUCAGUCUCUCUCUCUCUCUCUCUGCUGUCUCCUGUCUCCUGCAAAUCACAAUUAAAUGUUGAAUUAUAUGGAAUUAAUCCUUCAUAAAUCUGCCUGCGCUGGCUUUUUUUUUUUUUUUGUGGGGGUCGAAUUGAUGCUCUGGUUUUCGACUACUUUUUGUUGUCAAAAUUUUCUCUGUUUUUUCAAAUUGAUGCUUUAUUGAUAUCUUCUUCGUGAAAAGUGAUUUAAUUUCCUGCCAAAAGACGAACGAGAAGAACAUUAGAGUCAAACUAAUGCUCACAUAAAUUUCCCGUAAGAAUAUAUAAUUAUUAAGAUAGAUCUGCUCUUUCAUUAAAUAUAUAUUCCUUUUUCACAUAUUAAUUGACCUUUAUUUAAUUUGUUUAAAAAGUUUAAUUAAUUGUUGUUUGCAGAGAAUCAUCUACGCCGCUCGCCGAUAAAAGUUGAGGUGUUCGAGCAGGUGCUUGCCUUUUUUUUUUUCUUUUUCUUUUUUCCCUGUUUUAAUAUUUCUUUAAAUUUUGAAAUUGUUUAAUUAUUCUUCUGGUUUGGAAUGUUGAUAAUAGUGUUGUGAAAUUAAUUUUUACAGGAUAAAAGGUUGUGGGACAUUUAUUAUCCAUGUCCUAUGUAUCUCAAGCUUAAAGGUCUCAGUGGUCCUCUAUUGGAAAAAGCAAGUUUAAUAUAUAUUAAUUGGAUAUCGUCGCCUGUAUAUAUAUGUAUAUACAUACAUACACAGCCACUCAUCGAUUAUAGACUUAAUUAUUUAAUUGAUUAUGUAAUCUCUCGUAGUUUCUUUGUGCAUUUUUAGUUAAUUUAAUGAAUAAACUCAAAUACAUUGUAAAUAAAACCAAAUUAAAUGUUCCCUAAAAUAUACGUAUAUGCCUCUCGAUGGCACACAAGGUUAAAUGUCAGCCCAUCGCGGGUAAUAUUAUUUCUAGCCGCCUUCAUUACGAGUUAAGAGUCAAUUAUUACUAAACUAAACUAGUCAAAACUCGUAAGUGCUAGAAAGUAGAAACGUUUGAUUCUAUAUAAAUGACUUCAAUUCAAUAUGUACCAAAGAGUAUCGAUAAUUGAACCCCAAAAAACUUUAAAAAAGAUUGACAAAAUUAAUUAUAUUAUUGUGUGUUUUUAGAAGAAAAAAUAAAAUAAUUAAUUAAUGUUAUAACACUAUGUUAGGUGAAAAGUCAGCUGUCUGGAAGAGAACAAACUUACUAAGAUAAGAGCCUUCUUCAGUAAUCAACCGAACGAAAAAGUCAUCUCUUUUCUUAUUUAUUUAGUAAAAAUAAGUAAAGGCCGAAAAUUUCCUAAAAUAUCUAAAUCCCUCUCUUUAAAAGAACACCAUAUGCUGCAUAACAUGCAAAUUAAUUUCCCAUAUGUGAUGCAAUUUUCUCCUCAACAUAUGCGCAAUUCUUUCCAUUCCGGCAUUUACACUCAAAUUUUCCUUCCUUUCUCUUUGUGGUUGAAUCUUACACCACAACUCAUGUGAUGCAAUCUCCUCUCGCUGCCUAAAUUGCACUCUCAGCAAAGCAGCAUAUGUAAGCAAGCUUGAAGAUAAUCUUGCUGCUCUGCGGAAGAACGGCAAAAGUUAAUCGAAGCAAGGACUGAUGUAUCAGAAAAAUUUUGGUGGAGAAUUCAGCACAAACAUAUUUCGGAUGAUCAGAAUCAAUAAAACAUGGUGGUUGCGCCAUAUAAACAUCUUCGGAAAGCUGGCCUUGAAGAAAGGCGUUUAUUGAUAUCCAAUUGACGAAGAGGCCAGCCAUGACUAACAUCAAUACUAAGAACAAGCCGUACUGUGGUGGGCUUAACAACUGGACUGAAAGUGUCAUAAUAGUCCACACCAGGCCGUUGAUUGAACCCUUUGGCAAUAAGACGAGCUUUGAACCUGUCAACAGAACCGUUGGAAUGUCUUUUAAUACAAAAAUCCAUUUGCAGCCAACAAUAUUGGAAAGGAUGGGAGGUGGAACAAGCUUCCAUGUCCCGUUAAGAACAAGAGCAUCAUACUCUUCUGACAUAGAUUGACGCCAGUGAGGAUUUUUGAUAGCUUGCGUCACAGUUGUAGGUUCACAAUCAGAAGGAGGGCUAAAAUGAGCACAGAGGUUAAGUUUUUGUAACGGCUUGUGAAUGUUAUUUUUAGCUCCGGUAGUCAUAUCAUGAUGAUUUGUGGGGCAACGAUCUAGUGGAGUUUGGGAAGAUGAUUGAACAGGAAGUGAAGAAGUGCUUUGUGUAGAGGUAGAAAUAGGUUGGGAGGAUUGCUGCGGAGAUGUUACCGGUAGAGAAGAAGGAGCAGUACACGGUGGCAACUCCAAAGGGCCCACAAUAGAUGGAGUAGGUGCCGACGAUGGAGUACUAGGAAAUGAAACAGUAAGAAUUGGUGGAACACUUGCGUAAUUAGGAGUUGUAGAUGAGCUUGUAAUGAUUUGUAUGGAAAAACAAACUCUACAAAUUUAACGUGACGUGAAAUAAAAAUUUGAAAGGUGGAUGGGUCAAAACAUAAAUAAGCACUUUGAGAUAAAGGAAUAUCCUAGAAAAACACAAGGCUUAGAGGGUGGUUCGAGUUUAUGUGAUGAAACACAAACAUUCAAAAUUUUUUAAGUUUAUAUUAAUUAGGAGUGGUACCAAAAAUUAAUUGGCUAUCGGGUUGUUGGAUGUGUUUUGGAUAUUUACAGCUAAGUUUGAGUAUCUCAACUUAAAAUUUGUAGCUUUCACUUGAAAAAAUUCAGUUAAAAUUUGCAAUGCAGACUGAUUGAUUUAUCAGUUUAACGUGUGCCAGGAAUGAAGAACUGGAAUAUCACCGUCAAGCAAGCACCCUGUGGAGCAAUACCAAACAAUGUACAAUCCGGCUUUGCUAGGUGACACUGGAGGCUUUUUGAAAAGUGCUUCACGCUCACUUGCACAGAUUGAGCAUCCCCUCUGGAUAUUGCCCUCUCUGAUCGAGUCUGAGCACUCAAAUUUUGGUCCUCAGAGGGAGCUACAGUUUUCUCUCCACUAACCAACAAUUUUCUAAACUCAGCACCUAGUGUGAUCUUGAGCCAUAUCUAAAGCAGUUUGAAGUUCAAGUACUUGAGCCCUUGACAAUGGUUUUAAAAUUGGAACAUCUUGGAUUACUGCAGACUUGUACCCCUUGGUUUCAAAGUAAGGAAAGGUAUUGCUUGAGUACAAUUUGGAGGCAGCUUCUUCACCAAUUUUAUUUGGAGGCGAUUGGCAGCGGAUCCAGCUGCACGAAGACUAAACAAGUCAGAUGCAGUUUAUUUGUCCAAGCACAAAUUGCAUUUUGUCCUCAACUUUAAUAUUUAUUGAUGAGAAUCAAUACAGGUCCCUCAUUUGUUAUAGAAAGCUUUAUUGUAGUCUCACCAGUUAAUUCACAGGUCUAUAAUCAUCUUGCAAAGUUAAGGGCAUUUCUUUCGAUCUAAAGUCUUUGCAUCACCACCUCAUCACACGCCAAGCCAAUAUUCCAUUUACCUCUGCAACAAAAAGUUUUAAGUAAACAAUCCUAAUGCACGCAGCCAAAUAAAAUGCAGUAAGAAUAUUCAACUUAAAAAUCUGAAAGCCAACUUGGUGAAUUGCCUCCUUAGGUGAAGUUCCAUGCUUUACUAUAGUUGACAGAACUCAGCAAAAGCUUCCAUACAACAGAUUUUGAAAAUGAUGAUGCCAAUAGAUACUCAUUCAAUCCAUUGAAAAUCCAAAGGUUCAUUGUUAAUAGAAGUUUACAGAGUUUUGGUCAUCAAAUAGCUCAGACCUAAUCCCAAACAAAAAACGAGUGAAAAUUAGAUCACGAGCAGCUAAUUGUAAAUUCUAACUUAACUCUUCAUCUCCUUUGUAAACAAGAAACAAAAUGGAGACACGCAAAAUGAAUAUGGAGAAAAUUUGAACUCAAAUGAAAUGAGGGCACGAAAGCAAACAAAUGGCAUGCACAAAAAAACCAAGCCUCAAUCAAAAACUAAUUAACCAUUAAGAAAAAAAUUGGUCAGAGAAUGAACUCCAAAUUCAGGAGUCAAGCAAGAAGCUUUCAUCAUUUCAGAAGCUCCUGUACAAAAAAACCAAGCCUCAAUCAAAAGCUUUCAUUAAUAAGUUAUGCUCUUUGGAAGCAAACCUAAAUUCCAAGAGAAACAGAAGCCAAAAAAUUUGCAAUUAUACGCAAAGGAAGUGAAGCACAGGAUUCUAUCACACAUAGGAAUUGUAUAACAAGAGAUCGAUAUAUCGAAUUAGAAAACUCAAUUCGAAUUUGUGUGAAAAAUCAAAAUUAGAAGAUUUCACAUUUCGAGAGGAACAAGCAACAGAUGACGUUCAAAAUUUCAGCCAUAACAUGCUAAAAAUGCUACACUUAACGGUUCAUUUUCAUGGAUUUUCUCGGGAAACAAACAGAAAAUUACGGUUCAGAGAGUUGACUGACCUUUUGGCUUUUGAAAUUGAGAAGAUCGCGCGCCAAAUUGGAAGAGGGAAAGUGAAAGUGCGAGUUUUAAUAUGGGUAGAUAAGGAAAUUUUAUUAGGUUGCGAGGGUAAAAAAGGAAAGAGAUAUCAUUAUUUUAUCAUCGAUAAUUAUUAAAUUUUUUUCCAAAAAAAAGAACAAGCAAGGAUAUUUUAUUGUCAUUACUAAGUUAAAAAAAAUUGUUUCAAAAUUACUUGAGUCAUAUCCAAUGGACCAACAAAGUAAUCGUUUUUAUUUUUAUUGAUUUUUGCAGGAAAUUAAUAACUUAAAAAUACUGAAAGCUAUUGUAAAAAUUUUUAUUAUCAACCUCAUAGUUUUUUUUUUUUGGGGGAAGAGAAUUCAAACAUUUUUUUUUUAAAUUUCCAAGAAUUCUUGACACCCGUCUUAAUUAAAAGCUAUAUUUUUAUUCAAGAGUCAUGCUAUUCAUUCACUCACAGACCAAAGGCUUUCCGCAGCAAUAUUAUUAUUUAAAUUACAACAAAGGGGAAAUCAAAUACGUCAUACAGAAGCUUAAAGCUGAAUCAACAAAAUCUAGAGCUCUCAACUACAAAAAUUACACUUGAUGAUCCUCUACAAGAUGAAGCUUGUUCAAUAUCUUAUCCAAAGCUUGUAAAGUAACCUUGUAACGAUCUUGAGAUUGCCUGCCUUCCUCGACGACCUGCACGAUGCGUUUGUACAAAUCAUCAUACCUGUGCACCGGAUUUUUAAUAUCAACGCCACUGCAGCUGUGAUUAAGAAAAUAAGAGCGUUUAACAUCUUUUCUCCAUCGAGAAAGAAUGUACUGAGAUGGGAUCUCCUGCACGCCACUCUGGUUUAGAACACAAAGAAUGUGUCUGCAUAAAUAUCCUCUGAAAUUGAACAACCCACAAACGCAAAGCACCUCCAAGUUGGAGGCAUUGUACAAAACAUCGAAAGCCCUUGAGUCUUUCUCAUUGCUACCAACCUCGAAUUCUUCCUUCACUAUGUAUGUUAUAGGUCCAUCAGCACUAACAUGUUUUGUGCUAUAGCAAGAGUACAUAGCCUCCACCUCCGUCUGAAACUUCCUUAACAUUUCAUUUGUGUACAGUUUUGAGAGUUGAAAUUCAUAGUAACAUCUUGGUUUCUGGAUACAACUUGAAUUUCUUGAAUCCAUAUCUGCCAAGGCUUCCAGUUGAUAAUUCGCCCGCAGUGCUUGAUCAUACUUGUCUAAGAAUUCUUUCAAAGGAGUAUUCUUAUCAAGAUAUCCUUCAAAGUAUGAAGUAGAAACCUCAUUCUGCGGGAACGAAAACACUCCUGAUAAAAAAGCUUCCUUCAAAUAAAUAGGAGCCCACCUUUUACGAUCUUCAUAUAAAGUUUGAAUCCAUCCGUGAUCCUUUAUUCCAUGACGUUGAAUCAUGUCUUUCCAAGCUGCUUCAAAUUUCUCAGGCCUGAGAGAGUGAUAAAUUGCUCUAUGUAAUGCAGCUUUAAUAGCUUCAUAUUCAAACAAUCCUUGGAGUUUCACUGGAAUUUUUUGCAUGAUGCAUGACAAUGAAAAGCAACGAUAAGCUCUUGGGAAAACAUCGCCAACAGCAAUUUGCAAGAUUCUACAUUGGUCAGUGAUGAUUGUUUGUGGAGAGCGCCCUAACAUACAUGUAAGCCACGCCCUAAACAACCAUGUAUAUGAUUCUAUGGUCUCACUGGCAAGUAAACCACAACCCAACAACACUGAUUGUCCAUAAUGAUUCACCCCAAUGAAUGAAACCAGUGGUACAUCAUAUCUUUCAAUCAAGCACGUAGUAUCAAUUAAGACUACAUCACCAAAGUACCUAUAUGCAACUCUUGACCUGGUAUCAGUCCAGAACAGGUUUCUCAAGCAUCCCUUUUCAUUUAGAUCCACUACAUUAAAAAAGUUUGGAUCUGUCAACUGCAAACGACAAAAGAAACUCUGGACAGCUUGUGCAUCACCUGGUUUAAGCUUCAAUUGAUUUGAGCUAUUAACAUUAUUUCCAAAUACUCCAUUAACAUCUACAUUACCAUUUCCCUAGGCAUCAAUGAUAAGAGUUCGAAACAGUUUAAUUUUUUGAACUUCUUCAGCACUAUCUAAAUGCAAUGUUCUUUUGGUUCCAAUACCUAUGUGCUUAUGUGACUUGCAAAACUUUCCACUUCUUGGGCUUAACAAGUGGUUAUGCUCAAGCUCGACUUCAAUGAUUCUCCACCUUUUGGUUUCCAUCAACCUAAACUUUAUCAUUGCUGGACAGCCAGCUCUUGUUUCUGGUCUUGGACGGUUUGCCUCACUUUUCUUCUUGAAGCUUGCACUACUACAGCUCAGCUUUCCUCUAUACUUUUCUCUACUCUUUCAGUACCAGGUAUUGCUAACUCUAACACCAAAACCCUGUUCCUUGGCAUAGCAAUUGUAAAAGUAAUAUACAUCAUCGUACAUCUCAAACUCCAUUCCAACAGCAGGAGGCAAGGGAUUUUGGAUUAUCCCAGUUUGUCCAACAUAUUCAGUCAUCGCACAAUCUCCUACGACCUCAAAAUCAUCAGUGUCAUCAUCACCUAUUGGUUCGGUGUUGAGAGAAACUUCAUCCAUCUACAAUGGAUGUUCAAUGAAGUGAGCUUUAAGGAGAAAAAGCAAAAUCAGUUCAAGGAAUCAUAGUAUAAUCAUACAGUUACUUUCACAAAGCUUCAUAUUUCAUCACUGCUUUACCAACAUGCAACUGCCAGAGAACAAACAGACAUGUCAUAGACGCUUGAAUUAAGUAUUGGUACAAAUGAGCACACAUCAUGUGGGACAAAAUUUCAGUCACUAAACCCAAUACCACUUUUUACAUCAUACCAAGGAACAGAUUAAACCCGACACCUUCUUUUAAACCAUACCAAGGAACAGAUUAAAUCAUCAAUGAAAAAUUAAUCACAUAAUAACUUAACCAGACAAAUGAAGAGCCUGAAACAGCACAAAACUUGAAUCUGAUUAUGAUAAUUGUUGAGUCCUUGUAUCUACAGCUUUCCUUCAAUGAUAAGACAAUGAACAUAAACGAGACACAAAAAAUUUAUUUUAAACUGACAGCCCAUGAUAUAAAUCAAACAAAAUCAACUCCUUUUUUUACACAUCACAUCUCAUAUUCAUUUACAUUGAAACACAAAAAGGAAGCGGGAGUGGGAAAAAAACAACAGCAGAGGAACUUAUUUCCAUAAGGUUUACGAAAUAAGGAAUCUAUUAAAACCCAAAACUUGAGGUCACCACAAAGAAUUUGGUUCUCAUUAUUUUUUUCUUCAUUUUUCACCAAUUGAUGAACUUAAAAUACAAUCAUAAAUGAUAAAACCCCAUCUCAAUCUUUUUGAACUAGAGCUAAAGCAAAGCAUUUUAAGAUGUUUCAUCAUUUUUUUUUUAAAAAAAACCUCAAUAGUACAAUGUUUUUACUCUAAUAAUCUCUUAAUUAAGGAAGAUUAAGCUUCAGUUGUAAGCUAAAACAAAUUUCUUAAAUCAAGCCCCAAUGCUUUAUGCUAUUCAACAAGGGCUCAUAAAUGAUAAAACUACUUCUACAAAGAUACCCAUUUUCUAAAUUAAUUUCAAAAACUGAAAUCAAACUCCUGAAACGUAACGAGCAUUAAUAUAAUCAAACCCGAACAAGAAUUGAAAAAUGACACAUAAACUCGUUUACACAUUUCGACAGACACUUUGCAAUCAAUGAGCAAAAAAUUAAUGGAGAAGAUAAAAUUCAAACGAAACAUGCCUUACAUUGAUCAAUUAGAAGGGCAAAAGAAAUUUUAGUACGAUAUGGGAUCAGGGUCUUGCCACGGUGAUGUUAUUUGUGAUGUUCGAGCGACUCAGCGGCCUUCGAGGUUGAAAAUUUGAUUGACCAAAAGCUUCCCGUUUGUUGAUUCUCUAAUAGCAGAAACGAGACUGGCAGUAAACACAACAACUUCGCUGAUUUUAAAUUCCGUUGUUUGAGAUGGAAAACUUUUUGAAAAAAUUAAUGUGUUCGAUGAAUAUCAAAAUCUAAAAAACUUUUUGUUUUUCAUUUUUUUGGAAAAAACCAUUGAGAUCCUUACUAUUUUUUCUUAUAUCAUCUUGCUUAAUAAUUUGCAAAGUCUAUCGCAUAGCACCCAUGCAUGAUGUAUGCUGCGUAACUGCGUUGUAAUUUACAAAAUUGUAAAUUUGUUAAAAGAAAAUAAUAAUAACAAGUUAAAACUUUAAAAUUUUUAUCAUUCGAAGAAAUUUUAAUUUAGUUAAGUAGGUGACAUGAUAAUAAAUAGAUACGUAUAAUGUCCGAGAUUUUUUAUAAGAUUAAUAAAUAUGAUAAAUUUGGAUUAGUUCAAUUUUGACGUAAUUCAGAAUAAACACAUCUUCCUAAUCUAAAAAUAAUUACAAACAAUUUAAUUUGUGUUGUUUCUCUAAAAGUUUGAGACACAAAUGUUAUUGCAAAUUGAAACGCCAUGCACUAGUAGAAGGUAAGAGAAACCAAGGUUGAAGUUACUGUUCAUUUAUUUUUAUUUAUGAUUUUUUGUAAAAUGUAAGAAAUAUGUAGAAAUGUUGCCAGCAAUGAUUUUGGAACUUUGCAUAAAAUUUUUAUCAUUAUUGUUUUUGGUAUUAAGAAAUCCGAGGCGGUGAUUAGUCGUAUGUUGCAACAAUUAAGAAAUUUCUUAUUGGAGAUAAUUUGGUAGGUUGCAACAAUUAGAGAAUAAUUUUCCUGUCAGUUAAUCAAUCAAUAAUAAAUUUCAAAUUGCAGAAAAUAAAAUAAUACUGUCGCACUUAGAAUCAUCUUUUCUAUUUCUUUCAAUUGUGACAAUCAUUUGUAACAAAUAAAUCAAUUUGAUGCACAUCAUUUCCCCAAUUCAAAGUUCAAGUCACUGCUCAAUUGCAGGGUAGUUAGUAGACAUGCAUGCAUGUUUAAUUAAGUACUGCAUUGUAAUAUAGAAAAUCAUAACAUCUCACCAAGCCCGGAAGCAUAGCUCUUUAUCUUGUAAAUGUUGAAAUCUUAUGCAAACUAUGGGAAACAUGAUCUCACUCUCAGUGCCACUUGAUUCCAUUUUCUUUGUUGGGAAUGCUACGAAGUCUAAGCUUGAAGAUAAUCUCGAUGCCUUGCGGACUGCAAUGGAAAAAUAAGCGGAAACGAGAAAUGAUGUGAUAAAUUGUGAGCCAACAAUAGUGGGCAUGGUGUCGACUUUUGAGAAAGCCUGGAGAUGCCUUGAAGAAGAAUCAGUUGGAAUUAUUGGCCUGUAUGUUAAUGGGGGAGUUGGAAAAUAUUUACUCAAAUCAACAACAAGUUCCUUGAUGGUCCAAAUAAUUUUGAUGUUGCGAUCUGGGUAGUGGUCUGCCAAGAUUUACAACCCCAGAAGUUUCGGGAAAAGAUUGGGAAAAAGAAAGGCUUGUUCGAUGAGUCAUGGAAGAACUGAAGUUUUGAAGAGAAAGCACUCGACAUAUUCAAGAAUUUAAGCAAGACGAAGUUUGUAUUACUGCUGGAUGAUAUAUGGGAGCAGGUUGAUUUAAUUAAAAUUGGUGUCCCUCUUCCAAGCACAAAAAUUACAUUCAAGAUAGUCUUCACAACUCGUUUUAUUGACAUUUGUGGCCUCAUGGAAGCUCACAACAAGAUUAAAGUGGAGUGUUUAAAUGACGAAGAAGCAUGGGAAUUAUUCUGCAAGAAGGUUGGAGAAGAUGUGGCGACUCUGUCCAAGUGCUAAGGAGAUCAGCCUCAGAAUUUCUAGGUAUGUAAAAAUGAGUAUAUAUAUCCACUUUUGAAAUUCAGUUAUGAUAAUUUACCUAGCGAUAAAAUUAGAUCGAGUCUGUUAUACUGUAGUUUGUUUCUGGAAGACUUUCCAAUUAGCAAAACGGAAUUGAUACAUUGUUGGAUAAGCGAGGGCCUUUUGGAUGAAACUAAUAGUUCUGAGAUAUGAAAUCAAGGAUACUACAUUAUUGGUGUUCUUGUUCCUUUAUGUUUAUUGGAAGAAGAGGCUCCACUAUAUGUAAAAGUGCAUGAUGUGAUACGCGAUAUGCUUCUGUGGAUCGCAUGUGAAGUUUUUUUUUUCUUUUUGAUAGGGAUAGCAUGUGAAGUUGAGAAGGAGAAAGAGAAUUUUUUGGUUCGUGCAGGUGCAAGGAUUAACUGAAGUGCCAGACAUUUGGAAAUGGGAAGGGUUGAGAAGGGUGUCUUUCAUGAGCAACAAAACUGAGAAGUUAUCAGAAAUUCCUUCAGAUCCCCAUCUACCGACUUUGUUGCUUCAACGUAAUUAUUUAGAGAUGAUCAAUAAUGACUUCUUCCAAUCUAUGAAUUCCCUUAGAGUUUUGAACUUAUCAUGUAAUCAUUCUCUAAUUGAUAAUUUCAAAGUUAGUUUCCCUACAACAUCUUAAUUUAUCAAUGACUAACAUACGAGAGUUGCCGAAUGAGUUAAAGUUUGUAGUGAAUCUAAAGUUUUUGAAUGUGGAGUAUGCACGGUUUCUUCAUUCAAUUCCAGGGCAAGUGAUAUCCAGUUUUACGAUGUUACACGGUUUGAAGAUGUUUGGUUGUGGGAGGUCAUCUUCUGAUCAUGAGCCACACUAGAAGAUAGAGUUUUAUUUGAAGGCUGUAAACUUUUGAUUGUGGAGUUGUUUGGUUUGAGAGACAUCUAGAUGUGUUGACCAUCAUCCUAACAAGUUCCCUUGCUCUGAAAAGAUUUUUGAGCUACAACAAACUUCAAAGUCGUACUCAAUCUCUCUAUCUUAAAUGCUUUGAUUCAAAUCUUCUUGUUUUUUCCAUAAAACAUUGCCAUGAUAUGGAGGAAAUACUCAGUGUCGGAAAAUUAGGUGAAGAGAUGAUGUCAAAUCUGGAACCUCUUACAAAACUCCAAGUUCGUUGCUUGAAGAAGCUACCAAAUUUGAAGAGCGUCUACUGGAAGGCCUUGCCCUUGCCCAAUGUAUGCAUAAUUUUUGUAUCUAAAUGCCCAGAACUUAAGAAGCUGCCGCUGGAUUUUGAAAGGGCGGGCGAAGGUAAAAUUCUUAUCAAGUGAAAGGAAAAUCGAUGGAAACGACUUCAAUGGGAGGAUCAAGCAACUCAGAAUGCAUUGCUUCUGUUUUUCAAAUCUAGUGAUUGAAGGGGGCAACAUCAACAUCAUCAGCCUGGAUGGGGAGAUUCUGGAGCAGAUCAGUAGGGUUUGAAUCUACAUCAUUAACAUCAUCAGGGUCUGUAUUUCUAUUGCUGGUCUUAAUGCUUGCUUACUGUUGCUUGACAAAGUGAGCCAGUUUUUUGUUUAUUAAAUUUUGUCUUGUAGAGACAGUCACAAAGUAUGGGUUGUUCUAUGUGAGAGUGAUGUGAAUCAAUUUUUCAAUUAUAUAUUCUGUGGUCAUUGUGAAUUUUGUUUAGAGAUGCAAACUUAGAAUAUGGAAAAGUUCAUCGGCAAACAUUUUGUAAAAGCUUCCAACUGAAGUUUUCAUAAUUAAAUAAUAAAAAAAUAGGAAGUGACGAAAAAAUUAUCCUAGGUGUUACGAAAAAACAUGAGCUCCGAAAAUAUUGGAAGUGACGAAAACUUAGGGCUAGGGUUUGAGAACUCUAACCCGCCACCACUGCAAGAGGACAGGACGACUAAGAAGGCCCGGUUUCGGGCUGAGGGAAUUGAUGCUGAUAAUCCUCAUAAACCCUCUUGGAGAGAUAAGGCUAUGGAGGCAGUCACGGUGAUGGCAGGUCAGACAGGAAGGAUUGGAGAGUUGGGUUACGGCAGUGUAUGCUAGCCCUAUUCCAACAGUCCUGCGUGAAUUAUGGUAUCACCUUGCAAGUAUUGCUUCUCAAAUGUUGGAUCCGUGGUUGGUGGGCGGAGAUUUCAAUGCUAUCUUAUACGCACAUGAGAAGAAAGGGGGCUCGAACCGAAUAAGUGGCACUUGCAAUUUAUUUAAUCAUUGGUUUCAUUCUUGCAGGAUGCUUGAUCUAAAGUUCUCCGGCCCUCGCUUCACUUGGUCUAGGGGAAACCUUUCUAAACGAUUGGAUAGAGCGGUUUGCAAUAAUGGAUGGCUAAUAAAACAUGCAAAUAGUAGUGUCAUGCAUCUUCCAAAAAUUGAUUCCGAUCAUCGGCCUAUUCUAGUCAAGUUCCAGAACAUGGAUUCCAAGCAUGGGGGCCCGAGGCCAUUUCGAUUUUUGGCUGCAUGGCUCACAGAUGAGAGAUUUGGGAGUUUUAUGAAUGAUAGCUGGAAUAAGGGAGAGAAUUUUCUUGAGGCAGUGGCUGAUUUUACUCAACAAACUAGGUGGUGGAAUAAGGAAAUUUUUGAAAAUAUUAUUUAUCGGAAGCGGAAAUUGUUGGCUAGAAUAGGUGGGAUCCAAUGAAUUUUGGAAGCCAAGCCUAACCAUAGCCUUACUAGACUUGAAGUUAAGCUUCAGAAGGAGCUCGAAGAGGUUCUCACUCAGGAAGAAUUAUUGUGGCUUCAGAAAUCCAGGAGAGAUUGGACUUUGUAUGGUGACCGCAACACUGCUUAUUUCCAUAAAAAAAUGCUAACCAGGCAUCGCCAGAAUCGGAUUACUGCAAUUCAAAAUGAUACUGGGCAGUGGAUACACGACGUCGAGAUCAUUAAGCAACGUGCAGUCAAUUUCUUUUUGGAAUUAUACACGCCUGAACAAGGGGUGCAUAGAACAUAUAAUGUCAGGGGGUGUUUCCCUGAGACGUCAGAUGAUAUUUGUUUAAGUUUGAUGUCUGCGGUAACAGAUGAGGAAAUCAGACAUACUAUUUUCAGUAUGAGUCCUUUUAAAGCUCCUGGAGUUGAUGGCUUUCAUGCUAGUUUUUACCAAGCGCAAUGGAAUACAGUUGGUAUGUCUUUGAGCUCUUUAAUCAAAAAUAUUUUUAAUUCUAAUCAUAUCCCUGCAGAGAUCAACAGAACCUUGCUGGUGCUCAUUCCUAAAGUGUAUCAUCCAACAAGCCUCAAGAUGUUUCGGCCGAUCAGCCUUUGCACAAUUCCGUAUAAAACGGUGACGAAAAUUAUUGCAAAUAGGUUACAGGUUUUUCUUCCAGAUCUCAUUGGACCCCAACAAACCAGUUUUGUACCGGGUCGGCAUAUUACAGAGAAUAUUGUUAUUGCUCAAGAGGUAAUCCAUACAAUGAAGAAAAAUGUGGGGGGUAAAAGAAUGAUGGCGGUUAAAGUGGACUUGGAAAAGGCUUAUAACCGGUUGAGUUGGCGAUUUGUUCAGGAAACUUUACAGGAAGUUGGGCUACCGGAGCGAUUUAUUCACCUCAUAAUGGAGUGUUUGUCCACAGCCCAAAUGAAUGUUUUGUGGAAUGGAGAAAUGACUGAAGAUUUUCGGCCAGGGAGAGAAAUUCGACAAGGAGACCCUCUUUCGCCUUAUAUUUUUGUGCUUUGUAUUGAAAGAUUAAGUCAUGGGAUUAUCCAGGCGGUUAAUCAAGGUAGAUGGAAACACAUUUGACUGACUCGAACUGGCACUCCUCUAAGUCAUUUAUUUUUUGCGGAUGAUCUGCUUCUCUUUUUGGAAGCAAGUUACGGCCAAGUUGAUGUAUUGAAUGAUGUGGUGGAGAAUUUCUGUAGGAGCUCGGGCGCUAGAGUUAGUAAUCAAAAGACCCAAGUCUUCUUCUCCAAAAAUGUCCCGGUCACUUUAGCCAAUGGAAUUGGCAAGGCUUUAGGCUUCUCGGUUACAAAUAAUUUGGGAAGAUAUCUUGGCAUGCCUCUUCUUCACGAUCGGGUUUCUAAGAAAACGUAUCAGAGUAUCAUUGACAAAAUUGAUCAGCGGCUAUCAGGAUGGGCAGCAAAGCAAUUGUCUCUGGCAGGGAGAGUUACUCUCACUCAAUCGGUGCUUCAGGCAAUCCCGAUUUACGCUAUGCAAACCACGUACCUCCCAUCUAGUGUCAGAGUUAAAAUUGAUCAAUUAUGUAGAAGAUUCAUUUGGAGUGGGGCUGGUUCUCAACGCAAGUUAAGUUUGGUUAGCUGGGACAACAUUUGUAGGCCUAAGAGCAAUGGAGGGCUCGGUUUCAAGGACAUGGAACUUAUGAACAAAGCCUUACUAAUGAAAGUGGCUUGGGAUUUAUUCAUAAAUCCUAGCAAGCUGUGCUCCCAGGUUUUAAUUUCUAAUUAUGUUGCGCCUUGUGAUAUGAUUACUACUGAUGCUUCAUUUAAAAAUGGUUCCUAUUUAUGGCGCUCUAUGGGUAAGAUUUGGAAAGACUUCCAGAAGGGUUUGCGUUGGAGUAUUGGAAAUGGCCAACGGGUGAAGUUUUGGGAUGAUAUUUGGGCUACAAAUGGUGAUCCCUUAAUCAACUAUACGGUGGCUUCAAUUCCGGAUAGCAUGCGAAAUAUGUUGGUGGCGGAUUGUGUGGAUCAAAAUGGGAAUUGGUUGUGGAACAUAUUCAACUCUUUUUUGAAUAACCAUGCUGUUUUAAGGAUUGCUUCCAUGGCUCCUCCGUCGUCAAUGAGAGGCGAGGAUAGGAUGUAUUGAGGUGCAUCAAAUACUGGCAAUUUUACAGUCCAAUCAGCUUACCAAGUGCUUACGAAUUUUUGCCCCGCUGAAGACUGUCAAGACUGGCAACAUUUGUGGAAAUGGAAGAGGCCUCAAAGCGUAAGAAUUUUUCUAUGGUUAUUAUGCCAUGAUCAAUUGAAGACGGGAUGUGAGCUUGCUAGAAGGCAUCUGGACGUCGAGGCUUUAUGUGGGAGGUGCCAUGCAGACGUUUAGAAUUCUUUGCAUGCAAUUCGAGAUUGUGAUUAUUCGAGAGGUGUUUGGCGGAAGCUUGUUCCCGCGCUUAGACAACAUGACUUUUUUAGUUAUCCUCUUUGGCAAUGGAUCAUGACAAAUCUUAGGAGAAGAGUCUGUGAUAUGGGGAGCUUAUUUUGGCCGAUUAUGUUUGGUAUUGCGGCUUGGAGAAUUUGGUAUUGGAGGAACCAGGUGAUGUUCAACAACAAGAGCUGGAAUGGUGAUUUGAUCGUUCGAGAUAUUAAGGCAAGGACUGAGAGUAUUUGUUCUACUCUUUCAAGCAUAGGCUAUCGAAGAAAUGAAAGGAUUCAGAAAUGGAUUCGUUGGGCUCCUCCACCAUGGCCUUUCUUGUGCUUAAAUACGGAUGGUGCAAGGAAAGGAAAUGGAGAGGCGAGUGCAGGUGGGCUGCUGCGGGACUGUCAUGGUAAUUUUAUUCAUGGUUUCAGCGCACAUCUCGGAGUUUGUUCAGUUCUAAAGGCUGAACUUUGGGGUGUCUUGCAUGGGUUAAGAAUGGCAUGGGAUCUUGGCUAUAGACGUAUCCAAGUUGGAGUAGACAACUGUAGUGUGGUGCAAAUUAUAAGGGAAAAUAAUGCUCAUGUCAACGAAAUUUCGAAUAUAAUCGAGAUGAUUAGAGAACUCAUGAGGAGGGAUUGGAGGAUUCAAAUUGAUCACAUCUACCGCGAAGCAAACUCGGCAGCUGAUUUCCUUUCUACGCAUGCUUUGAGUUUACUUGUUGGAGUACAUUUUCUUCAUUCUGCACCUUUAGGUUUGAGAUCUAUUUUAUAUUUGGAUAUGUAUGGGGUGGCACACUCCCGGUUUGUGCCCCUUUAGCUCUUCUCUUUUAGAGCCUUUUGUUUAUCAAAAAAAAAAAAAAAGCUUCCAACUGAAAUAGGGAAUGCACUUACUACUAAGGACAGUUGGUGGCCACCUAAUGCAUUCAUUUUAUAUCAAUUCAUCAUUUUAAUUAUUGAAAACAAGUGGCUCAUCGCUUUUACUUUAGGUAAAAUUCGGAUAAUCUCUAUUAUGAAAUGAUAAUAUUCUCUUAAAUUAUUAUAAACCUCAGCCAAUCUUAAUUUUAUUUAAAAGAUAAAAGAAAAAUAGGUUAUGUUGGUGACUUUUUUCUUAUCUUUUUAAUAAAAAUAAAAUAAAUUGAUGUUUAUAAUUGUUUAAAAUACUUUAAAGAUUGUUAUUUUAUGAGAGAGUAAUAUUUUACUUUUUUAUUGUGAAAUGCUAAAAAGGACAAAGCAAGUGUCCCUGGUUUUUAUUUUAUUUGAAAUUGGUCAUCUCAUAUACUUUACGUUUCAACACUACAAUUUUUUUGGUUAUAUUUUUAUUAUUUUUUUCUUUCUUACACAUGCACGUAAAUUUUCUUUCUUUAAGCUCCUGAAUAUUUAAGACAAAUCAUGGAAGAGAUGAAAGUAUAACAAGAUGAUCAAAAUACGUAACAAAAAAUUUACAAGUGAAACAUACGUUAGAGUCGAAGUAAAACUCUGAAAAUAGAGAUAUUGAUUAAUUUAGAAGAGAUGCAAGCAAAAGAUUUUCUUAAAAAAAAGAAAAGCAAUUUGUCCCUUUCCAGGGCAAACUUGUUAGUCUCAAAAAGGUACAUUCUUUGAAUUGAUAGUUGCAGGAUUUUUGUCUUGUUUUUGUUGUUGUGCAUUAGUUGGAGAAGUCAAGCCUAGUGAAAAAUGUUAUGAAAGAGCAAAGGAUAUUUCUGACAGCUUUAUUUAAUUAUGUAUUCAUUUAAUGGAUGUAUUGUUAGAAGAUAUUUAAGUGCAUUAGUUCAUCCGUGUCUGUUGAUGUGCUUUUAGUGAUUUUUCCAGCUGUUUGUUGUAAAAGAUGAUUGUAAAUUGAAAUGAACUUGAUGUUGUAAUAUUUUCUCUUUUGUGGAAUCUCAGUUGUGUUGUCUAUAAUUUUAGUCAAAAUUAUUGUUAUUAUUUCUUACUAGAGGUAAAUUUUUUAUUAAACCUCAUUAACACAAUUCUUAAUUAAAAGUAUAGGUUAGUGUCGGUGCAGGAUUUGCAGCACCAGAUCCUGCCUAGCUACGUGUCAAAAAUACAAAAUAAAUGAAGAGAAAGCACAAAUACAUGACUUGGAUUAGGAUAGAAGGAAACUUAAAUCUUAAAGAAAAUGAUAGCUAUAUCCCACUAUUUGAAAAAAUGGUCAUGUAGAUUUUUAAGAUUUAAAUAAGGGACGGAGAUCUUCUUUUGACAAAUAAUAUCUUUUAGCUCUCUCAAGUAAAAAAAAAAUUAAAUAUUUUAUAAUAAAUAAAAAUAUAAUAUUAAAAUAUACGUGAUAAUAUAUACAUUUUAAAUAAUUUCAAUCCAAAAAAAUAGUUAUGUUUUAUCGAAUCUACCUAUGUUACAAUAGUAGUAUGGUACCACAAUAUUUGUUCUUAUCCAAUGUAAUCAUUGGAUGAUUUAGAGCUUAAUCUAACGGCUUAAAUUAUUUUUCUGAAUAUUUGAAGCAACAACUUGCAACCGUUGGAGCCGGUUGCAUAUUAAUUUAAUAUCAUUUGGGGAAGCGUACGGUCAGGAAGUUUCUUAGUAUGCCACCAAUGGAAUUUGAUUUCAUCUCAAAUCGAUCUGCAGGCAGCAAUUGGGAAAUUACACUCACGGUCUUCCUCUUCUUCACUUCCUCUCUACUCUUCACUUUUCUCACUCUCGCGAUGUUUACAGCAUGAUAAGUACAAUUACAAACCAGGAAAUGCCAUUAACAAUUUUCAUUUGUCUUAGUCGUUUUUUUUUUUUUUAGUAGAAAGCCAAAAAAGAAAACGGGUGGGAGGUUGGGGCGUCGUGAUGAAAUGGUUUUGAGUUUUUGACGGAAUGUUUGUUUUUGUGAUUCAUUUAGGGUUUGAAUUCAGGCUUGUACGAACUCGGAUCUAUUCGAGAUCCGUAUUGGCGCUGAAAUCAGAUCCUUUGAAGCCUUGGUUUGAAUUCAACCUUGAGAACUCCAAGCUUGUUAGAAUCUUCAUUGAUCUCUCCAGAAAUUACACGGAUCUUAUUACUAAACCCUACAUAUAGGGCUGCAAUGGAGUCCGAUUCUCUCACAAUUGAUGAAUCAAUAUUGAGACAGUUCGAAAAGGAAGUAAAAAAGAGAAUCAACUUGACUGGCUAAAUAAUUGCGGAGGCCAAAGAGUCUUUUGAUAAUCAAUUGAAGAUUUAGAAGUUAAAAGACACUAUUUUUACUAUGAACGAACAAUUGACUAAGGCGAAAAAGCAAGGAGCUUUUUUGAGUUUGAUUGCUGCGAAAUCGAUGCCUUAGAGUUUGCAUUGUUUGGCCAUGAGGUUGAUGAAAGAGCGAGUUGUUCAUCCGGAGAACUAUAAUGAAGAAGGGAAGCCCACACAUGCAGAAUUCGAGGAUCCCAAACUUUAUCAUAAUGCUAUUUUUUCUGGGUAAUAUGCUUGCAGCUUCGGUGGUGGUGAUUGGUGAAUUUAGCUGUUAAGAACUCGAAGGAGCCUUGGAAACAUGUGUUUCAUGUUGUGAUGGAUCAAAUGUUUAAAUUGAAGGAUUAUAAUGGAGCACAUUUAGGCACGAAGGCUGUUGAGGAUUAUAAGUUUUUGAAUUCUCACAUGUCCCUGUGUUAAGGCAGCCGGGGUUUGCUAAUUUGCAAAGGUUUUACUUCGGGAAGUAGCUUGAGAAUGCUACGAAAGAUGCUACUAACAUGAAGUUUAGGAAUCCCAAUUACUUGUUGAUACUGUAUCAUUUGAGGUUCUGGAUAAGAUUUCAAUGAUGGCCGCUUAAAACAAAUAAUAAAAAAAAAGAACUUGUACUGUAUUUGGAUCUUUACUUAUUUGAUAUAGUUUUCUGCAAUCUCUCCAUGCAACCGGUUACUUUAAUUAUCCACUAACUCAUCUCAACCGUUUGAUGGACUCACUUUAUAUCCAACGGCAGUUUUAAAUGAAGACAAAAAGUGUGGUAUGUUGCAAUUGUUGCAACAUAUGUGAGUCUUGUUUUACAAUCUAUUUAACAUAUUUUAUUAAAUUAAUAUAUUUCUAUGAUAUAGGAACAUAAUAUUAAAAUAAAUUUACAAAAAUUUAAAGAAUUUUGAAUGUAAAACAAUUUCAAUAUAUUAAUAAUGAGAUUUUUUUAUUAUUAUAAAAAUUAUUUAACCCAUAGAUUUUUUUAAAUCUUUACAAUAAGUAUAAAUAUAUUAUCUUCACUUAAAAAUAUUUAAAUAUUAUUAACCUAUAAUUAGGUUUGCAUUUAUUAGAAAAUUUUAAAGUCAAAUAUAUUGCACUUUUGCAUUAUUAGAAUCAUCACAGAGAAAGGAGCAUAUAUACUUUAUAACUUUAAAAAUUGGUUUCUUCUGGAAACAGAGAUGAUGAUUAUUAUAAGGAUGAAAAAAAAAAGAUAAAGAAUAUUAAUGAUUAACGAAAUCUCUAUGCAAAUUGAUUUUAGUAGGGAAAGAGUGAGAUGAAUAACUUCUUUUACAGCUAAAAACAGAGAUGAUGAUUAUUAUAAGGUUGAAAAAAAAAGAUAAAGAAUAUUAAUUAUUAAUGGAAUCUCUAUGCAAAUUGAUUUUAUAGGAAAAAAGCGAGCUAAAUGAUUUAGACAUUCAUAGUGUAUUUAUUUUUGAAUUGGUGAAUAAGAAUUAUUGACAACGCUAACUUCAUCUUCACCGUUGGCUAUCCAAUAGCGGCAAUUGUCGCCGAUUAUGAUAUCUCCAAUGAUGAUGACGGUUUUUUUAUUAUUAUUAUUGGUGACCCCUUGGAAAGUUAACUGCAACUGCCAAUCAGAGAAAAGUCGUCAUGCACAAUCCUCAAUCGAACCAAUCAUCUACGUUACAGAAUCUGAAACGUACACACUGUUAACAUAUAUGUUUCCAUAAUGUUGAUUUUGAUGAUAACAAACAAGAUUAAGAAUGAUUAAUCUUUUAAGCUCAAAUUAUUUUUAUGCAUUUUAAAUAAAUCAUUAUUUUUACAUUAUAAAGGUUCUAUAUUUAAUGGAAAAAUGAUUUUAUGAAAUUGAUUGUUUUUUAUUCUUUUUAAAUAAAUCAUUAUUUUCACAUUAUAAAUGUUUCAUAUUCAAUGGAAAAAUGAUUUUAUGAAAUUGGUUGUUUUUCAAAGUUUAUGGUUUAAUUGAAAGAAUUUUGAAAACUUUGAAAUAAACAAGUAUUGCUUGAAAUUUCAGAUUUGGACUUAUUUGAAACUAUUUAAAUGUUUUUAGGCUAUUCUAUAAUUUCACAAAGUUUGGGCGAAAUUAUAAUUUCAGAACGUUGUGGGAUUGACAAAGUAUUAUUCUAAAAUUCUGAAAUUGGACUUAUUUGUAAAUUUUCAUAACGUUUUGGGUUAUAGUAUAGUUUUAUAAAGUUUUGGGGUCAAAUUAUAAUUUCAGAAAAUAGUGCACUGUGCAGGUUACUGUGGCAUCCGGCUUACCGGAUAUAAAAAUCGGAAAACCGGAUACGGGGCAGAAUGUAUCCAGAAUGUAAACGGCUUACCGGAUUUCGUAACCAGCAAGCCGGAUAGGCAAAAUUCAAAUUUUUGCCUUAACGGUAACAUAAAUCCAGCUUAUCGGAUUCCAUAAAUGGCAAACCGGAUACGCCCAGAAUGUGAGUAACGGCUAGUUUUUGAGUUCAAACUAUAUAAACUCAAAACCAAUUCAUUUUUGGUAAUCCAAGCAAGAAAGAACAAGUGCACAUAACAUAUAUUGAGCUUCAAUUUCGUAACUCAUCAUUUAUUAAAUCAUCUUUGUUUUUCAAUUUGUAUAUCCACUCUUAAAGAGAGAUUCAUUGUUGUAUUUUUCAUUUCUCAUCAAAUUGUGAGUGUACAAGUGUGAGAAACACUUGGGGUGAAGAGAUUGGAGAGAUAAUCUCUUGUUGUAAAGGUUCAUUAACACAUUGAAGUCAAUUGUAAACGUUUGAAGCCUUGGAAAUGCUUGGAUAGUGAAAUCCUCAAGCCCGGUGUGCUUGGAAGCGUGGACGUAGGCGGAGAUUACCGAACCACGUAAAAAUCCUUGAGUUUGCUUUCUCUUCCCUUACUCUUUAAUUAUUGUGCUUUGAUUGAACUUAUUGCUUUCAAUUUUUAUUAAGACAUUAGAUUAAAUUGUUGUGUGGUUUGCCUAGGAUAAUUUUUAAAAUCUCAAUUCACCCCCCUCUUGAGUUGCCUAGUUAGUAUUUCACACACCCAAUGGGAAGCAGCACACGUGUUCUGAGGAGAGAGAGAAAAAACCGUGCAAAUGCAAGCAAUAGGUAUUGGCUACAGUUGGAUCUGUAAGUUACAGAAUCUGUAACUUAGCCAACUCCCUCAAUGAUCAAUAUUGUUUCCGAUAUUUAUAAAUUGGUGGCCCCUUGGAAAUUUAACUGGAAGUUUGCAAGUGUCAAUCAGAAAAAAAUCGUCAUCCAUUGUUUUUUUUUUUCUGCAUUCCCUUUCAUGUUCUUAAUAAUUGAGGACAGGUUGUUCAUAACAUUUAUACUUUUCAAAUGUGGAGCUGCAUUUAAUGUCGCUAUUUUAAUUUGGGAUUAAAUUAGGGGAACACUAACUUUUAUAUUUAUCUAAACUCCUUAAAUUUAAGACAGAUUAUGGCGUAAAUAAGAAUAUAAUAAUAACAAAGGAAUUAAAAAGUAUAAUGACGAUCUUGCAGAAAUAUAAAUAUUAGCGUUGAAUUAAAUAACAUAGAACACAUGAAUUGAAUAGUGAUUAUCAAGACGGUGUUACUUGCACUCCUAUUUAUAAAAAAUCUUGGUUCUGUUCCAUUAGAUUUUUUAUCUUCAAAAUCUUGCAAAGUUUUGACAACCCAAAGGCUCAGUUUGGUUGUUCUAUAUUUGUAUGAUAUGAAUUCAAAUUUUUGUGUUCUGUUUUUCUUAAUUCUGAACACGGAUUCUUCUCUUCUCGUGCAAACCAGAAAGAAAUGUUGUCUUACAAAAAAAAAAGGGGAAUAACUUCAUGAGAACAAAAAUUCAGAAAAAUAAUAUAAAGUUUAUAUUUAGACUUUUGUGGUAUAUUUUAAUUUUCAACAAUGAGUUAAAGAAAAUAAUAAAUAAAGUAAAUAAAAGUUUAGAGAUUCAAAUUUUUAGUAUUGGAUUCUUUAAUUCAAAUACCUCUCAUUAAUUAACACUUAAAAGAGAGUUCACUAUUAUAAUUUUAAGUUUUUUGAUUUAUUAUUGAUAUAUAAAUUAGGAGUUUAAGCUUACUUUUUUAUUUUUCCAUUUUUUUUCAAAUUUGAAAUUAUUAUUUAAAUUUAUAAUUUUUUUUAAAAAAAUAGAGGGCUUGAGCCUGGCUUGGGUAUUGUUUCCUAAACCCUUAUCCGGCCCUGGCUUUUUUGCCAGCCCCAAUGAUGAUGAUGAUGAUUAUUUUAUUAUUAUUAUUAAUGAUGAAAAGUAUUAUAAUUAAUUAAUAUAUUAUUGUAUUGUUAUUAAGAUUAACAAUAAUUAUUAAUGAUAACAAUUUUUUGAAUAAAAAUAAUCACAAUAAUUAAAAUAUAAAUUAAUAAUUAUAACAAUAGUUAAUUAAUGUAUUUUUAACAAUUUGUAAUAAUUUAACUCAUUCUAAUUUCGAUUAUUAUAGUUAAGUAAACAACUUAUUAUAAUUUUCAUUCUCCAUUUUAAUUUCAGCUCAUUUCGAUUUCAGUCUAUUCCAAUUUUCAUUUAAUAAACGUUCCAUUAAUGCUAUAGUAAUAUUUCAUAUAGAAAAAAAUAAAAGCUACAACUAAGGUUAAGGGAAAGGACUUCAAAACUCUCUUUUUGUCAUAAUACAUUUUUUCCUAAUUAACUUAAAGAGUUUGAAUCUAAUAUUUUAUAAUAAAUAAAAAUAUAUUCCAAAAGUAAAUAUAAUAUAUCUAUUUUAAACUAAUCUCAAUAUUUAAAAUAUAUUUAAUAUUUUACAAUCUAUUAGACAUAUUUUAUUAUAUUAAAAUAAAUUUUAUAAUAAAUAUGAACAUACUGUUAAAAUGAAUAUAUAAAAAACUUAGAGUAUUUUGAAUAUUAUAUAAAAUAAUUUUAGUAGAAUACGUGAGAUAUAUUUUAUUAAUGUAAAAUGCUAUUUAAUCUAAAGAUUCAUUUAUGAUAAAUUAAUAAUUAUAUUUUUAAAAUUAUUUUAAAAAUUAAAUUUUUUUAAUAUUAUUAAUCUAUUAGACAGAUAAAAUUAUUUAUAUUAUUUUGUAUUUAUUAAAAAAAUUUAAAGUCAAUUUUUUUAAUUACUAUUCAAAGGAUAUAAUAAUUAAAAAAAUCUUAGCGUUUUCAUUAAAAAUUUAAAAAUUUACAUGACUAUUUCUGUAAAUAUUUAAGGUAUAUAUGAACUACGGUAGAGAAGCUUCAUUUAAUAUUAUUGAUUUAAAUAAUAUCUCAAUUAAAAAUGUACAGAGAAUAUAUUUCGGUGGGUAUUUUAAUCUUUUUAGCAAUUAUCAUGGUUAGCCCUUGGCCUUGAAACGUCUGUCAGAAAGGUUUUCAAAUGCUUUAAUUGUUCUUAUUAAAAAAAAAAUCUUUAAUUGUUUUUUCACUUUUAACGUCAGCGGCCUUGAAAGUGCUUUUACUUUAUAACAAAUUAAUUAAUGCUGACGAGAAAAUAUCUCUUCCACAGCCCACAGCAGCUUCUGUUAAUCAAACUCAACCAAUUUUCUCUCUUAACAAAAUUCCAAAGAUGGGUAGCAUUUUUCAGAUCACAUGCGACGGCGCUUUUUUCAAUCGUUGCUUUGGAUUGCUUUCUUGGAAAAGCAGCAUACAUAAGCAACAUCCAAGAUAAUCUUGUAGCCUUGGAGACUGAACUGGGAAGACUAAUCGCAGCAAAGAACGAUGUGAUGAUGAGGGUUGUCAAUGCUGAACGACAACAAAUGAAAAGGCUGGGCCAAGUGGAAUGGUGCGUUUCGAGGGUGGAUGCUGUUAAAAUUGAAGCUGAUGAACUUAUCAGAGACGGCUCUCAAGAAAUUGACAAAUUAUGUGUUGGAGGCUACUGUUCUAAGAACUGCACGUCAAGCUACAAGUUCGGGAAACAAGUGGCUAAAAAGCUACGAGAUGUGGAGACUUUAAUCGCCGAAGGAGUUUUUGAGGCGGUGGCUACCGAGGUGGUGCCUGAGAGAGCUCCAGAGCCUGUAGCAGAUGAAAGACCUACCGAGCGAACAGUAGUAGGCUUGCAAUCACAACUUGAACAAGUCUGGAGAUGUCUUGCAGAAGAAUCAGUGGGAAUCAUUGGCCUAUAUGGUAUGGGCGGUGUUGGUAAAACUACAUUACUGACCCAUAUCAACAAUAAAUUUCUCGAGAGUCCAACCAACUUUGAUUGUGUGAUUUGGGUAGUAGUUUCAAAAGACCUGCGACUUGAAAAAAUUCAAGAAGAUAUUGGAAAAAAGAUAGGUUUGGUUGGUGAUUCGUGGAAGAGUAAAAGUGUAGAGGAGAAAGCUGUCGACAUCUUCCGGAGUUUAAGAGAGAAGAGAUUUGUAUUGUUGUUAGAUGAUAUAUGGGAGCGGGUUGAUUUAACAAAGGUGGGCGUUCCACUUCCCGGACCAAAAAAUACUACCUCAAAAGUUGUAUUCACAACCCGUUUCAUCGAUGUUUGUGGUAGCAUGGAAGCUGACAGGAAGUUCCAAGUGGCGUGCUUAUCAGAAAAGGAUGCUUGGGAACUGUUUCGAGAAAAAGUUGGGGAAGAAACUCUUCAGAGUCAUCAUGAUAUCGUUGAGCUAGCCCAAAUUGUGGCCAAAGAGUGUGGUGGUUUGCCACUCGCACUUAUUACUAUUGGUCGAGCUAUGGCCUGCAAAAGGACAGCCGAGGAGUGGAGACAAGCAGUUGAAGUGCUAAGAAGAUCAGCUUCUGAGUUUGCAGGUUUGGGAAAAGAGGUGUAUCCUCUUUUAAAGUUUAGCUAUGAUAGUUUGCAGAAUGAGACGAUUAGAUCUUGUUUCUUAUAUUGUUGUUUAUAUCCCGAAGAUUAUGGAAUUCUUAAAUGGGACUUGAUUGAUUGUUGGAUUGGUGAGGGAUUCUUAGAGGAAUCUGACAGGUUUAGUGCAGAAAACCAAGGAUACUACAUUGUGGGCACUCUUGUUCAAGCAUGUUUAUUAGAAGAGUUAGAAGAUGAUAAAGUAAAAAUGCAUGACGUUAUUCGUGAUAUGGCUCUAUGGAUAACCAUUGAAAUUGAGAAGCAGAAGAGAAACUUUUUGGUUCGUGCAGGUGCUGGAUUAAAAGAGGCACCGGCUGUUAAAGAAUGGGAAAAUGUGAGAAGAUUGUCAUUGAUGCAAAACCAAAUUAAAACUCUGUCAGAGGUUCCUUCAUGCCCUCAUCUCCAUACUCUAUUUCUUGCCUCUAAUGAUAAUUUGAGGAUGAUCACGGAUGGCUUCUUUCAAUUUAUGCCUUCUCUCAAAGUUUUGAAGAUGUCAAACUGUGUGGAUUGGCCAGUUUCGAAAUUACCUUUGGCGAUGUCAAAGUUGGGUUCACUACAACUUCUUGAUAUUUCACAUACCGGCAUAGAANNNNNNNNNNNNNNNNNNNNNNNNNNNNNNNNNNNNNNNNNNNNNNNNNNNNNNNNNNNNNNNNNNNNNNNNNNNNNNNNNNNNNNNNNNNNNNNNNNNNGAAGAGUUGAAGUUGUUGGUAAAUCUGAAAUGUUUGAAUUUGAGGUGGACAUUUGAGUUAAAUAAAAUUCCAUGGCAACUAAUAUCAAAAUUUUCAAGGUUACGUGUGUUGAGAAUGUUCGCUACUGGCUUUGCACGUUUUGAUGAAGCAUCAGAAGACAGCGUUUUAUUUGGUGGGGGUGAAGUUUUAGUACAGGAAUUGGUCGGUCUGAAAUAUUUAGAGGUAUUGGAGUUGACCUUGGGAUGUCAUCAUGCUCUCCAAAUUUUUUUGAGCUCAAAUAAGUUAAAAAGUUGUAUUCGAUCUCUUCUCCUCCAGUUGGCCGGAGAUACAACGUCGAUUAUUGAUGCUACGGCUUUCGCAGAUCUAAACCACCUCAAUGAAUUAUGCAUUGAUAGGGCUAAGGAGUUGGAAGAAUUGAAGAUUGAUUGUAAAGAAAUAGUACAAAAAAGGCGGGAACCUUUUGUUUUCCGCAGCCCUCACCGUGUUACUAUACAUAGCUGCCAGAAGUUGAAAGAUUUGACAUUCCUCGUUUUUGCUCCAAACCUCAAGUCUCUCGAUCUAGACCGUUGCGAUGCUAUGGAAGAAAUAAUCAGCGUCGGAAAAUUUGCUGAGACUCCUGAGAUGAUGGGACAUAUAAGCCCUUUUGAAAAUCUCCAAAUGCUUGAUUUAGAAGAUUUGCCUCAUUUGAAGAGCAUCUUCUGGAAGCCAUUGCCUUUCACUCAUCUGAAAGAAAUAUCUGUGGGUUAUUGCCGUAAUCUUAAAAUGCUUCCACUCGAUUCCAACAGUGCAAAGGAGCGUAAAUUUAUUAUUCGUGGAGAAGAAGACUGGUGGAACCGACUUCAAUGGGAGGAUGAAGCCACUCAAAUUGCUUUUCGUUCCUGUUUCCAAUCUCUUUUUGAUUAACUCUUAUACAUUUUCUCGUCGUUUGCUUCAUGCAAAAGACUACGUCUUUUGUUCUCUGUUUUUAUUUCAGUUUCGUUUUGUCUCCUGCAAAUCACAAUUAAAUGUUGAAUUAUAUGGAAGUAAUGCUUUAUAAAUUUGCCGGCACUGCCAUUUAUUUUUCCUCUUUUUUUUUUUGGGUCGAAUUGAUGCUCUGGCUUUUUUAUUUUUUGUCAUCGAAUUUUGCUCUGUUUUUCAAAUUGAUGCUUGAAUAUGUGAAUUCAAUUAAUGCUCACAUAAUUUUGUUUAGUUGCCGUAAAAGAAUAUAAUUAGACUGAAAUUCGCACUCCCAGAAUGAAUAGAAUCACAACAGAGAAAAUAUUAAGUAUGCUAGCCCUCUUUACAGAAAAUCAAAUGAAAAUAAAAUUUUUUGGAUAUUUGAUUUUCUAUGGUCUACUAUAUACACUUUAUAAAUUCUUCUGUUCUAAGGAUAACCAAGUAGGGGAUUGAUGAAGGCUCCUUUUUGGGAUUCUUCUUUUUCUAGGCUGCAAUUAGGAUAUGUACAUGAUAGACAAUCUUUUGUUGGUUUAGCAUAUCUUCGCUGAUUUUGUCUUUUAUUCCCCAAUUUUAUAAUUACACACCAUGAAUGUUGGGUGAUUGUAUAGAAAAUUUGUGUUAUAACAAAAACAUUGUGAAGGAGUUUCCGUGCUAAUAGUUAGUGGCUUCUGUUUUAUUGGUAUUGAUUGGGUAGAUUUCGUGUUACAGUGAUUCAAUUUGUGUUCCAAACUUUGCUUUAAUUUUCUGUUUUCCCCAACUAUUUAUGUCAAAUUUAAAUCCAGAAGCAUGUACUGAUUUUUUCUUUUUGUAUUAAUCUGUGAAGUUUACUUGGAAUGGAAGUAACUGGGUCGGGUCUAAUGGAUUAAAUUAUGACAUUGAGGGGAAGGCACUAAAAGGGUUUGCUUGACACAUUUGGUUCUGUAUUUACUCUGCAAGAAAUAGCUUUUGCUUAUUGCAAUGCAGGGGGAAAUCCCGAUUUGGCUGGUGAAUUUCUCUGCAACAAACAGGCAAACGCCUCAACCUCUUCUGUCCAUACUUCUGCUGGGGAGGCAAGGGGUAAAGAGUCUUCAAAAUCAUCAAAUAGUAACAUCUCUGAGAAUUCAUUUUAUGGAAAUGGAAAAUCUAGAGCUUCUAAUACAAAAUGGCAUCUGGUAUCAGGACGUACCGUUUCAAGUUUUCUUGGUAAAGAUUAUGUUAAACCUGCACAGCCAGCUAAUGGCACUGUUCUGGCAUCAAAGCCAUUGAAGUUGGAUCCAAGGGAGUUUCGCAUUUCUGCACUUUCAGAGUAGAAACUAAACCAAAACAAUCAAAGGAUGACCAUUUGCAGAAGGAUAUGGAAGAUUUUCUGUUUAAAUUGCUAGGAGAAGGGUUCCAGCUGUACAGGGAUGUGAUUCAGGAGGUUCAUGGAAACGUCUUAAAUAUAUUGAUGCCAAUUUAAUACAUAUUGUCCUUUUCAAUGUUCUUUCUUUCUUUCUCCUCUUUUUAUUCUUCUUCUUCUUCUUUUUUCUUUUCGUGUGCAUGUGAUCACUAAUUUGGUAUUAUUCUUAACUUGCAGAUAGUUGUGGAUAUGAUAUGCAAAAUAUCUUCUUGAUGCUGGCAGAUUCACUUGAUUCUUAUUAGUUUGUUUAGUGGCAAGGCAUAUAACCUGUAUUUCAAAGCCAAGUUGUGCUAUUGAUUAUGUUAACUUUAUUGUUAACAUAAAGUGAUAUGGAGGACAUAAUCAAUGUAGGAAAAUUAGGUGAAGAGAUGAUGUCAAAUCUUGAACCUCUUACAAAGCUCCAAGUUCUUUACUUGAAGAAGCUGCCAAAUUUGAAGAGCGUCUACUGGAAGGCAUUUCCAUUCCCAGAUGUAUGCAGAAUUUUUGUAUUAAUGCCCAGUUCUUAAGAAGCUGCCACUGGAUUUUCAAAGGGCGGGCCAAGGUGAAAUUCUUAUCAAGGGAAAGGAAGAUUGGUGGAAAGAACUUCAAUGGGAGGAUCAAGCAACUCAGAAUGCAUUGCUUCCAUUUUUCAAAUCAACUGACAAGUGAUUGAAGGGGGCAUCAUCAACAGAGAUGGAGAGAUUCUGGAGCAGAUCAACAGGGUUUGUAUAUGAUCUUUGGUGGUUGCUUUCUUUUGUGAUUUUUUUUUCUCAUUUUUUUUCCUUCCUGUCAUUUUAUCAUUUCUUUGUCUCUUUUUCUAUUGCUGAUGUUAGUGUAUGCUUACUGUUGCUUGACAAAGUUUGCUUGCUUCUUGUUUAUUAAAUUUUUUAUGGUCACAAAAUAUUACUUGUUCUAUUUGAGAGUGAUGUGAAUCAAUUUUCAAUUAUAUAUUUUGUGGUCAAUGUGAAUUCAAUUUCAUUUGUCUCCUGCAAUUAUGAAAAAAAUGCAGAGUCAUAAUAUGGAAAAGUCGACCGGCAAAAACUUUGUGAAAGCUUCGGAGUGAAACAGGGAAUUCACUUACUACUAAGGACAAUUGGUGGCGAGCUAUUCCAUUCAUUUUAUGUCCAUACAUCUAUUUAAUUAUUGAAGAUAAGUGGUCCAUUUGUAAAUUUCAGAUUGUCCCUCUCUCUUGAAAUAACGAUAUUUAAAAUAUUUCUUAAAUUAUUAUAAAUUUUAAUUUACUCUGGAUUUAAAAUGGAACAUGAUGAAAAUUUUUUUUUCUUCUUAAUAAAAUUGAAAUAAAUUGUGUUUGCAGUAGUUUGAAAUAUUUUAAAGAUUAUUAUUUUAUAAGGGAGUAAUAUGAAAUGAAAUUUACUUUUCAUGCGUGAAAUGUUGAAAAAGGACAAAGCAAGUGUCCCUGUUUUUAUUUUAUUUCAAAGUGGAGUCAUCUCACGUACUUUAGCUCUUAACAUUAUAAUUUUUCUGGUUACAUUUUUAUUAUUAUUUUUUUUUUUUACACAUGCAUGUGGGUUACUUUUCCGUAAGCUCCUUAAUAUAUAUUUAACACAAAUCAUGGAAGAGAUGGGAGUAUAUCAAGAUGAUCAAAGCAUGAAACAAAAAUAUUUAAGAAGUAAAACACUGAAAAUGGAGAAGAGAUGCAAGCAAAAGAUAUUCCAAAGAAAAGCAAUCUAUCCCCCUUUCGAGGGCAAACUUAUCAGGUUUAAGAAAAGUACAUGCUUUGGAUUGGUAGUUGCAGCCUUGCAGGAUAAUUGUUUUUGCCACUAUAUUAGUUGGAGGAGUUGAACCCAGCGAAGAAUGUUAUGGAAGAGCAAAGGAUUAUGUAGCCUGAAUGGAUGUCUUGUUGAAAGAUAUCUCAGUGCAUUAGUUCAUCCUUGUCUGUCAAUGUGUUUUUAAUGGUUUUUCCAAUUGUUUAUUAUUAUAGAUUGAUUGUAAAUUGAUAUGAAUUUAAUGUUGAAAUAUUUUCUCUUUAGUGGAAUGAAUUUAAAAGUGCAAAAGCUUAUUGCACACAGAGAAAUAAACAUAUAUGCUUUAUAGUAUAACUUUAGCAAUCGAUUCUUUUACAGCUGGAAACAGAGAUGGUGAUUAUCAUAGGGGUGAAGAAAAGGACAAAAAAUGUUAAUGAUUAACGAAAUUUCUAUGCAAAUUGAUUUUAGCAGGAAAAAAAGUGAGCUAAAUGAUCUUAAUGUUCCACAAAAGCAAAUCGUAAUAUUCCACAAGAAAAAGCAAGAUCUUAAUGUUCCACAAAAGCGUUAUUUUUUUUUUGGUGAGCCACGUGGAGCUCAAUUAUCAUUGUCUUUACUUUAAAAACGUUAUUUUAUUUUAUUUUAUUACAAAUUAAUGCUAAACAAGAAAAAGCAAGAUAUAAUAUUCCACAAAAGCAAAUCGUAAUAUUCCACAGAGGAAUAAGAUCCACAAAAGCAAACAACUAGCUGGAUUCUUUUACUGAAUUACAAAUUAAAGUGGAAUCUUUUAUUAAACAAUAAAUUAAAGUUCGAAUAUUUAAGUAGUAGUGCGUUAGAUGAUUAGGCUCUCUUAUUAAAGGCAAGUAUAAGGUAGUCCAGAAUCGAACAUCUCUAUUGUCUAGUCAUUUUUUUCAAUUCUUCUUUUAUUAUUUUUCAGAAUAGGUUUUGGUGAUUACUAUUGGGUUAUUAGUCAGAGUUAUUCUUAUCUUCCGGGGCAGUUUCUGUUCAUCGGAAUUGUUAAUUAAAAGAGUAAUGAUAUAGUCACAAACUCUUGUAUAAACUUAUUUUGUACAAACUGAUGUGGCAUGAUAAGAUUAGUUGAAUUAAAUAUCACUUAGGCCACAUGAUUUAUUUUUAUUAUUUUAUAUUUUCAUUCAACCAAUGAAUUAAUGCCACGUCAGUUUGUACAAGAGUUUGUGGCUGUAUCAUUACUCUAAUUAAAAUUUUAGAACUCUUGUGGGAAGAAUGUUUUUCUGUUAUCUUUUUUACAUUCUAAUUUCAACAAUAAGAAGGAGUCAUUUUAGAAUUCGGGUCUUGAAUCGAAUUUCAAUGCAUGAAUUAAUAUUUUAAAAAAAAAUUACUACACGCAGUUUAGGUUACAAACUAUUUUUUGCAAAGUUGACUAUGAAAUUGGAGAAAUUAAGUAAUUUAUAAUGUUUGCAAAGGAAGAGACUAACAUACUUCCAAUUACACUAUAUCUCUAUUAUCAUAAUGUUAAGACUAAACUAACUUAAAAUAAAUUUUAUUUGAAAAGUUAUAUCAAACACAGUCUAAUUUUAUUAACUUGAAGAGAUAAUAGUUAUAGAAAUGAUUGUUCUAACUUAAUUAGUACAAGUGGUAUAAAGGUUAAGUGUGCACUAAAUUUGUUUAAAUUUUUUCCAGAAUAACUAACAGAGGUCAUUAUUAGAAUUAUAAUUACUAGUCUAUUAGAUAGAAAAAAUUAUAUAUAUUGUUUUAUAUUUAUUAAAAAAAUUUAAAGUCAAUCUUUUUAAUUAUUAUUUAAAGGAUAUUAUAAUUUAAAAAAAUUUAAUGUCUUUAUUAAAAAUUUAAAAAUUUACAUGACCGUUCUAUAAAUAUUUAAAGUGUAACUGUCAUUUUCUCAUGUAUAUAUAUAUAAACCACGGUGGUGAAGCUUUAUUUAAUAUUAUUGAUUUAAAUAACAAUAUCGCAAUUAAAAAUGUAGAGAGAAGAAAUUUUGGUGGGUAUAUUAGUCUUUUACAAUUAUCAUGAUUAGCCCUUCCUCUUGUAACGUUGGUCAGAAAAGUUUUAAAAUGCCUUGAUUUCUUUUACUUUUAACGUUAGCGGCCUUCCUUAUAUUUUAUUACAAAUUAGUCCUAACAAGAAAAAGCGAGAUCAUAUUCCAAAAAAGCAAAAGUGACAAAAAAACCAGCUGUAUUCUUUUAUUAAACUACAAUUUAAAAUGAUUUUAAAGUGGAUUCUUUUGAAUACAGGUGGGGUAGUCGAAUAGUCUUUUUCAAAUUCUUGUUUUAUUAUUUUUCAAAACUAGUUUUUGGUAAUUACAAUCGGGUCAUUCAUUAGUCAUUAUUCAGAGUUAUUGUUAUCUUCGGGGGCAGUGGGUAAAAGGCUAAAUGAUAAUUACUAAGUGUUUUUCCUUCAAAAGUUAGUGGCUCGUGUUUUGCAAGUGUGUACGUGCGAUGCUCUUUGUCUAAAGGCAAUUACAGUGGGUCCCGAAUCGGACGUGCCUAAUAAAUCUUUUAAAAUUUUUUCUAAUAAAUAUUCCUAAAAUUUCUCUUCCACAGGCAAUUACAGCAGCUUCAGUUAAUCAAACUCAAUCAAUUUUCUUUCUUAACAAAAUUCCAAAGAUGUUUGGCUGUUUUCAGAUCACAUGCGAUGGUGCUCUUUUCAAUCGUUGCUUGGAUUGCUUUCUGGGAAAAACAGUAUACAUACGUAACCUCCCAGAUAAUCUUGUUGCCUUGGAGACUGAAUUGGGAAAUCUAAUCGCAGCAAAGAACGAUGUGACGAGGAGGGUUGACAAUGCUGAACGGCAACAAAUGAGAAGGCUGGACCGAGUGCAACGAUGGAUUUCGAGAGUGGAAGUUGUUGAAACUGAAGCCGAUGAAUUGAUAAGACAUGGCUCUCGAGAAAUUGAAAAAUUAUGUGUUGGAGGCUACUGUUCCAAGAACUGCAUGUCAAGCUACAAGUUCGGAAAACAAGUGGCUAAAAAGCUACGGGAUGUGCGGACUUUAAUCAGUGAAGGAGUUUUUGAGGUGGUGGCUGACAGAGCUCCAGAGCCUGUAGCAGAUGAAAGACCUACUGAGCCAACAAUAGUAGGCUUGCAAUCACAACUUGAACAAGUUUGGAGAUGUCUUGUAGUAGAAGAAUCAGUGGGAAUCAUUGGCCUAUAUGGUAUGGGCGGUGUUGGUAAAACCACACUAUUGACCCAUAUCAACAAUAAAUUUCUUGAGAAUCCAAUCAACUUUGAUUGUGUGAUUUGGGUUGUAGUUUCAAAAGACCUGCGACUUGAAAAAAUUCAAGAAGAUAUUGGGAAAAAGAUAGGUCUGUUUGAUGAUUCAUGGAAGAGUAAAAGUGUAGAGGAGAAAGCUGUCGACAUCUUCCGGAGUUUAAGAGAGAAGAGAUUUGUAUUGUUGUUAGAUGAUAUAUGGGAGCGGGUUGAUUUAACAAAGGUGGGCGUUCCACUUCCCGGACCACAAAAUACUACCUCAAAAGUCGUAUUCACAACCCGUUCCAUCGAUGUUUGUGGCAGCAUGGAAAGUCACAGGAAGUUCCCAGUAGCAUGCUUAUCAGAAGAGGAUGCUUGGGAGCUGUUUCGAGAAAAAGUAGGGCAAGAAACUCUUGAGAGUCAUCAUGAUAUCGUUGAGCUAGCCCAAACUGUGGCCAGAGAGUGUGAUGGUUUGCCACUCGCACUUCUUACUAUUGGUCGAGCUAUGGCCUGCAAAAGGACAGCAGAGGAGUGGAGACACGCAGUUGAAGUGCUAAGAAGAUCAGCUUCUGAGUUUGCAGGUUUGGGAGAAAAGGUGUACUCUCUUUUAAAAUUCAGCUAUGAUAGUUUGCAGAAUGAGACGAUUAAAUCUUGUUUCUUAUAUUGUUGUUUAUAUCCCGAAGAUUAUGGAAUUCUUAAAUGGGACUUGAUUGAUUGUUGGAUUGGUGAGGGAUUCUUAGAGCAAUCUGACAGGCUUAGUGCAGAAUACCAAGGAUACUACAUUGUGGGCACUCUUGUUCAAGCAUGUUUAUUAGAAGAGUUAGAAGAUGAUAAAGUAAAAAUGCAUGACGUUAUUCGUGAUAUGGCUCUAUGGAUAACCAGUGAAAUUGAGAAGGAGAAGAGAAACUUUUUGGUUCGUGCAGGUGCUGGAUUAAAAGAGGCACCGGCUGUUAAAGGAUGGGAAAAUGUGAGAAGAUUGUCACUGAUGCAAAACCAAAUUGAAACUCUGUCAGAGGUUCCUACAUGCCCUCAUCUCCUCACUUUAUUUCUUGACUUUAAUCAGGAGUUGGAGAUGAUCGCGGAUGGUUUCUUCCAAUUUAUGCCUUCUCUCAAAGUUUUGAAGAUAUCAAACUGUGGAAACAUUUUUCAAUUACCUGUUGGGAUGUCAAAGUUGGGUUCACUAGAACUUCUUGAUAUUUCACAUACCUUCAUAAAAGAGUUACCAGAAGAGUUAAAGAAGUUGGUAAAUCUGAAAUGUUUGAAUUUGAGGUGGACAAGGGAGUUAAAUAAAAUUCCACGGCAACUAAUAUCAAAUUCUUCAAGGUUACGUGUGUUGAGAAUGUUCGCUACUGGCUACAUACGAUUCGAUGAUGCACCAGAAGACGGCGUUUUAUUUGGUGGGGGUGAAGUUUUGAUACAGGAAUUGCUCGGUUUGAAAUAUUUAGAGGUAUUGGAGUUGACCUUGGGAAGUUAUCAUGCUCUCCAAAUUCUUUUGAGCUCAAAUAAGUUAAAAAGUUGUAUUCGAUCUCUUUACCUCGAGUUGACCGGAGAUACAACGUCAAUUAUUGAUGCUACGGCUUUCGCAGAUCUAAACCACCUCAAUGAAUUAUAUAUUAAUAAUGGUAUUGAGUUGGAAGAAUUGAAGAUUGAUUAUACGCAGAUAGUACGAAAAAGGCGGGAACCUUUUGUUUUCCGCAGCCUUCACCGUGUUACUGUUAUGGAUUGCCAUAAAUUGAAAGAUGUGACAUUCCUCGUUUUUGCUCCAAACCUCAAGUCUCUUACGCUAUUCGAUUGCGGUGCUAUGGAAGAAAUAAUCAGCGUCGGAAAAUUUGCUGAGACUCCUGAGAUGAUGGGACAUAUAAGCCCUUUUGAAAAUCUCCAAUUGCUUGAUUUAGAUAAUUUGC
rnacentral:lncRNA from 1 species